rnacentral:lncRNA from 1 species
AUGCAGGCACUAAACAAGUUUCUAAAGCACCACCGGAAGGCUUGCGGUUCCAAAUCAGUUCAGGCACUUCCAAAAGCUUGAGCAAAGCAUGAAAAUGGAGGACAUGGGGGCAUAAGAUUAACUGGAGCUGGGCACUGGCUGAAGGUCGUCAGGAAGGUCGCGUCGGAAGUCAUUUGAUGUGGGAAUCAUACACACUGAAGAUGACGUCUGGGACAAUCAGAGGCAGCUUGCUUAUGUACAUGAACAGCCGUCUGAGGUUCUCGCUCGACACCGUCUCCAUGUCAACCACAUCUUGGUCCUCAACAUAGAUCCACAGGUCACCAGGACAGGUCUUCUUCAGGUUGUCACGGCAGAAUGGGCAGGACUGCGAUCUUGAACUCCUGUAGGAAAACCAAUGUUAUCGUCAAAGUAUGGUAUCUGGAACAUAGACAGCAUUCAAUCUUAAUGCUGAUAUAAUACAAUGAACCCUGAAACAAGACAUUCAGAAAUUCAGUCGAAGUUAAGCUGAAUGAAAAGGUUACACUGGCAAAAAGAACACAGACAAACCACAAAUAUUAUUGGAACACCUAGUACACAAGAUCAAUAAAUCGCAGACACCCACCAUCAGGGCUUGCUAACAUACAAAGCUACUAUUAAUUAUGAUCGGCAGGGCCACAAGUUUAAUGAGCUAAAUUGUUAGCUGCAGUGAACAAAGGAGUAAUGUGCCUUCAUAGCCUAGAACCAAUUGGCCGUAAACAUAGUGCACGGUCUAUACAAGAAGAUGGAUGAUUAUGUGCGUGGAUUGGACAAAAAUGAAAAAUCAAUACUUGACUCGGCACACCAGUCAGAUUCCUCUUUGCACUGAAGGAAUGGCAGAACAUAGUUCAAAAAAUCCAGGUGGUGAAUCGCCACAUUUACCCUACUUACUGUAGUUGGCAAAAUCAGAUGAAUAUCACAAUGCCACUUUCCAACGACCACUUCAUUUUCAGAAUGAUACAGACAGUGGGAAAGCAUGUAAAUGAAUACAGAUCUGCUUCACAGAGCACUAUUUUUUUUAAAGAACCGGCAUGAGAUCUGCCUGUUGUAUUAAGGGGGUGUUUGGUUUCUAGGGACUAAUUUUUAGUCCCUCCAUUUAUCCCAUUUUAGUACCUAAAUUUCCAAAUAGAGAAACUAAAACUCUAUUUUAGUUUCCAUAUUUAGCAAUUUAUGAACUAAAAUGGAAUAAAAUGGGGAGACUAAAAAAUAGUUCCCUAGAAACCAAACAUCCUCUAAAGAGAGGAAAGACCCCAAGGGUCAAAGUACAAUGUACACAUGAAAACAACAACACAACCGCACGGCAAAAAAAACAAUGUACACCUGAAAACAGCAACACAACCGCCCACGGCAAUCAAUGAGAACAAUGUUUCACAGAGCACUAUGUCCUGUUGAUCUAAUAUCACUUCAUUUUCAAAAUGACAGACAAUGGGAAAGCAUGUAAAUGAAUACAGAUCUGUUGCACAGAGCACUAUAUUCAAUAUUCUGUUGAGCUAGUAUCACUUCAUUUUCAGAACGAUACGUUUCACAGAGCACUAUGUUCUGUUGAGCUACUGGCCAUUCAUACCAAAAGGAUUCCUUAGAAGAAGUUAACCCUGUGUGUGGAGGGGUUCCACUUCCAUUGUGUUUAUACAAGCAUAUAAGUUGCUGGAAAGAACAAGGAAGAUGAGUUUAAGCUUAUCUAUAGACACUGUUCACAGCAGCUCAUGUUUAGCAGGAUAUAUACCUUGCUAUGAUACAGAUAUGUGGAGGAAUGAUAUAGAUGAGUCAUCUAGCUAAAAAGCUUGUUAAUCGAUAAUGAUAACAUAAGUCUACGCAAGAAGUUUGCACUUGCACAGCAGUAAAUGAAGGGUGAUUGAGAUUUGAGAAUGUAACACUCAAUGCAGUCCCAGAAAACACAUGGGCAGAAACUGAAUCAUGCACAUACCAGUCCUGGUAACAUCUGAUACACAUAGCAUGGGUGCAGUUGGGCAACACAACUUUGCUGUUCAUCUCCAUGCAAAUCCCACACUCCUCUUCCCUCUCAACAUCAAUAUCAGAUAAGGUGUCCCGUCCAUCCUCAUCUUUCUUUCUGUACUUCUCCAUGCAUAUGGCCUUCUGCUUCUUGUCCUCGACAUCAGUGAUCCCCCUUUGCAGUUGCAGCAAAGAAGGAAAUAUCACAGCUGCUCAUGCCAAAUAUAUAGUAAUUCUGAUCAGCAGUGCAGCACCAAAAAAAACAUAGUUAGGCAAAGAUGUAAUAACAUCAUGCCCUCCUACCAUAGAAUUCUUUGAUGCUGGCUUUCCUCUCAUGAGUCGACAUGGUUGUUGUGCCAUCCACAUAAACCUGAACAAUGACUCAGUGAGCUACAGAUUCAGCAGGGCACAUCCACAAUGUGAGCACGGCACAACCAAACGCGCAACAGACCUUGUAUAUGAGGAUUCUCAGCAGACCAAGAGCCCCUGCGAGGCUGCAGUCCGUCCACUGCACCAGGAAGAGGAAUAUAUGAGCUGCGGGACUGUACGACAGCCGCAUCUGCAGGCACGCACCAUCAUAGUCCCGGGGAAACUCGGAGGCCCUGCUCAUCCAAAUAAACAACUAGCAUCACUUGGCAGAUCACAUGCUGAUGAAGCAACCCUCACCUAAAGACCACACUAGUGGACUCAUCUCGUACCCUUUUCUUCUUAAGCAGAAAAUUAUAUAUAAUUUAGAACGCUAAAACACAUGGGAAUCAGGGUUUGUUUAAACAUCCUAAACACAUGGGAUUCCCACAUGAUCUACUGCCGCUUCGCCACUCGUGCGUGAACGGAUAGGGCAACCACCACAACGGAUCCCGAUGGAGGGGGGCGAACCGGCGUUCGGUCGGUCAAUCUAUCACCCUCCCUGGCCGCCGCAUUGCGCAACCCCGGCAGCAGGCCGAGGAGUCGGCGACGGCGCGACGCAGCCCCGCCGAAACCCCCAAGCACCCGCUCGAUCACGGAGGCAGACGGAGAAACGAGAAGGACAUGGGCCCGUGCUAGUGAACUGGAGCAGAAUCGACAGGGGAUGUGAGGCGGCGCUGGAAUCAGGAAGGGGAGAGAGGAGGGAAGCGGGCGAGAGCUGGGCUUACAGGGUGUUGGCGUGCUGGAUGUCAGCUUCGAGCACCUUGAUGGAGUCCCUGUACGCCUUCCGCAUCCUCCUCCACCGCUGCCCUUCUCAUCCAAGUGCCGCGCGCUAACGGCGACCCCCUCCCUCCUCGCCGCGACGAAGUGAUCUCCCGAACCUGGCCGACCGCCGAGCGCCGGAGCCGGGGGCUUGCGAUUGCGAUGGGAAGGAAGGUGAAGAAAGGGGUCUGGCCUCUGGGUCUCGGGCACCGCGCGGUAGGGGCGGGGGCGGGGUGGGGUGGGUGGCGUGGGGGCAGCGGCGGUGGGCUUUGAGGGGAGGCCGGGAGGAGACGAUGAGGGCGCGGGGCAGGGCCGGGCGUGAGUGGGCGCGGGCGUGCCGGGCGCGCAGGCAGACAGGGGUGAGCACAGCGCGCCGCGUGUGCCCGCGGCGAGCGUGGCCGCGUUCGGGAUGCGUGAGAAUCCCGUGGGUCUGGGCACCUGUCCCCGCCCCUGGCCGUCUGCCGGCCCAGCUCUCGUUUUACCGGUGUCCUGCCGUGGUAAAAGUAUUCUUUUUUUUCCGUGGAAAGCAGCCGUGCAACGGACACGGACGUCGGAAGUCACCAAAAGCGGCAAGGCUGUCCCCAACAACCGUUCUGAAAUAACUAGACACAUAGAAUAUUUUAAUUUUAGAAUAAUUUUUAGCUACAAAUUUAAAAUCUGAAUAAUUUAUAAGCUGUGCAAGUCGCCGAUGCUUACUAACAGUAGAUAGCUUAAUAACAGUUGGAUACAUAUAUAAAAAUUAUUUAUAUGCAAUAAUCCCAUAAACAUGAUGCAUUGCAUUUUAUUUAAUGCUAAUUCAUACCUUGCAUUUAAAAAAGUGUUGCCAAAGAUCUAUGUGAACUAAAGUUAGGAACAUGUUUCAGCCUUUCAGGCAUAUCAUGUCAUGUCUAUGAUAGAAUUUAUCAUUCUACCCGUGUACAUUUAACAUGAUGGAAAGCAUUGUAUUAUAAUAAAAAGACACAUAAGUUCUUUAUAAAGGAAGUUUUAAAAGCUACUCCCUCCGUUCGUUUUUAUAUGUUGUUUAAAUUAAGGAAACAUAGAUUUAACAAUAUUACCUUAUAUCUUCUCUGUUUGACCAUGAAAGUGUCUAACAGUAAACAAAGCAAUGUGCCGAAAGUGGAGAGGUAAAUAUGAAAAACCACCGAAAGUUUGUAAAAGGACGUCAUUUAAAAAAGCACUUUUAAGGGAUGUUUGGUUUGAGCGAUUAAAGAUUAGUUCCUCCAUUUUAGUCUCAUUUAGUCUCUAAAUUGCUAAACGGUGGGACUAAAAUAGGGACUAAAUUGUUUUAGUCUCUAGUCCCUCAAGGGGUGACUAAAAGGGACUGAAUCAUAUAAAUUCCACUUUUUACCCCUCCUUUAUUUCAGUUGCACUAAGAGUGGAAGAAUACUUAGCGGUAUUUUAGUCAUCUUAUGAUCCAUUUAAUACAUUUUGAAUAUUUUUAGUCCCUAUAACUAAAUAGGAUAGGGACUAAACUUUAGUCUCUUAACUAAAUUUUAGUCCCUAGACUAAAGGACCAAACGGGGCCUUACUUUGUGACGUGGCGUCAUAUAAAAACGAACAAAGAGAGUACUAACUAUGCAUAUUUCCUAGUUUUCAUGAGCCUUGCACAUGUUUAUGGCGUGUUUGUUAUGGCUCUAGAGCAAAACUCCAAGAAGGAGUUGGCCAGGACAUGUCAAACACCCUAACUCUAGAGUUGUAAACUCUAUGGAGUUUUUGGAGCUGCAGUACAUUUUUUUGGAGUACCUCUUUUGCUGCUCGGAAAACUCUAAAAAAGCAAACUAGUCAUGGAGUUUAGAGUUAUUUACCCGCCACUGGUUAUGAGAAACAAUCUAAACUCUGGGACAGAUCCGCUCCACCCAGAGUUUUAGAGUAGAGCUGCUCUGAGGUGUAGCAGAGCCAUGCCAAACACGCCCUUAGUCUCUAGCAUUGCUCUAAUCUUCAUUGUGCCUUGACCUCUAUUUUUUAAUCCUAUAAUGUAAGUGGGGGAGUGUAAAAAAUUAGUGAAGAUGGAAGUUGUCAAUUCAAUCAAUAGCAGAAUAAUAUUGUUAUGUUAUGUGCAACCACUUUUUGGAGGUAAUUCCAAUGGUGAUGUCUCUGCAUAAUCUUUCUAAGUGGGACUUUCAUCUACAUGUUAAGAAAUAGAUACAAUAAUAACUAUUAAAUAGAAUAAAUUUAGAAAGACUUAUUAGUAUUUUCUUUACCUAAAUAAUAGGGUAGUGAUCAUAUUUGGACAUAAGUGUUGUACCUUUUGUAAUAAUUGAAAGGGAAAUGUGCCCUUGGGCCAUUUCUAAGUAUUUUGGUGAUUUAGUGCCCAACACAGGUGCCUAAUUGUAAAAUGGUGGACAAAGUACAAAUCAAGGAUAAAGGUAUGUUUCUCAGACUUAGUACAUUGUAUUAUGGACUAAUGUAUUGUGUCUAAGUGCUGGAAACAGAAAAAAUCGAGUUGGAGAAGAGAUGACUCGAGCAGCCAAAGUCUGCCCAGUCUGGGUGCACCGGACUGUCCGGUGGUGCACCGGACAGUGUCCGGUGCGCCAGGCUGGCUUGCGCAAAGUGGCUGCUCUCGGGACUUCGACGGCGGUGUACGUCUAAAAUUCACCGGACUGUCCGGUGUGCACCGGACUGUCCGGUGGGCCGCUCACAGGCGAACUCGUCGCUCUCGGGAAACCAUCAACGGUGUACGGCUAAAAUUCACCGGACUGUCCGGUGUGCACCGGACUCUCCGGUGAGCCAACGGUCGGCCGGGCCAACGGUCGGCCGCGCAAUCUGCGCGGGACACGUGGCCGAGCCAACGGCUAGAAGGGGGCACCGGACAUGUCCGGUGCGCCAACGGUUCCCAGGCUACCAAUGGUCGACUGCGAUGUUUAUGGAAAGAAAUCGGGCACCGGACAUGUCCGGUGUGCACCGGACUGUCCGGUGCGCCAGUCGACAGAAGGCAAGAUCAGCCUUCCAAGAUUGCUCUCAACGGCUCCUAGCUGCCUUAGGGCUAUAAAAGGGACCUCUAGGCGCAUGGAGGAACACACCAAGCAUCUCCUAAGCAUUCCUAAGCACCAAGACAUCGACUCCGCGCCCUUGAUUCUUUGCGAUAGCAAUUAGAGCUCUAGUUGAGUGGUGAACUCAUUAAGUUGUGUUGUGAGCUCUCGUUGCGACUUGUGUGCGUGGUGUUGCUGUGAUUUCUUGUCUUGAGUGCGUUGCUAAUUGAGAGCACCUAGAGGGGGGGGUGAAUAGGUGAUCCUGUAAAAACUUAAACUUAAGCCACAAAAACUUGUUAAGGGUUAGUACAAGUAUGGCCAAGUGGCUAGAGAGAACUCAAAACACGAUAACCACAAGAAAGCAAUCACAGAGUUGACACGGUGGUUAUCCCGUGGUUCGGCCAAGUACAAAACUUGCCUACUCCACGUUGUGGCGUCCCAACGGACGAGAGUUGCACUCAACUCCUCUCAAGUGAUCCAAUGAUCAACUUGAAUACCACGGUGUUUUUCUUUCCUUUGAUCUUUUCCCGUUUGCGAGGAAUCUCCACAACUUGGAGUCUCUCGCCCUUACAAUUGAGUUCACAAAGAAAUACGGAGUAAGGUGGGAAUGAGCAACGCACACAAGACUCGAAAAUCAGAGCAACACCACGCACACAAGUCGCAACAAGAGCUCGCAACACAACACAAAGAGUUCACAACUCCACAAGAGCUCUAUAUGCUAUCACAAUGAAACGAAUGCGUGAGAUUGAUGUCUUGGUGCUUAGAAGAGUUGUAGGAAUGCUUGGUGUACUCCUCCAUGCGCCUAGGGGUCCCUUUUAUAGCCCCAAGGCAGCUAGGAGCCGUUGGGAACAAAUCUGGAAGGCCAUCUUUGCCUUCUGUCUCGUGGCGCACCGGACAGUCCGGUGCACACCGGACACUGUCCGGUGCCCGAUUUGUUUCCUUAAACAGCGCAUCCGACCGUUGCUGUCAGAGUCAGAUCUGCGCACCGUUGGCGCACCGGACAUGUCCGGUGCACACCGGACAGUCCGGUGUAUCUUUCCGACCGUUGGCUCGGCCACGUGUCGCGCGCCGAUCGCGCGGCCGACCGUUGGCCCGGCCGACCGUUGGCUCACCGGACAGUCCGGUGCACACCGGACAGUCCGGUGAAUUUUAGCCGAAGUCGCCGGAGAAAAACCCGAGAGUGGCCUCUUCGGCCGAGGCAGCCUGUCCGGUGCACCACCGGACACUGUCCGGUGCACCACCGGACAGUCCGGUGCCCCAGACCGAAACAGCCCCUUGGCUGUACACAGCCAAGUCUCUCUUCUCUUCUUCUUUCUGUUUCUAACACUUAGACAAAUAUAUUAGUACACAAACCAAUGUACUAAGACUUAGAAACAUACCUUUGUUGAAGAUUUGCACUUUGUUCAUCCAUGGGCGUUGAUUCACAUUUAAACACUUGUGUUGACACUCAAUCACCAAAAUACUUAGAAAUGGCCCAAGGGCACAUUUCCCUUUCAAUCUCCCCCUUUUUGGUGAUUUAUGCCAACACAACAUAAAGCAACUAGAACAAGUGCAAAAUCACUUCAAAUAAAAACUAACUUUGAGUUUUAUUCAAUUUUGGCAUAUAUGGAUCAUCCUUUGCCACCACUUGGUUUGUUUUUGCAAAUCAAACUCAAAUCUCUAUCUCUAAGUCAAACACACAUGUUGAAGCAUAAAGAGAGUCAUUCCAAAAGAGAUUGAUCAAAGAUUUCAAAAACUCCCCCUAUUUCCCAUAAUCAAUACUUCUCCCCACAAGAAGCCAAUUUUUGACAAGAGAGACAAUAAAAGAGUUUAACAAUACAAAAACUCUAUUCUAUUAUUUUCAAAAUCUCUCAAGUGGUAGCUGAUCCAUUUAUCACUUUGGCCUUUAUUUUCUCCCCCUUUGGCAUCAAGCACCAAAACGGGAUCAAUCUUGGCCUUUUAACCCCAUUGCCUCACCAAAGUCUUCAAUUAAGAGCAAAUGGCAAUAAGAUUUCAUGAGAUGAACUUGGAAUUAGUUACCCUCUCAUCGGAGUGCAGUGGAAGUCUUUCAUGGUCCAAGUCCACCUUUUCCCUUUCAAUCCUCCUUCGAGACUAAAUCAUCAAACUCAAGCACAUGGUUAGUCUCAAAAGGGUCAAGUUGUAACACAUCUCCCCCUAAACAUGUGCAUCACUUUGCAACGGACUUGUGAGGUCCAGGGAGUGUUUGUACAACUUGAGCACCACAAUAAGCAACAAAAUGCAAAAAGGAACAUGAUCAAAAGCAUAACUACAUGUAUGCUAUAAUUCAAUCCAGGUUCCGCGAAUGUAAGACAUUUAGCUCACUACGCAACCUGCAAAAGGUCUUCUCAUCUAGAGGCUUAGUGAAGAUAUCGGCUAGCUGGUUCUCGGUGCUAACAUGAAACACUUCGAUAUCUCCCUUUUGCUGGUGGUCUCUCAAAAAGUGAUGUCGGAUGUCUAUGUGCUUUGUGCGGCUGUGCUCAACAGGAUUCUCCGCCAUGCGGAUAGCACUCUCAUUGUCACAUAGGAGUGGGACUUUGCUCAGAUUGUAGCCAAAGUCCCGGAGGGUUUGCCUCAUCCAAAGUAGUUGCGCGCAACACUGACCUGCGGCAACGUACUCGGCCUCAGCGGUGGAUAGGGCAACGGAUGUUUGUUUCUUAGAGUUCCAUGACACCAGGGACCUUCCUAAGAAUUGGCACGUCCCCGAUGUACUCUUCCUAUCGACCUUACAUCCAGCAUAGUCGGAGUCUGAGUAUCCAACUAAGUCAAAGGUAGACCCCUUUGGAUACCAGAGCCCGAAGCAAGGCGUAGCAACCAAAUAUCUAAGAAUUCGCUUCACCGCCACUAAGUGACACUCCUUAGGAUCGGAUUGAAAUCUAGCACACAUGCAUACACUAAGCAUAAUGUCCGGUCUACUAGCACAUAAAUAAAGCAAAGAACCUAUCAUUGACCGGUAUGCUUUUUGAUCAACGGACUUACCUCCUUUGUUGAGGUCGGUGUGUCCGUCGGUUCCCAUCGGCGUCUUUGCGGGCUUGGCGUCCUUCAUCCCAAACCGCUUUAGCAGAUCUUGCGUGUACUUCGUUUGAGAGAUGAAGGUGCCGUCCUUGAGUUGCUUCACUUGGAACCCAAGGAAGUAGUUCAACUCGCCCAUCAUUGACAUCUCGAAUUUCUGCGUCAUCACCCUGCUAAACUCUUCACAAGACUUUUGGUUAGUAGAACCAAAUAUUAUGUCAUCGACAUAAAUUUGGCACACAAACAAAUCACCAUCGCAUGUCUUUGUAAAAAGAGUUGGAUCGGCUUUCCCAACCUUGAAAGCAUUAGCAAUUAAAAAGUCUCUAAGGCAUUCAUACCAUGCUCUUGGGGCUUGCUUAAGUCCAUAGAGCGCCUUAGAGAGCUUACACACAUGGUCGGGAUACCGUUCGUCCUCGAAGCCAGGGGGUUGCUCCACGUACACCUCUUCCUUGAUUGGCCCGUUGAGGAAAGCGCUCUUCACAUCCAUUUGGUACAACCUGAAAGAAUGGUGAGCGGCAUAUGCUAGCAAGAUUCGAAUUGACUCUAGCCUAGCCACAGGAGCAAAGGUCUCCUCGAAAUCCAAACCUGCGACUUGGGCAUAACCUUUUGCCACAAGUCGAGCCUUGUUCCUCGUCACCACCCCGUGCUCGUCCUGUUUGUUGCGGAACACCCACUUGGUUCCCACAACAUUUUGCUUCGGACGAGGCACCAGUGUCCAAACUUCAUUGCGCUUGAAGUUGUUUAACUCCUCUUGCAUGGCCAACACCCAGUCCGGAUCUAGCAAGGCCUCUUCUACCCUGAAAGGCUCAAUAGAAGAGACAAAGGAGUAAUGCUCACAAAAAUUAACUAAUCGAGAUCGAGUAGUUACUCCCUUGCUAAUGUCACCCAGAAUUUGGUCGACGGGAUGAUCCCUUUGAAUCAUCGCUCGAACUUGGGUUGGAGGUGCCGGUUGCACUUCUUCCUCCAUCACAUGAUUAUCUUGUGCUCCCCCUUGAUCGAGCGCCUCCACUUGAGGUACCUGUUCGUCAUCUUCGGUUGGGGGAUGCACCAUAGUUGAGGAAGAAGGUUGAUCUCGUUCAUCUUGUUCCUGUGGCCGUACUUCUCCAAUCGCCAUGGUCCGUAUAGCGGCCGUCGGAACAUCUUCUUCAUCUACAUCAUCACAAUCAACAACUUGCUCUCUUGGAGAGCCAUUAGUCUCAUCAAAUACAACGUCGCUAGAGACUUCAACCAAACCCGAUGAUUUGUUGAAGACUCUAUACGCCUUUGUAUUUGAGUCAUAACCUAAUAAAAACCCUUCUACAGCUUUGGGAGCAAACUUAGAAUUUCUACCCUUCUUCACUAGAAUGUAGCAUUUACUCCCAAAUACACGAAAGUACGAUACAUUGGGUUUGUUACCGGUUAGUAGCUCAUACGACGUCUUCUUGAGGAGGCGAUGAAGGUAGACCCUGUUGAUGGCGUGGCAAGCAGUGUUAACGGCUUCCGUCCAGAAGCACUCGGGGGUCUUGAACUCUCCUAGCAUCGUCCUCGCCAUGUCGAUGAGCGUCCUGUUCUUCCUCUCUACCACACCAUUUUGCUGUGGUGUGUAGGGAGCGGAGAACUCGUGCUUGAUCCCUUCCUCUUCAAGGAACUCCUCCACUUGAAGGUUCUUGAACUCGGACCCGUUGUCGCUUCUUAUCUUUUUCACUUUGAGCUCAAACUCAUUUUGAGCUCUCCUGAGGAAGCGUUUGAGAGUCCCUUGGGUUUCGGAUUUUUCCUGCAAAAAGAACACCCAAGUGAAGCGGGAAAAGUCAUCAACAAUAACCAAACCAUACUUACUUCCUCCUAUGCUCAGAUAGGCGACAGGUCCGAAGAGGUCCAUAUGCAGCAGCUCCAGGGGUCUUGAAGUGGUCAUCACGUUCUUGCUGUGAUGUGCUCCUCCCACUUGUUUACCUGCUUGACAAGCUGCACAAGGUCUAUCUUUUUCGAAAUGCACAUUAGUCAACCCUAUCACGUGUUCUCCCUUUAGAAGCUUGUGAAGGUUCUUCAUCCCCACAUGUGCUAAGCGGCGAUGCCACAGCCAGCCCAUGCUAGUCUUAGCUAUUAAGCAUGCAUCUAGACCGGCCUCUUCUUUUGCAAAAUCAACUAAAUAAAGUUUGCCGUCUAAUUCACCCUUAAAAGCUAGUGAACCAUCACUUCUUCUAAAGACAGACACAUCUACAUUUGUAAAUAGACAGUUAUACCCCAUAUGACAUAAUUGACUAACAGAUAGCAAAUUAUAUCCAAGACUCUCUACUAAAAAUACAUUAGAUAUGGAGUGCUCAUUAGAAAUUGCAAUUUUACCUAAACCUUUUACCUUGCCUUGAUUCCCAUCACCGAAUACAAUUGAAUCUUGGGAAUCUUUAUUCUUGACGUAGGAGGUGAACAUCUUCUUCUCCCUCGUCAUAUGGUUUGUGCAUCCGCUGUCGAUAAUCCAGCUUGAACCCCCGGAUGCAUAAACCUGCAAGGCAAAUUUAGGCUUGGGACUUAGGUACCCAACUCUUGUUGGGUCCUACAAGGUUAGUCACAAUUUCCUUAGGGACCCAAAUGCAAGUUUUAUCACCUUUGCAUUUUGCCCCUAACUUCCUAGCAAUUACUUUUCUAUCCUUUCUACAGAUUGCAAAUGAAGCAUUCAAAGCACAAUAAAUUGUAGAAGGUUCAUUUGCUAUUUUCCUAGGAGCAUGAAUAACAUUCCUUCUAGGCACAUGAUGAAUAGCAUUUCUUUUAGGAACAACAUUUCUCCUAGUAACAUUUCUAUCAUACACAUAAGAGGAACUAGGAGCAAACAUGGCAUGAGAAUCAUAAACAUAUGAAUCAAAAGCAUCAUAACUUCUAUUUCUAGUUUGUCGUUUAUCAUGAUACAAAAAGGCAUGGUUCCUUUUAGCACUAGUAGCCAUAGGGGCCUUCCCUUUCUCCUUGGCGGGAAUGGGAGCCUUAUGGCUUGUUAAGUUCUUGGCUUCCCUCUUGAAGCCAAGUCCAUCCUUAAUUGAGGGGUGUCUACCAACCGUGUAGGCAUCCCUAGCAAAUUUUAGUUUUUCAAAAUCACUUUUGCUAGUCUUAAGUUGAGCAUUAAGACUAGCCACUUCAUCACUCAAUUUUGAAAUGGAAACUAAGUGUUCACUACAGGCAUUAAUAUCAACAUCCUUACACCUAGUGCAAAUUUCAACAUGUUCAACACAAGAGUUGGAUUUAUUUGAUUUAUUUGCUUCUACUAGUUUAGCAUUUAAAUCAUCGUUUAUGCUCUUUAAGUUAGAAAUAGAAUCAUGGCAUGUUGACACUUCACAAGCAAGCAUUUCAUUCCUCUUAAUUUCUAAUGCAAGAGAUUUUUGAGCCUCUACAAACUUAUCAUGUUCUUCAUACAACAAAUCCUCUUGCUUUUCUAAAAGUAUAUUCUUUUCAUUCAAGGCAUCAAUUAAUUCAUUAAUUUUGUCUAUCUUAGAUCUAUCUAAGCCCUUGAACAAACAUGAAUAAUCUACUUCAUCCUCAUCACUAGAUUCGUCCUCACUUGAAGAAGCAUAGGUAGAGUUGCGAGUACAUACCUUCUUCUCCCUUGCCAUAAGGCAUGUGUGACGCUCGUUGGGGAAGAGGGUUGAUUUGUUGAAGGCGGUGGCGGCGAGUCCUUCAUUGUCGGAGUCGGACGAGGAGCAAUCCGAGUCCCACUCCUUGCCUAGAUGCGCCUCGCCUUUUGCCUUCUUAUAAUGCUUCUUCUUUUCCCUCUUGUUUCCCUUUUCCUGGUCACUUUCAUUAUCAGGACAGUUAGCAAUAAAAUGACCAAGCUUACCGCAUUUGAAGCAUGAUCGCUUCCCCUUGGUCUUAGUCUUGCUCGGCUGUCCAUUGCGACCCUUUAGCACCGUCUUGAAGCGCUUAAUGAUGAGAGCCAUUUCUUCAUCAUUAAGCCCGGCCGCCUCAAUUUGCGCCACCUUGCUUGGUAGUGCCUCCUUGCUCCUUGAUGCCUUGAGAGCAAUGGGUUGAGGCUCGUGGAUUGGACCGUUCAACGCGUCAUCGACGUACCUUGCCUCCUUGAUCAUCAUCCGCCCGCUUACAAAUUUUCCAAGAAUUUCUUCGGGCGACAUUUUGGUGUACCUGGGAUUCUCACGAAUAUUAUUCACCAAAUGAGGAUCAAGAACAGUAAAGGACCUUAGCAUUAGGCGGACGACGUCGUGGUCCGUCCAUCGCGUGCUUCCAUAGCUCCUUAUCUUGUUGACAAGGGUCUUGAGCCGGUUGUAUGUUUGAGUUGGCUCCUCGCCCCUUAUCAUCGCGAACCGUCCAAGCUCGCCCUCCACCAACUCCAUUUUGGUGAGCAAGGUAGCGUCAUUUCCCUCAUGAGAGAUCUUGAGGGUAUCCCAGAUUUGCUUGGCGUUAUCCAAGCCACUCACUUUAUUAUAUUCAUCCCUGCACAAUGAGGCUAGAAGAACAGUAGUAGCUUGUGCAUUCUUAUGGAUUUGCUCAUUAAUGAAUAUAGGACUAUCCGAACUAUUAAAGUGCAUUCCACUAUCUACAAUCUCCCAUAUGCUAGGAUGGAGAGAGAAUAGGUGACUACGCAUUUUGUGGCUCCAAAAUCCGUAGUCCUCCCCAUCAAAGUGUGGGGGCUUGCCGAGUGGAAUAGAAAGCAAAUGUGAAUUUGAACUUUGCGGAAUACGAGAGUAGUCAAAAGAAAAGUUAGAAUUAACCGGUUUCCUUUGUUUGUCGUGGUCGUCGUCCUUUUGGGAAGAAGAGGACUCAUCGCUGUCGUAGUAGACGAUCUCCUUGAUGCGUCUUGUCUUCUUCUUCUUCCCAUCUCUUCGCUUGUGGCCCGAGCCCGAGUCAUUGGACUUGUCAUCCCUUGGCUCGUUGACGAAGGACUCCUUCUCCUUGUCGUUGAUCACAAUUCCCUUCCCCUUAGGAUCCAUCUCUUCGGGCGGUUAGUCCCUUUCUUGAAGAGAACGCCUCUGAUACCAAUUGAGAGCACCUAGAGGGGGGGUGAAUAGGUGAUCCUGUAAAAACUUAAACUUAAGCCACAAAAACUUGUUAAGGGUUAGUACAAGUAUGGCCAAGUGGCUAGAGAGAACUCAAAACACGAUAACCACAAGAAAGCAAUCACAGAGUUGACACGGUGGUUAUCCCGUGGUUCGGCCAAGUACAAAACUUGCCUACUCCACGUUGUGGCGUCCCAACGGACGAGAGUUGCACUCAACUCCUCUCAAGUGAUCCAAUGAUCAACUUGAAUACCACGGUGUUUUUCUUUCCUUUGAUCUUUUCCCGUUUGCGAGGAAUCUCCACAACUUGGAGUCUCUCGCCCUUACAAUUGAGUUCACAAAGAAAUACGGAGUAAGGUGGGAAUGAGCAACGCACACAAGACUCGAAAAUCAGAGCAACACCACGCACACAAGUCGCAACAAGAGCUCGCAACACAACACAAAGAGUUCACAACUCCACAAGAGCUCUAUAUGCUAUCACAAUGAAACGAAUGCGUGAGAUUGAUGUCUUGGUGCUUAGAAGAGUUGUAGGAAUGCUUGGUGUACUCCUCCAUGCGCCUAGGGGUCCCUUUUAUAGCCCCAAGGCAGCUAGGAGCCGUUGGGAACAAAUCUGGAAGGCCAUCUUUGCCUUCUGUCUCGUGGCGCACCGGACAGUCCGGUGCACACCGGACACUGUCCGGUGCCCGAUUUGUUUCCUUAAACAGCGCAUCCGACCGUUGCUGUCAGAGUCAGAUCUGCGCACCGUUGGCGCACCGGACAUGUCCGGUGCACACCGGACAGUCCGGUGUAUCUUUCCGACCGUUGGCUCGGCCACGUGUCGCGCGCCGAUCGCGCGGCCGACCGUUGGCCCGGCCGACCGUUGGCUCACCGGACAGUCCGGUGCACACCGGACAGUCCGGUGAAUUUUAGCCGAAGUCGCCGGAGAAAAACCCGAGAGUGGCCUCUUCGGCCGAGGCAGCCUGUCCGGUGCACCACCGGACACUGUCCGGUGCACCACCGGACAGUCCGGUGCCCCAGACCGAAACAGCCCCUUGGCUGUACACAGCCAAGUCUCUCUUCUCUUCUUCUUUCUGUUUCUAACACUUAGACAAAUAUAUUAGUACACAAACCAAUGUACUAAGACUUAGAAACAUACCUUUGUUGAAGAUUUGCACUUUGUUCAUCCAUGGGCGUUGAUUCACAUUUAAACACUUGUGUUGACACUCAAUCACCAAAAUACUUAGAAAUGGCCCAAGGGCACAUUUCCCUUUCACUAAUCCCUCCCUUGCUCUGUGCUUCUUUGUGAAUUUCAAGUGUAAGGGCGAGAGGCUCCAAGUUGUGGAGAUUCCUCGCAAACGGGAUUGAGUAAAGCAAAGCAAAACACCGUGGUAUUCAAGUGGGUCUUUGGACCGCUUGAGAGGGGUUGAUUGCAACCCUCGUCCGUUGGGACGCCACAACGUGGAGUAGGCAAGCGUUGGUCUUGGCCGAACCACGGGAUAACCACUGUGCCAUCUCUGUGAUUGUUUUCUUGUGGUUAUUGUGUUUUGUUGAGAUUCCUCUCCAGCCACUUGGCAUUUACUGUGCUAACGCUUAACCAAGUUUUUGUGGCUUAAGUUUUCAAGAUUUACAGGAUCACCUAUUCACCCCCCCUCUAGGUGCUCUCAAUUGGUAUUAGAGCCGUUCUCUUCACAAAGGGACUAACCGCCCGAGGAGAUGGAUCCUAAGGGGAAGGGUAUCGUGAUCAAUGAUAAAGAGAAGGAAUCUUUCGUCAACGAGCCAAAGGAUGACAAGCCUACCGACUCGGGCUCGGGUCAUAGACGAAAAGAUGGGAAGAAGAAGAAGACAAGGCGCAUUAAGGAGAUCGUCUACUACGACGACAGUGAUGAGUCCACUUCUUCCCACAAGGACAACGACGACAACGACUACGACAAACGAAAGACGGUUAACUCGAACUUUUCUUUCGAUUAUUCGCGUAUUCCUCAAAGUGCAAAUGCUCAUUUAUUAUCUAUUCCACUUGGUAAACCUCCUCAUUUUGAUGGAGAGGACUACGGAUUUUGGAGUCACAAAAUGCGUAGUCACUUGUUCUCUCUCCAUCCUAGUAUAUGGGAGAUUGUAGAGAGUGGAAUGCACUUUGAUAGUUUGGAUAGUCCCAUGUUCAUUAAUGACCAAAUUCAUAAGAAUGCACAAGCUACUACUGUUCUUCUAGCUUCAUUGUGCAGGGAUGAAUACCACAAAGUGAGCGGCUUGGAUAACGCCAAGCAGAUCUGGGACACCCUCAAGAUUUCACAUGAGGGGAACGACGUCACCUUGCUCACCAAGAUGGAGUUGGUGGAGGGCGAGCUUGGACGAUUCGCGAUGAUAAGGGGCGAGGAGCCGACACAAACAUACAACCGGCUCAAGACCCUUAUCAACAAAAUAAGGAGCUACGAAAGCACGCGAUGGACGGACCACGACGUCGUCCGAUUGAUGCUAAGGUCCUUUACCGUUCUUGAUCCUCAUUUGGUGAAUAACAUUCGUGAGAAUCCCAGGUACACCAAAAUGUCGCCCGAAGAAGUCCUUGGAAAAUUCGUAAGCGGGCGAAUGAUGAUCAAGGAAGCGAGGUACGUGGACGACGCUCUAAACGGUCCAAUCAAUGAGCCUCAACCCGUUGCUCUCAAGGCAACAAGGAGCAAGGAGGCGUUACCCAGCAAGGUAGCACAAAUUGAGGCCGCCGGACUUAAUGAUGAAGAGAUGGCUCUCAUCAUCAAGAGAUUCAAGACGACGCUUAAGGGUCGCAAGGGACAGCCAAACAAGACCAAAGCCAAGGGGAAGUGCUCAUGCUUCAAAUGCGGUAAGCUUGGUCAUUUUAUUGCUAACUGUCCCGACAAUGAUAGUGAUCAGGAUCAAGGGAACAAGAGGGAGAAUAAGAAAAACUAUAAAAAAGGCAAAGGGCGAGGCUCAUCUUGGCAAGGAGUGGGAUUCGGAUUGCUCCUCGUCUGACUCUGACAAUGAAGGACUCGCCGCCACCGCCUUCAACAAAUCAUCCCUCUUCCCCAACGAACAUCACACAUGCCUUAUGGCAAGGGAGAAGAAGGUAUGUACUCAAGACUCUACUUAUGCUUCUUCAAGUGAGGAGGAAUCUAGUGAUGAGGAUGAAAUAGAUUAUUCAUGUCUAUUUAAGGGCCUAGAUAGAACCAAGGUAGAUAAAAUUAAUGAAUUAAUUGAUGCCUUGAAUGAUAAGAAUAGGCUUCUAGAAAAACAAGAAGAUUUAUUGUAUGAAGAACAUGACAAAUUUAUAGAAGCACAAAAAUCUCAUGCUUUAGAAGUCAAAAGAAAUGAAAUGCUUUCAUGUGAAUUAUCUUCGUGCCAUGAGACAAUUUCUAGCUUAAGGAACAUUAAUGAUGAUUUGAAUGCUAAGUUGAAAAUAGUUAGUAAAUCAACAACUUGUGUAGAAAAUGUUGUUAUCUGCAAUAGAUGUAAAGAUUUUGAUAUUGAUGCUUGUAGUGAACACAUAGCUUCUAUUGCAAAGUUAAACGAUGAAUUGGCUAUUCUCAAUGCCCAACUUAAGACUAGCAAAAGUGAUUUCGAUAAACUAAAAUUUGCAAGGGAUGCCUACACGAUUGGUAGACACCCCUCCAUUAAGGAUGGACUUGGCUUCAAGAGGGAAGCCAAGGACUUAACAAGCCAUAAGGCUCCCAUCUCCACCAAGGAGAAAGGGAAGGCCCCUAUGACAAGUAGCACUAAAAAGAACCAUGCUUUUAUGUACAACAAUAGAAGACAGUCUCAUAGGAGUUGCAAUGCUUUUGAUUCACAUGACUCGUAUGCUAUGUUUGCUCCUAGUUCUUCCUAUAUGCAUGGUAGAGAUAUGCCUAGGAAAAAUGUUCAUCAUGUGCCUAGGAAGAAUAUUGUUCAUGUUCCUAGAAGAGUUAUGAAUGGUCCCUCUACAAUUUAUCAUGCAUUAAAUGCUUCCUUUGCUAUUUGUAGAAAGGAUAGGAAGAUAGUUGCUAGGAAAUUAGGGGCAAAAUGCAAGGGUGAUAAAACUUGCAUUUGGGUCCCUAAGGAAAUUGUGACUAACCUUGUAGGACCCAACAAGAGUUGGGUACCUAAGACCCAAGCCUAAAUUUGCCUUGCAGGUUUAUGCAUCCGGGGGCUCAAGCUGGAUUAUCGACAGCGGAUGCACAAACCACAUGACGGGGGAGAAGAAGAUGUUCACCUCCUACGUCAAGAAUAAGGAUUCCCAAGAUUCAAUCAUAUUCGGUGAUGGGAACCAAGGCAAGGUGAAAGGUUUAGGCAAGAUUGCAAUAUCAAAUGAGCAUUCUAUCUCUAAUGUGUUUUUAGUGGAGAGUCUUGGAUAUAAUUUACUAUCAGUUAGUCAAUUAUGUAAUAUGGGAUAUAACUGUUUAUUUACAAAUAUAGAUGUGUCUGUCUUUAGAAGAUGUGAUGGUUCACUAGCUUUUAAGGGUGUACUAGACGGCAAACUUUACUUAGUUGAUUUUGCAAAAGAAGAGGCCGGUCUAGAUGCAUGCUUAAUGGCUAAGACUUGCAUGGGCUGGUUGUGGCAUCGCCGCUUAGCACAUGUGGGGAUGAAGAACCUCCACAAGCUUCUAAAGGGAGAACAGGUGAUAGGUCUAACCAAUGUUCAUUUCGAAAAAGAUAGACCUUGUGCAGCUUGUCAAGCAGGUAAACAAGUGGGAGGAGCACAUCACAGCAAGAAUGUGAUGACCACGUCAAGACCUCUGGAGCUGCUACAUAUGGACCUCUUCGGACCCGUCGCCUAUCUGAGCAUAGGAGGAAGUAAGUAUGGUCUAGUUAUUGUUGAUGACUUUUCCCGCUUCACUUGGGUGUUCUUUUUGCAGGAUAAGUCUGAAACCCAAGGGACCCUCAAGCGCUUCCUAAGGAGAGCUCAAAAUGAGUUUGAGCUCAAGGUGAAGAAGAUAAGGAGCGACAACGGGUCCGAAUUCAAGAAUCUUCAAGUGGAGGAGUUCCUUGAGGAGGAGGGGAUCAAGCACGAGUUCUCCGCUCCCUACACACCUCAUCAAAAUGGUGUGGUAGAGAGGAAGAACAUGACGCUUAUAGAUAUGGCGAGGACUAUGCUUGGAGAGUUCAAGACCCUUGAGUGCUUUUGGUCGGAAGCCGUGAACACGGCUUGCCACGCCAUCAAUAGGGUCUACCUUCACCGCCUCCUCAAGAAGACUUCAUAUGAGCUGCUAACUGGUAACAAACCCAAUGUAUCGUACUUUCGUGUAUUUGGGAGUAAAUGCUACAUUCUAGUGAAGAAGGGUAGGAAUUCCAAAUUUGCUCCCAAAGCCGUAGAAGGGUUUUAUUAGGUUAUGAUUCAAAUACAAAGGCGUAUAGGGUCUUCAACAAAUCAUCGGGUUUGGUUGAAGUCUCUAGCGACGUUGUAUUUGAUGAGACUAAUGGCUCUCCAAGAGAGCAAGUUGUUGAUCUUGAUGAUGUAGAUGAAGAAGACGUUCCAACGGCCGUGAUACGCACCAUGGCGAUUGGAGAUGUACGGCCUCAGGAACAUUUGGAGCAAGAUCAACCGUCUUCCUCAACUAUGGUGCAUCCCCCAACCCAAGAUGACGAACAGGUACCUCAAGUGGAGGCGCAUGAUCAAGGGGGAGCACAGGAUGUUCAAAUUGAAGAGGAAGAUGCACCUCAGGCACCUCCAACCCAAGUUCGAGCGACGAUUCAAAGGAAUCAUCUCGUCGACCAGAUAUUGGGUGAUAUUAGUAAGGGAGUAACUACUCGUUCAAGAUUAGUUAAUUUUUGUGAGCAUUACUCUUUUGUCUCUUCUAUUGAGCCUUUCAGGGUAGAAGAGGCCUUGCUAGAUCCGGACUGGGUGUUGGCCAUGCAGGAGGAACUCAACAAUUUCAAGCGCAAUGAAGUUUGGACACUGGUGCCUCGCCCCAAGCAAAAUGUUGUGGGAACCAAGUGGGUGUUCCGCAACAAACAGGACGAGCACGGGGUGGUGACAAAGAACAAGGCUCGGCUUGUGGCAAAAGGUUACGCCCAAGUCGCAGGUUUGGACUUUGAGAAGACUUUUGCUCCUGUGGCUAGGCUAGAAUCAAUUCGUAUCUUGCUAGCAUAUGCCGCUCACCAUUCUUUCAGGUUGUACCAAAUGGAUGUGAAGAGCGCUUUCCUCAACGGGCCGAUCAAGGAGGAGGUGUACGUAGAGCAACCCCCUGGCUUCGAGGAUGAACGGUACCCCGACCACGUGUGUAAGCUCUCUAAGGCGCUCUAUGGACUUAAGCAAGCCCCAAGAGCAUGGUAUGAAUGCCUUAGAGACUUUUUAAUUGCUAAUGCUUUCAAGGUUGGGAAAGCCGAUCCAACUCUUUUUACUAAGACUUGUGAUGGUGAUCUUUUUGUGUGCCAAAUUUAUGUCGAUGACAUAAUAUUUGGUUCUACUAAUCAAAAGUCGUGUGAAGAGUUUAGUAGGGUGAUGACGCAGAAAUUCGAGAUGUCGAUGAUGGGCGAGUUGAACUACUUCCUUGGGUUCCAAGUGAAGCAACUCAAGGACGGCACCUUUAUCUCCCAAACGAAGUACACGCAAGAUUUGCUAAAGAGGUUUGGGAUGAAAGACGCCAAGCCCGCAAAGACGCCGAUGGGAACCGACGGACACACCGACCUCAACAAAGGUGGUAAGUCCGUUGAUCAAAAAGCAUACCGGUCCAUGAUAGGUUCAUUGCUUUAUUUAUGUGCUAGUAGACCAGAUAUUAUGCUCAGCGUAUGCAUGUGUGCUAGAUUUCAAUCCGAUUCUAAGGAGUGUCACUUAGUGGCUGUGAAGCGAAUUCUUAGAUAUUUAGUCGCUACGCCUUGCUUCGAGAUCUGGUAUCCAAAGGGGUCUAACUUUGACUUGAUUGGAUAUUCAGAAUCCGACUAUGCUGGAUGUAAGGUCGAUAGGAAGAGUACAUCGGGGACGUGCCAAUUCUUAGGAAGGUCCCUGGUGUCGUGGAACUCUAAGAAACAAACUUCCGUUGCCCUAUCCACCGCUGAGGCCGAGUACGUUGCCGCAGGACAGUGUUGUGCGCAACUACUUUGGAUGAGGCAAACCCUCCGGGACUUUGGCUACAAUCUGAGCAAAGUCCCACUCCUAUGUGACAAUGAGAGUGCUAUCCGAAUAGCGGAAAAUUCUGUUGAGCACAGCCGCACAAAGCACAUUGACAUCCGGCAUCACUUUUUGAGAGACCACCAGCAAAAGGGAGAUAUCGAAGUGUUUCAUGUUAGCACCGAGAACCAGCUAGCCGAUAUCUUUACCAAACCUCUAGAUGAGAAGACCUUUUGCAGGCUGCGUAGUGAGCUCAAUAUCUUAGAUUCGCGGAACUUGGAUUGAAUUGUAGCAUACAUGUGUUUAUGCCUUUGAUCAUGUUCCUUAUGCAUUUUGUUGUUUACUAUGGUGCUCAAGUUGUACAAACACUUCCCGGACCUCACAAGUCCUUGUGCAAGUGAUGCACAUAUUUAGGGGGAGUUGUGUUAUAACUUGACCCUUUGAGACUAACCAUAUGCUUGAGUUUGUUUGUUUUAGUCUCAAAGGAGGUUUGAAAGGGAAAAGGUGGACUUGGACCAUGAAAGACUUCCACUGCACUCCGAUAAGAGGGUAACUUAUUCCAAGUUCAUCUCAUGUACUCUUAUUGCCUUUGCGUUCUUAUUUAAAGAUUUUGGUGAGGCAAUGGGGUUUAAGGGCCAAGAUUGAUCCCGUUUUGGUUCUUGAUGCCAAAGGGGGAGAAAAUAAAGGCCAAAGCAAUAGAUGGAUCAGCUACCACUUGAGAAAUUUUGAAAAUAGUAGAAUAGAGCUUUUGGUUUGUCAAAACUAUUUAUUGUCUCUCUUGUCAAAAGAUGGCUUCUUGUGGGGAGAAGUGUUGAUUAUAAAAAAAGGGGGGGAGUUUUUUUAAAUCUUGAAUCAAUUUCUCUUGGAAUGGCUCUCUUUAUGUCUUAACAUGUGUGUUUGACUUAGAGAUAGAAAUUUGAGUUUGAUUUGCAAAAACAAACCAAGUGGUGGCAAAGAGUGAUCCAUAUAUGUCAAAUUUGAAUCAAAAUAAUUUGAGUUCUUAUUUGAAGUGAUUUUGUACCUGUUCUACUUGCUUUAUGUUGUGUUGGCAUAAAUCACCAAAAAGGGGGAGAUUGAAAGGGAAAUGUGCCCUUGGGCCAUUUCUAAGUAUUUUGGUGAUUUAGUGCCCAACACAGGUGCCUAAUUGUAAAAUGGUGGACAAAGUACAAAUCAAGGAUAAAGGUAUGUUUCUCAGACUUAGUACAUUGUUUUAUUGACUAAUGUAUUGUGUCUAAGUGCUGGAAACAGAAAAAAUCGAGUUGGAGAAGAGAUGGCCCGAGCAGCCAAAGUCUGCCCAGUCUGGGUGCACCGGACUGUCCGGUGGUGCACCGGACUGUCCGGUGGUGCACCGGACAGUGUCCGGUGCGCCAGGCUGGCUUGCGCAAGGUGGCUGCUCUCGGGACUUUGACGGCGGUGUACGGCUAAAAUUCACCGGACUGUCCGGUGGGCCGCUCACAGGCGAACUCGUCGCUCUCGGGAAACCAUCAACGGCGUACGGCUAAAAUUCACCGGACUGUCUGGUGUGCACCGGACUGUCCGGUGAGCCAACGGUCGGCCGCGCAAUCUGCGCAGGACACGUGGCCGAGCCAACGGCUAGAAGGGGGCACCGGACUGUCCGGUGUGCACCGGACAUGUCCGGUGCGCCAACGGCUCCCAGGCUGCCAACGGUCGACUGCGAUGUUUAUGGAAAGAAAUCGGGCACCGGACAUGUCCGGUGUGCACCGGACUGUCCGGUGCGCCAGUCGACAGAAGGCAAGAUCAGCCUUCCAAGAUUGCUCUCAACGGCUCCUAGCUGCCUUGGGGCUAUAAAAGGGACCUCUAGGCGCAUGGAGGAACACACCAAGCAUCUCCUAAGCAUUCCUAAGCACCAAGACAUCGACUCCGCGCCCUUGAUUCUUUGCGAUAGCAAUUAGAGCUCUAGUUGAGUGAUGAACUCAUUAAGUUGUGUUGUGAGCUCUCGUUGCGACUUGUGUGCGUGGUGUUGCUGUGAUUUCUUGUCUUGAGUGCGUUGCUAAUCCCUACCUUGCUCUGUGCUUCUUUGUGAAUUUCAAGUGUAAGGGCGAGAGGCUCCAAGUUGUGGAGAUUCCUCGCAAACGGGAUUGAGUAAAGCAAAGCAAAACACCGUGGUAUUCAAGUGGGUCUUUGGACCGCUUGAGAGGGGUUGAUUGCAACCCUCGUCCGUUGGGACGCCACAACGUGGAGUAGGCAAGCGUUGGUCUUGGCCGAACCACGGGAUAACCACCGUGCCAUCUCUGUGAUUGUUUUCUUGUGGUUAUUGUGUUUUGUUGAGAUUCCUCUCCAGCCACUUGGCAUUUACUGUGCUAACGCUUAACCAAGUUUUUGUGGCUUAAGUUUUCAAGAUUUAUAGGAUCACCUAUUCACCCCCCUCUAGGUGCUCUCAAUAAUAUACUUUUAGUAAAAGUACUUGUUGGUCAUAUAUUAAAGUUCCUUAAUAGAACCAAAAUAGGACAACACGGUUAAAGUAAAAGGAUUCUUUCUCUAGGAGGACAAAUCUAGGUUGAAGGUUGAAAGUAAAUGCAAGGGAUUCGAAGCAGUCAAAUUCAAUUCAUGUUCAUCCUACUUUUUUAUUAAUUAAACGAUGUUACAAGACUACCUUCAGAAUGUUCAAAGACAAUAAAGACACACCUAAAUUUUAUAGCUUUGGACGUGCAGCGAUCCAUUAUGAAAAUGUAUAUCUCAUCUCAGGAAGAAUCUGGCUCUAUGCAUAGGCACAGUAAUUCUAUUUAUAGGGGGCAUGAUACACAUCUUCAUAUAAAAUUAUAAUUACAAUCUCGAAUCCUAUACUUGUGAACUACACGGUUCAUCAAAGGUAUUGCUAUCUUUUCUUCUUGGAGACGUGCUAAAUAUGUCGCUUGAUUCCUUCUUUGUUUUCUUGCCAUCCGCUUCACGUGUCACAAGGUGCUUCGGCUAAACACCAACGCCUAAGCUAGUAGUUUGAGGACUAGAAUCAUUCUAGGUCGGUAGAGGCUACUGUGAUGAAGAUCACUUUGUUACUCCUGAAACAAACCACAAAGCAAUGAGAUUAAUUAGUUUGAGUACCUUCGGCAAAGGUAUACCUCCAACAGUACUACAUAUUCGUAUUGGUGCUUUGUCUAUAUCUGAGUGAAAUUUUCAUUUUAUUGUUAAAAUGUAAACACAAUAAUAAUUUUUAAACAGAAUAGGUGUAAAGAGAUUUUCCAAAAUUUUGUUUUGCUAAAUACUACUCCGUCCCAAAUUAGUAUUCGAUUUAGCUCUUUGUUUUUAUGUCUAUAUUCAAAUGAAUGAUAAUAAAUCUAGGCACAUAUGCAAAACAUAUACAACAAUUUGAAUCCAUAAAUGGCUAAAACGAAUUUUAAAUUGGAAAAGGGGAAGUAAUAGGUAGUGAUCAUAUUUAAACAUGAUUGUUCUGCCUUUUGUAAUAGUAUACUACUAUCAGUAAAAGUACUACGUACUUGUAUUGAUGUUUUGGGUUGUUUGGUUUGCAGCCUCACCUUACAUUUUGUCACGUCUAAGGUUACACAUGUUUAACAGAGCUAGACAUGUGUUUGGUUUGCAGCCACAGUUCUGACAAGAUUUUUCUGCAAAUACGUAGGUCUCACGUUAAUAAUUUGUAAAAGUGUGACAAAAUUUAUUUUAGUCAUGUUAAGAUGUAAUGUAGAAUUUAGGCGGCUAACCUUAGUCAACUCAAGGUUGCCGGUGAGCCUCCCUCCAUACGACGCGAGGAGCCCUAGUCCAGCGGCGACGAACCUCGAUUGCCUCGAUUCAGCGUCGGUAAAUUUUAACCCGGCACCGGUGAGCCUCGACUGGGCACCGACAAGUCUCGAUGCGACGCCAACUCGACUGUCCAGUGUCCACGGAGGUGCACGAUCGAGGACCUUGCUUACGUAGGAGAGUUGAUUUGGCUCGCCUAUGCUGACAAAGAUUUUCUUGCCCGGGCGGGUAAGCUUGCCUAACAACUGGGUGAGGCGAGCGAGAGAGACUACCAAACAGCUUGUCUCGCCCAGCUAGGUGAUGCAAGCGGCUGGCAAGGGAUUUAAGCACAUCCGUAGUUACCUUCAUACUUGAGUGGAAGAUCUUGUGUUCUUAGUAGAGCUGUUGUUAGGAGGUACGAAUAAUUUUUUUAUAUCUAUAGAUCUGACCAAAUCUUAUUACAUAGCACCACCAAAUCUAUUAUAUAAGCUAAUAUUAAGCGUACUUUGAGCAUUGUGUUAUCCAGGUAUACAUAUAUAUAUAUAUAUAUAUAAAAACUCCGCGAACAAUUUAUUUAAACUCAAACGAAUUGCACCGUACAGGGAUAGAAAAUGGCACACGUAGGCGACCCAUCGCCUGUGGCCAUCCAGUUGCUUUCAGCUCUCCCUGUCCACAUGGUGCACCAACUUUCUAGCCUUAGAUUCAACUGACCAACCUCUUUUGUGUUAUCGUGUGUGUGACUCCUCCGUCACAAAACUCUGAAACGAAAGGACUCCGUGGGUUUAACAUAGGAUGCGUCUAGCAAUUUGGCUCCUGGUGGGCCCAAAACGGACAAAAUUGGCCUGGAUGGAUUCGUAAGGACCGUAGUGGGUCCUUCCAGUAGUUUCUCAACUAAUUAUAAGGCAUGAUUGAUACAUGUGGAUAAAGUUUUCUCUGAUGAUUGCAGCGGGACAUUACCCCCGGUUUUUUAGACGUGUACAGUCAAUUACCAUGAAACGACUUCAUUCUGGUUUAAAUAUGACAGGUAAAAGUAAAACAUCAUAAAAGUUCCGUGUGCGAGUGAAAGAGGGUAGACGAGACAAGCAGACAAGCGUUGGAUAUUUCUAGACCGGUCAGCUGUGGCUCUGCUUUGAAAAACAGCCUUGCCUUAUCCUGUAAGGCAUGUGGUCCCCCGGUUUUCAAAAAAAAAUGUUUUCUCUCUCUCUCGGAUCUGAUCUUAGGGGGAUCUAGUAUUUGUUUAGUUCAGUGAGCUUCAGCUCUUAGGCCGAAUCUAGGAAGAGUUUUGCUAAAUAGUACUUCUUCCGUUUUUUUACUUAACGUUUUUUAUUCAAAAAUAAACUAUUCGACGUCAAAUAUUUAAAAAUAAAGUAGUAGUAUUUCAAAAGAACCGAUUUUUUCGCAUGUUUGAGUAGAUUCGCUGGGGAAUUUGGUGUUGCCUGAAGCCCACUAGACGAGUGGCCCAUUGAUCCUGAGGACAUGGUGGCCGCCUUUGUGGUCCAGUAGGUAGGUUGAGAACUGUGUUUAGAAUAAGAGGACCACGGCACAACUUCUUAUUCUGUUUCAGUACCAAUGAUAGGAGGAAAUAAAGCAACAACUCACGUUCUACUUAGUUUUGUUCAGAAAUCAUAUCAUCUCUGUCCUUUGCCACAGCUGUCUGUCCUGGAGGAUUGGACCAGCCCCUGUGCGUGCUCGUCGCCGUCGUCGAUGGAUAGGCACCGUCCGUGCCGGGCGCUUGAUAGAGCUGUUGGCUGUUGCCGCUGGUCAAUAGUUCACUGCCAUGUUAGUUUACGAAUGUCUGUUGGGAUAAUCCACCUUCAUCGAUGAGUAGUACAGCAAUGUUUAGUCGUUGGUGUGACGCCGAUCUAAACCGCCGACCGUCAGUUGUAGCAAUACUUACACAACAGCGCAGUUGCCCACAACUGGAUAGCUUGCAUAGAAUGUUUAAAUAUAACUUAAUUAGAUAAAACGAAAUCCGUUGUAGUCUAGCUGGUCAGGAUAUUUGGCUCUCACCCGAAAGACCCGGGUUCGAGUCCCGGCAACGGAAUAAUUUUUUUGCCUGGUUGCAGGCCUACGUUUUGCAUUUCCUGUGUUUCGCCAGAGCUCGGUGGCCUCGUGCGGCAUCUGCGUCUGUGGCACGUCACGGCCGACGGCCUCCCGCGCGGCCUUAUGCGAAAUUAAACAGGACUUCUUAUUGAAGGAUGUUGAAUUCUUCAUUAUUUUCGAUAGAGAUUACAGAGACAACGAAAACAUAAUUUUGACACUAUCUAAAUAUACAACAGAUCUCUUUUAAAAGAGUUGGUAUGGCAAACUACAAUUCUAUAAACACACCAUUAUGUACUAGUAAAAAGUAGAGAUGACAAUGGGUACUACCUCAUACCCAAACCCACGAUACAAAAAUAACCCCAUCGGAUCACCCAUAUAAACUGACGGGUAUGGAUUUACCCCCAUACCAUACCCAUGUGGGUAUGGGUCACCCAUCGGGUCACGCGUACCCACAAAAAGUAAACAUCUAUCAAAAUAUUAUAUUAUACAGAUAUCAAGUAUAUCCAUCUAAAUACCAUUACAAAAUUUAUAGCAUCAUUUAACCAUCCAUUCAACACACCAAAGAUAAUUGGAUAAAGUAGUAACACUAGGAUAGUACUACAUAGCACAUUACAUGUUCCAUUACAUGGUCAUUAAAUUAUCGUUAAGCCUUCUAUGACAUUAUGACCUAGAAGUUUGUUAAAUAAAAGAUUGAUGACUAAAGUCCAAUUUCAUGCUUGGGCAAAGUUUAUAUUGGGUAUUUUAUACCCAUGGGUUAACGGGUAUGAGUGAAGGCAGAACAUUCUAAUACCUGUUUACCCUUUGGGUGAAGAUUUUUGCCUAAUAAUAGAUACACGGGUAGAAUAUUUAGCCCACAUACAUACCCUAAUGGAGUAAAUACCUAUCGGGUAUCGGGUCGCGGGUACCCAUUGCCAUCUCUAAUAAAAAGUCAUCUCUUCACGAAGGAUUGUUGUUAGAACCAAAAGAUGUAACAUGGUAUAGAAAUAUACCAUGUGUUUGGUUGCCGUAGAAGUCGAGUCAGUCCGGCAUGAGACUAGCUAGUAUUGUUAGAAUUAGGGUGAGUCAUGUAAGCAGUUUUGUUUGAUUGUUUGUACAUGUUUGUGCAGACUAGACACCGACUUUGUUUGGUUGUUUGCACUGAGACGUAGGUGCAUAAAUAAAUCUCUAAUAUUAUAUAGUAUGACUGGCCUAGUUUUAUUCACGAAAGUCUUAGGGACACAAAUAUAAAAUUAAUUAGGUGAUUAAAUAUUUUUAAUUAAAAGAUAUAAUAAAAAAACAAUCCAGAAUGUAUUCUUGUUUUAUGUGCCGCACGCAGCGGCCGACUGCAUCUAGCCUGGGCGCGCGCUUACGUGAAACGUGGGCGUAUGGCAUGGACCUGGCCGGAAGCCAAUAUUUGCAUCUGAGCAGCCUGCGUCUGUAAAGAAGAGUAAACAACACUUUACGGACCCACGAAUGCAACUGCAUGCGAGCAGCAGUCAAUCAAACACAUAGACAGUGGGUGCUCUUCAAUAUUUUGACUUUGACUAUACCUGAUAUUGCAUUCCGGCGUUCUCAAGGUAUAUUAGUAUCUGCAUGCUCCUACUACAAUGCAUCGGACAACAGUAAAGUUAAUAGUAAGAUAUAUCAAAUCUUAUACUAAUCUCGGUGUGAAGAUUUGUAAAUCUCUGUCAAUGAUAGUAAACGGUUACCUAGAUGCAGACAGGCCCGGCCCUGAGGGUAGGCAGGGUAUGCCGCCGCUCAGGGCCCCCAAAAGUUAGUAGGGCCCCCAGUCCUACCUAAAUAGAUAUAUACUCUUAUAUAUAUGUAUGGUAUAUAUUUAUUCUAUUCCCAAAAUCUCUAGCCGCUGCUCGCUGGUAACCAUUGUUAAAGAUAUUGCAAAUGAUUUUGGUGUAAAUACAUCAUUUCCAAUAAAGCGUAAAACGGUGAGAAAGAAACAAUUUGAUGAAAGUAGGUGCCACGAAGAAAUUCUAGAAAAUGAGAGAGCUUUUCAAGUCAACUAUUUUUUGGUAUUAGUUGACAUGACGAGCACUUCUUUGAGGACCAGAUUUGAAGAACUCUCCAUGUUUAGGUAUAUUUGGGUUUUUAUUGAGCUCAAGCACACUAAGCUCACUAAAUGAUAGAGAACUUGAAGAGUUUUGCACUAAAUUUGCAAACACUUUCUCUCAUGAUGGUUCAUGUGAUGUUGAGUUAAAUAAUUUGAUUUCUAAAUUGAAUAUUCUAAAGUUUACUUUGCCUAACGACACAUUAUCUGCUGUGGAGAUUUUUGAGCAUAUCAGAGUUGUGGAUUGUUAUCCUAAUGCCUCUAUUGCUUAUAGAAUAUUAUUUACUGUGUUUGUUACUAUUGCAUCUGCUGAAAGAAGCUUCUCAAAAUUGAAGUUACCGAAUAAUUAUUUAAGAUCAGCAAUGAGUCAAGAAAGGUUGAAUAGUUUGACGCCUUUAUGAUCGAGAAGAAGCUAUUGAAUGAUAUCGAUAUCAAUAGUAUAAUCGAUGAUUUUGUAUCAAAAAAUGUUAGAAGAAAUUUUAUAAGAUGAGAAGUGUCAAGUAAAUUUUUAUUAUUUCAGCCAAUGUUAUUUUAUAAACAAUAAUGUGUAAUAUUCUAUAUUACAGUAACUUAUAUACAGUUUCUUUACUGAUAUGUAUUUAGUAGAUGUAUAGAUGAUAUAUACAUAUAUCUAAUUAUAUGGGGCCUCUAUAUAAUUUUUUGCUUAGGGCCCCCGAAAUGUUAGGACCGGCCCUGGAUGCAGAUUAGACAAAUUGUUUAGAUGAUAUUAGAUCUACAUGAGGUUUUGCUAUUUUUCUAGGGAAUAAUCUUGUUUUCUAGGAUGCAAGGAAACAUGCAACGUAAUGGAAAAAAAGUGAAUACUACCGUCGAGAUGACGUGGAUACAAACCUUACUGUUUAAACCACAAUUUUCAAGUCCUUUUUUAUGAAGGUAUGGGUUGGCAAGACAGGUGCAAAGCACCUAGUAUUUAAUCCAGUUUUUUUCAUGCCAGAACAAAACACAUUAAAGUUGAUUACCCUUUUGUUAGAGAACGAGUGGUUAGAAAAAUAAUUGAUGUCGAUUUUGUGUAUAUAGAAGAUCAAAUCGUUGAUAAGUUCAUAAAAGCUCUCACUAUAAGAAAGUUAGAAAAUUUGAAGUACAAUCUUAAUCUAGGGGGGGGGGGGGGGGAAUGCGAUCGAGGGGAUAUAUGCCGUGUUUGGAUCGGCUUUUGGUGGACUUCUGGCCGCCAGAAGCUGGAAGCCCAUCCAAACAGCUAGCUUCGUGACCAGAUUCUUUCCACCACGCGGCGGCUCGCAGCAGCUUCACCACAGCGGCCAAGAAUCGGCCAGGCGGCCAGCAGCCCACGUCCAUGAGAAGUUAGACGACUUCUCACCUUAAGCCGACACGGAAGCAAACUAUUUAGGGAUGAAACCAAAUUAGUUGUAAUGAACAUCACAUGUGUUAUUUGUGGAGCAAACUAACCAUCAGUUUCUUCCUACAGCCAGCUUAUCAAACAUCUAGAUCCUUGUUUUUGCAGGUAAAUACUAUCUUGUAGCCUUGUUCAUGAUGUACACGAUCGAGGCUUUGACCAAUAUGUACAUAGUAGCCUUGUUCAUGAUGUACCCGUAUCAAACACCCAGAUUCUAACCACCAGUUUCUUUCCACAGCAGCCGAACCAAACAUCUAGAUUCUAACCACCAGCUUCUCACUACAGUCAGUUUUUCCCUACAGUCAGCUUUUUAGAAAAGCUCUUCAGAAAAAAGCCGAACCGAACAUGCCCAUAAAAUAGUAUAGCUUCGAUUUCAAUCACACGUGAUGUAAUUGAUUGUAUUCUUUAAAAGAUAAGGAAUAAAUUUGAUUUAAUUUAAAUAAAGACAGAAAGAUAUAGUAUCUAAAUUAAACCUUAGUUAUAUUUAAAUUUGUAAACUAAAGCAAUGGUGAUAGCAUCGUAGCUCCAUGACUGGUUCAGAGAUUAGGGAUAGCACUGGUGGCUCAGGAUUACCUGUAGGAUCGACAAUUUGUCACGUGUUCUGUUUCUGUUGUCUUUGUGCGUUAUUGUGGAAUUAAACACCCUCUGUUGUUUAGAGCUGACGAAUGUUGUAGCUGUGGGUUCAUGUGGUACCAGUACCUUUUUCUUUGUCUGUGAACACUGCGCAUGUUUCCUCAGGCAUGUUCACCUUUACUGAAAAAGAAUUUUUUUUUGUGGGGGGGGGGGGGGGGGGGGGUCAAUCUUUUAUGCCAGUGGCACAUUGCCUUUUCUUCUUCGUUGUGCCUUUUUUUUUUAAAAAAAUUACUGCUUCGAACACAUAAUAUGCGUCGAAGUCUCUGCGACAAUGUUGCAACAGGAACCAAACUACUUGCAAUCUUGAACCAAACAAGUGCUCUGCUAUGCUAUGCAUACCCGACAUAUUUCCUCACAAACAAGAAAAAGAAUACCGCCAAGGGAGAGAAGAAAAAAAUAACCAAGAAACGAAUAUGAUGCGCAGUAAAAAGCAACCAGAAACUGCACGAAUUCACGCAAGCAACCGGGUCAAACGCGGCCAAAACUCCCGGGGGUUCUUGUGCUUCCAACCAGAAACUGCACAGGCACAGCUCCUUCCUUCAUCACGUUUUAAGUGCUGGACGAGUACCCGACUUUCUUGUCGUCGCGGUGCGGAACAACGGUCCUGGGAGCGUCGACGUGCAUCCUCAGGGAGCUGAACUCGAGCGCGAAGAUGGGCCUGGACAACAGGACCGAGAUGCUGUGGCUUCGGGCGUCCAAGUCGGCUGCCACGCUGGACCCGGAGCUGCUGACCUCGCCGUCGGAUUUUUCCUGCUGGGGCUCUGUGGUUCUUGCACUCCAGAUCCUAGCAGGCUUCACAGGGCGCACCCUGUGGAAGGAAACAGUCAACAGUGCGUCGAAUACGGGUAGAUCGUACGCCAUCAAUGGAUAGCUCACUAGCCCAGGACGUUCACAGAGUUUUGUUUUUUGUCAUCACCUGCAUUCUACUUGACAGGAGUACUUGAGAAGAUCAGGAUGGUCCACUGUACGUCCGCUGAAAUUCGCAAAGCAAGCGAGACGUGCCUGUUUCAGAAACAAUACGUAUUUUGACGAGGACUCUUUUUUUUCCCCUUCUUCUUGCCCUUCUUUCGAUUUCUCAGUAGAAAUCUGCGCAUGGCUACGUAAAUUCUUUCUUUGAAGGAAAUCAUGGGGGAAUACGGUUUGGUUCGCCUGACCUGAAACUCGGGAGUGACAUUCUGAUUGCUGGGCCCGCCCACUGGUGGUCCUUAUGUGAUCCUGCUGUCGCCUCCAUAUGGUUAGAAAGUGAAGUAAAAGCAUUGGAUCAACAAAGCAGAGGCUCGUGUCGUGAGUAGCGCGUCUUGAGAGUGAAAAAGGAUAGAUAGCAUUAGGAAACAUGUCGUUCUGAAAGACAUACAGGAAAACCUCAUCGUAUUUGACAUCCACAUCAGUGAAGAAGUGAGGUCAAGAGUGAUUUGACAAAAUCCAAUGCGACAGAUUCAGACUACUAUAUAUAUAGUUUAUGUAUUUUGAGCCCUAGGCUUUUAAUAGUUGAGCGGAAGCCCUGACCCGAUGUUGCCAACCGGUUCAGCCGCAUCUCGUCCAAAGUGUUUAUAAAAGAAGCUCUAGAUCGCUAGCCGCUAGGGUUCAGUUACGUCGACAGUUACGCCCCCACCCCUGAGGGGCGCGCGCGACGGCGGAUCCUGGGAGCAAGCGCGCGACGGCGGAUCUGGGGGACACGCUUGCGACGACGGAUCAGGGGACACGCUCGCGACGGCGGAUCCCUGAGGCGCGCACGACAGCGAGGUGGGAGCGACUGCGGCAUCGGAUCCCGAGGGCACGCACACGACAGCGGCCCCAUGAGGUGCGCACGACGGUGAUGUGGCAGCGGUCGCGGCGGCGAAUCUCGUGGGGCUCGAGCGCGACAGCGUCUCCCUGAGGUGCAGGCGGUAGCGACCCCUUGAGGUGCGCACAACGAUGACGUGGGAGCGGUUGCGGCGGCGCGACGGUGGAUCUCAGGGGCAUGUGAGCAACAAUGACACCCCUAAGGCAUGCAUGACGACGAGGUGGGAGCGGUUGGUGCAACGGAUCUCGGGAUUCAUGCGCGCGAGGGUCGACUCCUGAGCGCAUACAACUGCGAUGCCAUCCAAGGUGGGAGCAGCGAUGGCGGAUUUCCCUAGGCGCAAGCGACGACGGCAUCCUCCCCUAGGCACGAAGUGGUGGCGCAUCCCAGAUGCAAGGCGUCGGUUCCGCAGGCCGGUGAUCAUAUUUUUAUGCUAUUUUGUAUACAUAUUUAUACCAAUGUCAAUAGAAUUUUACGACCUAUAUUUCAGUUCAUGGCUCCGCUUCCAUCUAUUAGUCUGUUUAUGAUAUUUCUAUUCAUAUUUUACGCAAACGAUUUAUUGUUUUAUGCAUUAACUCGUUCAUUAAUCUAGUGUGUAUUGGAUUCCUACCAUUUAUGCCAUAUGUAUAAGAUAUAUUUACGACCCACACAUUAACGCAAUAAAAUAGAAAUUUAGAAAGAAAAAAUAACCGCUAUAAGAAAUGAGGUCAUUUGCCACAAUUCCAUAAAUCUCGCAUAUGCUGAUCCAUUUUCUUUUCAGCUCACAUUAUUGCCAUCCUAAAUUUGAGCACAUGCAGUACAAAACCGAUUUUUUACGCAGUCCACCGUAGGACAUAAAUAACUUCACCGUGUUGUAUAACUAGUAUCAGUAUAUAUCAUAAACUGGUUAUAAUGAGCCUUAAUGCAUGGAUGUUGGAGAGAUCUUAUAUUUAUAGAGGAAAUAAAGCAUUGAAAUCAGAUUUUUUUUAUUUCCAUACGUGUUUUCGUUAUGAAAUAGAUCGAUGAUUUACACUAAAAUGUAUACCCAUUUAUACUGUUUUGGUUCACGUUUUCUGAUGAUAAGUCAUCUUACUGGGCACUAGUUCUGGUUAAAAAAAGAACAGUGCAUUUUGCAUGUUCAAAAAUGUUAUUUUGAAGAGUCCACGUUCAGUAAUAUAGCCGAAAAAAAAGUUCAGGGAAACGUAGCUCAAAAGGAUAAGGAAACAAGCACAACAUUUGAGCCUAGCAAUUACUGUAUAACCGUAUCAACGUGGUUUCGAUAGAUUAAGGGCAUGUUUGUUUCCUCGCUGGAUUGUAUAAUCCAACUUAUUUUAUAUAGAUUAUAUAAUUCAUAAUCCUAUUAGAGAUGUUUAUUUACGCAAAUUAUUAGCAGGUAAAACGCAAACAAUUAAUUUAAAAUAACCAUCUACUGAUCUGCUUAUGGAUUUAUCACAAUCUAGGUAGAGGUGGUAAUGAGCUUUAAAUUUUAUACUACAAAAUUUAAGGAUCAGAUCGGGAUCUAUUUCUAUUUAUUUUUAGACUAAAAUUAAGUAAGGGAUCAAAUAUAAUGUGGAAAAAAAAUAAUAUUUGGAUCGUGAUCUAUUACCACCUAUAAAUCUAGGUAACUAGAUUAUAUAAUCUACUUCAAUAAUCUAUGUUGUUUGUUUGCACGCUUAACUUAUUUAAGCUCGAUUAUAUAUGAUAUAGAGGGUAAACAAACAGUACCUAAAUGGAUAAGAAGACUGUUACCGGUAAAUGGCAGGCUGAUGUUGCACAGAUGCCGAGUAGACGAGCCGCCCUUGGACUCUGAAACCUCAAUCUCGCGGCCAUUCCCUUGCUCGAAGGCUGUCGACCCGAUCCCCAGCAUGUUGAGGAAGCUGUUUGGUCUAGCCAACGGUCUAUCCCCAAGCGAAGCAGCCUCGUUCUGUCUCAUCAUGUGACACAGACAGGUUACAAGUCUCACGACAGCGACAUUUUGCAGUCCUAAUCAGCUGCCACAAGCGUUCGGAAUGUAGCAAGUAGCAACGGCUUUGGUAUCUCGGUACCUUUGACGAGAAUGUGGCGACAUGGCUUGGCAGUCCUACCUCCUGCAGAGAUCGGGACGACGGCUCCAGUUCAGUUCAGGGAAAGGGAAACAGCAGGACAAGAAACGUGACACAGAGGAGUUCCGGUGGUCAAAGUAACCUUGCGGCCGUGCCGGCAGGCUUCGACGCUGUUCACCAGCACCCUGGCAGCCCACCUGAAAACAAGCUCAUACAGUAGUAGAUCAGAAGCAGCAAGAACUGAAAAAAAGCUCAGUCAAGCAAGUCACCACUAUUCAGAGUUCCAUCCAACUGCUGCAUUUCGAAGACGGAGGAAAGUAGGAAACCACGGGCGGCUGUAGGCUGUAGCUGAGCUGCGCAGGGCAGCAAGUUGGCCACGCGGAGCAAGUGCAGCGCACCCGGACACCCCUCCCCAGCCUACGAAUAAUUGAAAGAAGCAAGGCACAGUCCGUGCUGCCAAGUACAAUCAUAUGGGGGAUAAGGCGCUUGUUUAUGGCCGGCUGGCGCAAGCACGAGGGUUUUCGUUUUUUUUCUUUCCCCUUCGCAUACUGCAAGUUGCCCCUGUUCUUUUCUGUUGGGGGGUCCCUGAUCGAGGCCAAUCAGGCAGGAGAAAGCGGCGAAGAAGCCUACAAGGGAUUAAACUAGGCCACAGAAGAUGCGAAUGCAAUGCAGGCAUGAAGCGGAGCGAAGGCGAACUCACGCGCAGGAGGUCGGCGGGUUCCACACAAUGCCGGCGAUCACCACGAGCUGCAGGCGCCAAAAAAAAAGGGUGUCGGUCGGUGGGUCGGCCGGGUCGUCGAACCGAAUCUUGCAGGAACAUUAGAUAGAACCCGCAGCAGCAGCCAAUGGCGGCGGCAGGCGCGGUGCGCGCAGGCAGUAUACCUCGUCGAAUUCGCCGGCAGGGCUGUCGUGGUAGCGCGCCAGGAACAUGCCGCCGAGCGUGUAGCCGAAGGCCUCAACCAGGCGGAGGUCCCGCGGCACGAAGGCCCGCGCCGUCGACGCCUUCACCAAAUGCAGCUGGUACAAUGCGCUGCAGUGCAGCAGGAGGAGGAAGGAGAGCGCGGCGGCGAGAGACCAUCACCCAUCAUCCAUCACGCACUGGCUCGAUCGAACAGGUGGGGGGAAAGAAGAAAAGAAAAAAAAGGAAAGGAGAGCUGCGGGCCUUGCCUGCCUUUGAACACCCAUGGCGGCCCGUGCUUGUACCCCGCGCAGGCCGUCUCCUUCUCCUCGUUCUCCGCCGCCAUGGAUCCCCCUUCCUCCUCACGCUCUCGGCAGCUAGCUAGCUAGCUAGACAGACAGACAGACUCUCCGCGAACGCAAGGGAAGCGGCCCCGCCACUGGACAGGGAAGGAGAGUCAAAGGGCGGCCCUGGGUUUAUAGGCAGGCAGGAGCUGGUGGAGUGGGAGGAGGGCGAAUGGAAGGGGAGGCAGGGGGCGAUGAAUGCUGAUGCACUGACUGAUGCUGGGACGCAGGUCGCGGCUUAAACAAGUGGUUGUCGCCGCGGCUUUGCGGCUCGCGAGCUUUGGUUCGACGGAGGGGACGGGAGGCGAGAGGGGAUGGGAGCCCGGGCGGACCUUAUCCGGUGGACAGGUGGCACCAGCCUAGAGGCCACGGGUGCGGGUGACGUCAUCCGUCGAGAUCCGAGCGGGGCCCACGCUUUGCUGUCUCAUCGUCCGCGUCGGUUCCCUGCCGCUGAUCAGCUCCCGGACCCGGAGUCCGGACCCCGGACAAAGAUGUGGCGGGCUGCUUGUUUGAUUGCGGGGCCGGGGCGCCGCUGUGUUUUCCCUGCUGCUGUUUUCGGGAUCUUGGAUUAGUCAACCAAGGCCACGGCCAUGAAAGCCACAGCGGAGCGGGGGCAGCGUGCGGCAUGCGCUGUGUGCCGGUCAUGGCAACGAGACCUGAACUCCGCGGGAAUUUAUCUAUUAGGACAUGUUCCCAAUAUAAUAACGAGAUUUAGCGUUUUUAUCAGGCGUGUACAAACCAAGUCAUAAAACCAGAUACUCCCUCCUUUCUUUUUAGUUAUCGCUGGAUAGUUCCAUUUUGUACUAUCCAGCGACAACUAAAACGAAACGGAAAGAGUACAUAAUGCUUUUGCUAAAUCUAUUAGCUUCAUUACCAAACAAAAACGUGAGAAAGAGCGUCUACACAACAUCUUUGAUUAUUGAAAGGAAGGCAAGUUCCUAACCCUGUCAUACCGUAGCAAAUGGACUAAUUUGUGGGUAAAGAAGUGGUUUUACAUGAAAAAUAAUUUUAAAAGCGGUGAACAUAUCAAGGGCAUAAUUCAAAUGCUUAUCAAGCCCAAUUUUGGAUUUAAGAGGUCGACUUGUUAUAUGAGUAUGACUGUCUUUAAUAUUGUUUGCACCUAUACAUCGGAACACGAGAUCGGGUUCAAGAGCAUUUAGCUUUGAAUAUCUGGACGCUGAGGACUGAGUGGGUGAAAGUUGUCUAGAGAGGGGGUGAAUAGACGAAACUUGAAAAUUACAAACUUUGAACAUAAACUUCACCCAAGGUUAGCGUUAGAACGAGUAAUGACGAAAUUAGAGUGCAGAAGAUAGUUCUACUGCCAUGGAUUGAUCAAUCAAUUCGCAUAACUUUGGGAGUUAACUCAAAAUGAUCACAAGCAAGAGAACUCAGAGAGAUGGGAGAGGAAGAAUCAAAUCACAAUGCAAGAUUAACAUAAAGACACAGGUGAUUUGUUUCCCGAGCUUCAGUUCCGAAGAACCUACUCUCCAUUGAGGAGGCCACGUAGGUCGGGUCUUUUUCAACCUUUUUCCUCUCUCAAACGGUCACUUAGACCGGUUUAGUGCUUCUUCUUAAUCUCGAGGGUCACUUAGACCCCGCAAGGACCACCACAUAAUUAGGUGUCUCUUGAUACCUUUACAAGUCAAUGAGAAUUUAGAAGAAGAGGAAGAAAGCACGAUCAAGAAACCAAGCAACAAGAGCAACAAUAAAACACAAGGUCACACUCUUUAUAGUGUCUCUAUAAAGCGCUAAUCACUAAAGAUUACAAAUCACAAUUAUGGCACUUGGAGGAGUUUUGAGACUUUUGAGUGUGCUUGAAGUGAAGAGUUGCUCUUGCAAUGAAUGAGAGUUAUGGAAGUUUGGAUGAGUUGAAUGGAGGUGGUUGGGGUUGUAUUUAUAGCCACCAACCUUUUCCUAGUUGUUGCCCUUGUUCUGCCACGUGUGGUUGGUCCGCGCUCCUGGUUCGGACGGUUCGCCCCUGCACAUCAACGAUUGGAUUUUGCAACGGUCAGUUAUAAUGGCUAAAAUCACAUUAAAUGUCUCGUCGAAUGUCAGAUAAAGUCUGACGUGGACGACCCGGUCGUGCCUCCAAAUGGUCCGCGUGUGCGUUAUAAUUCAUUUUACCGAACCAGACACCUUCGGGUUGUUCUGUCUUUCAACGAUCGGAUGGUUCCCUCCUGAGGCCGGACAGUUUUCACAUGACUUCAGACGGUACUAUUCUUUCCUUCGGAUAGUCCGUAGUAGAAAAGUGCAUUUGGCAUAGUAUCUCUCCGAAGUCCAUCGAGGUGUCACAGACAGUCCGCCGAAAGGGCUCAGACGGUCCGAGCACAUGUGAAUUUUCUAAAAAUAGCUCAUGUCCAGAAUAAUCUAUGUAAUUCCGGACAGUCCGCUUUAGAACCUCAGACAACCCACGAAGCGCUGUUUUGAUGGUUAAUCUUUCUUGAAGUAUUUUCUGAGUUCCUGAGAUCAUAACUUGCUAAACUAGUUAGCUAAAUUGGUUGUGAUGGUCGUCAAUUACCAAAAAAUAGUGGAAAUGGUUUUUAGGCCUAUUUCCCUUUCAGUGGGCGACGUUAGAGCCGAAGGAAGGUAGCACGAUGAAGCAAGAGGCAAGUCUUGUUAGGUUGAAAUAUACGUAUAAGUUCAAAAAAUAGUUUGGGAGCCAUGCGACAAAUGGUUGAAAGCUAUCGAGGAUAAAUGCAAUGAAAUCCUUGGAUUUCAAUAAGAAAGGAGACGAUGUUUUUCCCGCUGCCCUCGGAGAAAUGAUGGUUGAACCGCGUGUUCGACACCAUCGGUUUGUUUACCUUGACUACCCGAGCUAACACUAGGUGGGGGAAAUAAAAGGAAGCAGAAAAAAUUAAGAUGAUGACCAAACAUCGCAAAAUCUUUGCUACAGAGGAAGGUGAACAUGCUAGGAAGAAAGUUAAUUUUGAAGAAAGAGCAGCAGAUGUCGAGCUGAGGCUAACUAUUAGGACUUGAGAAAUAUCGAGGGCACAUAAUGACAUUUUGCUCGACUUUUACUAAUGCUUAGAAUUUGUCAUACGAUACCUUUCUUUGAUGGCUUGUUCACAUUUUUAUAGGAAAAUUUUGAGACUAAAGAAGUUAUUGAAUUGUCUAUACUUUGAUGAAACUUCUUUGGCCAAAAUUGAAGCAAAGCCAAAGAAAAGCCUUGACUCCGACACCUGGAGCAAAAACCCUAAGGAAAGAUAGACAUAUAAAUCCUAUGAUGAAUGCCUUUCUUUACGAGGAUACACAUGAGGAGACUACUGAAGCAGAAGCUACUUCUAAGGCUUUGGGAGAUAAGACAGCCACCACAACAAUGGUGGUGGCCAAAGAAAUUGAUGUUUGCAUGGCGAUCACGCCAACAACGGAAGCUAAAGAGAUGCCCAUGGCCGCACCAUUAGUGGUACCAGAAAAGGUCGAAGCCAAGGACAACUCUCCAAAGCAAGAUAUUAUUCCCAAAAAACAAUGAGGGUGAAAAGGCUGUGGAGGCCAAAAGGGCAAAAUAAACGGAGGAAGAGAAAUUCUCCAAACACAGGACUGAAAGGGAAAUGUGCCCUUGGGCCAUUUCUAUAAGUUUUUGGUGAUUAAGUGCCCAACACACAUUAAGGGAAUGAGUAUAUGCCAAAGGGUGGACAAAGUGCAAAUCAAUACAAAGGUAUGAUUCUAUACUUAGUACAUUAGUUUUUGUGUACUAACAUAUUUGUCUAAGUGCUAGAAUCAGAGAAAAGACAAUUGGAAAAGACUUGGCUCGAGCAGCCAAGACUCUGCUCAGUCUGGGUACACCGGACUGUCUGGUAGUGCACCGGACAGUGUCCGGAGGUGCACCGGACAGUGUCCGGUGCGCCAGGCUGGCUCUGGUGAAAAGGCCGCUCUCGGGAAUUCGUCGGCGGCGUACGGCUAAAAUUCACCGGACUGUCCGGUGAGCCAACGGUCGACCGAGCCAACGGUCAGCCGCGCAAUCCGCGCGUGACGCGUGGCCGGGCCAACGGUCUGAAGGGGGCACCGGACUGUCCGGUGUGCACCGGACAGUGUCCGGUGCGCCAACGGCUCCAAAUCGCCAAUGGUCGGCUGCGCCAAAAUAGGAAAGAAAUCUGCACCAGACAGUGUCCGGUGGUGCACCGGACUGUCCGGUGCGCCAGUCGACAGAAGGCAAGAAUUGCCUUCCUAGAAUGCUCUCAACGACUCCUAGCUACCUUGGGGCUAUAAAAGGGACCCCUAGGCGCAUGGAGGAGAACACUAAGCACACUUUGAGCAUUCUUGAUCAUUCACACUUCGUUCUUGCGCACUCGUUUGACAUUCUUAGUGAUUUGAGCUAUGUUCUAGUGAGAACUUUGAGAUACUCAUUUGAACUCAAGUCUUGGCCGUGUGUGUGUGUAUUGCUGUGGACUUGUGUGUGUUGCUCAUCCCAUCCUUACUUCCGUGUUCAUUUGUGAUCAUCUUUUGUAAGGGCGAGAGACUCCAAGUUGUGGAGAUUCCUCGCAAACGGGAUAUAGUGAAAGAAAAAGAAAUACCGUGGUAUUCAAGUGGAUCUUUGGAUCACUUGAGAGGGGUUGAUUGCAACCCUCGUCCGUUGGGACGCCACAACGUGGAGUAGGCAAGUGUUGAACUUGGCCGAACCACGGGAUAAACCACUGUGCCUCUCUGUGUUGAUAUCUUUGUGGUUAUUGUGUUUUGCAAGAACUCCUUUCUAGCCACUUGGCUUUAUUGCUCUAACACUUAAUCAAGUUUGUGGCAUUAAGUUUUAAGUUUUUACAGGAUCACCUAUUCACCCCCCCUCUAGGUGCUCUCAAUUGGUAUCAGAGCCGUUCUCUUCAAGAAAGGGACUAAUCGCCCGAAGAGAUGGAUCCUAAGGGAAAGGGGAUGGUGGUCAACGACAAUGAGAAGGAGUCCAUCUUCAACGAGCCAAGGGACGGCAAAGUCAAUGACUCCGACUCAAGUCAAAAGAAGAAAGAUGGAAAGAAGAAGAGACGCAUCAGGAAGGUUGUCUACUACGACAGCGACAAAUCUUCCUCUUCUCAAAAGGACGACAAAUACGAGGAAAAGAAGAAAACAGUUAACUCUAACUUUUCCUUUGAUUAUUCUCAUAUUCCGCAUAAUUCCAAUGCUCAUUUGCUUUCUAUUCCACUUGGUAAACCUCCUCACUUUGAUGGAGAGGACUACGGAUUUUGGAGUCACAAAAUGCGUAGUCAUUUGUUCUCUCUUCAUCCAAGUAUAUGGGAGAUAGUAGAAAACGAAAUGCAAUUUGAUAGUUCAGAUAAUUCUAUGUUUAUCAAUGAACAGAUCCAUAAGAAUGCACAAGCUACUACUGUUCUUCUAGCAUCCUUGUGCAGGGAAGAAUACAAUAAGGUGAGCGGCUUAGACAAUGCCAAGCAGAUCUGGGACACCCUCAAGAUCUCACAUGAGGGGAACGACGUUACCAUGCUCACCAAGAUGGAGUUGGUGGAAGGCGAACUAGAAAGGUUCGCAAUGAUCAGGGGGGAGGAGCCAACCCAAACGUACAACAGGCUCAAGACCCUCGUCAACAAAAUAAGGAGCUAUGGAAGCACGCGAUGGACGGACCACGACGUCAUCCGACUUAUGCUAACGUCCUUCACCGUCCUUGAUCCUCAUCUUGUUAACUCUAUUCGUGAUGUUAGGACGUUUAUGCCCCCAGGCAUCUGGAUUAUCCCUAGGAUAUUCCCAUAAUGGAGGGUUACAGACUGUCAUUAUAUGAAAGUCAUUACAAAUCGGGCCCGUAACACACAUCGCCGUCGCGGGGCCUAAUACGACGGGCCGCUUCCCACAUGGACCUCCAGGCUAGGUGAGGACGUGGGAUGACGGGACUUCAUCGUGGCCCUUCGUCUUGCGAUGAGAAGGACGAAGGGUAGCCUGCGCCGGUCAUCUAGCUUCCGUAGGUGCGCAGAGUUGACGAGGGCUUCGAGCGAAGGGUAGUGUCUUUGCCUUCGCCCCAACAUUUGCCCUUCGAGGGACCAGUUCGACUAAGUCAUCUGGUGCCGAAGACGUCGCUAGAUGGUGGAGACGCUGCCCUCGCUCGAAGUGGUUCCGUGGGGGUUUUUGAUGUGACCGUUGAUGAACGUAGUACUGUUGGACUGUGGGUUUCCCGAAGCGUCGCGUACUGAGUAUAAAAAGGUGGGGCAGCGCGGGUCAGGUUCUCUUACCUUUCUAUGUGUCGCGAAACCCUAGCCUCCUUUUGAAACCGUGCACCCGCUCGCCUACCCUCCUUGCUCCUUGAGAGCACCUAGAGGGGGGGGGGUGAAUAGGUGAUCCUGUAAAAGUUCAAAACUUAAGCCACAAAAACUUGUUAAGGGUUAACACAAGUAUGACCAAGUGGCUAGAGAGAACUCAAAACAAGAUAACCACAAGAAAGCAAUCACAGAGUUGACACGGUGGUUAUCCCGUGGUUCGGCCAAGUACAAAACUUGCCUACUCCACGUUGUGGCGUCCCAACGGACGAGAGUUGCACUCAACUCCUCUCAAGUGAUCCAAUGAUCAACUUGAAUACCACGGUGUUUUUCUUUCCUUUGAUCUUUUCCCGUUUGCGAGGAAUCUCCACAACUUGGAGUCUCUCGCCCUUACAAUUGAGUUCACAAAGAAAUACGGAGUAAGGUGGGAAUGAGCAACGCACACAAGACUCGAAAAUCAGAGCAACAACACGCACACAAGUCGCAACAAGAGCUCGCAACGCAACACAAAGAGUUCACAACUCCACAAGAGCUCUAUAUGCUAUCACAAUGAAACGAAUGCGUGAGAUUGAUGUCUUGGUGCUUAGAAGAGUUGUAGGAAUGCUUGGUAUUCUCCUCCAUGCGCCAAGGGGUCCCUUUUAUAGCCCCAAGGCAGCUAGGAGCCGUUGGGAACAAAUCUGGAAGGCCAUCUUUGCCUUCUGUCUCGUGGCGCACCGGACAGUCCGGUGCACACCGGACACUGUCCGGUGCCCGAUUUGUUUCCAUAGAAAGCGAAGCCGACCGUUGCCGACCGUUGCAGAUCUGGCGCACCGGACAGUCCGGUGCACACCGGACAGUCCGGUGCUCCCUUCCGACCGUUGGCUCGGCCACGUGUCGCGCGCCGAUCGCGCGGCCGACCGUUGGCCCGGCCGACCGUUGGCUCACCGGACAGUCCGGUGCACACCGGACAGUCCGGUGAAUUUUAGCCGAAGUCGCCGGAGAAAAACCCGAGAGCGGCUGGUUUGCGCUGCGCUGAUCUGGCGCACCGGACACUGUCCGGUGCACACCGGACAGUCCGGUGCCCCAGCCCGAAGCAGCCUUUGGCUGUACACAGCCACUCUCCACUUCUUUUCUUUUCUUCUUUCUCCUGUUUCUAACACUUAGACAAGAUGUUAGUACACAAAACUAAUGUACUAAGGCUUAGAAACAUACCUUUACUUGUGAUUUACACUUUGUUCAUCCAUGAGCAUAUUUUCACAUUUAGGCCCUUGUGUUUGCACUCAAUCACCAAAAUACUUAGAAAUGGCCCAAGGGCACAUUUCCCUUUCAAUCUCCCCCUUUUUGGUGAUUUAUGCCAACACAACAUAAAGCAAGUGGAACAAGUGCAAAAUCACUUCAAAUAAAAACUCAAAUUGGUUUUGAUUCAAUUUUGGCAUAUAUGGAUCAUCCUUUGCCACCACUUGGUUUGUUUUUGCAAAUCAAACUCAAAUCUCUAUCUAUAAGUCAAACACACAUAUUGAAGCAUAAAGAGAGUCAUUUCAAAAGAAUUUGACCACGGAUUUCAAAAACUCCCCCUUUUUCCCAUAAUCAACACUUCUCCCCACAAGAAGCCAACUUUUGAAAAUAGAGACAAUAAGAGACAAUAAAAGCUUUUGACAAAACAAAAACUCUAUUCUACUAUUUUCAAAAUCUCUCAAGUGGUAGCUGAUCCAUUUAUCACUUUGGCCUUUAUUUUCUCCCCCUUUGGCAUCAAGCACCAAAACGGGAUCAAUCUUGGCCUGUUAACCCCAUUGCCUCACCAAAGUCUUCAAGUAAGAGCAAAUGGCAAUAAGAUUUCAUGAGAUGAACUUGGAAUUAGUUACCCUCUCAUCGGAGUGCAGUGGAAGUCUUUCAUGGUCCAAGUCCACCUUUUCCCUUUCAAUCCUCCUUCGAGACUAAAUUAUCAAACUCAAGCACAUGGUUAGUCUCAAAGGGUCAAGUUGUAACACAUCUCCCCCUACACAUGUGCAUCACUUUGCAACGGACUUGUGAGGUCCAGGGAGUGUUUGUACAACUUGAGCACCAUAAUAAGCAACAUAAUGCAAAAAGGAACAUGAUCAAAAGCAUAACUACAUGUAUGCUACAAUUCAAUCCAGGUUCCGCGAAUCUAAGACAUUUAGCUCACUACGCAACCUGCAAAAGGUCUUCUCAUCUAGAGGCUUAGUGAAGAUAUCGGCUAGCUGGUUCUCGGUGCUAACAUGAAACACUUCGAUAUCUCCCUUUUGCUGGUGGUCUCUCAAAAAGUGAUGCCGGAUGUCUAUGUGCUUUGUGCGGCUGUGUUCAACAGGAUUUUCCGCCAUGCGGAUAGCACUCUCAUUAUCACAUAGGAGUGGGACUUUGCUCAGAUUGUAGCCAAAGUCCCUGAGGGUUUGCCUCAUCCAAAGUAGUUGCGCGCAACACUGUCCUGCGGCAACAUACUCGGCCUCAGCGGUGGAUAGGGCAACGGAAGUUUGUUUCUUAGAGUUCCAUGACACCAGGGACCUUCCUAAGAAUUGGCACGUCCCCGAUGUACUCUUCCUAUCGACCUUACAUCCAGCAUAGUCGGAGUCUGAGUAUCCAACUAAGUCAAAGGUUCCCUUUGGAUACCAGAGCCCGAAGCAAGGCGUAGCAACCAAAUAUCUAAGAAUUCGCUUCACCGCCACUAAGUGACACUCCUUAGGAUCGGAUUGAAAUCUAGCACACAUGCAUACGCUAAGCAUAAUAUCCGGUCUACUAGCACAUAAAUAAAGCAAAGAACCUAUCAUUGACCGGUAUGCUUUUUGAUCAACGGACUUACCUCCUUUGUUGAGGUCGGUGUGUCCGUCGGUCCCCAUCGGAGUCUUUGCGGGCUUGGCGUCCUUCAUCCCAAACCGCUUUAGCAGAUCUUGCGUGUACUUCGUUUGGGAGAUGAAGGUGCCGUCCUUGAGUUGCUUCACUUGGAACCCAAGGAAGUAGUUCAACUCGCCCAUCAUCGACAUCUCGAAUUUCUGCGUCAUCACCCUGCUAAACUCUUCACAAGACUUUUGGUUAGUAGAACCAAAUAUUAUGUCAUCAACAUAAAUUUGGCACACAAACAAAUCACCAUCACAUGUCUUAGUGAAAAGAGUUGGAUCGGCCUUCCCAACCUUGAAAGCAUUAGCAAGUAAAAAGUCUCUAAGGCAUUCAUACCAUGCUCUUGGGGCUUGCUUAAGUCCAUAGAGCGCCUUAGAGAGCUUACACACAUGGUCGGGGUACCGUUCAUCCUCGAAGCCAGGGGGUUGCUCCACGUACACCUCCUCCUUGAUUGGCCCGUUGAGGAAAGCGCUCUUCACAUCCAUUUGGAACAACCUGAAAGAAUGGUGAGCGGCAUAUGCUAGCAAGAUUCGAAUUGACUCUAGCCUAGCCACAGGAGCAAAAGUCUCCUCAAAAUCCAAACCUGCGACUUGGGCAUAACCUUUUGCCACAAGUCGAGCCUUGUUUCUCGUCACCACCCCGUGCUCGUCCUGUUUGUUGCGGAACACCCACUUGGUUCCCACAACAUUUUGCUUCGGACGAGGCACCAGUGUCCAAACUUCAUUGCGCUUGAAAUUGUUUAACUCCUCUUGCAUGGCCAACACCCAGUCCGGAUCUAGCAAGGCCUCUUCUACCCUGAAAGGCUCAAUAGAAGAGACAAAGGAGUAAUGCUCACAAAAAUUAACUAAUCGAGAUCGAGUAGUUACUCCCUUGCUAAUGUCACCCAGAAUUUGGUCGACGGGAUGAUCCCUUUGAAUCAUCGCUCGAACUUGGGUUGGAGGUGCCGGUUGCACUUCUUCCUCCAUCACUUGAUUAUCUUGUGCUCCCCCUUGAUCAAGCGCCUCCACUUGAGGUACCUGUUCGUCAUCUUUGGUUGGGGGAUGCACCAUAGUUGAGGAAGAAGGUUGAUCUCGUUCAUCUUGUUCCUGUGGCCGUACUUCUCCAAUCGCCAUGGUCCGUAUAGCGGCCGUCGGAACAUCUUCUUCAUCUACAUCAUCACAAUCAACAACUUGCUCUCUUGGAGAGCCAUUAGUCUCAUCAAAUACAACGUCGCUAGAGACUUCAACCAAACCCGAUGAUUUGUUGAAGACUCUAUACGCCUUUGUAUUUGAGUCAUAACCUAACAAAAACCCUUCUACAGCUUUGGGAGCAAACUUAGAAUUUCUACCUUUCUUCACUAGAAUGUAGCACUUGCUCCCAAAUACACGAAAGUAAGAUACAUUGGGUUUGUUACCGGUUAGAAGCUCAUACGACGUCUUCUUGAGGAGGCGAUGAAGGUAGACCCUGUUGAUGGCAUGGCAAGCAGUGUUCACGGCUUCCGUCCAAAAGCACUCGGGGGUCUUGAAUUCUCCUAGCAUCGUCCUCGCCAUGUCAAUGAGCGUCCUGUUCUUCCUCUCUACCACACCAUUUUGCUGUGGUGUGUAGGGAGCGGAGAACUCGUGCUUGAUCCCUUCUUCUUCAAGGAACUCCUCCACUUGAAGGUUCUUGAAUUCGGACCCGUUGUCGCUCCUUAUCUUCUUCACUUUGAGCUCAAACUCAUUUUGAGCCCUCCUGAGGAAGCGCUUGAGGGUCCCUUGGGUUUCAGACUUAUCCUGCAAAAAGAACACCCAAGUGAAGCGGGAAAAGUCAUCAACAAUAACUAGACCAUACUUACUUCCCCCUAUGCUUAGAUAGGCGACGGGUCCGAAGAGGUCCAUAUGCAGCAGCUCCAGGGGUCUUGAAGUGGUCAUCACAUUCUUGCUGUGAUGCGCUCCUCCCACCUGUUUCCCUGCUUGACAAGCUGCACAAGGUCUAUCUUUUUCGAAUUGAACAUUGGUUAGACCUAUCACGUGUUCUCCCUUUAGAAGCUUGUGAAGGUUCUUCAUCCCCACAUGUGCUAAGCGGCGAUGCCACAGCCAGCCCAUGCAAGUCUUAGCCAUUAAGCAUGCAUCUAGACCGGCCUCUUCUUUUGCAAAAUCAACUAAAUAAAGUUUGCCGUCUAAUACACCCUUAAAAGCUAGUGAACCAUCACUUCUUCUAAAGACAGACACAUCUAUAUUUGUAAACAGACAGUUAUAUCCCAUAUUGCACAAUUGACUAACAGAUAGUAAAUUAUAUCCUAGUGACUCUACUAAAAACACAUUAGAGAUAGAGUGCUCAUUAGAAAUUGCAAUUUUACCUAACCCUUUUACCUUGCCUUGAUUCCCAUCACCGAAUAUGAUUGAAUCUUGGGAAUCCUUAUUCUUGACGUAGGAGGUGAACAUCUUCUUCUCCCCCGUCAUAUGGUUUGUGCAUCCGCUAUCAAUAAUCCAGCUUGAACCCCCGGAUGCAUAAACCUGCAAGGCAAAUUUAGGCUUGGGUCUUAGGUACCCAACUCAUGUUGGGUCCUACAAGGUUAGUGCAAAUAUCCUUAGGGACCCAAAUGCAAGUUUUGUCUCCCUUGCAUUUUGCCCCUAACUUCCUAGCAACAAUUUUCUUAUCCUUUCUACAAAUAGCAAAGGAAGCAUUUAAAGCAUAAUAAAUUGUGGAAGGUUCAUUCACUACUUUCCUAGGAGCAUGAAUAGCAUUCUUUCUAGACACAUGAUGAAUAGUAUUUCUCUUAGGAACAACAUUUCUCCUAGUAACAUUUCUAUCAUACACAUAAGAGGAACUAGGAGCAAACAUGGCAUGAGAGUCAAAAUCAUCAAAAGCAUUAUAACUCCUAUAAGCAUUUCUAGUUUGUCUCCUAUCAUAAUACAUAAAAGCAUGGUUCUUUUGCACAUUACUAGCCAUAGGGGCCUUCCCUUUCUCCUUGGCGGGAAUGGGAGCCUUAUGGCUUGUUAAGUCCUUAGCUUCUCUCUUGAAGCCAAGUCCAUCCUUAAUUGAGGGGUGUCUACCAAUUGUAUAGGCAUCCCUUGCAAAUUUUAGCUUAUCGAAAUCAUUCUUGCUAGUCUUAAGUUGAGCAUUAAGACUAGCCAGUUCAUCAUUAAGCUUGGAAAUUGAAACUAGGUGUUCACUACAAGCAUUAAUGUCAAAAUCUUUACACCUAGUACAAAUUUCAACAUGUUCUACACAAGAAUUGGAUUUAUUUGCUACUUCUAAUUUAGCAUUUAAAUCAUUGUUGACACCUUUCAAAGUAGAAAUGGUUUCAUGACAAGUAGAUAGUUCAAAAGAAAGCAUUUCAUUUCUUUUAACUUCUAAAGUAUAGGAUUUUUGUGCCUCAACAAAUUUAUCAUGCUCUUCAUACAACAAAUCCUCUUGCUUUUCUAAAAGUAUAUUCUUUUCAUUCAAGGCAUCAAUUAAUUCAUUAAUUUUGUCUAUCUUAGAUCUAUCUAAGCCCUUGAACAAACAUGAAUAAUCUACUUCAUCCUCAUCACUAGAUUCGUCCUCACUUGAAGAAGCAUAGGUAGAGUUGCGAGUACAUACCUUCUUCUCCCUUGCCAUAAGGCAUGUGUGACGCUCGUUGGGGAAGAGGGUUGAUUUGUUGAAGGCGGUGGCGGCGAGUCCUUCAUUGUCGGAGUCGGAUGAGGAGCAAUCCGAGUCCCACUCCUUGCCUAGAUGCGCCUCACCCUUUGCCUUCUUAUAAUGCUUCUUCUUUUCCCUCUUGUUUCCCUUUUCCUGGUCACUUUCAUUAUCAGGACAGUUAGCAAUAAAAUGACCAAGCUUACCGCAUUUGAAGCAUGAUCGCUUCCCCUUGGUCUUAGUCUUGCUCGGCUGUCCAUUGCGACCCUUUAGCACCGUCUUGAAGCGCUUAAUGAUGAGAGCCAUUUCUUCAUCAUUAAGCCCGGCCGCCUCAAUUUGCGCCACCUUGCUUGGUAGUGCCUCCUUGCUCCUCGAUGCCUUGAGAGCAAUGGGUUGAGGCUCGUGGAUUGGACCGUUCAACGCGUCAUCGACGUACCUUGCCUCCUUGAUCAUCAUCCGCCCGCUCACGAAUUUUCCAAGUACUUCUUCGGGCGUCAUCAUCGUGUACCUGGGGUUCUCACGAAUAUUGUUCACGAGAUGAGGAUCAAGAACGGUAAAUGACCUGAGCAUUAGGCGGACGACGUCGUGAUCCGUCCAACGCGUGCUUCCGCAGCUCCUUAUCUUGUUGAUAAGGGUCUUGAGCCGGUUGUAAGUUUGAGUUGGCUCUUCUCCCCUUAUCAUGGCGAAUCGUCCAAGCUCGCCCUCCACCAACUCCAUCUUGGUGAGCAUGGUGAUGUCGUUCCCCUCGUGAGAGAUCUUGAGGGUGUCCCAUAUCUGCUUGGCAUUGUCCAAGCCGCUCACCUUAUUGUACUCUUCCCUGCACAAAGAUGCUAAGAGAACAGUAGUAGCUUGUGCAUUUUUAUGAAUUUGUUCAUUGAUAAACAUAGGGCUAUCCGAGCUAUCAAAUUUCAUUCCAUUCUCUACAAUCUCCCAUAUGCUUGGAUGGAGAGAGAAUAAAUGACUACGCAUUUUGUGACUCCAAAAUCCGUAGUCCUCCCCAUCAAAAUGUGGAGGUUUACCAAGAGGAAUGGAAAGCAAAUGCGAAUUCGAACUAUGUGGAAUACGAGAAUAAUCAAAUGAAAAGUUCGAAUUAACCGGUUUCCUUUGUUUGUCGUGGUCGUCGUUCUUUUGAGAAGAAGAGGACUCAUCGCUGUCGUAGUAGACGAUCUCCUUGAUGCGUCUUGUCUUCUUCUUCUUCCCAUCUCUUCGCUUGUGGCCCGAGCCCGAGUCAUUGGACUUGUCAUCCCUUGGCUCGUUGACGAAGGACUCCUUCUCCUUGUCGUUGAUCACAAUUCCCUUCCCCUUAGGAUCCAUCUCUUCGGGCGGUUAGUCCCUUUCUUGAAGAGAACGGCUCCGAUACCAAUUGAGAGCACCUAGAGGGGGGGGGGUGAAUAGGUGAUCCUGUAAAAGUUCAAAACUUAAGCCACAAAAACUUGUUAAGGGUUAACACAAGUAUGACCAAGUGGCUAGAGAGAACUCAAAACAAGAUAACCACAAGAAAGCAAUCACAGAGUUGACACGGUGGUUAUCCCGUGGUUCGGCCAAGUACAAAACUUGCCUACUCCACGUUGUGGCGUCCCAACGGACGAGAGUUGCACUCAACUCCUCUCAAGUGAUCCAAUGAUCAACUUGAAUACCACGGUGUUUUUCUUUCCUUUGAUCUUUUCCCGUUUGCGAGGAAUCUCCACAACUUGGAGUCUCUCGCCCUUACAAUUGAGUUCACAAAGAAAUACGGAGUAAGGUGGGAAUGAGCAACGCACACAAGACUCGAAAAUCAGAGCAACAACACGCACACAAGUCGCAACAAGAGCUCGCAACGCAACACAAAGAGUUCACAACUCCACAAGAGCUCUAUAUGCUAUCACAAUGAAACGAAUGCGUGAGAUUGAUGUCUUGGUGCUUAGAAGAGUUGUAGGAAUGCUUGGUAUUCUCCUCCAUGCGCCAAGGGGUCCCUUUUAUAGCCCCAAGGCAGCUAGGAGCCGUUGGGAACAAAUCUGGAAGGCCAUCUUUGCCUUCUGUCUCGUGGCGCACCGGACAGUCCGGUGCACACCGGACACUGUCCGGUGCCCGAUUUGUUUCCAUAGAAAGCGAAGCCGACCGUUACCGACCGUUGCAGAUCUGGCGCACCGGACAGUCCGGUGCACACCGGACAGUCCGGUGCUCCCUUCCGACCGUUGGCUCGGCCACGUGUCGCGCGCCGAUCGCGCGGCCGACCGUUGGCCCGGCCGACCGUUGGCUCACCGGACAGUCCGGUGCACACCGGACAGUCCGGUGAAUUUUAGCCGAAGUCGCCGGAGAAAAACCCGAGAGCGGCUGGUUUGCGGUGCGCUGAUCUGGCGCACCGGACACUGUCCGGUGCACACCGGACAGUCCGGUGCCCCAGCCCGAAGCAGCCUUUGGCUGUACACAGCCACUCUCCACUUCUUUUCUUUUCUUCUUUCUCCUGUUUCUAACACUUAGACAAGAUGUUAGUACACAAAACUAAUGUACUAAGGCUUAGAAACAUACCUUUACUUGUGAUUUACACUUUGUUCAUCCAUGAGCAUAUUUUCACAUUUAGGCCCUUGUGUUUGCACUCAAUCACCAAAAUACUUAGAAAUGGCCCAAGGGCACAUUUCCCUUUCACUCCUGCUCGUCGGAGAUCUGGCCCGCGUCAAGCAAACCGCGCGCCGCCGCCGAUGGUACGUAGCCAUGUCGUCUUCUUCCUCGUCUGCUGCGAACACGCCGUCGGCCGAUUCAUCUUCCGAGGAAACCUUGAUCAAUGUGGCAGCGACGGAGCUACAACCGGGCGAUACGCUGGAGUUUGGCGUUUCGAGGAUUUCCUCGGUUCGCGUGCAGGAUAUGUAGUAGCUGGGUUAUUUUGGCAGCAGAGUUGGGCAUGUCCCGGGGGCAGAGGAGGUGAAAGGGAAAUGUGCCAUUGGGCCAUUUCUAAGUAUUUUGGUGAUUGAGUGCCAACGCAAGUGCUUUUGUGUUGAUCUAUGCAAUGUGGUGAACAAAGUACAAAUCAAGUAUAAAGGUAUGUUUCUCAGACUUAGUACAUUGUUUUAGUGACUAAUGUAUUGUGUCUAAGUGCUGGAAACAGGAGAAAUCGAAUUGGAGAAGAGAUGGCCUUGUUCAGCCAAAGCCAGCUCUGUCUGGGUGCACCGGACUGUCCGGUGGUGCACCGGACAGUGUCCGAUGUGCCAGGCUGGCUCAGGCGAACUUGCCGCUCUCGGGAAUAAGUUAACGGUGUACGACUAUAAUUCACCGGACUGUCCGGUGAGCCAACGGUUGGCCGGUCCAACGGUCGGCCGCGCGAUCUGCGCGGGACACGUGGCCGAGCCAACGGCUAGAAGGAGGCACCGGACUGUCCGGUGUGCACCGGACAGUGUCCGGUGCGCCAACGGCUCUCUAACCCCAACGGUCGGCUUCGCCAAAUAAGGAAGGAUAUCCGCACCGGACAGUGUCCGGUGGUACACCGGACUGUCCGGUGCGCCAGGCGACAGAAGGCAAGAUCAGCCUUCCUGGAAUGUUCUCAACGGCUCCUAGCUACCUUGGGGCUAUAAAAGGGACCCCUAGGCGCAUGGAGGAGUACCACAAGCAUACUCAAAGCAUUCCUAAGCACCAAGACUUCGAUUCCACGCAUUUGUUUCUUCGUGAUAGCAUCUAGAGCUCUUGUUGAGUUGUGAACUCGUCGGUGUUACACCAUAAUAGCCAUCAAUUAAAAAUAAUGAAUUUAGUUAUUAUUAAUUAGGGUAAUAAUUUUUUUAAGUGUUUAAUUGUUUAUUUGCAUUUUUAUCAUUUUCAUUGCAUGUGCUUGAUUGCUUAUUGGAAUGUUUAUUAUCAACUCUUUUUAAAGAAAAUCCUAGCAAAUAAUAUAAUAAUUAUUAGUCUAAAAACAAGUAUUUUAUUUAUAAAUAAUUUUGGUGAAUUUCUCGGAAUUUUCGAGCUCUUUAAAAAUACAUUUCACAAUAAAAAAAAAACAAAUCCUACACUAAACCGGCCCACUAGGGGCCCAUUACCCCAAACCCUAUCCUCUAACGCGCGCGCGCCAGCAGAAGCCGCCGCCGCCAGCCUCUACUACUCCCUCUCCUAUCUCUCUUCUCUCUCUCCUCCACGUUCUCUCUGCACGCCGCCGCUCCCUGCCACGCUGCAGCACUCGCCCGGCCCUGCACCGGCGCCCUGCGCAAGCCGCGCCGAGCGCGCAGCCGCCUAGGCCGACCGGCCAACCCGCGCGCUGCCCUGGUGCGCGACGCCUGCGCUCCCUGCGCGCGCCUACGCCGCACGCCCAGCAGCGACGCCCGAGCAGACCCGAAGCCGCCGCGCCCGAAGCCGAAUCGCCCGAGCCCCACGCACCGCGACGCCCGACCGACCCUGCGCGAACCCCAACGGUCCCUCUGCACCGCGACCUCGCUGCCUAGAAGUCGAGCAGCCGCGCAGUCCGCGCCCCAUUGAAGUCAUAGCUGCCGUUACUGCCGUUUCUUCUUUCUGUGCCUCAUUCCUUCCUCCAUUAGUGGUGUUUACAACUCCUGUUCGUGUCGUGCAGAAACGGUUCAUCUUGUGGCCAUCACGGAGCUUUAAACAAGAUUUAAACUCUCUUUUCCGUCAGCCUAUAAAGCUAGAGACGUCCUGCUUCCUUCUUCCCCAAUAGCUCGGCUCUGCACUUCGUCUCGCUCAAUCGUCCUUAGGCUAUAGCCACUGCACCUUGUUAUCGUCGGAGCUUCACCCGCUCGGACACGCCGUCGUUUGCUGUCUACGCUCGUCGGAGUUCACCGGAGUCGCAGUUCGUCGCAGGAGCCACGCACUCGCCGUCCGUAGUCGAGCCCCGCACUCCGUCCGGCCGAAACCCGUCGAUCCGUGAAGCGUCCCGAUCCUUUGGGACUCAAAUGUGAAAGAAUUACUAGUCCCAGGAGGCUAGUAAACACAUUCCUUACUUCAAAUAGUACAGAGUUUAGAUAAAGUUAUUACAAUACCGGGGUACAAGCUCGAGAGAGCCAAAUAGAGAAGCGCAGUAGGAAAAUACACUAGCCCAAGCCACAGGCAGAACUGGGUGUAGACACAGCCCUCCUAAUCAAGCAUAGCAGAAAAGAAGUCCUCGGCUGCUGAAAAACAUAAAUAAAUCUGGGUGAAUACACUAGGUAUUCCGCAAGCCCACCCCGCUCCCGUAGAGAGAAAGUGACCUAUGAUGUACAUGCUCAAUUUGGUGGAGUUGUAGUCACUCAUCAUUUUCUUAGAGAGAGGCAGUUGCUUGAAGGUUUUCCCAUGGUAUUACCAGUAACCAAAAACUCAACCACCACGGAGCUUCCCGCUCCCGUGGCUUUAUUUUCUUUUUCAAAACCCAUUUAAACACACCUUUUCCUUGUUAAGAAAUUUAGAGAAAAAGCUCUAAUUGCCAUACCAUACCAGACUCAUCCAUACCAGUGGAUACGGACUAUUCGAAUAGGUUUCAACUCUGCGCAGAGGUGUACACUUUACCCACUAGUCCGGUUUCUGCGAUCUCACCGUCGCGAGACCCCAAUGCCGGAUCUCUUUCCUUACUCGUGCAUCCUAACCUUAACGGUUAUCCCGAAGGAGUCAGGCCACCACCAUGCCCAAACCGGACAAAACUUUCCCCCUCCUUAUCCUCCCGGUGCUCCCCAGCCUACUUAACCCUGAGGUUGGACCGCACGAGUUCGGAUUGAGUGACUGCCCACACAGUCUCGAGUGGUUGUACGUCAAAGGAGUACAGGCAGUGAAAAUGACAAACCGGUCCUUAUAUGAGGGGACAAUCCUUCUGCUCACGCCUAAACCAGCUGAGCCAACACCUUAGGCCCUCCCCUAAACCAGGGAGUCCCUGAUCAUCCCACUCCCAGGGUGAUGAGGGUGAGUACCCUUCAUCGCAAAACUUUUCAAGAAGAGACUUUAUUAGGGGAAAACACAUUGCCAUUCUUUCCAAACCACAUUACGUAUCCAGAAAGUAUAUAUUAAUGCGGGCCAUCUCUCACUCCCAAUGCAAUAUUCCCCCGUGAUUCCCGGCCUAGGCAGUGGUAGAGAGAAUAGGUAAUUUAUGCAUCAAGGGAAGGGUGGACUUGCCUUCGUCGAAGCUUUCCUGGCACAGAAGACCUACUUCCGGAAGUUCGGGCUCUGGUCCCUCUUCCGGGGCUACGGGAUCCGGAUUUGCGGUUCCCUCUUCUUCUAGGAAACAUACAGUAAAACAAUACAUCAACAGUAGUUUAACAAUCAUAGUGUGCCAUUUUCUAACAACAUUAUUUUAUGUGUCCUUGGAAAUCCUUUUUGAUAAUAUUUUGUGCAUAAAAUAUUGAGAAAACUAUUUAAAUGGGAAAAAGGGGUGGAAAAGAAAAAGAGAAGGGAAUUCCUCUUAUCUGGGCUGGGGGCAUGAAUUUUGGCCCAUCCCGGGCGCGAGCGCGCGCUGAGGCGCUUUUGGCCCAGCGGCGGCCCACGAGGGGGGGGGGGGAGAGAACGGCGCGGCCGUGGGGGGGGGGGGUGACGGCGUCGCAUAGGGCCCACUUGCCAGCGAGAGGGGGGGGGGAGAAGGGACGGCGUUACGGUUGACGGGGGGGGGGGGGGGGGGGGGUGAACCGGCCGUCCGCGGGGAGGACUCGGCCGCCGGUGGCCCGGCUCUUGGGCAAUGUGCAGGUGUCUUAGCAUGGGGAGGGGAUGGCGGACCUAGAGGUGGGCUCAACUUGGUCAGAGGAGGUCGGGAGGGGGCUGUCCGCGGGGAGGUGGCGGAGCUUCGCGGCGGGGUUGCCGUCGGUGAGCUCUGGGCGAGCAAUCGGGGUGGGGGAGUGGUGUAUUGCGUUUGCGGCAAGGUGAGGAAGCUGCUAGGCCAACUUAAUCGCUCGCUGGUCCAACAGAGAGGGAGAGAGAAGAGGGGGAGGGACUCACCAGAGAGGGGGAAGACGGCGGGGCUUCAUGAAUUGGGCUCGGGCGAGGGGAGGAGGGUAGUGGUCGAGGCCGGUGCGAGGAAGAAGGAGCUCGGGGCGAGCUUUUUAUAGGCGCGCGGGGGCAAGGGGAGCGGUGAAGCUCCCUGACUCCGGCGAGCUUCCCGGUGCCGCCAUUAAUGGCGCACAGCGCCGCCGAGGGGACGCUACGGCGGGGCGGUACUGGCGAGGACGCUGGUCAAGGGGAGGAGGACGGAGCGGUGCCAAACUUUCCUGUGCGGCGAGGAGACGGCGGUGAAGAGACGGCGGUGAAGGGACGGCGGUGAAGGGAUGGCGGGGCGUCGUAUGCGGGGAGGACGACGAAGCGGCUGACCGGUGGGGCCGGUCUGCCAGUGGGAGUGAGCGCGCGAGAGAGAGCGACUGGCAGGUGGGGUCGGGGAGGCAGGCCGGGAGUGGGCCGAGAGAGGAGCGCGGGCGUGAGAGGGGGGGGGGAGAGUCGCGGGUGUUGGGCCGGGAUUCGGUCCAACAGGGCAGGGAGAGGGUUUUUCCUUUUUCUUUUUACUUUUCAAACCCCAUUUCCCUUUUUGCCUUUUCUUCUUUUGAAUAAAAUAUUUUGUGAAUAUUCUAAGUGUUUAGAAAAUAGAAUCUAAGUGAGGUGCUUUGUGAUCAAACAAAAUGUAUGCAUAUGGUGAAGGAAAAUUUAGUGGAGGACUUUAGAAUUAGAGGAUGGAGGGAGGGGUAAAAGGUGGAUUAGGGUUUCAAACCUAGAUUAGGAUUUUUGGGAUGCUACAAACCUACCCCACUUAAAGGAAUCUCGCCCUUGAGAUUCAGACGGGGCUCGAGAAAAGGUAAGGGUAUUCCUUCCUCAGAGAGUCCUCACUUUCCCAGGUGGCUUCCUCUUCUCCAUCUCUGCUCCACUGAACCUUACAGAGCUUCACUUCUGAAUUGCGGGUCCUUCUGACUGCUGAGUCGAGAAUCUUCACUGGCUUUUCCCGGUACUGGAGAUCCUUUCGAAUCUGAAUUGCUUCUGCCUCGAUACGGGUUUCUGGUACUUUUAGGCAUUUGCGGAGUUGAGACACAUGGAACACAUUGUGAAUAUCUGACAUGGAUUCUGGUAGCUCAAGACGGUAUGCCACAGGUCCUAUUCGGGAAAUGACAGGGUAAGGACCGACGAAACGGGGUGCUAGCUUUCCUUUCAUCUGGAACCUUUUGACACCGUGCAUUGGGGAAACCUUGAGAUAAACAAAAUCUCCUUCCUCAAAUCUGAGUUCCCUUCGCCUAUUGUCUGCGUAACUCUUCUGUCGACUCUGAGCUUCAAGUAACCUUCUGCGGAUCAAAGCAACUUUUUCUUCGGCUUCUUUAACAAAGUCGGGUCCUUCUAGUGUUCUUUCCCCUACAUUGGACCACAUUAGGGGAGUCUGGCAUUUUCUUCCAUACAGUGCUUCGAAUGGUGACAUUUUGAUGCUGGCCUGAUGGCUGUUGUUGUAUGAGAAUUCGGCGUACGGUAUCUAGACUCCCAAUCUCUGUCGAAGGCUAAUACGCAGGCUCUGAGUAAAUCUUCAAGGACCUUGUUGACUCUCUCUGUUUGACCAUCUGACUGGGGGUGAUAAGCAGUGCUGAAAUCUAACUUGGUGCCCAUUGCUUGCUGAAGGCCCUUCCAAAAUUUUGAAGUGAACUGCGUUCCUCUAUCUGAUACUAUCUUCGUGGAAUGCCAUGUAGCCUGACUAUCUCUUUAAGGUAUAAUCGGGCGAGGGCUGCUCCUCCAAAGGUGGUCUUUACUGGAAUGAAAUGGGCCACCUUGGUGAGACGAUCGAUUAUUACCCAUAUGGAAUCAUUUCCCCUUUGGGAUCUGGGUAGUCCGGUGACGAAAUCCAUGCCUAUUUCUUCCCACUUCCAUUCGGGUAUUGGGAGGGGUUGAAGUAGGCCUGCAGGUUUCUGAUGUUCGGCCUUUGUUCGCUGACAGGUGUCACAUCGGGCCACAUACUGUGCUAUUUCCCUCUUCAUUCCUUUCCACCAAUAUCUGGCCUUGAGGUCUAGGUACAUCUUGGUGGUUCCUGGGUGGAUAGAGUAAGCUGAGUUGUGGGCUUCAUCGAGCAGGGUUUCUCGUGCUUCUCCCACUGGCACGCACAGGCGGUCCUUGAACCAGAGGGUUCCUUGCUCAUCUGUCCUGAGGUCUGCUAGUUGCUCCUUUCGUGCUCUUUCCAUAAGCUUGGUUGUUUCUGCGUCCAGGCGUUGGGCCUUGCGUAUGAGAUCGUCUAGAUUUGGCUUGACUUCCAGGCCACCGUUGUCUCCCAGACAUGCAUUUAGCUGAGCUGAUUCUUUCUUCCAAUCUUCCAGAAAGUUUGCUCCCUUAACCCCGAAGGGUUUUCUGCUGAGGGCGUCUGCUACCACGUUGGCCUUUCCGGGGUGGUAGUGGAUUUCAAGGUCAUAAUCUUUGAUCAAUUCGAGCCACCUUCUUUGACGGAGGUUGAGGUCCGGUUGCGUGAAGAUGUACUUUAGACUCUUGUGAUCAGUGAAGAUGUGGCAUUUGUUUCCAAUCAGAUAAUGCCUCCAAAUUUUUAGGGCGUGCACUAUGGCUGCCAAUUCCAGAUCGUGGGUAGGAUAGUUCUGCUCGUGCGGCUUGAGCAAUCGGGAUGCAUAAGCAAUGACUCUCUCAUUUUGCAUUAAGACACACCCUAAGCCUUGCUUGGAAGCAUCACAAAAGACGACGAAAUCCUGGUGUAUGUCUGGUAGGGUCAGGACUGGUGCAGUUGUAAGUUUCUCCUUGAUGAUUUGGAAGCUUCCUUCACAUUUGGGAGUCCAUACAAACUUAUUGUCCUUUUUGAGAAGUUCCGUCAUGGGCUUUGCUAUGCUGGAGAAUCCCUUGAUAAAGCGGCGAUAAUACCCUGCCAUUCCCAGAAAGCUUCGGACUUCACUGACGUUGGAUGGUUGCUUCCAAUUUGAAACAGCUUCUACCUUAGAUGGGUCCACUUCUAUCCCUUCAGCAGUCAAGAUAUGCCCUAGGAAGGCUAUCUUCUCUAACCAGAACUCACACUUGCUGAGCUUAGCAUAAAGUUGAUGUGCCCUGAGUCUUCCGAGGACGGUUCGAAGGUGCUGCUCAUGGUCCUUGCGACUCUUGGAAUAGAUGAGGAUGUCGUCGAUAAAAACCACGACAAACUUAUCCAAUUCUUCCAUAAAUACCUUAUUCAUGAGGUUCAUGAAAAAGGCGGGUGCGUUUGUUAGUCCAAAUGGCAUCACUGUGAAUUCAUAUUGCCCGUAUCUGGUGACGAAUGCAGUUUUCUGAAUGUCUGCUUCCUUAAUCCUGAGUUGGUGAUACCCUGACCUGAGAUCUAUCUUGGAGAAGUACUUGGCUCCUUGCAGUUGGUCGAAUAGGUCAUCGAUCCGGGGAAGAGGGUACUUAUUCUUGAUUGUAACUUCGUUCAAGGAUCGAUAAUCAAUACACAUCCUCAUGCUCCCAUCCUUUUUGGUAACGAAAAGAACGGGUGCUCCCCAGGGAGACGAACUGGGACGGAUGUACCCUUUUUGUUGUAGUUCCGAAAUCUGAAGUUUCAAUUCUGCCAACUCAGUGGGGGCCAUGCGGUAUGGUCUCUUUGCGAUGGGUGCGGUGCCGGGAAUGAGAUCUAUAUAGAACUCUACUUCUCUUUCUGGUGGCAUCCCGGGCAACUCUUCUGGAAAUACAUCUUCAAAUUCCUUGAUUACAGACAUGCUUUCUACUGCCAGAUUAAAUAUCAUUGGGUCAUUUGCGGGCGGUUGGGCUUGACAGGAAACUGCCUUUCCUUGGUGAUCUAUGAGAAGAACAGUCUUGCUUGCGCAGCUGAUAACACCUUUGUGCUUAGCUAGCCAAUCCAUUCCUAGGAUUACAUCAAUUCCUUGGGAUGGCAAGAUGGUUAAGUCUGCCAGGAACACUACCCCACUUAAAAGAAUUCUGACCUGGGAACACCUGAGUUUGCACAGGAGGUCUGAUCCCGGGGUUCGGGUGACCAAGGGGAUAGAUAGAGGUGUAGAUGGUAUGCCAUGCUUUUCCACAAACUUAGCGGCUAUAAAUGAAUGGGAUGCUCUCGAAUCAAAAAGCACAGAAGCGGGAGUAAAUUCAACUAGGAACUCACCGAGCACUACUCCCGGGGCUUGCUGGGCUUCCUGGGCGUCGACGUGGUUGACCCGGGCCCUGCCCUGGUACUUAGCCCUGCUCUGCUGGCUGCUGGAAGGAAACGCCUUGGGGGUAGGUGCUGAUGGAAUCUUGGGGCCAUUCACCGAGUUGGAGUAGGUUGGUCCUGGUGCCUUCAACUGGGGGCAGUUGUUCUUGAAGUGGCUGGGGUCCCCACAGUGCCAACAGGCGUUUGCUGGCGGCUGGUUGCUUGCAACGGAGGGUGCCUGAUGGGAGCUCUGACUCUGCUGACUAUAGCGCGAUGGAGAGGGUCCAGAUUGCUUGUUGAAGCUUGGACCCCUGGGUGGAAGCCCAAAGGGUCGAGCUCUCUGGUGACGCUCUUGCUGUUGAGCCCGGAGAACUUGGAAUUUCCUCUUGAGGUGCCCCUUCUCUUCCUCUUUUGCCCUUUCCACCUGGAUAGCCUUGUUGGAGAGGUGAGAGAAGCUGUGGAAGUCUUGGCUGGCGAGGAUGGUCUUAAGCUCGGGUCUUAACCCUCUCAGAAAACGAGCCAUCUUUCUGGCCUCGGUGCUGACAUCCUCGGGCGCGUAGCGGGCCAACUCUGUGAACUUGUGCACAUAUUCACUGACUGUUCUUCCGCCUUGGGUUAGCUCCCGGAACUCAUCCUCCUUAAGUUGAACUAUCCCCUGGGGUACGUGGUGCUCACGGAAGGCUGCUUCAAAUUCUGCCCAUGUGGCGUCUCUGAUGGCUUCACUGAAAGUGUCCCACCAUGCUAAAGCCAUUCCUGAAAGCUGAUGAGCUGCCAGCUGAAUACGCUGAUUCUCAGGACAAGCGAUGGCUUCCAGCUUCCUCUUGAUUGUGCGAAGCCAGUCAUCUGCAUCGAGGGGAUUGCUGGACCCCGCGAACGUGCGCGGCUUCAGUCUCAGGAAUUCUCCCAUCCUGUCCUGGGGCCUUCCACCGCCUGGGCGCUGGUUCUCCAGACUUCGAGUGAGGACUUCAAUGAGUCUGGUUUGAUUGGCCAGAACUUGGGCUAGAUCUAGUGGUAGUUCUGGAGGUGCGGGGAGGUGGGUCUCACUCCCUUCUCCGCCAGCCUCUCCUUCAGCUCCUAGAGGAAGUCUUGCUCCAAUCCCGGAGGCGGUAGGCGUGGUUCUAUCCGAAGCCAUCUGCCAUGGGAAGAGAGUCGCUAUUAUGCACAUGCCAUUUUUUUAACUAGUUAUUUUAUUCAUUACAUCAAGCCAUUACAUUACAUAGCACACCACUACCACAAGCUUAUUACACACGAGUGCUACCUAGGGUACCCCCGAACUCUUUCUCUAAAGUAUCCCCGAACUCCUUGAGAAGGUCAUCAAGGCUGGCCAGGGACAUGUCCUCGGGGUCGGACUGGUUCCUGGGAGGGUUCUCUUCCUACUGCUCAGUCUGACAUCCUUGGCUUUUGGUCUUCUUGCGAAUUUUCCUUGCGGGGGCGAGCUUCUUCAGUUUGUCGUAGUCCAUUUUGAGGGUGCGGUAAGCUUCACGGGUGUUGGUCUCUUCGCCUUCAGCUAACGAGAGGCUCUCUUGGAGGGACGCUUUUUCUUCUGAAAGUUCCCUGACUUUCUGCUCCAGGCUUUCCACCCGGGAGGUUAGGGAAGUGCAGUGGAGGGCGAGGUCAUCAUAUUGGUUAUCAAGGGUAUGAAGGUAUCCAGCCAUGUAGACAAUGGUGGGAUCAUUCUCAAUAGGAUCUCCUCCUGAUAGGGCCUGAAGUCUUUUCCUCCAGGUGGGGGUAUUCUUGUUGCUGGGUGGAAAGUAGCGAAGGGGGGUUUCAAUGAUUACUUUGUUGUAGUUCUGACAUAGCUGUCAGAGGGCUUUUCGGGUUUGGCAAGCAUCUAGGAAAUGGGCUCCGGUAAAAGUGACUUGGAAGGAACGUUGGUUGGGAUAGCUUUGGCUUUCCCCCAGGUAGACUGCCAUAGAGCAUCUUAUCAUUCCGCCCUCUAAAUGUUCCGUCCAGACGUAUUCCGGCUUCUUGCGGAUUCCCAUGCGGAGCGCACAACUUCGUAAGAGGCGUGGGAACCCUUCCACUUCUGAGCAGUAGGAUGACUUAAUGGCCAGAGAGUCUUCCAUCUGGAAUAGGAAAAGAAGGGUCUUGUUAAAACCGGGGAAGGGAAGAGAAAACUUUUCUUGAGGUAAGAGGUAUUUUCUUUUUAAGGUAGGUUCUAGGGUCAGGGCUGCGACCUACGGCCAGUCCUAUGGGCUCUGAUACCACCUGAAGCGUCCCGAUCCUUUGGGACUCAAAUGUGAAAGAAUUACUAGUCCCAGGAGGCUAGUAAACACAUUCCUUACUUCAAAUAGUACAGAGUUUAGAUAAAGUUAUUACAAUACCGGGGUACAAGCUCGAGAGAGCCAAAUAGAGAAGCGCAGUAGGAAAAUACACUAGCCCAAGCCACAGGCAGAACUGGGUGCAGACACAGCCCUCCUAAUCAAGCAUAGCAGAAAAGAAGUCCUCGGCUGCUGAAAAACAUAAAUAAAUAUGGGUGAAUACACUAGGUAUUCCGCAAGCCCACCCCCCUCCCGUAGAGAGAAAGUGACCUAUGAUGUACAUGCUCAAUUUGGUGGAGUUGUAGUCACUCAUCAUUUUCUUAGAGAGAGGCAGUUGCUUGAAGGUUUUCCCAUGGUAUUACCAGUAACCAAAAACUCAACCACCACGGAGCUUCCCGCUCCUGUGGCUUUAAUUUCUUUUUCAAAACCCAUUUAAACACACCUUUUCCUUGUUAAGAAAUUUAGAGAAAAAGCUCUAAUUGCCAUACCAUACCAGACUCAUCCAUACCAGUGGAUACGGACUAUUCGAAUAGGUUUCAACUCUGCGCAGAGGUGUACACUUUACCCACUAGUCCGGUUUCUGCGAUCUCACCGUCGCGAGACCCGAAUGCCGGAUCUCUUUCCUUACUCGUGCAUCCUAACCUUAACGGUUAUCCGGAAGGAGUCAGGCCACCACCAUGCCCAAACCGGACAAAACUUUCCCCCUCCUUAUCCUCCCGGUGCUCCCCAGCCUACUUAACCCUGGGGUUGGACCGCACGAGUUCGGAUUGAGUGACUGCCCACACAGUCUCGAGUGGUUGUACGUCAAAGGAGUACAGGCAGUGAAAAUGACAAACCGGUCCUUAUAUGAGGGGACAAUCCUUCUGCUCACGCCUAAACCAGCUGAGCCAACACCUUAGGCCCUCCCCUAAACCAGGGAGUCCCUGAUCAUCCCACUCCCAGGGUGAUGAGGGUGAGUACCCUUCAUCGCAAAACUUUUCAAGAAGAGACUUUAUUAGGGGAAAACACAUUGCCAUUCUUUCCAAACCACAUUACGUAUCCAGAAAGUAUAUAUUAAUGCGGGCCAUCUCUCACUCCCAAUGCAAUAUUCCCCCGUGAUUCCCGGCCUAGGCAGUGGUAGAGAGAAUAGGUAAUUUAUGCAUCAAGGGAAGGGUGGACUUGCCUUCGUCGAAGCUUUCCUGGCACAGAAGACCUACUUCCGGAAGUUCGGGCUCUGGUCCCUCUUCCGGGGCUACGGGAUCCGGAUUUGCGGUUCCCUCUUCUUCUAGGAAACAUACAGUAAAACAAUACAUCAACAGUAGUUUAACAAUCAUAGUGUGCCAUUUUCUAACAACAUUAUUUUAUGUGUCCUUGGAAAUCCUUUUUGAUAAUAUUUUGUGCAUAAAAUAUUGAGAAAACUAUUUAAAUGGGAAAAAGGGGUGGAAAAGAAAAAGAGAAGGGAAUUCCUCUUAUCUGGGCUGGGGGCAUGAAUUUUGGCCCAUCCCGGGCGCGAGCGCGCGCUGAGGCGCUUUUGGCCCAGCGGCGGCCCACGAGGGGGGGAGAGAACGGCGCGGCCGUGGGGGGGGGGGUGACGGCGUCGCAUAGGGCCCACUUGCCAGCGAGAGGGGGGGGGGGGAGAAGGGACGGCGUUACGGUUGACGGGGGGGGGGGGGGGGGGUGAACCGGCCGUCCGCGGGGAGGACUCGGCCGCCGGUGGGCUCGGUGGCGGUUCGCCGCCGGUGGCCCGGCUCUUGGGCAAUGUGCAGGUGUCUUAGCAUGGGGAGGGGAUGGCGGACCUAGAGGUGGGCUGAAUUUGGUCAGAGGAGGUCGGGAGGGGGCUGUCCGCGGGGAGGUGGCGGAGCUUCGCGGCGGGGUUGCCGUCGGUGAGCUCUGGGCGAGCAAUCGGGGUGGGGGAGUGGUGUAUUGCGUUUGCGACAAGGUGAGGAAGCUGCUAGGCCAACUUAAUCGCUCGCUGGUCCAACAGAGAGGGAGAGAGAAGAGGGGGAGGGACUCACCGGAGAGGGGGAAGACGGUGGGGCUUCGCGAAUUGGGCUCGGGCGAGGGGAGGAGGGUAGUGGUCGAGGCCGGUGCGAGGAAGAAGGAGCUCGGGGCGAGCUUUUUAUAGGCGCGCGGGGGCAAGGGGAGCGGUGGAGCUCCCUGACUCCGGCGAGCUUCCCGGUGCCGCCAUUAAUGGCGCACAGCGCCGCCGAGGGGACGCUACGGCGGGGCGGUACUGGCGAGGACGCUGGUCAAGGGGAGGAGGACGGAGCGGUGCCAAACUUUCCUGUGCGGCGAGGAGACGACAGUGAAGAGACGGCGGGGAAGGGACGGUGGUGAAGGGAUAGCGGGGCGUCGUAUGCGGGGAGGACGACGAAGCGGCUGACCGGUGGGGCCGGUCUGCCAGUGGGAGUGAGCGCGCGAGAGAGAGCGACUGGCAGGUGGGGUCGGCUUGUCAGCGAGAGAGAGAGGGAGUGCGGAGCGGGCUGGCGCGCGCGCGGAGGCAGGCCGGGAGUGGGCCGAGAGAGGAGCGCGGGCGUGAGAGGGGGGGAGAGUCGCGGGUGUUGGGCCGGGAUUCGGUCCAACAGGGCAGGGAGAGGGUUUUUCCUUUUUCUUUUUACUUUUCAAACCCCAUUUCCCUUUUUGCCUUUUCUUCUUUUGAAUAAAAUAUUUUGUGAAUAUUCUAAGUGUUUAGAAAAUAGAAUCUAAGUGAGGUGCUUUGUGAUCAAACAAAAUGUAUGCAUAUGGUGAAGGAAAAUUUAGUGGAGGACUUUAGAAUUAGAGGAUGGAGGGAGGGGUAAAAGGUGGAUUAGGGUUUCAAACCUAGAUUAGGAUUUUUGGGAUGCUACAAUCCGUCCCCGUCACACGCACGAACCCGAGGUUGUUGGCGACCCAAAUUUAUUUUAUGUAUUUUAUAAAGUGCUUUUGAUUCGAUUCAUGUGUUGUAUAGUUUGUUUGUUGUAUGAACACAUGUGAGUCGCGACAUUAUGUAUGGGUGUAUGAGCGUUAUGGAAUUGUUUGGUAGUUUCAAGCGAUUAUUCGUACACCUUGUUAUUUCAUGUUAAUCGAUGCGCUGAAUUUUGGUUUAGAGAAAUAUGACGUAGAUUUAAUAGUCACACGUCGGUGAUAAAAAUACUAGAUAAGAAUUUAUAGUUAAAAUUGGUCGCGAUAAAUUUUUGAAACUAAUUGGAGAAUUAUAGGUGCAUUUUUGAUGGAUUAGAAAAAUGGUAUAGAACUCAUGUCAUAUGAAUAAAAUAGGAUUGUUAGAUGAUUUAUCCGAUUAUUUAAUUAAUAUCUUCUUUUGGAAAGAAAAGAGAAAAUAUCGUUGGUAGAUGGCAAAAUAGGGUUUUGCUAGUCAAAUAAACAUGUUCACAGAUUUAGAACUUAAAAUUGUUAGAGUACUAGUUUAUGUCAAAUAACCCGCUUGUGUUAGAAAAUGUUCAAUUAGUAGUUUAUGUAGAUUUUAGAAUAUUAAUAUUAUUAGAUUCAUUUUUGGUCAUACUAACUAAUUUGUGUUAAAAGUAAUAAUAGGUAUUAAUUUAUUUAUUAGUAUUAAAAGAUAAUAAGUAUUAUUUAAUUUCAUUAAUGGUGUUAAAGUAGAUUAAUAUUAGUUAAAAUUAUAUUUAUUGCACCCACUCCUAAAUUCACCAUUAGGAUUCGCAUUAAUAGUUAUAAUUAAAUUAAUAAGUAUUUACGCGAUUAGUACGUAAUUAAAAUGUGAUUAGUGCGACGUGUUAAUGUGCAUGUAAUGGUGUAUGAUUAUGUAAUGGUGCAUGUUUACUUAUGGGUGUAUACUUUAUUUUUGUAUGUGCGAUGUGCGACUAUAAUAGAAGCGGACUGUGUGGUAGAGAAUCCGAACUCGUUCGGGGACGACCCGCAAGACGUUGUUGAGCAAGGCAAGUGGAUUCUCCCUCUGCAUACUCUUUUUGUACCCAGUCAUUGCAUUUAAUAAUGUUUACUUUUGAUAUACUGCAUAAUUUGAUGGGUUUCACCUAAUUAAGGAUUUCCUAGAUUUACUACAUGUAUUCCUUGUUUAACCUGGGGAAAUAAUUAAGCCGUGCAAGAAUUUGUGCUACCGCUCAACUUAAUGAUUUCUUAAUGUCACUCAUUAAUUGGUUUUAAUGUUCCAAGGAUUUAGUUGGCAAUUAUGGCAUUAACCCGAUGGUUAAGAUAACAUUAUUACAAAUUUAAUUGGAACAUGGAGUGACCACCCAGGAUAACAGUGCAACCACGAGUGCUAUCAUGGCUCUGGCUUUGGUAAUUAGCUCUAUAUGCUUAGUGCCUAGCAACCUUACCUGAAAGAUGGGCAAGAGGGGGAGCGGUAGGUGCUGGCAGCCCACGUUAACAUGGGGUCGUAUUCUUGGCUAAGGUACUUCACCCAGGGGGCCACCACCAUCGUCUUAGAAACCUUAGCGGGUUGCUUCGUAUUAAGUGUAUUUUGUGAAAACCUCAUGAUGGAUCCCUAGUGAGAGCACCUAGAGGGGGGGGGGUGAAUAGGUGAUCCUGUAAAAACUUAAACUUAUAGCCACAAAACUUGAUUAGGCGUUAGCGCAGUUUAUGCCAAGUGGCUAGAGAGGAGUCAAAACACAAUAACCACAAGAAUCCAAUCACAGAGAUGACACAGUGGUUAUCCCGUGGUUCGGCCAAGUACAAAACUUGCCUACUCCACGUUGUGGCGUCCCAACGGACGAGAGUUGCACUCAACUCCUCUCAAGUGAUCCAAUGAUCAACUUGAAUACCACGGUGUUCUUGCUUUUCUUUUCUCAAUCCCGUUUGCGAGGAAUCUCCACAACUUGGAGCCUCUCGCCCUUACAAAAGAUGUUCACAGAGAAUCACAGAGCAAGGGAGGGAUUAGCAACUCACACACGACACAAAGAUCACAGCGAAUACGCACACACAAGACCCAGACUUGAGCUCAAAAGACUAGCACACUAGAACGGAGCUCAAAUCACUAGAAUGUCGAACAAGUGCGCGAGAUUGAUGUGUGAGUGAUCAAGAGUGCUCAAGGAAUGCUUGUUUUGUUCCUCCAUGCGCCAAGGGGUCCCUUUUAUAGCCCCAAGGCAGCUAGGAGCCGUUGGGAACAAAUCUGGAAGGCCAUCUUUGCCUUCUGUCUCGUGGGGCACCGGACAGUCCGGUGCACACCGGACACUGUCCGGUGCCCGAUUUGUUUCCACAAAAAGCUCAUCCGACCGUUGCUUUCUGAUGCAGAUCUGCGCACAGUUGGCGCACCGGACAUGUCCGGUGCACACCGGACAGUCCGGUGUAUCUUCUCGACCGUUGGCUCGGCCACGUGUCGCGCGCCGAUCGCGCGGCCGACCGUUGGCCCGGCCGACCGUUGGCUCACCGGACAGUCCGGUGCACACCGGACAGUCCGGUGAAUUUUAGCCGAAGUCGCCGGAGAGAAACCCGAGAGCGGCUGGUUUGCUCCGCGCUGGUCUGGCGCACCGGACACUGUCCGGUGCACACCGGACAGUCCGGUGCCCCAGCCCGCUGUACACAGCCACUCUCCACUUCUUUUCUUCUUCUUCCUGUUUCUAACACUUAGACAAGAAUAUUAGUACACAAAACCAAUGUACUAAGGCUUAGAAACAUACCUUUGUUGAAGAUUUGCACUUUGUUCAUCCAUGGGCAUUGAUUUACAUUUAAGCACUUGUGUUGGCACUUAAUCACCAAAAUACUUAGAAAUGGCCCAAAGGCACAUUUCCCUUUCAAUCUCCCCCUUUUUGGUGAUUUAUGCCAACACCACAUAAAGCAACUAGAACAAGUGCAAAAUUACUUCAAAUAAAAACUCAAAUUGGUUUUGAUUCAAUUUUGGCAUAUAUGGAUCAUCCUUUGCCACCACUUGGUUUGUUUUUGCAAAUCAAACUCAAAUCUCUAUUUCUAUGUCAACCACACAUGUUGAGGCAUAAAGAGAGUCAUUCCAAACGAGAUUGAUCAAAGAUUUCAAAAACUCCCCCUAAAUCCCAUAAUCAAUACUUCUCCCCACAAGAAACCAACUUUUGACAAUAGAGACAAUAAGAGACAAAAGCUUUUGACAAAACAAAAACUCUAUUCUACUAUUCUACUAUUUUCAAAAUUUUCAAAAUCUCUCAAGUGGUAGCUGAUCCAUUUUAUCACUUUGGCCUUUAUUUUCUCCCCCUUUGGCAUCAAGCACCAAAACGGGAUCAAUCUUGGCUCUAUAACCCCAUUGCCUCACCAAAAUCUUCAAUUAAGAGCAAAUGGCAAUAAGAGUUCAUGAGAUGGACUUGGAAUAAGUUACCCUCUCAUCGGAGUGCAGUGGAAGUCUUUCAUGGUCCAAGUCCACCUUUUCCCUUUCAAGCCUCCUUUGAGACUAAAUCAUCAAACUCAAACACAUGGUUAGUCUCAAAGGGUCAAGUUGUAACACAUCUCCCCCUUAACAUGUGCAUCACUUUGCAACAGACUUGUGAGGUCCAGGGAGUGUUUGUACAACUUGAGCACCACAAUAAGCAACAAAAUGCAAAAAGGAACAUGAUCAAAAGCAUAAAUACAUGUAUGCUACAAUUCAAUCCAGGUUCCGCGAAUCUAAGAUAUUUAGCUCACUACGCAACCUGCAAAAGGUCUUCUCAUCUAGAGGUUUAGUGAAGAUAUCGGCUAGCUGGUUCUCGGUGCUGACAUGAAACACUUCGAUAUCUCCCUUUUGCUGGUGGUCUCUCAAAAAGUGAUGCCGGAUGUCUAUGUGCUUUGUGCGGCUGUGCUCGACAGGAUUUUCCGCCAUGCGGAUAGCACUCUCAUUAUCACAUAGGAGUGGGACUUUGCUCAGAUUGUAGCCAAAGUCCCGGAGGGUUUGCCUCAUCCAAAGUAGUUGCGCGCAACACUGUCCUGCGGCAACAUACUCGGCCUCAGCGGUGGAUAGGGCAACGGAAGUUUGUUUCUUAGAAUUCCAUGACACCAGGGACCUUCCUAAGAACUGGCACGUCCCCGAUGUACUCUUCCUAUCGACCUUACAUCCAGCAUAGUCGGAGUCUGAGUAUCCAACUAAGUCAAAGGUAGACCCCUUUGGAUACCAGAGCCCGAAGCAAGGCGUAGCAACCAAAUAUCUAAGAAUUCGCUUCACCGCCACUAAGUGACACUCCUUAGGAUCGGAUUGAAAUCUAGCACACAUGCAUACGCUAAGCAUAAUAUCCGGUCUACUAGCACAUAAAUAAAGCAAAGAACCUAUCAUGGACCGGUAUGCUUUUUGAUCAACGGACUUACCUCCUUUGUUGAGGUCAGUGUGUCCGUCGGUUCCCAUCGGAGUCUUUGCAGGCUUGGCGUCCUUCAUCCCAAACCGCUUCAGCAGAUCUUGCGUGUACUUUGUUUGAGAGAUGAAGGUGCCGUCCUUGAGUUGCUUUACUUGGAACCCAAGGAAGUAGUUCAACUCGCCCAUCAUCGACAUCUCGAAUUUCUGCGUCAUCACCCUGCUAAACUCUUCACAAGACUUUUGGUUAGUAGAACCAAAUAUUAUGUCAUCGACAUAAAUUUGGCACACGAACAAAUCACCAUCACAUGUCUUAGUGAAAAGAGUUGGAUCGGCUUUCCCAACCUUGAAAGCAUUAGCAAUUAAGAAAUCUCUAAGGCAUUCAUACCAUGCUCUUGGGGCUUGCUUAAGUCCAUAGAGCGCCUUAGAGAGCUUACACACGUGGUCGGGGUACCGUUCAUCCUCGAAGCCAGGGGGUUGCUCCACAUACACCUCCUCCUUGAUUGGCCCGUUGAGGAAAGCGCUCUUCACAUCCAUUUGGUACAACCUGAAAGAAUGGUGAGCGGCAUAUGCUAGCAAGAUUCGAAUUGACUCUAGCCUAGCCACAGGAGCAAAAGUCUCCUCAAAAUCCAAACCUGCUACUUGGGCAUAACCUUUUGCCACAAGUCGAGCCUUGUUUCUCGUCACCACCCCGUGCUCGUCCUGUUUGUUGCGGAACACCCACUUGGUUCCCACAACAUUUUGCUUCGGACGAGGCACCAGCGUCCAAACUUCAUUUCUCUUGAAGUUGUUGAGCUCCUCCUGCAUGGCCAACACCCAGUCCGGAUCUAGCAAGGCCUCCUCUACCCUGAAAGGCUCAAUAGAAGAGACAAAAGAGUAAUGCUCACAAAAAUUAACUAAUCGAGAACGAGUAGUUACUCCCUUGCUGAUGUCACCCAGAAUUUGGUCGACGGGAUGAUCCCUUUGAAUCAUUGCUCGAACUUGGGUUGGAGGUGCCGGUUGCGCUUCUUCCUCCAUCACUUGAUCACCUUGUGCUCCCCCUUGAUCAAUCGCCUCCACUUGAGGUACCUGUACGACACCUUCGGUUGGGGAAUGCACCAUAGUUGAGGAAGAAGGUUGAUCUCGUUCAUCUUGUUCCUGUGGCCGCACUUCUCCAAUCGCCAUGGUUCGUAUAGCGGCCGUCGGAACAUCUUCUUCAUCUACAUCAUCACAAUCAACAACUUGCUCUCUUGGAGAGCCAUUAGUCUCAUCAAAUACAAUGUCGCUAGAGACUUCAACCAAACCUGAUGAUUUGUUGAAGACUCUAUACGCCUUUGUAUUUGAGUCAUAACCUAAUAAAAACCCUUCUACAGCUUUGGGAGCAAACUUAGAAUUUCUACCCUUCUUCACUAGAAUGUAGCAUUUACUCCCAAAUACACGAAAGUAUGAUACAUUGGGUUUGUUACCGGUUAGUAGCUCAUACGACGUCUUCUUGAGGAGACGAUGAAGGUAGACCCUGUUGAUGGCGUGGCAAGCAGUGUUAACGGCUUCCGUCCAAAAGCACUCGGGGGUCUUGUACUCUCCUAGCAUCGUCCUUGCCAUGUCGAUGAGCGUCCUGUUCUUUCUCUCUACCACACCAUUUUGCUGUGGUGUGUAGGGAGCGGAGAACUCGUGCUUGAUCCCUUCUUCUUCAAGGAACUCCUCCACUUGAAGGUUCUUGAACUCGGACCCGUUGUCGCUCCUUAUCUUUUUCACUUUGAGCUCAAACUCAUUUUGAGCCCUCCUGAGGAAGCGCUUGAGGGUCCCUUGGGUUUCAGACUUAUCCUGCAAAAAGAACACCCAAGUGAAGCGGGAAAAGUCAUCAACAAUAACUAAACCAUACUUACUUCCUCCUAUGCUCAGAUAGGCGACGGGUCCAAAAAGGUCCAUAUGCAGCAUCUCCAAGGGUCUUGAUGUCGUCAUCACAUUUUUGGUGUGAUGAGAGCCUCCCACCUGUUUCCCUGCUUGACAAGCUGCACAAGGUCUAUCUUUUUCGAAUUGAACAUUAGUUAGACCUAUCACGUGUUCUCCCUUUAGAAUCUUGUGAAGGUUCUUCAUCCCCACAUGUGCUAAGCGGCGAUGCCACAGCUAGCCCAUGCUAGUCUUAGCUAUUAAGCAUGCAUCUAGACCGGCCUCUUCUUUUGCAAAAUCAACUAAAUAAAGUUUGCCAUCUAAUACACCCUUAAAAGCUAGUGAACCAUCACUUCUUCUAAAGACAGACACAUCUACAUUUGUAAAUAGACAGUUAUACCCCAUGUUGCAUAAUUGACUAACAGAUAGCAGAUUAUAACCAAGAGACUCUACUAAAAACACAUUAGAUAUAGAGUGCUCAUUAGAAAUUGCAAUUUUACCUAGCCCUUUUACCUUGCCUUGAUUCCCAUCACCGAAUAUAAUUGAAUCUUGGGAAUCCUUAUUCUUGACGUAGGAGGUGAACAUCUUCUUCUCCCCCGUCAUAUGGUUUAUGCAUCCGCUGUCUAUAAUCCAGCUUGAACCCCCGGAUGCAUAAACCUGCAAGGCAAAUUUAGGCUUGGGACUUAGGUACCCAACUCAUGUUGGGUCCUACAAGGUUAGUGCAAAUAUCCUUAGGGACCCAAAUGCAAGUUUUGUCUCCCUUGCAUUUUGCCCCUAUCUUCCUAGCAACAAUUUUCUUAUCCUUUCUAUAAAUAGCAAAGGAAGCAUUUAAAGCACAAUAAAUUGUAGAAGAUUCAUUUACUACUUUCCUAGGAGCAUUAUGAGCAUCAUUUCUCCUAGGCAUUUGAUGAACAACAUUUCUUCUAAGCACAUUUCUACCAGGCAUAACAUGAGAACUAGAAGCAGUCAUAGCAUAAGAGUCAUACGCAUGUGAACCAAAAACAUCAUGACCUUUAAAAGCAUUUCUAGAAUAUCUCCUAUCAUGAUAUAAAAAGGCAUGGUUCUUUUUAGUAGCCAUAGGAGCCUUCCCUUUCUCCUUAGUGGGAAUGGGAGUCUUAUGGCUUGUUAAGUUCUUGACUUCCCUCUUGAAGCCAAGUCCAUCCUUAAUUGAGGGGUGUCUACCAAUAGUGUAGGCAUCCCUUGCAAAUUUUAGUUUAUCAAAUUCACUUUUGCUAGUCUUAAGUUGGGCAUUAAGACUAGCCACUUCAUUAUUUAACUUUGCAAUAGAAGCUAUGUGUUCACUACAAGCAUCAAUAUCAAAGUCUUUACAUCUAUUGCAAAUAACAACAGUUUCACCACAAGAGUUGGAUUUAUUUGCUUCUACUAGUUUAGCAUUUAAAUCAUCAUUUAUGCUCUUUAAGUUAGAAAUAGAAUCAUGGCAUGAUGACACUUCACAAGCAAGCAUUUCAUUCCUCUUAAUUUCUAAUGCAAGGGAUUUUUGAGCCUCUACAAACUUAUCAUGUUCUUCAUACAACAAAUCCUCUUGCUUUUCUAAAAGUAUAUUCUUUUCAUUCAAGGCAUCAAUUAAUUCAUUAAUUUUGUCUAUCUUAGAUCUAUCUAAGCCCUUGAAUAAACAUGAAUAAUCUACUUCAUCCUCACUAGAUUCAUCAUCACUAGAAGAAUCAUAAGUAUUAGCAUUACGAGUGAUUACCUUCUUUUCCCUUGCCAUGAGGCAAGUGUGAUGUUCGUUGGGAAAGAGGGAUGACUUGUUGAAGGCGGUGGCGGCGAGUCCUUCGUUGUCGGAGUCGGACGAGGAGCAAUCCGAAUCCCACUCUUUUCCAAUAUGAGCCUCGCCCUUUGCCUUCUUGUAAUUCUUCUUCUUUUCCCAUUUUCCACUCUUCUUUUCCUGGUCACUAUCAUUAUCGGGACAAUUAGCGAUAAAGUGACCAAUCUUACCACACUUGAAGCAUGAGCGCUUCCCCUUCGUCUUGGUCUUGUUGGGAUGCUCCUUGCGACCCCUUAACGCCGUCUUGAAGCGCUUAAUGAUGAGAGCCAUUUCUUCAUCAUUAAGCCCGGCCGCCUCAAUUUGCGCCACCUUGCUUGGUAGUGCCUCCUUGCUUCUCGAUGCCUUGAGAGCAAUGGGUUGAGGCUCGUGGAUUGGACCGUUCAACGCGUCAUCGACGUACCUUGCCUCCUUGAUCAUCAUUCGCCCGCUCACGAAUUUUCCAAGUACUUCCUCGGGCGUCAUCAUCGUGUACCUGGGAUUCUCACGAAUAUUGUUCACGAGAUGAGGAUCAAGAACGGUAAAGGACCUGAGUAGUAGGCGGACGACGUCGUGGUCCGUCCAACGCGUGCUUCCGUAGCUCCUUAUUUUGUUGAUAAGGGUCUUGAGCCGGUUGUAAGUUUGAGUUGGCUCCUCUCCCCUUAUCAUGGCGAAUCGUCCAAGCUCGCCCUCCACCAACUCCAUCUUGGUGAGCAUGGUGAUGUCGUUCCCCUCGUGAGAGAUCUUGAGGGUGUCCCAUAUCUGCUUGGCAUUGUCCAAGCCGCUCACCUUAUUGUACUCUUCCCUGCACAAAGAUGCUAAGAGAACAGUAGUAGCUUGUGCAUUUCUAUGAAUUUGUUCAUUUAUAAGCAUAGGACUAUCCGAGCUAUCAAAUUUCAUUCCAUUCUCCACAAUCUCCCAUAUGCUUGGAUGGAGAGAGAAUAAGUGACUACGCAUUUUGUGACUCCAAAAUCCGUAGUCCUCCCCAUCAAAGUGUGGGGGUUUGCCAAGAGGAAUGGAAAGCAAAUGCGAAUUCGAACUAUGUUGAAUACGAGAAUAAUCAAAUGAAAAGUUCGAAUUGACCGUCUUUUUGUAGUCGUUGUCACCAUCCUUUUGGGAAGAAGUAGAUUCAUCACUAUCGUCGUAGUAGAUGAUCUCCUUGAUGCGCCUUGUCUUCUUCUUCUUCCCAUCUUUGCGCCUGUGGCCCGAGCCCGAGUCGUUGAACUUGUCAUCCCUUGGCUCGUUGACGAAGGACUCCUUCUCCUUGUCGUUGAUCACAAUUCCCUUCCCCUUAGGAUCCAUCUCUUCAGGCGGUUAGUCCCUUUCUUGAAGAGAACGGCUCUGAUACCAAUUGAGAGCACCUAGAGGGGGGGGGGUGAAUAGGUGAUCCUGUAAAAACUUAAACUUAUAGCCACAAAACUUGAUUAGGCGUUAGCGCAGUUUAUGCCAAGUGGCUAGAGAGGAGUCAAAACACAAUAACCACAAGAAUCCAAUCACAGAGAUGACACAGUGGUUAUCCCGUGGUUCGGCCAAGUACAAAACUUGCCUACUCCACGUUGUGGCGUCCCAACGGACGAGAGUUGCACUCAACUCCUCUCAAGUGAUCCAAUGAUCAACUUGAAUACCACGAUGUUCUUGCUUUUUCUUUUCUCAAUCCCGUUUGCGAGGAAUCUCCACAACUUGGAGCCUCUCGCCCUUACAAAAGAUGUUCACAGAGAAUCACAGAGCAAGGGAGGGAUUAGCAACUCACACACGACACAAAGAUCACAGCGAAUACGCACACACAAGACCCAGACUUGAGCUCAAAAGACUAGCACACUAGAACGGAGCUCAAAUCACUAGAAUGUCGAACAAGUGCGCGAGAUUGAUGUGUGAGUGAUCAAGAGUGCUCAAGGAAUGCUUGUUUUGUUCCUCCAUGCGCCAAGGGGUCCCUUUUAUAGCCCCAAGGCAGCUAGGAGCCGUUGGGAACAAAUCUGGAAGGCCAUCUUUGCCUUCUGUCUCGUGGGGCACCGGACAGUCCGGUGCACACCGGACACUGUCCGGUGCCCGAUUUGUUUCCACAAAAAGCUCAUCCGACCGUUGCUUUCUGAUGCAGAUCUGCGCACAGUUGGCGCACCGGACAUGUCCGGUGCACACCGGACAGUCCGGUGUAUCUUCUCGACCGUUGGCUCGGCCACGUGUCGCGCGCCGAUCGCGCGGCCGACCGUUGGCCCGGCCGACCGUUGGCUCACCGGACAGUCCGGUGCACACCGGACAGUCCGGUGAAUUUUAGCCGAAGUCGCCGGAGAGAAACCCGAGAGCGGCUGGUUUGCUCCGCGCUGGUCUGGCGCACCGGACACUGUCCGGUGCACACCGGACAGUCCGGUGCCCCAGCCCGCUGUACACAGCCACUCUCCACUUCUUUUCUUCUUCUUCCUGUUUCUAACACUUAGACAAGAAUAUUAGUACACAAAACCAAUGUACUAAGGCUUAGAAACAUACCUUUGUUGAAGAUUUGCACUUUGUUCAUCCAUGGGCAUUGAUUUACAUUUAAGCACUUGUGUUGGCACUUAAUCACCAAAAUACUUAGAAAUGGCCCAAAGGCACAUUUCCCUUUCACCUAGCCAUUCACCUCGGCAGUGUCUAAGGGUCCGAUCAACCCGGGCUAGAUGGGAUACAUGGCUUAUGGGUAAAGUUGUACCACCUCUGCAGAGUGUAAAACUGAUAUAUCAGCCGUGCUCCCGGUUAUGAGCGACCUGGACUCCUCACAUGAUAAUUGAACUUGAAGAUGGAAUUAAUUUGAGAUCCGAUGAUCUGCCAAUAAUUUGCUUAAGUGGUUUCACUUAAGUGUUUUUGUUAUAUUCAUAUUCCUUUGUUUAAUUUGGAUAUUUGGGAUUCACUCUUAUUAGUAAGACAGGUGUUGAUAAUAAAAUGUUGACCAACUAAAAUGCUUACUGCUCAACCUUAGCCUCCCCUUGUUAUACCUGCAUUAAUUUUUCCCCCACUUGCUGAGCCCCGACCAUAAGUGAGCUCACCCUUGCUAAUAUUUUGAUCAGAGGGUGAUGCUGGAGACUUUGAUGGAGAAUUUGUCGACGAGGAAUUCUAAGUCUAACGAUGCGCCGGUCAACUUCCUGUGGAAGAUUGCCCAGUUGUUUAUUCCCGCUUAACUUUGAUGUGAUACUUGUUUAAGACGCAAUGUUUCAGAUGAUGUAAUAAAGUUUUAUACUCUCUUUACGCCUUUAUUGCAUUGUCUUUUGAUAUAUUACACUUGUGACGUCAACAUAUGUGUGGAAAUGGAUCCUGGCACACAUAUGGUAUGCACUUGGUUCUACCCCCUGGAACCGGGUGUGACAGAAGUGGUAUCAAAGCUAUGCUGACCCUAGGUCGUUAGAUUAGUUAGAAAUGGAAAGCCUAGUUGUUCAAUAUUUGCUAAUUUCAUUCCUAUAAAUUCCUUUAUCAGUCUUACCUCUUUGAAAUUCAACUAAGUUGACUCUUCUCUUGUAGAUGGUUCGCACUCUCCAAACCACCCGCGUCAACACCAGCUACGCCCCUCAGCCCCGGCAGAUCCCGGUCUACCCAGUGGUAGUCGAGGAUGCUCCAGCGAAUCUCCCUCCCGUCCGAGUGGAGAACGUGAUCAACCUGGAGGACAGCUCGGAGGAGCAGCUGCCGACCCCCACCCCGUUGGCCGAGUCCCUGGCCUUCGCAGUAGGGUCAUCGACGUCAGCAUCGUCGGCACCAGCCUUCCAAGCACCUGCACCUGGAGGCGACGACCCCGACGACUCCGGAGACGGCGAUGACGAGGGUGACGACGACGACAACGACGAUGGAGAGGAUGAGCACGUCCACGAGGAAGCUGACUACGCCCAGCAGGACCACUUCAUGGGGAUUGGUCCAGUUGUCGAACAUUACACAUCAAUGUUCGAAACAGGGCACUUCCCCAGCCUGCUGCAGGAGGUGCUGCACGAGCUAGGAGCCUACGUCCGCCCCCUGUACGAGACGAGGCGGGUGAGCGAGCCUCCCCGGGCUUGCUAUUACAUCACCCGCAUCCAUGUCAGGGUAAUGGAUGCAGGUGACAGGGGAUUCAGGACUCUGUUUGCUCACGAGUCCCUGAUACCGCUGUCCACCUACGCUGCCUCUGUCAGCGACGCUGCCCGUCGGACCCUGUGGUCGCUUAGCCACACCUACCGGCAGCAGCUGCAGAACACAAGGUUCAGGCAUCUUCCUCAGUGCCUGCGUGGAGAGAACCAGACCAACAUUGUCCCAGGUGAGCCUGGUGAGGACCGCCUCAACACCCUAGCUGGUGUAGUGGCCGGUCUCAACACCGACCUGGACAGUGCCACUCUGGACCUCUACAGUGUGCACUUGGAGCUGGAGAAUGCCCACGCCAGGAUUGCAGCCCUGGAAGCCCAACUGCAGGGACUGAAUCCGCCAGAAGCUCAGGUUCCCGCCGUGGCGUUGUCUCCUCCCCGCAAGAGGCUGCGCUAUGGAGAGCCCGGAUCCGUCACUAGGCUGCUUUAGGAGUGUUGAUCAUGAUGUAAUAAGUUACGCUUCGCGUUAGACGAUGAAACUAUCUUUAAAUUUUUAUAUUAAUAAAUAUCAACCAUGUGAUGGUGAUUGGUUGAAAUGCUUGAUUUGAAUCUUUGUUUGAGUGCUAUGGUCUUAUGGAAUGAUGGCCAUAAGAACAUAUAAAAUUUGUAAAACUUAAGCUAUUUUCCCUCUAGAAUCUUUUCUACUCCUCACUUUUCUAAGGACUUCACUUCCUAACAAAACAGAUGGUGAACCAACGUCAAGGACCUAACAACCGGAACCAGCGUGGACAACAAGCACCACCACCACCGCCACCACCAAAUCCCAAUAUGGAGUAGUUCAUCGCCGCCCAAAUGCAGAUUCUGCAAGGACUUACUGCUGUGGUUCAGCAAUUACAACAGAACCAACAGAAUCAGCAACCCCAGCAGCAGCAGUAUGCACCCCCGGCCAGAGAUAAAUACCGGGAUUUCAUGAGUCAUCACCCGCCGACAUUUUCUCAUGCGGUUGAUCCUCUUGAUGCCGAUGACUGGCUCAAAGUCAUUGGGAAGAAGCUGGACAUCACUCAGUGCAACGACCGAGAGAAGGUCUUGUACGCCUCGGGAAGACUCGAGGGAGCUGCGUCCGAUUGGUGGGAUGCCUUCACAGCGGCACAUCCCAACGCUGAUACCAUAACCUGGCAGGAGUUUCAGGAGAACUUCCGCGCUCACCACAUCCCCUCUGGAAUCAUGAAGCUGAAGAAGAAGGAGUUCCUUUCCCUUACUCAAGGGAAUAUGUCUGUCAGUGAGUAUCGUGAUCGCUUCACUCAACUUUCAUGUUAUGCCCCUGAGGAAGUGGACACUGAUGAGAAGCGCCAAGAGCGUUUCCUAGAAGGAUUGAUUGGACCUCUGAACUAUCAACUUCAGAGUCACACUUUUCCCAACUUCCAGACACUGCUGAACAAGGCAAUUGGCCUUGAAAGCAAAAGGAAGGAGCUAUCUGACCAUAAGAGAAAAUUCCAAGGUCAGUCCAGCAGGAACACCCGGCCAAACAAUCCUCAAGGUUCGCAGUUCCGCUCUGGAAAUCAGGGUGGAAAUAAUUAUCAAGUGCAACGCUCUGGACAGCAAGGCCAGAGAAAUAAUCAGAACCAGAAUCAACAAAGGAGCAACCCCCAGACCAAUCAGAGGUCUAGUGGAAAUUCACAGAACCGUCAAGGUGGCACCAACAACACGCAGGCCAGGAACAACGCACCUGUCCAACCCAACGGCUGUUUCAAGUGCGGUGAACUAGGCCACUAUGCCAACAAUUGCCCAAGGCGCAACCAGCAGACACCUCAAAAAGGCAAUACUCAGAGGAAUGACCAGAGCACCCCCGCUCGUGGAUCUGCUCAGAACAAGACUCCGCAGAACCAGAGCCGAGGAAGGGUCAAUCACGUCACUGCGGAAUCAGUGCCUGAGGAUGCCGACAUAGUGUAUGGUAUGUUCCUUGUUAACUCCAUACCUGCAUCAGUUUUAUUUGACUCUGGAGCAUCGCAUUCAUUUAUAACUGAGUCAUUCGUGGAAAAACAUAACAUACCUAAGUACCCAUUGAAGAGGAUAUUACACAUUAGUUCACCGGGAGGUGACAUGAAGGCCACACACUCAUGCCCUCACGUUAAUAUCUAGAUUCAAGGAAUAGAUUUUACAGUCGACCCAGUGGUCCUAGGAUCCAACGGUAUUGAUGUGAUUCUUGGAUACAACUGGUUGAGAAGUUGUGAUGGAGUGAUACAGUGUGCCAAUGGAACAAUUAUGUUGACAAGUCCUCGAGGUGAAAGAAUCCAAGUCAACAUAGACAAGUCAACAGAUGAAAAAGGGAAGACAAUGAUCAAUCACUUGGAAGAAAAGCCCUUGGAAAAUAUCAAAGUAGUGUGCGAAUACCCAGACGUAUUUCCGGAAGAAUUACCAGGUAUGCCACCUGACCGUGAUAUAGAGUUUUCUAUUGAAUUAGUACCCGGAACCGCACCUAUCUCGAAAAGACCUUAUAGAAUGGAUGUCAAAGAUUUAGUAGAACUGAAGAAACAAAUAGAAGAAUUACUAGAAAAAGGUUUUAUUCGCCCAAGUUCAUCCCCUUGGGGAGCCCCAGUGCUAUUUGUGAACAAGAAGGAUGGUUCGAGGAGAAUGUGUGUGGAUUAUAGAAGUUUGAAUGAAGUAACCAUCAAGAAUAAAUACCCACUACCUCGGAUUGAAGAUUUAUUCGAUCAAAUGAAGGGAGCUAAAAUAUUCUCGAAGAUAGAUCUGAGAUCGGGAUAUCAUCAGUUAAAGAUUCGAGCAGAAGAUGUACCGAAGACAGCCUUCACGACGAGAUAUGGAUUAUAUGAGUUUUUGGUCAUGUCGUUUGGACCGACUAAUGCACCAGCAUACUUUAUGAACUUGAUGAAUAAAGUAUUCAUGGAAUAUCUGGAUCAGUUUGUGGUCGUAUUCAUUGACGACAUACUGAUAUAUUCUCCGAAUGAAGAAACACACGAAGAUCAUCUAAGGCUAGUCCUACGAAAGCUUCGUGACAACCAACUGUACGCAAAAUUCUUGAAGUGUGAUUUUUGGCUUAAGGAAGUUGCUUUCUUAGGGCAUAUUGUUACCGAUGGUGGAAUUAAAGUGGACCCAGGAAAGAUAAGUGAGAUACUAAAUUGGAAGCAACCCACAGAUGCGUCCAAGAUCAAAAGUUUUCUUGGAUUAGCAGGAUACUAUAGAAUAUUUAUUGAAGGUUUUUCCAAGUUAGUGAAGCCUCUUACCUCUCUACUGGAGAAAGGCAAAGAGUUCAAAUGGGAUGAAGCUUGUCAGAAUUGUUUUGAGGAACUCAAGAAGAGGUUAACCACUGCACCAAUACUGGUAAUGCCAGACAUCCACAAGGGAUUUGAUGUGUAUUGCGAUGCAUCACACCUUGGACUUGGAUGUGUGCUAAUGCAAGAAGGAAAGGUGAUUGCUUAUGCUUCAAGACAGUUGAGGAAACAUGAGAAGAAUUAUCCUACACAUGAUUUGGAACUAGCGGCCGUAGUGCAUGCUUUGAAGAUUUGGAGGCACUAUAUGAUUGGAAACAAGUGCAAAAUCUUCAUGGAUCACAAAAGCCUGAAAUAUAUAUUCACUCAGAAGGAACUCAACCUCAGACAGAGAAGAUGGCUUGAGUUGAUUAAAGAUUAUGAUUUGGAAAUACAAUAUCACCCCGGAAAAGCAAAUGUAGUAGCUGAUGCUUUGAGCCGUAAGGGUCAAGUGAACAACAUCACUACUCGUUUGAUGUCACAAGAAUUGUGCUGGGAAAUGGAACGACUCAACCUUGGAUUUCUCAAUAAUGUAGAAGCAACGGUGAUGGAAGUCGAAUCUACUUUGGAAGAAGAGAUUCGUAAUGGACAAGAGUCCGAUGAGAAGAUUAAGGAAAUUAAAACUUUUAUUAGUUUGGGUAAAGCCCCAGAUUUCACGGAAGAUGAACAAGGCACAGUAUGGUUUAAAAAGAGAAUCUGUGUACCCGAAAUGGAACACCUGCGCCAACUUAUUUUGAGAGAAGCUCAUGAUUCAGCUUACUCUAUUCACCCUGGAAGCACAAAGAUGUACCAGGAUCUUAAGGAAAAGUAUUGGUGGUACGGUUUGAAAAGAGAUGUUGCUACUCAUGUUGCAUUAUGUGACGUGUGUCAGCGAGUUAAAGCCGAACACCAAAGACCAGCAGGAUUGCUACAACCUCUCAAGGUACCUGAAUGGAAAUGGGAAGAAAUCAGUAUGGAUUUCAUAGUUGGGCUACCCCGUACUCGAGAUGGCUAUGAUUCAAUAUGGGUCAUAGUAGACAGGUUAACUAAAGUAGCACACUUUAUACCUGUGAAGACAACCUACUCAGGAGCCCAGUUAGCAGAGUUGUACAUGUCGAGGAUUGUUUGUCUGCAUGGAGUACCCAAGAAGAUCGUAUCAGAUCGAGGAACCCAGUUUACCUCGCGCUUUUGGAAAAGACUACAUGAGUCCAUGGAUACCAAGCUAAACUUUAGUUCAGCUUAUCAUCCACAAACGGAUGGGCAAACAUAAAGAACAAACCAAGUGUUGGAAGAUAUGCUAAGAGCUUGCGCUCUAACGCAUGGUAGAAGCUGGGAUAAAAGUUUGCCUUAUGCAGAAUUUUCGUAUAACAACAGUUAUCAAGCAAGUCUCAAAAUGGCACCAUUUGAAGCACUCUAUGGACGAAAGUGUAGAACACCGCUUUAUUGGAAUCAAACUGGAGAAAGUCAAGUAUUUGGUCCAGAGAUUCUCCAAGAGGCGGAAAAGCAAGUGCAGAUUAUCAGAGAAAAUUUGAAGACAGCACAGUCAAGACAGAAGAGCUAUGCUGAUAAUAGUAGAAGAGAAUUGAUGUUUGAAGUAGGAGACUUUGUCUACCUUAAAGUUUCACCGAUGAGAGGAAUGAAAAGGUUUAAGGUUAAAGGAAAAUUAUCACCUCGCUAUAUUGGCCCAUUCAAGAUUUUGGAAAGAAAAGGCGAAGUAGCCUACCAGUUAGAGCUACCUGAUAGAUUAUCAGAUGUGCAUGACGUAUUUCACGUAUCACAACUCAAGAAGUGCUUAAGAGUACCAGAAGAACAGUUACCCAUGGAAGAACUGAAUGUUAAUGAAGAUUUGACUUAUUCGGAGUACCCAAUCAGAAUUCUGGAAACAUCUCGCAGAAUUACACGGAGUAAAGUCAUUAACAUGUGCAAAGUUCAGUGGAGUCAUCAUUCGGAAGAUGAAGCCACUUGGGAAAGAGAAGAUGAACUCAGAGCAGAAUUCCCUCAGCUAUUCUCGAAAGUUUCUUAAUCUCGAGGACGAGAUUCUUUUUAAGAGGGGUAGGUUUGUAACACCAUAAUAGCCAUCAAUUAAAAAUAAUGAAUUUAGUUAUUAUUAAUUAGGGUAAUAAAUUUUUUUAAGUGUUUAAUUGUUUAUUUGCAUUUUUAUCAUUUUCAUUGCAUGUGCUUGAUUGCUUAUUGGAAUGUUUAUUAUCAACUCUUUUUAAAGAAAAUCCUAGCAAAUAAUAUAAUAAUUAUUAGUCUAAAAACAAGUAUUUUAUUUAUAAAUAAUUUUGGUGAAUUUCUCGGAAUUUUCGAGCUCUUUAAAAAUACAUUUCACAAUUAAAAAAAACAAAUCCUACACUAAACCAGCCCACUAGGGGCCCAUUACCCCAAACCCUAUCCUCUAACGCGCGCGCGCCAGCAGAAGCCGCCGCCGCCAGCCUCUACUACUCCCUCUCCUAUCUCUCUUCUCUCUCUCCUCCAUGUUCUCUCUGCACGCCGCCGCUCCCUGCCACGCUGCAGCACUCGCCCGGCCCUGCACCGGCGCCCUGCGCAAGCCGCGCCGAGCGCGCAGCCGCCCAGGCCGACCGGCCAACCCGCGCCCUGCCCUGGUGCGCGACGCCUGCGCUCCCUGCGCGCGCCUACGCCGCACGCCCAGCAGCGACGCCCGAGCAGACCCGAAGCCGCCGCGCCCGAAGCCGAAUCGCCCGAGCCCCACGCACCGCGACGCCCGACCGACCCUGCGCGAACCCCAACGGUCCCUCUGCACCGCGACCUCGCUGCCUAGAAGUCGAGCAGCCGCGCAGUCCGCGCCCCAUUGAAGUCAUAGCUGCCGUUACUGCCGUUUCUUCUUUCUGUGCCUCAUUCCUUCCUCCAUUAGUGGUGUUUACAACUCCUGUUCGUGUUGUGCAGAAACAGUUCAUCAUAUGGCCAUCACGGAGCUUUAAACAGGAUUUAAACUCUCUUUUCCGUCAGCCUAUAAAGCUAGAGACGUCCUGCUUCCUUCCUCCCCAAUAGCUCGGCUCUGCACUUCGUCUCGCUCAAUCGUCCUUAGGCUAUAGCCACUGCACCUUGUUAUCGUCGGAGCUUCACCCGCUCGGACACGCCGUCGUUUGCUGUCUACGCUCGUCGGAGUUCACCGGAGUCGCAGUUCGUCGCAGGAGCCACGCACUCGCCGUCCGUAGUCGUGCCCCGCACUCCGUCCGGCCGAAACCCGUCGAUCCGUCCCCGUCACACGCACGAACCCGAGGUUGUUGGCGACCCAAAUUUAUUUUAUGUAUUUUAUAAAGUGCUUUCGAUUCGAUUCAUGUGUUGUAUAGUUUGUUUGUUGUAUGAACACAUGUGAGUCGCGACAUUAUGUAUGGGUGUAUGAGCGUUAUGGAAUUGUUUGGUAGUUUCAAGCGAUUAUUCGUACACCUUGUUAUUUCAUGUUAAUCGAUGCGCUGAAUUUUGGUUUAGAGAAAUAUGACGUAGAUUUAAUAGUCACACGUCGGUGAUAAAAAUACUAGAUAAGAAUUUAUAGUUAAAAUUGGUCGCGAUAAAUUUUUGAAACUAAUUGGAGAAUUAUAGGUGCAUUUUUGAUGGAUUAGAAAAAUGGUAUAGAACUCAUGUCAUAUGAAUAAAAUAGGAUUGUUAGAUGAUUUAUUCGAUUAUUUAAUUAAUAUCUUCUUUUGGAAAGAAAAGAGAAAAUAUCGUUGGUAGAUGGCAAAAUAGGGUUUUGCUAGUCAAAUAAACAUGUUCACAGAUUUAGAACUUAAAAUUGUUAGAGUACUAGUUUAUGUCAAAUAACCCCGCUUGUGUUAGAAAAUGUUCAAUUAGUAGUUUAUGUAGAUUUUAGAAUAUUAAUAUUAUUAGAUUCAUUUUUGGUCAUACUAACUAAUUUGUGUUAAAAGUAAUAAUAGGUAUUAAUUUAUUUAUUAGUAUUAAAAGAUAAUAAGUAUUAUUUAAUUUCAUUGAUGGUGUUAAAGUAGAUUAAUAUUAGUUAAAAUUAUAUUUAUUACACCCACUCCUAAAUUCACCAUUAGGAUGCGCAUUAAUAGUUAUAAUUAAAUUAAUAAGUAUUUACGCGAUUAGUACGUAAUUAAAAUGUGAUUAGUGCGACGUGUUAAUGUGCAUGUAAUGGUGUAUGAUUAUGUAAUGGUGCAUGUUUACUUAUGGGUGUAUACUUUAUUUUUGUAUGUGCGAUGUGCGACUAUAAUAGAAGCGGACUGUGUGGUAGAGAAUCCGAACUCGUUCGGGGACGACCCGCAAGACGUUGUUGAGCAAGGCAAGUGGAUUCUCCCUCUGCAUACUCUUUUUGUACCCAGUCAUUGCAUUUAAUAAUGUUUACUUUUGAUAUACUGCAUAAUUUGAUGGGUUUCACCUAAUUAAGGAUUUCCUAGAUUUACUACCUGUAUUCCUUGUUUAACCUGGGGAAAUAAUUAAGCCGUGCAAGAAUUUGUGCUACCGCUCAACUUAAUGAUUUCUUAAUGUCACUCAUUAAUUGGUUUUAAUGUUCCAAGGAUUUAGUUGGCAAUUAUGGCAUUAACCCGAUGGUUAAGAUAACAUUAUUACAAAUUUAAUUGGAACAUGGAGUGACCACCCAGGAUAACAGUGCAACCACGAGUGCUAUCAUGGCUCUGGCUUUGGUAAUUAGCUCUAUAUGCUUAGUGCCUAGCAACCUUACCUGAAAGAUGGGCAAGAGGAGGAGCGGUAGGUGCUGGUAGCCCACGUUAACAUGGGGUCGUAUUCUUGGCUAAGGUACUUCACCCAGGGGGCCACCACCAUCGUCUUAGAAACCUUAGCGGGUUGCUUCGUAUUAAGUGUAUUUUGUGAAAACCUCAUAAUGGAUCCCUAGCCAUUCACCUCGGCAGUGUCUAAGGGUCCGAUCAACCCGGGCUAGAUGGGAUACAUGGCUUGUGGGUAAAGUUGUACCACCUCUGCAGAGUGUAAAACUGAUAUAUCAGCCGUGCUCCCGGUUAUGAGCGACCUGGACUCCUCACAUGAUAAUUGAACUUGAAGAUGGAAUUAAUUUGAGAUCCGAUGAUCUGCCAAUAAUUUGCUUAAGUGGUUUCACUUAAGUGUUUUUGUUAUAUUCAUAUUCCUUUGUUUAAUUUGGAUAUUUGGGAUUCACUCUUAUUAGUAAGACAGGUGUUGAUAAUAAAAUGUUGACCAACUAAAAUGCUUACGGCUCAACCUUAGCCUCCCCUUGUUAUACCUGCAUUAAUUUUUCCCCCACUUGCUGAGCCCCGACCAUAAGUGAGCUCACCCUUGCUAAUAUUUUGAUCAGAGGGUGAUGCUGGAGACUUUGAUGGAGAAUUUGUCGACGAGGAAUUCUAAGUCUAACGAUGCGCCGGUCAACUUCCUGUGGAAGAUUGCCCAGUUGUUUAUUCCCGCUUAACUUUGAUGUGAUACUUGUUUAAGACGCAAUGUUUCAGAUGAUGUAAUAAAGUUUUAUACUCUCUUUACGCCUUUAUUGCAUUGUCUUUUGAUAUAUUACACUUGUGACGUCAACAUAUGUGUGGAAAUGGAUCCUGGCACACAUAUGGUAUGCACUUGGUUCUACCCCCUGGAACCGGGUGUGACAGUCGGGUUGUGUUGCGAGCUCUUGUUGUGACUUGUGUGUGUGUUGAUAUUCUGAUUUCGUGUCUUGUGUGCGUUGCUCAUCCCUCCCUUACUCCGUGCUUCUUUGUGAACAUCUUUUGUAAGGGCGAGAGACUCCAAGUUGUGGAGAUUCCUCGCGAACGGGAUAUAGAAAAGAAAAGCAAACACCGUGGUAUUCAAGUGGGUCUUUGGACCGCUUGAGAGGGGUUGAGUGCAACCCUCGUCCGUUGGGACGCCACAACGUGGAAGUUGGCAAGUGUUGUACUUGGCCGAACCACGGGAUAAACCACUGUGUCUAUCUGUGUUGAUUCUCUUGGGGUUAUUGUGUUUAGCUAAGGCUCUUCUCUAGCCACUUGGCAAUACUUGCUAACUCUUAACCAAAUCUCUGUGGCAUUAAGUGUAAGUUUUACAGGAUCACCUAUUCACCCCCUCUCUAGGUGCUCUCAAUUGGUAUCAGAGUCGUUCUCUUCACAAAGGGACUAAUCGCCCGAAGAGAUGGAUCCUAAGGGGAAGGGAAUCAUGAUCAACAACAAGGAGAAGGAGUCCUUCGUCAACGAGCCGAAGGAUGACAAGCCUACCGACUCGGGCUCGGGCCACAGAUGCAAAGAUGGGAAGAAGAAGACGAGACACAUCAAGGAGAUCGUCUACUACGACGACAGCGAUGAGUCCACUUCUUCCCAAAAGGACAACGACGACAACGACUACGACAAACGAAAGACGGUUAACUCAAACUUUUCUUUUGAUUAUUCGCGUAUCCCACAUAGCUCAAAUGCACAUUUGCUUUCCAUCCCUCUUGGCAAACCUCCACACUUUGAUGGGGAGGACUACAGAUUUUGGAGUCACAAAAUGCGUAGUCACUUGUUCUCUCUCCAUCCAAGCAUAUGGGAGAUUGUUGAGAAUGGAAUGAAAUUUGAUAGCUCGGAUAGUCCUAUAUUUAUUAAUGAACAGAUUCAUAAAAAUGCACAAGCUACUACUGUGUUGUUAGCCUCUUUGUGCAGGGACGAGUACCAUAAGGUGAGCGGCUUGGACAAUGCCAAGCAAAUCUGGGACACCCUCAAGAUUUCUCAUGAGGGGAACGACAUCACCUUACUCACCAAGAUGGAGUUGGUGGAGGGCGAGCUUGGAAGAUUCGCGAUGAUAAGGGGCGAGGAGCCAACCCAAACAUACAACCGGCUCAAGACCCUUAUCAACAAAAUAAGGAGCUACGGAAGCACGCGAUGGACGGACCACGACGUCGUCCGCCUAAUGCUAAGGUCCUUUACUGUACUUGAUCCACAUUUGGUGAACAAUAUUCGUGAAAAUCCUAGGUACACCAAGAUGUCGCCCGAAGAAGUCCUUGGAAAGUUCGUAAGCGGGCGAAUGAUGAUCAAGGAGGCAAGGUACGUGGACGACGCGUUGAAUGGUCCAAUCCAUGAGCCUCAACCCAUUGCUCUCAAGGCAACGAGAAGCAAGGAGGCGCUACCUAGCAAGGUGGCGCAAGUUGAGGCGGCCGGGCUCAAUGAUGAAGAGAUGGCCCUCAUCAUCAAGCGCUUCAAGACGGCGCUAAAGGGUCGCAAGGGACAGCCAAGCAAGACCAAGACAAAGGGGAAGCGCUCAUGCUUCAAAUGUGGUAAGAUUGGUCAUUUUAUUGCUAACUGUCCCGAUAAUGAUAGUGAACAAGAACAAGAGGGCAAGAGGGAGAAGAAGAAGGCAUACAAGAAGGCUAAGGGCGAGGCACACCUUGGCAAGGAGUGGGACUCGGAUUGUUCGUCAUCCGACUCCGAAAAUGAAGGACUCACUGCCACCGCCUUCAACAAGUCAUCCCUCUUCCCCAACGAGCGUCACACAUGCCUCAUGGCGAAGGAGAAGAAGGUAUGUACUCGAGACAAUACUACUUAUGAUUCUUCUAGUGAUGAUGAGUCUAGUGAUGAAGAAAUAGAUUACUCUAGUUUGUUCAAGGGAUUGGAUAGAACUAAAAUAGAUAAGAUCAAUGAACUGAUUGAUGCCUUGAAUGAAAAGGAUAGACUCUUAGAGAAACAAGAAGACCUUUUAUAUGAAGAGCAUGAUAAAUUUGUUAGUGCACAAAAUUCACUUGCUCUAGAAGUUAAAAGAAAUGAAAUGCUUUCUAGUGAAUUGUCUACCUGUCAUGACUCUAUCUCUAGCUUAAAGAGAAUUAACAAUGAUUUAAAUGCUAAACUAGAAGUAGUAAAUAAAUCUAACUCUUGUGUAGAACAUGUUAUGAUUUGCACUAGGUGUAAAGAUUUUGACAUUGAUGCUUGUAGUGAACACCUAGUUUGCAUUUCUAAAUUAAAUGAUGAAGUGACUAGUCUUAAUGCCCAACUUAAGACUAGCAAGAGUGAAUUUGACAAGCUAAAAUUUGCAAGGGAUGCCUACACGAUUGGUAGACACCCCUCAAUUAAGGAUGGUCUUGGCUUCAAGAGAGAAGCCAAGAACUUAACAAGCCAUAAGGCUCCCAUCUCCACCAAGGAGAAAGGGAAGGCCCCUAUGGCUAGUAGUGUGCAAAAGAACCAUGCUUUCAUGUAUCAUGGUAGGAGACAUCCUAAGAAUGCCUUUAGAAGUUAUGACGCUUUUUGAUUUUCAUGCUAUGACUGCUUCUAGUUCCCAUGUUAUGCAUGAUAGAAAUGUUGCUAGGAGAAAUGUUGUUCAUAAUAUGCCUAGGAGAAAUGUUGUUAAUGUUCCUAGGAAAGUUAAUGAACCUUGUACAAUAUAUCAUGCUUGCAAUGCUUCAUUUGCUAUUUGUAGAAAGGAUAAGAAGGUGAUUGCUAGGAAGUUAGGGGCAAGAUGCAAGGGAGAUAAAACUUGCAUUUGGGUCCCUAAGACAAUUGUGACUAACCUUGUAGGACCCAACAAGAGUUGGGUACCUAAGACCCAAGCCUAAAUUUGCCUUGCAGGUUUAUGCAUCCGGGGGUUCAAGCUGGAUUAUCGACAGCGGAUGCACAAACCACAUGACGGGGGAAAAGAGGAUGUUCUCUUCCUACGUCAAGAACAAGGAUCCCCAAGAUUCAAUAAUAUUCGGUGAUGGGAACCAAGGCAAGGUAAAAGGGUUAGGUAAAAUUGCUAUUUCAUCUGAGCACUCUAUAUCUAAUGUGUUUUUAGUUGAGUCGCUUGGAUAUAAUUUGUUAUCUGUUAGUCAAUUAUGCAAUAUGGGAUAUAAUCAAUUAUGCAAUAUGGGAUAUAAUUGUCUAUUCACAAAUGUAGAUGUGUCUGUCUUUAGACGAAGUGAUGGUUCACUAGCUUUUAAGGGUGUAUUAGACGACAAACUUUACUUAGUUGAUUUUGCAAAAGAGGAGGCCGGUCUAGAUGCAUGCUUAAUUGCUAAGACUAGCAUGGGCUGGCUGUGGCAUCGCCGCUUAGCACAUGUGGGGAUGAAGAACCUUCACAAGCUUCUAAAAGGAGAACACGUGAUAGGUUUAACUAAUGUGCAAUUCGAAAAAGAUAGACCUUGUGCAGCUUGUCAAGCAGGCAAACAGGUGGGAAGCUCUCAUCACACCAAAAAUGUGAUGACCACAUCAAGACCCUUGGAGAUGCUUCAUAUGGACCUCUUCGGACCCGUCGCCUAUCUAAGUAUAGGAGGAAGUAAGUAUGGUCUUGUUAUAGUUGAUGAUUUUUCCCGCUUCACUUGGGUAUUCUUUUUGCAGGAUAAAUCUGAAACCCAGGGGACCCUCAAGCGCUUCCUCAGAAGAGCUCAAAAUGAGUUUGAGCUCAAGGUGAAGAAGAUAAGGAGCGACAAUGGGUCCGAAUUCAAGAACCUUCAAGUGGAGGAGUACCUUGAGGAGGAAGGGAUCAAGCACGAGUUCUCCGCUCCCUACACACCACAGCAAAAUGGUGUGGUAGAGAGGAAGAACAUGACACUUAUAGACAUGGCGAGGACGAUGCUUGGAGAGUUCAAGACACCCGAGCGUUUUUGGUCGGAAGCAGUGAACACAGCUUGCCACGCCAUCAACAGGGUCUACCUUCACCGCCUCCUCAAGAAGACUUCGUACGAGCUUCUAACCGGUAACAAACCCAAUGUAUCCUACUUUCGUGUAUUUGGGAGCAAAUGCUACAUUCUAGUGAAGAAAGGUAGAAAUUCUAAGUUUGCUCCCAAAGCUGUAGAAGGGUUUUUAUUAGGUUAUGACUCAAAUACAAAGGCGUAUAGAGUCUUCAACAAAUCAUCGGGUUUGGUUGAAGUCUCUAGCGACGUUGUAUUUGAUGAGACUAAUGGCUCUCCAAGAGAGCAAGUUGUUGAUUUUGAUGAUGUAGAUGAAGAAGAAGUUCCAACGGCCGCAAUACGCACCAUGACGACUGGAGAUGUGCGGCCACAGGAACAAGAUGAGCAAGAUCAACCUUCUUCCUCAACAAUGGUGCAUCCCCCAACUCAAGACGAUGAACAGGUUCAUCAAGAGGAGGCGUGUGAUCUAGGGGAGCACAAGAUGAUCAUGUGAUGGAGGAAGAAGCACAACCGGCACCUCCAACCCAAGUUCGAGCGACGAUUCAAAGGGAUCAUCCCGUCGACCAAAUUUUGGGUGACAUUAGCAAGGGAGUAACAACUCGGUCUCGAUUAGUUAAUUUUUGUGAGCAUUACUCCUUUGUCUCUUCUAUUGAGCCUUUCAGGGUAGAGGAGGCCUUGCUAGAUCCGGACUGGGUGUUGGCCAUGCAGGAGGAGCUCAACAACUUCAAGAGGAAUGAAGUUUGGACACUGGUGCCUCGUCCCAAGAAAAAUGUUGUGGGAACCAAGUGGGUGUUCCGCAACAAACAAGACGAGCACGGGGUGGUGACAAGGAACAAUGCACGGCUUGUGGCAAAAGGUUAUGCCCAAGUCGCAGGUUUGGACUUUGAGGAGACUUUUGCUCCUGUGGCUAGGCUAGAGUCCAUUCGUAUUUUGCUAGCAUAUGCCGCUCACCAUUCCUUCAGGUUGUUCCAAAUGGAUGUGAAGAGCGCGUUCCUCAACGGGCCAAUCAAGGAGGAGGUGUACGUGGAGCAACCCCCUGGCUUCGAGGAUGAACGGCACACCGACCACGUGUGUAAGCUCUCUAAGGCGCUCUAUGGACUUAAGCAAGCCCCAAGAGCAUGGUAUGAAUGCCUUAGAGACUUUUUGAUUGCUAAUGCUUUCAAGGUUGGGAAAGCCGAUCCAACUCUAUUUACUAAGACUUGUGAUGGUGAUCUUUUUGUGUGCCAAAUUUAUGUCGAUGACAUAAUAUUUGGUUCAACUAACCAAAAGUCUUGUGAAGAGUUUAGCAGGGUGAUGACUCAGAAAUUCGAGAUGUCGAUGAUGGGCGAGUUAAGCUACUUCCUUGGGUUCCAAGUGAAGCAACUCAAGGAUGGAACCUUCAUCUCUCAAACCAAGUACACGCAAGACUUGAUCAAGCGGUUUGGGAUGAAGGACGCCAAGCCCGCAAAGACUCCAAUGGGAACCGAUGGACACACCGACCUCAACAAAGAAGGUAAGUCCGUUGAUCAAAAAGCAUACCGGUCUAUGAUAGGAUCUUUACUUUAUCUAUGUGCUAGUAGACCGGAUAUCAUGCUUAGCGUAUGCAUGUGUGCUAGAUUUCAAUCCGAUCCUAAGGAGUGUCACUUAGUGGCUGUGAAGCGAAUUCUUAGAUAUUAGUCGCUACGCCUUGUUUCGGGAUCUGGUAUCCAAAAGGGUCUACCUUUGACUUGGUGCGUAUUGCAGCCGUUGGAACGUCUUCUUCAUCUACAUCAUCAAGAUCAACAACUUGCUCUCUUGGAGAGCCAUUAGUCUCAUCAAAUACAAUGUCGCUAGAGACUUCAACCAAACCUGAUGAUUUGUUGAAGACUCUAUAUGCCUUUGUAUUUGAGUCAUAACCUAAUAAAAACCCUUCUACAGCUUUGGGAGCAAACUUAGAAUUCCUACCUUUCUUCACUAGAAUGUAACAUUUGCUCCCAAAUACACGAAAGUAAGAUACAUUGGGUUUGUUACCGGUUAGAAGCUCAUAUGAAGUCUUCUUGAGGAGGCGAUGAAGAUAGACCCGGUUUAUGGCGUGGCAAGCCGUGCUCACGGCUUCCGUCCAAAACCGUUCGGGCGUCUUGAAUUCACCAAGCAUCGUCCUCGCCAUGUCUAGUAGUGUCCUGUUCUUCCUCUCUACCACACCAUUUUGUUGUGGUGUGUAGGGAGCGGAGAACUCGUGCUUGAUUCCUUCCUCCUCAAGAUACUCCUCCACUUGAAGAUUCUUGAACUCGGACCCAUUGUCGCUCCUUAUCUUCUUCACCUUGAGCUCAAACUCGUUUUGGGCUCUCCUUAGGAAGCGCUUGAGGGUCCCUUGGGUUUCAGAUUUAUCCUGGAAAAAGAAUACCCAAGUGAAGCGGGAAAAAUCAUCAACUAUAACAAGACCAUACUUACUUCCUCCUAUACUUAGAUAGGCGACGGGUCCGAAGAGGUCCAUAUGAAGUAACUCCAGGGGUCUUGAUGUUGUCAUCACAUUUUUGGCAUGAUGAGAGCUUCCCACCUGUUUACCUGCUUGACAAGCUGCACAAGGUCUAUCUUUUUCGAAAGUUACAUUAGUUAGACCUAUCACGUGUUCUCCCUUUAGAAGCUUGUGAAGGUUCUUCAUCCCCACAUGUGCUAAACGAUGAUGCCACAGCCAGCCCAUGCUAGUCUUAGCAAUUAAGCAUGCAUCUAGACUGGCCUCCUCUUUUGCAAAAUCGACUAAAUAAAGUUUGCCGUCUAGUACACCCUUCAAAGCUAAUGAACCAUCACUUCUUCUAAAGACAGACACAUCUACAUUUGUGAAUAAACAGUUAUAUCCCAUAUUACACAGUUGACUCACAGACAACAAGUUAUAUCCAAGCGACUCAACUAAGAACACAUUAGAAAUAGAGUGCUCGGAUGAAAUAGCAUUUUUACCUAACUCUUUCACCUUGCCUUGGUUCCCAUCACCGAAUAUGAUUGAAUCUUGGGGAUCCUUGUUCUUGACGUAGGAAGAGAACAUCCUCUUCUCCCCCGUCAUGUGGUUUGUGCAUCCGCUGUCGAUAAUCCAGCUUGAGCCCCCGGAUGCAUAAACCUGCAAGGCAAUUUAGGCUUGGGUCUUAGGUACCCAACUCUUGUUGGGUCCUACAAGGUUAGUACAAAUAGCCUUAAGGACCCAAAUGCAAGUUUUAUCUCCCUUGCAUUUUGCCCCUAAUUUUCUAGCAACCACCUUCUUAUCCUUUCUACAAAUAGCAAAGGAAGCAUUUAAAGCAUGAUAAAUUGUAGAAGGUUCAUUACUUGUUUUCCUAGGCACAUGAGUAUUUCUCCUAGGUACAUGAUGAAUGACAUUUUUCCUAGCCACACUUCUAUCAUACAUCAUAGAAGAACUUGAAGCAAACAUUGCAUUUGAAUCAUAAGCAUGUGAAACAAUAUCAUUGCAACUUCUAUCAUGAUGAACAUUCCUAGAAUAUCUCCUAUCAUGGUAUAAGAAAGCAUGGUUCUUUUGCACACUAUUUGCCAUAGGGGCCUUCCCUUUCUCCUUGAUGGAGAUGGGAGCCUUAUGACUUGUCAAGUUCUUGGCUUCCCUCUUGAAGCCAAGCCCAUCCUUAAUUGAGGGGUGUCUACCAACCGUGUAGGCAUCCCUCGCAAAUUUUAGUUUAUCAAAAUCAUUUUUGCUAGUCUUAAGUUGAGCAUUAAGACUAGCCACUUCAUCAUUUAGUUUAGAAAUGCAAACUAGGUGUUCACUACAAGCAUCAACAUUAAAAUCUUUGCACCUAUUGCAAAUCAUAACAUGUUCUUCACGAGAGUUUGUUUUACUAGCUAUUUCUAACUUAGCAUUCAAAUCAUCAUUUAUGCUCUUUAAACUAGAAAUAGAGUCAUGGCAUGUAGACAAUUCACAAGAAAGCAUCUUAUUCCUUUUAAUUUCUAAAGCAAGGGAUUUUUGUGCCUCUACAAACUUAUCAUGUUCUUCAUACAGAAGAUCCUCUUGCUUUUCUAAUAGCCUAUUUUUAUCAUUCAAGGCAUCAAUUAAUUCAUUAAUCUUAUCAACCUUAGUUCUAUCUAGGCCCUUGAAUAAACAUGAAUAGUCUAUUUCAUCAUCACUAGAUUCUUCAUCACUUGAGGAAGUGUAAGUACUAGUAUUAUGAGUGCUUACCUUCUUUUACCUUGCCAUGAGGCAGGUGUGAUGCUUGUUGGGGAAGAGGGCCGACUUGUUGAAGGCGGUGGCGGCGAGUCCUUCGUUGUCGGAGUCGGACGACAAACAAUCCGAGUCCCACUCCUUUCCAAGGUGUGCCUCGCCCUUAGCUUUCUUGUAAGCCUUCUUCUUUUCCCUCUUGUUCCCUUGUUCCUGGUCACUAUCAUUUUUGGGACAAUUAGCGAUAAAAUGACCAAUCUUACCACAUUUGAAGCAUGAGCGCUUCCCCUUUGUCUUGGUCUUGUUGGGAUGCUCCUUGCGACCCCUUAGCGCCGUCUUGAAGCGCUUGAUGAUGAGGGCCAUUUCUUCAUCAUUAAGUCUGGCCGCCUCAACCUGUGCCACCUUGCUAGGUAGCGCCUCCUUGCUCCUUGUUGCUUUGAGAGCAACGGUUUGAGGCUCGUGGAUUGGACCGUUCAACACAUCGUCAAUGUAUCUUGCCUCCUUGAUCAUCAUCCGCCCGCUUACAAACUUUCCAAGUAUCUCCUCGGGCGUCAUCUUGGUGUACCUAGGAUUCUCACGAAUAUUGUUCACAAGAUGUGGAUCAAGGAUAGUAAAAGACCUUAGCAUUAGGCGGACGACGUCGUGGUCCGUCCAUCGCGUGCUUCCAUAGCUCCUUAUUUUGUUGACGAGGGUCUUGAGCCGGUUGUAUGUUUGGGUUGGCUCCUCGCCCCUGAUCAUUGCGAAUCUCCCAAGUUUGCCUUUUAAUGACUCCAUCUUGGUGAGCAUGGUGACGUCAUUUCCCUCAUGAGAGAUCUUGAGGGUGUCCCAAAUCUUCUUGGCGUUAUCCAAGCCGCUCACCUUAUGGUAUUCAUCCCUGCACAAAGAUGCUAGAAGAACAGUAGUAGCUUGUGCAUUUUUGUGAAUUUGCUUAUUGAUAAAUGUGGGACUAUCAGUACUAUCAAAUUGCAUUCCACUCUCUACUAUCUCCCAUAUGCUUGGAUGGAGAGAGAACAAGUGACUACGCAUUUUGUGACUCCAAAAUCCGUAGUCCUCUCCAUCAAAGUGAGGAGGUUUACCAAGUGGAAUGGAGAGUAAAUGAGCAUUUGUAUUUUGCGGAAUACGAGAAUAAUCAAAAGAGAAGUUUGAAUUGACCCUUUUCUUUUUCUCGUAGUUGUCGUCUUCCUUUUGGGAAGAAGAAGACUCAUCGCUGUCGUCGUAGUAGACGAUCUCCUUGAUGCGCCUUAUUUUCUUCUUCUUCCCGUCUUUUCUUUUGUGGCUUGAGCCCGAGUCAGUAGGCUUGUCAUCUUUUGGAUCAUUGACGAAGGACUCCUUCUCCUUAUCAUUGACCACCAUACCCUUGCCCCUAGGAUCCAUCUCUUCGGGCGAUUAGUCCCUUUCUUGAAGAGAACGGCUUUGAUACCAAUUGAGAGCACCUAGAGGAGGGGUGAAUAGGUGAUCCUGUAAAACUUAAAACUUAACACCACAAACUUGAUUAAGAGUUAGAACAGUGAAAUCAAGUGAGUAGAGAGGAGAGCUCUUGUGAAGCACAAUAGACAUAAUAAGGACAAGCACAAGAGACACGAGGAAUUAUCCCGUGGUUCGGGUAAGUACAAAACUUGCCUACUCCACGUUGUGGCGUCCCAACGGACGAGAGUUGCACUCAACUCCUCUCAAGUGAUCCAAUGAUCAACUUGAAUACCACGGUGUUCUUCUUUACUUUGCUCUUUUCUCGUUUGCGAGGAAUCUCCACAACUUGGAGUCUCUCGCCCUUACAAUAAGAAUCAAUAUGAAGCACAAGAGUAAGGGAGGGAAGCAACACACUCAAAUCCACAGCAAAUAUGCGUACACAAGAUCAAGACUUGAGCUCAAAAGAGUAUCACAAGGUUCUCACUAGAACGAAGCUCAAAUCACUAAGAAUGUCGAACAAGUGCGCAAGAAUGAAGUGUGAGUGAUCAACAAUGCUCAAGUAAUGCUUGGUAUCCUCCUCCAUGCGCCUAGGGGUCCCUUUUAUAGCCCCAAGGCAGCUAGGAGCCGUUGAGAGCAUUUGAAGAAGGCAAUUCUUGCCUUCUAUCGCCUGGCGCACCGGACAGUCUGGUGCACCACCGGACACUGUCCGGUGCAGAUUUCUUUCCUUCUUUGGCGAAGCCGACUGUUGGCGCUUAGGAGCCGUUGGCGCACCGGACACUGUCCGGUGCACACCGGACAGUCCGGUGCCCCUUCUGACCGUUGGCUCUUGCCACGCAUCGCGCGCGGAUUAUGCGGCCGACCGUUGGCCCGGCCGACUGUUGGCUCACCGGAUAGUCCGGUGCACCACCGGACAGUCCAGUGAUUUAUAGCCGUACGCCGUUAAUUGCUUCCCGAGAGCAGCCAGUUGACAGUCGCCGGCCUGGCGCACCGGACACUGUCCGGUGCACCACCGGACAGUCCGGUGCACCCAAACUGAGCUGUCUUUGGCUGAACAAAGCCAUCUCUUUUCCAACUUGAUUUCUCCUGUUUCCAGCACUUAGACACAAUACAUUAGUUUCCAAAACAAUGUACUAAGUCUUAGAAACAUACCUUUUUACUUGAUUUGCACUUUAUCCAUCACUUUGCAUAGAUUAACAUGAGUCCACUUGUGUUGGCACUCAAUCACCAAAAUACUUAGAAAUGGCCCAAGGGCACAUUUCCCUUUCACUAACGCUAACCCGGCUUGUAGUUGUGCUUAAGUUGUUAAAUUUCAGAUUCACCCUAUUCACCCCCCUCUAGGCGACUUUCAAUUGGUAUCAGAGCCCGAUGCUUCAUUAGAGCCUAACCGCUCGAAGUGAUGUCGGGAGAUCACGCCAAGAAGGAGAUGGAGACCGGCGACAAGCCCGCUACAAGCCACGAGAAAGCUUCAUCGGAAGAGUCCCGCAACAAAGGGAAGGGGAAGGAGAAGAAAUCCCCUUCACACAAGUCGCGUCGGAGCGACGACAAGAAGAAGAAGAUGAGGAAGGUGGUCUACUACGAGACCGACUCCUCGUCGCCAUCCACCUCCGGCUCCGACACGCCGUCCGUAACUUCUAAGCGCCAUGAGCGCAAGAAGUAUAGUAAGAUUCCCCUACGCUACCCCCGUAUUUCAAAGCGUACUCCUUUACUCUCCGUUCCAUUAGGCAAACCACCGGUUUUUGACGGUGAAGAUUAUAAUAUGUGGAGUGACAAAAUGAGGCAUCAUCUAACCUCACUCCACACAGGCAUUUGGAAUGUUGUUGAGUUUGGUGUACAGAUACCAUCCGUAGGGGAUGAAGACUACGCCUCAGACGAAGUGGCCCAAAUCCACCACUUUAACUCCCAAGCCACCACUAUACUCCUCGCCUCUCUAAGUCGAGAGGAGUAUAAUAAGGUGCAAGGGUUAAAGAGUGCGAAGGAAAUUUGGGACGUACUCAAGACCGCGCACGAAAGAGACGAGGUGACAAAGAUCACCAAGCGGGAGACGAUCGAGGGGGAGCUCGGUCGCUUCAUGCUUCACCAAGGGGAGGAUCCGCAAGCCAUGUACAACCGCUUGAAGACCUUGGUGAACCAAGUGCGCAACCUCGGGAGCGAAAAAUGGGAUGACCAUGAGAUGGUCAAGGUUAUUCUUAGAUCCCUCAUUUUUCUUAACCCUACACAAGUUCAAUUAAUUCGAGAUGAUCCUAGAUACAAGCUAAUGUCUCCCGAGGAGGUUAUAGGAAAAUUUGUGAGCUUUGAGCUAAUGAUUAAAGGCUCAAAGAAAAUCAUCGAGCAAGGCACACCCUCCAUGCCCAAGGCACAACCCGUCGCAUUCAAGGCAACGAAGGAGAAGAAGGAAGAGUCUACAUCAAGUAGACAACCAAUCGACGCCUCUAAGCUCGACAAUGAGGAGAUGGCGCUCAUCAUCAAGAGCUUCCGCCAAAUCCUCAAGCAAAGGAGGGGGAAGGACUACAAGCCCCGCUCCAAGAAAGUGUGCUACAAAUGUGGUAAGCCCGGUCAUUUUAUAGCAAAAUGUCCACUAUCUAGUGACAGUGACAGGGGCGACGACAAGAAGGGCAAGAGAAGAGAAAAGAAGAGGUACCACAAGAAGAGGGGCGGCGAUGCCCAUGUGUGCCGCGAGUGGGACUCCGAGGAGAGCUCCUCCGACUUCUCCUCUAACGAGGACGCCGCCAACAUCGCCGUCACUAAGGGACUUCUCUUCCCCAACGUCGGCCACAAGUGCCUCAUGGCAAAGGACGGCAAAAAGAAGAAGGUUAAAUCCAAAUCCUCCACUAAAUAUGAGUCCUCUAGUGAUGAUAAUGCUAGUGAUGAGGAGGAUAAUUUGCGUACCCUUUUUGCCAACCUAAACAUGCCACAAAAAGAAAAAUUAAAUGAAUUAAUUAGUGCCAUCCAUGAAAAGGAUGAACUCUUGGACACCCAAGAGGACUUCCUAAUCAAGGAAACAAAAAGCAUGUUAAGGUUAAAAAUGCUUACGCUCUAGAAGUUGAAAAAUGUGAAAAAUUGUCUAGUGAGCUAAGCACUUGCCAUGAUACUAUUGCCAACCUUAGAAAUGAAAAUGCUAAACUUAUUGCUAAGGUUGAUUCUAAUGUUUGUAAUGUUUCAAUUCCCAAUCUUAGAGAUGAUAAUGUUGAUUUACUUGCUAAGAUUGAAGAAUUGAAUGAUUCUCUUGCUAGCCUUAGAAAUGAAAAUGAAAAAUUGACUGCUAAGGCUAAAGAUUUUGAUGAUUGCAAUGUUACUAUUUCUAACCUUAGAAGUUAAAAUGAUAUAUUACAUGCUAAGGUUGUAGAAUUAAAAUCUUGCAAACCCUCUACAUCUAUCGUUGAGCAUACUUCCAUUUGCACUAGAUGUAGAUACAUUAAUGUUGAUGCUAUCCAUGACCAUCUAGCUUUAAUUAAGAAACAAAAUGAUCACAUAGCUCAACUUAAUGCUAAAAUAAAUGAGCAUGACUUAGAAAAUGAAAAGUUUAAAUUUGCUAGAAGCAUGCUCUAUAGUGGGAGACGCCCUGGCAUCAAGGAUGGCAUUGGCUUCCAAAAGGGAGACAAUGUCAAACUUAAUGCCCUCCUAAGAAAUUAUCCAACUUUGUUAAGGGCAAGGCUCCCAUGCCUCAGGAUAACGAGGGUUACAUUUUGUACCCUGCCGGUUAUCCCGAGCAUAAAAUUAGGAGAAUUCAUUCUAGGAAGUCUCACUCUGGCCCUAAUCAUGCUUUCAUGUAUAAGGGUGAGACAUCUAGCUCUAGGCAACCAACCCGUGCUAAGUUGCCUAAGAAGAAAACUCCUACUACAUCAAAUGAUCAUAGCAUUUCAUUUAAAACUUUUGAUGCUUCUUAUGUGCUAACCAACAAAUCAGGCAAGGUAGUUGCCAAGUAUAUUGGGGGGCAAACACAAGAGCUCCAAAACUUGUGUUUGGGUACCCAAAGUUCUUGUCUCUAAUGCUAAAGGACCCAAAACUAUUUGGGUACCUAAAAUCAAGAACUAAACUUGUUUUGUAGGUUUAUGCAUCCGGGGGCUCAAGUUGGAUCAUCGAUAGCGGGUGCACAAACCACAUGACAGGGGAGAAGAAGAUGUUCUCCUCCUAUGAGAAAAAUCAAGAUCCCCAACGAGCUAUCACAUUCGGGGAUGGAAAUCAAGGUUUGGUCAAAGGUUUGGGUAAAAUUGCUAUUUCACCUGACCAUUCCAUUUCCAAUGUUUUUCUUGUAGAUUCUUUAGAUUAUAACUUGCUUUCCGUUUCCCAAUUAUGUCAAAUGGGCUACAACUGUCUAUUUACUGAUGUAGGUGUCACUGUCUUUAGAAGGAGUGAUGAUUCAAUAGCAUUUAAGGGAGUGUUAGAGGGUCAACUAUACUUGGUAGAUUUUGAUAGAGCUGAACUCGACACUUGCUUAAUUGCUAAGACUAACAUGGGUUGGCUCUGGCACCGCCGACUAGCCCAUGUUGGAAUGAAGAAUCUUCAUAAGCUUCUAAAGGGAGAGCACAUUUUAGGAUUAACAAAUGUUCAUUUUGAGAAAGACAGGAUUUGUAGCGCAUGACAAGCAGGGAAGCAAGUUGGUGUUCAUCAUCCGCAUAAGAAUAUCAUGACGACUGACAGGCCACUGGAGCUCCUACACAUGGAUCUAUUCGGCCCGAUUGCUUACAUAAGCAUCGGCGGGAGUAAGUACUGUCUAGUUAUUAUGGAUGAUUAUUCUCGCUUCACUUGGGUAUUCUUUUCGUAGGAAAAAUCUCAAACCCAAGAGACCUUAAAGGGAUUCUUGAGACGGGCUCAAAAUGAGUUCGGCUUAAGGAUCAAGAAAAUAAGAAGCGACAACGGAACAGAGUUCAAGAACUCUCAAAUUGAAGGCUUCCUUGAGGAGGAGGGCAUCAAGCAUGAGUUCUCUUCUCCCUACACCCACAACAAAAUGGUGUAGUGGAGAGGAAGAAUCGAACUCUAUUGGACAUGGCAAGGACCAUGCUUGAUGAAUACAAGACUUCAGAUCGGUUUUGGGCCGAUGCGGUUAACACCGCCUGCUACGCCAUCAACCGGUUGUAUCUACACUGAAUCCUCAAGAAGACAUCAUACGAACUCCUAACCGGUAAAAAGCCCAAUAUUUCCUAUUUUAGAGUCUUUGGUAGCAAAUGCUUUAUUCUUGUUAAAAGAGGUAGAAAAUCUAAAUUUGCUCCUAAGACAGUAGAAGGCUUUUUACUAGGAUAUGAUUCAAACACAAGGGCAUAUAGAGUCUUUAACAAGUCCUCAGGACUAGUUGAAGUUUCUUGUGACGUUGUGUUUGAUGAGACUAACGACUCUCAAGUAGAGCAAGUUGAUCUUGAUGAGAUAGGUGAUGAAGAGGCUUCGUGCAUCGCGCUAAGGAACAUGUCCAUUGGGGAUGUGUGUCCUAAGGAAUCCGAAGAGCCUCCAAAUGCACAAGAUCAACCAUCCUCCUCCACGCAAGCAUCUCCACGAACUCAAAAUAAGGAUGAGGCUCAAGAUGAUGAAGAAGAAAGUCAAGAAAAUGAGCCACCUCAAGAUGACGACAAUGAUCAAGGGGGAGAUGCAAAUGAUCAAGACAAGGAGGAUGAAGAACCAAGACCGCCACACCCAAGAGUCCACCAAGCAAUCCAACGAGAUCACCCCGUCGACACCAUCCUCGGCGAUAUUCAUAAGGGGGUAACCACUAGAUCUCGUGUUGCACAUUUUUGUGAGCAUUACUCUUUUGUUUCCUCUAUUGAGCCACACAGGGUAGAGGAAGCACUUCAAGAUUCGGAUUGGGUGGUGGCAAUGCAAGAGGAGCUCAACAACUUCACUAGGAACAAGGUAUGGCAUUUAGUUCCACGUCCUAAUCAAAAUGUUGUAGGAACCGAAUGGGUCUUCCGCAACAAGCAAGAUGAGCAUGGUGUGGUAACAAGGAACAAAGCCCGACUUGUGGCCAAGGGAUAAUCCCAAGUCGAAGGUUUGGAUUUUGGUGAAACCUAUGCACCCGUAGCUAGGCUUGAGUCAAUUUGUAUAUUAUUAGCCUAUGCUACUUACCAUGGCUUCAAGCUCUACCAAAUGGACGUGAAGAGUGCCUUCCUCAAUGGACCAAUCAAGGAAGAGGUCUAUGUUGAGCAACCUCCCGUCUUUGAAGACAGUGAGUACCCUAACUAUGUUUAUAAGCUCUCUAAGGCGCUUUAUGGGCUCAAGCAAGCCCCAAGAGCAUGGUAUGAAUGCCUAAGAGAUUUCAUUAUAGCUAAUGGCUUCAAAGUCGGAAAGGUCGAUCCUACUUUAUUUACUAAAACUCUUGACAAUGAUUUGUUUGUAUGCCAAAUUUAUGUUGAUGAUAUCAUAUUUGGGUCUACUAACGAAUCUACAUGUGAGGAAUUUAGUAGAAUCAUGACACAGAAAUUCGAGAUGUCAAUGAUGGGGGAGUUGAAGUAUUUCUUAGGAUUUCAAGUGAAGCAACUCCAAGAGGGCACCUUCAUUAGCCAAACGAAGUAUACUCAAGACAUUCUAAACAAGUUUGGGAUGAAGGAUGCCAAGCCCAUCAAGACACCCAUGGGAGCCAAUGGGCAUCUCGACCUCGACACAGAAGGUAAAUCCGUAGAUCAAAAGGUAUACUGGUCGAUGAUAGGAUCUUUACUCUAUUUAUGUGCAUCUCGAUCGGAUAUUAUGCUUUCCGUAUGCAUGUGUGCAAGAUUCCAAGCCGACCCUAAGGAAGCUCACCUUACGGCCGUAAAACGAAUCUUGAGAUAUUUGGCUUAUACUCCUAAGUUUGGGCUUUGGUACUGUCGGUGUUUUGGGUCCGACCGCACACCUGGGGUUACCCCUCAAGGUGUUUUUAGGAGUAGGACGGUGUCAACGACUGUAGCAAAAUGGUUCGUGCCGAUCGCACGAGGGACAGUGGACAAGAUUUGCAGGUUCGGGCCGCUUAGAGAUGCGUAACACCCUACGUCCUGAUGAGUAUUUGAGUGCGGUUACAAGAGGGCUCUCUGGAACUGAGGCACAGAGAGUUUACGUGAGUGGCUAAGUAAAGUAGGGUCGAUCGUUCUGAAGGGGUGCCCCCUAGGCCUUAUAUACUCGACCGUGGGGCAGUACACGUGGAUAUGAUAGCUACAAGUAGCUGAAAGAUAGUAAACCUCUUGAGUUUAUCCCUACGUAACCCUUGCCGACUUAUCCUCGAAUGGCUCUGUUGCAUGGGGGCUUCAGCGCGGGAAAGUCGGGUCUCUGUUGCGAUUUACUCGUUUGACGUUGUGGGCCGUCCGGGUUUGCUCCAAUCCAGUCUUACGUCUUCUCCGCUUCGUUGAUUGUCUUUCCCCAGGCCCACGAAAGAACGACCUUACGAUUUAUUGGGCCUUUGGGCCUUUCGUGAGGUCUUUUAUCUCUUUAGUGGACCCAGGGGAUAUCUAUCCCCCACAAGCCCCCGAUCUUUGGGUUGAUUUAGAGGUAAUCAACUCAAAGAUCCAAGGUCCGAAAAAUGACUUCCUGCUGUCUUCUCUUGCUCCGAUCACUCGUUCGACCAAAGUUUAGUUUUGUGCUUGUGCCUUAGAGGUCGGCAUUUUGAAUUGUAGGAUUCUGGACUUCAUUGGGUGCACCGGAGGUGCACCCAAUGGGUGUAGCCCCCGACCUUUGAGUAGAUUUUAGAAGAUAAUCUACUCGAAGGUCUUCCCCAAAGAUUAUCUCCAUUCGCGCUCCUGCAUCUCGGUUGAGAAUUGGUCUUUUCAAUCUUGUCCCACGCCUUAGAAGUCAGCGCUAUAUCGGUUUAGAAUGAUAAUCCAUGGGGUGCACCGGAGGUGCACCCAAUGGGUGUAGCCCCCGACCUUCAAAUGGAUUUUUUAAGGAUAAUCCAUUCGAAGGUCUUCCUUUUGCUUGUAAAAAUUGGCAUGAAGCUAAUCGCAUUAUGCUUUGGAGGUCAGCAUUAUGUCAUCAAAAUUUUGCUGCAGAGGUCAGCAUAUAUUUUGUCUUUUAGCAGCCGAGUUUGCAAUCCAUCCAUAUCUUGCUAGGUAAUGCAAUUUAUUUGCUUCUGCGACUUGAUUGAACGUUUGAUGGACGUUCUCUGUCUAGUCCUCACAUCGCUUCUGUCGGUCAUAUCUUGUACUUUGCUGGCUAUAUUUGGCUUUCCUCUGAUCCUUACUGAUGUCUCAUUUUUGUCUUGAGGUAUUUACUGCGUGCCCUGCACGGAUGUGACCGUUUUGAAAAAUAUACUGAUAAUUCCUGGGCGUCCUCCCCCAAUGGGUGUGGGCAAGGGACGGCUUGGUACGCUAAGUGUUUUAGCCGGCUGCUUCUGAGUAGUAAUGUGAUGGGACGGCUAGUGUAAUCAUAUCCUUUGCGCUGUUGACUGGAGUCCCAAUGGGUGUAGUGCUGCAUGAAACGGCGUCUGCCGUCUGACGUGUCUUCAGAUGGGUGGGAGUGCUUAUUGAAUGCUUUGCGACUGUUCAGUGACCGCGGUUGGAAGUGAGCGGUUGCCUUUCCUUUCUAUAAAUAACGCCCUUGCUCCUCUGGUUUUUUCACAUCUCUUCGCUGUUCUUUACUGCGUCCUUCUUCUCCCCUCUGUCUGCUUACACCAUGGGCAAGGGUACCAAGCGCAAGCGUGAGCCGACUCCUCCGUCGGAUGAUUUCUGUGACUCGGAAUACUCGGAGGAGGAGUUCUCCUCCGAGUCCGAGGGAUCUCCGACUCCCGUCUCUCCCCCGGCGUCGUCUGAUGAUUCAGACGACUCCCAGGGGAUUGCCGCGGAGGUCUGGACGUACAUCCGGGCCGUCGAGCGCUCCGGGCUCGAGGGCUUGGAUGAGUCUGAGUUCUCCUCGGACGAGGAGGACUCGGACGGCGGCGAGGACGAAGAUGACGACAACGACGACGGCGACGACGACGACGGUGGCGACGGCGAUGGUGACGGCAGCAACGGCGGCGGGGGCGGCGGCGGCAAGGGCAGCACCAGAGGCGGUAGCAGUACGGGCAGCACCAGAGGCGGCAGCAGCAAGGGCAGCACCAGGGGCGGCGGCGGCAAGGGCAGCAGCAGCAAGGCCAGUGGCUAAACGCCACUGGUCUUUAGAUAUUAGUAUAGCGUAGUUAGAAUAAUGUAGUAGUAAUGUAGAGUAGUAUAGUGUAGUUUAGUAGUAGUAGUAAUGUAGAGUAGAAGUAGGGAAGCACCAACUCGAGAAGAGUUGGUUUGUAAACUUAUUAACUUCCCCUUAAUGAAGAACUGUCGUUGGUCCCUUCUUGAUGACUCGCUUUCUCUGAUUGUCGAACUGAUUCUUUUGAUAUAGUAGAUGAAUAACUUGCGCAUCACAUUGACGCUUCCAGAAGUAGCUGCCGAGUAAUCUUAUAGUCUAUGUCGACGUUUUAGAAAUAAUACCGAGCGAUUGAAGGUUGACAUCAGUGUUUUAGAAGUAACACCGAGCAAUCGAACACGAGACCAGCGUUUUAGAGGCGAUGCCGAGUUAGUGAAGGUCGACAUCGGUAUUUUAGAAGCGACGCCGAGCGAUUGAACAUGCGAUCGGCGUUUUAGAGGCCAUGCCGAGUGACUGAAGGUCGGCGUCGGCAUUUUAGAAGUAAUGCCAAGCGAUAGAAUACGAGUUCAGCGUUUUGGAGGCAACGCCGAGUGAUAGAAGGUCAGCGUCGGCAUUUUAGAAGUAAUGCCGAGCGAUUGAAUACGAGGUCAGCGUUUUAGAGGCGACGCUGAGUGAUUGAAGGUUGGCGUCGGCUUUUUAGAAGUAAUGCCGAGCGAUAGAAUACGAGUUCAGCGUUUUAGAGGCAACGCCGAGUGAUAGAAGGUCAGCGCCGGCAUUUUAGAAGUAAUGCCGAGCGAUUGAAUACGAGGUCAGCGUUUUAGAGGCGACGCUGAGUGAUUGAAGGUCGGCGUCGGCAUUUUAGAAGUAAUGCCGAGCGAUAGAAUACGAGUUCAGCGUUUUAGAGGCAACGCCGAGUAAUUGAAGGUCGCCGUCGGCAUUUUAGAAGUAAUGCCGUGCGAUUGAACACGAGAUCAGCGUUUUAGAGGCAACGCCGAGUGACUGGAGGUCGCCGUCGGCAUUUUAGAAGUAAUGCCGAGCGAUUGAAUAUGAAAUCAGCGUUUUAGAGUCAACGUCGAGUGAUGAGGUGGCGCAUCGGCUUUUUGGAAAUAACUGCCGGAUGACCAUGUGGCCUGCUGGGGUUUUGGAAAUAACCGCCGGGUGAUGAUUGGACACUUUUUGAAACGGUAUCUGGCUCGAGAAUAUCCCAUGAGAACUGCGCUUUUAGCCGCCUUUGCUUUCCGUGCCCUAGUUCUUGCAUUCCCGCAUCUGAAUCUUCUCUGUCACUCGCCCCCUACUCUGUUCGCCAGUGAGAAGCAAGAUGGCGCCCAAGAGAAAAACUGCGAACUCGUCUGCUGCGGUGAUCCCCGCAAUCGACCCCAAUAGUCAGUUACCCUUCGCAGGUAACCACAUGUCUGUUAUUUCCGAAGCUGAGCUUCUCCGCUUCGUCUCCAUCGGGGUUCUUCCUCCGCGGGAACUCUGUUCUUGGCGGAUUUGCCACGGGACUACUGUCCCAACCGAAGAUACCCACGAGUCAGUAGUUUACGCUCCUUUUCUUCUCCGCGGCCUCGGCCUUCCCAUCUCUCCUUUUUUCCGUGGCCUCCUUGAUUUCUAUCAUAUCAACUUGACUCAUUUGAACCCUAAUUCCAUUCUCCAAAUUUCCAUUUUCGUUCACCUGUGCGAAGCCUACCUCGGUGUGAUGCCGCAUUUCGGUUUAUGGAAGUAUCUGUAUCAUUGUCGUCCUGGGAUGGCCGGGGGGCAACAUCAGCUGGUCGGAGGUGCCAGUUUGGAGAUGCGCCGUGGGCGGAAGACCGAGUAUCUUGAGAUUCCCCUCAAAGAUAGCAUUAAAGGGUGGCGUCUGGAGUGGUUUAUAGUUGAUAAUUAUGGAAAUUCUCUCCCCUCCCGGUCAGGAAGACAGCCAGACGUUCGCACUCCGAGUUGGACUGAGUCUCCUACAGAUCAGGAAGUGGCCGAGGCAGGUGUGUUGCUUACUGAAGUCGGAUUACUAAAAGAGAGAGGUCUGACUGCCGAAGCUGUGGUCACUGAUUUUGUUUUCAAGAACAUUCAGCCACUGAAAGACAGGGCCUAUCCGGCAUAUCUGUAUCGAGGGCUGGCCGACUCAACCCGGGUUACCAAUAGGAGAAUUCCUUCUGUUGACUUGGUAAGCCGACUUGAAAUGAUCCUUAGGGGUAAAGUUUCAAAUGUUGGUGCUCCAGUGGCAUACUCGGCUUGGAACCUACCUCCUCCCAAAGCUUUCACCCUUUUUGUGUCAAAUCCGCCUGUGACUGAUAGCAAUUUGGGCCUUAGAGUGCGACCUUCUGCUGAAGAAGUCAGUACUUUGGUUGCUUCGCUCGAGGCGAUUCCUGAUGAUGAACGACAUGUUUAUUUUGAAGUGCCUCUGAACCCUAGUGAUGCAGACAUAAAUGACAUGCUUGAUCUGUUAGCUGAGGAUUCGUCCGAUGCUGCUCCUGAUGGCACGUUGGCAGUAGUGCCCCUUCCAGAGGUUGAUACAACUUUGGAUGUCCCGAAACCUGUCAGUACUCGCCCGAGACGCCCUAGCCGAACCAGUCAGCCCGAGCCUUCUGCUGAUGAGCAAAAGAAGAAGAGAAGAUGCCUCCGGCGAGUAUCCAGUUUUGAUGAGGACGCCGGUACCUUAGCUCCUGCUGCUGAAGAAGUGCCUGCAACUGGUCUUACUGACACUGAUCCCAAUGGGUGUGCCCAAACUGUUGUUGAUCCCAAUGGGAGUGCUGCUUGCGUUGCCGCUGUGGAGGAUGAAGAGGAAGAAGAUGAAGCUCCUUUAACUCGGAAAAACAGUCGGCAGUUCGUCGCCAGCGGUGGAAGUAGUGGAGUUCCUUCUCCUGCUUUGUCUGCCCUUAUUGGUCUGCAAGAACUGUCCAUGGCCAACUUUGAUCAAACUCUAGAGGAUAUGGUUCCAGAAGAUUUGCUAUCAGAGCCUGUGGAUGUUGAUGCAACAGAGACUUGUGCCGUCGUGCCCGAUGCUGGGUUGAGGUCAUCCCGUGCCUCGUCGACCUUAGAGCAUGAUCUCGAGGGUCGGGAUGCUGAAUUGGAUUGUUCCGGUCCCAUGGAAGUAGCUGAAGGCCCGUCAACCUUAGAGGUGGUUACGGCAGAGAGCUUGGACCCCUUGAAUAGUGCUGACAUGUGCCCAGCCCCCGAGGAUGUCGCCGGGGAAGACUUAGCUCGGGUGAAGAGUACAAGCCGCUGCCCAGCCCCCGAGGGUGUUGCCGGGGAUGAUCCGGCUCAAGUGGGCAGUGCCAACUGUGACCCCGCCCCCGAGGGUGUCCGAGCAAGGUCUCCUUCCUGCACUUCCAUGGAUGUUCAUGCGGGUUCACCUCCACACUCUGGCGGUAUAGUGGUGGCCCAAACUCUGGAUCAGGGGGUCGCUUUAGAGGGCAGCAUCCCCACUGGUCUGGCGUUAGGCUCUGUUGAAUGUAUUGAGCUCGUUCCUGCUGGUCUGUUGCAAGCUGCUUCGGGUGGUGGCCUGGCACCUGAUUAUCAGCUGAUUUCUCCUGAUUUGGGGAUCCCUUCGUUCUUUUCCAACCUCCAGGUACUGUGCUGUAUUUUAGCUUGACCUUUUCGUUGCAUGAAUUUUUGUCAUUAUGUUCAUCCGCUCUUCUCAUCAGACUUUGGUGGAUGGGAUGGCCAGCCAGCUGAGAUCGCAGGGUGCUUCCAUCCCAGAAGUGGCUUCAUCUCUUGAGCGUUGGAAUCCAAUGUCGCUUCAUCGUCGUGUAUCCGAGUUGGAGGCAACUAAUGCUGGUUAGUGCUCUUCUUCUUCUUCCUUGCCUUUAUUCGUGGAUUGUUUUACCUUCUAACCUCAUUUCGUUUGAUUACCUCUUGAUAGGAAUGACUCGGCAGAUUGCAGUUCUUGAGGAAAAACAUUCCCGAGAUCAAGCUGAAAUGGCUCAACGGUGUGCUGACUUCGAGGAGAAGUAUUCUCAAAGCCAGACUGAACUGAAUCAGGUCUCCGCUGCUUUGGAUGACGCCAACGCUCUGAGUUCUUCUCUUCAUGCUCGGCUUGACUCUGAAAAGGUAACUUACAAUACCGUGCUUCGCCUUAUUACAUGCUUGGAUUCUGAAUGAGUUGAUUUUUGUUUGUAGGAAGAAAAACGUAUCCUUGCUGCUUCUCGCGACAAUCUGGACAGAUUGUAUCGAGACUCUAGCAACUCGCUAACCAUCUUGGAGAGGAGCCACCGUUUUACGAUGGAAGAACUGGACAAUCAGCGUCGUAGGCUGCAAGAAUCUGCAUACGAAGUGACCCGCCUCACGCAAUUGAUAUCAGCAAAAGAUGCCACCAUCAAGGGACUCCGAACUUCUAAGAAAUCCAUUGCUCAGGAGUUAGAAACUGCUCAGCUGGCUGCUAAAGUUGCCGAGGAAACUGCUAUUACUCUCAAAGCUCAGCGUGAUAAAGCCUUGGACAAGGCUAUUCGGGCGGGACAAAUCUUGAUGAGAAGACCCGGCGUGGUUGUCCCUGAAGACAUAAAAGCCGAUGUGAACGCUGCCCCCGAUUCUUCGAAUCGCCCUUCUUCGUCAGUCGCUCCUGAGAGAGACAUUGGAAAAUAGAGAAACGUUUCGCGUGCUAUGAGCGCGCGGUUAGCAUGAUCAAGUACUCGUUAGGGGCUAUCAGCUUAUCAUUCGAAUGAUAUGAUCACUCUCUUAUUGUAUCAGAAUUUAUUAAUUCGCAAGUUUGUGGUAACGCUGCAUGAUGAUUAUGAAGUCUGUUUUCGGGAUAUGGAAGUCAUCCCCUGAAUCGCAUAAGCGCGAGUAUAUUGCACUGGCUUAAGCCAUCGCUGACUUUUAGCCGAUAGCUCCGUUGGUAGGGCAUAGUGGUCGCCCUGGGUUAAGUAGGCGUGAGCAUGUUGCGCCGGCUUAAGUCGUUGCCGACUUAAGUCGAUUGCUCCGUUUGUGGGGCAUAGUGAUCACCCCGAAUUAAGUAAGCGUGAGCAUGUUGCACCGCCUUAAGUCGUUGCCGACUUAAGUCGAUUGCUCCGUUUGUAGGGCAUAGUGGUCACCCCGAAUUAAGUAAGCGUGAGCAUGUUGCACCGCCUUAAGUCGUCGCCGACUUAAGUCGAUUGCUCCGUUUGUAGGGCAUAGUGGUCACCCCAAAUUAAGUAAGAAUGCAAGUCAAUCGUAAACGAGCCGAGUAUCUUUGAAAUCUCUCUUUAUUGAUGACGUAUUUCCAUUUUACAGAAUACAUGGUCGCCCCAGCUGUUUUGAAAUGCAACUAGGGGUAAAACUUUCUGAGGUGCUCUAUGUUCCAGGAGUUCCCAACUUCUGUGCCAUCCAUCUGGGUGAGGCGAUACGAUCCGGGCCGAGUGACCUCUGCUACUAUGAAAGGCCCUUCCCAUAAGGGUGAUAACUUGUGCCGUCCCUCCCCCGUUAGAAUUCGGCGGAGGACGAGGUCUCCUAUCGAAAAGAAACAUUGCCGCACAGCCUUGUCGUGAUAGCGCCUUAGAGUCUGCUGGUACCGUGCUGAUUGGAUUACUGCAUUCAGUCGUUCUUCCUCAAGUACAUCAAUAUCCUCCAGCCUGGUGGCCUCGGCUUCUGCUAUGCUUUCGAAAAUCAAUCUUGGCGCCCCAAACUUGAGAUCAGCAGGUAGCACUGCCUCCGACCCAUAGACCAUGAAGAAAGGAGUGUUUCCAUGCAGGGCUUGGCUAGGUUGGGUUCUCAGGCUCCAAACAACAUAAGGCAGUUCUCUUAUCCAUUUUCCUGCGAAUUUUUCAUUCUUAUCGAAGACCCUUUUCCUGAGUGCCUCCAAUAUCAUUCCGUUGGCUCGCUCAACCUGCCCGUUGGCUCUUGGAUGUGCUACAGAUGCGUACUUGAUCUGAAUGCUCUUUUGCUCGCAGAAGUCAAAGAAUUCUGAACUGGUGAAGUUGGGUCCCAAGUCAGUGAUGAUACUGUUUGGUAUCCCGAAUCUGAAUAUUAUGCUUUGUAUGAAUUCCACGGCUUUAGCAGAGGUUAAAGAAGCAAUGGGCUGGAACUCUAUCCAUUUAGUGAAUUUGUCAAUUGCCACCAAUACAUGGGUAUAUCCUCCUUGAGCUUUCUUGAAAGGUCCAAUCAUAUCCAGUUCCCAGCAUGCGAAAGGCCAAGUUACUGGUAUGGUCUGUAGCUGCUGCGCUGGCAUGUGCUGUUGCUUUGACAGGUAUUGGCAAGCUUCGCAUCUCUGAACUAACUUGGCUGCAUCGUUCUUCGCCGUCGGCCAAUAGAAUCCUGACCUGAAAACCUUCCCGACUAGUGUUCUGGAUGCUGCAUGUACUCCACACUGCCCUGCAUGGACCUCCUCCAGAAGUUGCUUCCCGGUGGACGGGAGAACGCACUUCAUGAAGACGCCUGACGCGCCCUUCCUGUACAAUACCUCCCCAAUGAGUGUAUAGUGAGCUGAUUGUCUGGCAAUGCGCUCUGCCGAGUUCUUGUCAUCUGGUUCUUCUUCAUUCUUUAUAUACUUAAUAAUCGGCCGUCUCUAGUCAUCAGAGUCUGACUCGGGUUGAUCUAUGAUGUUGCACUCUUCUGUUUGAUCCAUUGAGAUACUCGGCUGGAGAAUUUCUUGCACGAAGACUCCGGGCGGGACCUGAGUCCGACCGGAUCCGAGCUUGGACAGUACAUCGGCCGCCGUGUUCCGAUCUCUUUCUAUAUGAUGAAACUCCAGACCCUCGAAUUUAUCUUCCAGCUUUCGGACGGCAGCGCAGUAUUUUCCCAUUGAAUCACUUGAACAAUCCCAUUCCUUGUUUAUCUGGCUGAUGACUACCAGAGAAUCUCCAUAUACCAUCAAUCUCUUGACGCCCAAUGACAUGGCGAUGUUUAAUCCGUGUAUCAAAGCUUCAUACUCGGCUGCAUUGUUAGAGGCCGGGAAUAGCAACUGGAGAGCAUACUUGAGGUGUUCGCCUCCCGGUGCAGUGAAGAGAAUCCCUGCUCCUGCUCCCUGCAGCUUCAGCGAGCCAUCAAAAUACAUUCGCCAUACUUUUGCCGUUUCUGGAUUGUCUGGUACUUGUUGUUUUGUCCAUUCUGAUACGAAAUCAACCAGUGCUUGAGUUUUGAUGGCGGUGCGAGGUCGGAACUCGAUAUCGUGGGAUCCCAGCUCGUAAGCCCACUUGGCUAUUCGGCCAAUGGCUUCCUUGUUGUGAAGAAUGUCCCCUAUCGGAAAACCAGUGACUACUAUGACUUUGUGGUCAUCAAAGUAGUGACGCAGCUUGCGGGCAGUUAGAAGUACUGCAUAUAAUAGCUUCUGAACCUGAGGAUACUUUUUCUUCGAGGGGCCUAGAACUUCACUGAUGAAGUAAACAAGAUGUUGCACUGGGUAGGCAUGCCCUUCUUCUACUCGCUCGACUACCAACGCAGUGCUUACCACGUGAGUCGUGCAAGAGACAUAUAGCAACAAAUCUUCAGCCGGUUGAGUCGGCGUAGCUCGCCGGGGUGGUUUCAGUACUGGUGGUGUUGUCAAGAAUUUCUUCAGUGCGUCUAGAGCGUCUUGUGCUUCUGAAGUCCAUUGAAACUUAUCCACCUUCUUGAGUAGCUUGUAAAAUGGCAAACCUUUUUCUCCCAGCCUGGAUAUAAAUCUGCUCAGAGCUGCCAUGCAUCCGGUGAGUCGUUGAACCUUCUUUUGUGACCGAGGAGCUUCCAUCUUCAUGAUAGCUUCAAUUUUAUCUGGAUUAGCUUCAAUUCCCCGGUGGCUGACGAUAAACUUGAGCAACUUUCCUGCUGGUACCCCGAAAACACAUUUUUCAGGAUUGAGCUUCCAUCUAUAUCUUCUCAGGCUGUUGAAAACCAGUUGUAAAUCUUCGAUGAAGUCUUCCGAAUUCUCUGUUUUGAUCACCACAUCAUCUACGUAAGCCUCCACACGCUUGCCCCAGUGAUCGGCUAAGCAUGUUUGAAUGGCUCUCUGAUAAGUCGCUCCAGCGUUUUUGAGGCCGAACGGCAUGGAGGUAUAACAGAAAGCACCAAACGGAGUGAUGAACGCCGUUUUUUCCUCGUCUUCCUUUGCCAAACUAAUCUGAUGAUACCCGGAGUAGCAAUCUAAGAAAGACAGCACAGAACACCCAGCGGUGGAAUCCACCACCUGAUCUAUCCUCGGGAGCCCGAAGGGAUCCUUCGGACAGUGUUUGUUGAGAUCAGUAUAGUCGACACACAUGCGCCAAUCCACUUUAUUCUUUUUGAGUACAAGAAUAGGGUUGGCUAACCACUCGGGGUGUAAUACCUCUCUAAUAAAUCCAGCCGCGACCAAGCGAGCUAACUCGGCACGAAUGGCCUCUCUCUUGUCGGGCGUGAAACGACGUAGCUUUUGCCGGAUCGGCCUCGCCUGGGGAUAGACCUUCAAUUUGUGCUCGGCCAGUUCUCUUGGAACUCCCGGCAUAUCCGCAGGUUGCCAUGCGAAUACGUCUCGGUUAUCUUGCAGGAACUGGACGAGCGCGCUUUCCUAUUUGUCGUUCAAGCUGGAGCUGAUGAUGGCCGUCUUGCGCUCAUCAGCGAACCCCAGGUUGAUUCGCUUGGUUUCUUCAGUCGGCCGCAUAGAGGCCACGGCCUGGGCUUCGUUCGCCGGCACUGCGAGGUUCUCCUCAGGCUUAGAGUUCGCCAGCGUAGGAGGAACCGUUGACGACUUGGUGGUGAGGGCUGCUUGGAUGGCCACUCGGAAACAUUCUGCGGCGCCUUGGAAGUCGGCGCGCACAGUUUUGAUUCCUUGCGGUCCUGACAUCUUCAGUAUCAUGUAUGUAUAGUGCGGAAUGGCCAUGAAUUUAGCCAGCCCCGGCCUCCCGAUGAUGGCGUUGUACCCGCAGUCGAAGUUCGCCACCUCGAACCUCAGGAACUCGGUUCGGUAAUUCUCCGGAGUUCCGAAGGUGACCGGCAUGUAGAUGUGGCCCAGCGGGUAUUCCCCUUCCGUCGGCACGAUGCCAAAGAAAGGAGUGUCCGACUCAUGGAGCUCUUUAAGGUGAACCCCCAAGCCUUGAAGUGUCCGGGGGAAAGUGACGUUGAUGCUGCUCCCCCCGUCCACUAGCACCUUCUUUACCUGGCUUUCUCGGAUCACCGGAUCGACGAGAAGCGGGUAUUUGCCUGGAUGGUCGAAGUUGAGCCAUUGAUCCUCCCGAGUGAAAGUGAUCGGGUGCUCCGACCACCGGUAUGGGGCGGGAGGACCGGUGGUCGCCACCAGUAUCUGGCGGUCGUUGAGCUUUUGUUGCCUUUUGUUCUCCUGCGACCCAUGUCCGCCGAAGAUGACGUUGACCUCCCUAUCAACGCGCGGGAAAGCUCCUCCUCUCCCCUCCUCCGGCUGAUGGGGCUGUCGCGGUUCAUCUGGUCCUCCCCUCGGCGGAGGAGGCGGUAGAGGUUGGAAGGGUCGGCCGUGCCCGACGGAGUGCUUGAAGUCUCGACAGUUACGAAGAGUGUGGCGCAUGUCCUUGUGGUACGGGCACUGGUGAGAGCACCUAGAGGGGGGGUGAAUAGGUGAUCCUGCGAAACUUUAAACUUAUAGCCACAAAAACUUGUUAAGGGUUAGCACAAUAAUUGCCAAGUGGCUAGAGAGGAGAUCUUGUACAAUAUGACAACCACAAAGAAUUCAACACAGAGAAGACACGGUGAUUUAUCCCGUGGUUCGGCCAAGUACAAAACUUGCCUACUCCACGUUGUGGCGUCCCAACGGACGAGGGUUGCAAUCAACCCCUCUCAAGCGGUCCAAAGACCCACUUGAAUACCACGGUGUUUUGCCUUGCUUAUCUUUAUCCCACUUGCGAGGAAUCUCCACAAAUUGGAGUCUCUCGCCCUUACACUUAAGAUUCACAAAGAAGCACGGAGUAAGAGAGGGAAGCAACACACACAAAUCCACAGCGAAAUGCGCACGCACACGACCAAGAAUCGAGCUCAAAGACUAUCUCAAAGUUCUCACAAGAACGGAGCUCGAAUCACUUAGAAUAACAAACGGAUGCGCAAGAACUGAGUGUGGAUGAUCAAGAAUGCUCAAAGGUUGCUUGGUGUCUCCCUCCAUGCGCCUAGGGGUCCCUUUUAUAGCCCCAAGGCAGCUAGGAGCCGUUGAGAACAAAUCUGGAAGGCCAUCUUUGCCUUCUGUCGUCGGGCGCACCGGACAGUCCGGUGCACACCGGACACUGUCCGGUGCCCGAUUUCCUUCCUUAAACUGCGCAGUCGACUGUUGCAUAUGCAGGAGCCGUUGGCGCACCGGACAUGUCCGGUGCACACCGGACAGUCCGGUGCCCCCUUCCGACCGUUGGCUCGGCCACGUGUCCCGCGCAGAUCGCGCGGCCGACCGUUGGCUCACCGGACAGUCCGGUGCACACCGGACAGUCCGGUGAAUUUUAGCCGUACGCCGUCAGCAAAUUCCCAAGAGCGGCCUCUUCGGCCGAGGCAGCCUGGCGCACCGGACACUGUCCGGUGCACCACCGGACAGUCCGGUGCUCCAGACCGAAGCCUCCUGACUGUACACAGCCAACUCUUUUUCUUCCUGUUUCCAAUACUUAGACAAGUAUAUUAGUACACAAAACCAAUGUACUAAGACUUAGAAACAUACCUUAGCUCUUGAUUUGUACUUUGUUCAUCCAUGGGCAAAGAUUCACAUUUAAGUACUUGUGUUGGCACUCAAUCACCAAAAUACUUAGAAAUGGCCCAAGGGCACAUUUCCCUUUCAAUCUCCCCCUUUUUGGUGAUUUAUGCCAACACAACAUAAAACAACUAGAACAAGUGCAAUAUCACUCAAAUAAAACUCAAAUUUAUUUUGAUUCAAUUUUGGCAUAUAUGGAUCAUCCUUUGCCACCACUUGGUUUGUUUUUUGCAAAUCAAACUCAAAUCUCUAUCUCUAUGUCAAACACACAUAUUGAAGCAUAAGGAGAGUCAUUCCAAAAGAGAUUGAUCAAAGAUUUCAAAAACUCCCCCUAUUUCCCAUAAUCAACACUUCUCCCCACAAGAAGCCAACUUUUGACAAGAGAGACAAUAAUAGACAAUAAAAGCGUUUGACAAAACAAAAACUCUAUUCUACUAUUUUCAAAAUUUCUCAAGUGGUAGCUGAUCCAUUUAUCGCUUUGGCCUUUAUUUUCUCCCCCUUUGGCAUCAAGCACCAAAACGGGAUCAAUCUUGGCCCUUUUAACCCCAUUGCCUCACCAAAAUCUUCAACUAAGAGCAAAUAGGCAAUAAGAGUUUAAAGAUGAACUUGGAAUAAGUUACCCUCUCAUCGGAGUGCAGUGGAAGUCUUUCAUGGUCCAAGUCCACCUUUUCCCUUUCAAUCCUCCUUCGAGACUAAAUCAUCAAACUCAAGUACAUGGUUAGUCUCAAAGGGUCAAGUUGUAACACAUCUCCCCCUAAACAUGUGCAUCACUUUGCAACGGACUUGUGAGGUCCAGGGAGUGUUUGUACAACUUGAGCACCAUAAUAAGCAACAAAAUGCAAAAGGAACAUGAUCAAAAGCAUAAAUACAUGUAUGCUACAAUUCAAUCCAGGUUCCGCGAAUCUAAGACAUUUAGCUCACUACGCAACCUGCAAAAGGUCUUCUCAUCUAGAGGCUUGGUGAAGAUAUCGGCUAGCUGGUUCUCGGUGCUAACAUGAAACACUUCGAUAUCCCCCUUUUGCUGGUGGUCUCUCAAAAAGUGAUGCCGGAUGUCUAUGUGCUUUGUGCGGCUGUGCUCAACAGGAUUCUCCGCCAUGCGGAUAGCACUCUCAUUAUCACAUAGGAGUGGGACUUUGCUCAGAUUGUAGCCAAAGUCCUGGAGGGUUUGCCUCAUCCAAAGCAGUUGCGCGCAACACUGACCUGCGGCAACGUACUCGGCCUCAGCGGUGGAUAGGGCAACAGAGGUUUGUUUCUUAGAGUUCCAUGACACCAGGGACCUUCCUAAGAAUUGGCACGUCCCCGAUGUACUCUUCCUAUCGACCUUACAUCCAGCAUAGUCGGAGUCUGAGUAUCCAACUAAGUCAAAGGUAGACCCCUUUGGAUACCAGAGCCCGAAGCAAGGCGUAGCAACCAAAUAUCUAAGAAUUCGCUUCACCGCCACUAAGUGACACUCCUUAGGAUCGGAUUGAAAUCUAGCACACAUGCAUACGCUAAGCAUAAUAUCCGGUCUACUAGCACAUAAGUAAAGCAAAGAACCUAUCAUUGACCGGUAUGCUUUUUGAUCAACGGACUUACCUCCUUUGUUGAGGUCAGUGUGUCCGUCGGUCCCCAUUGGAGUCUUUGCGGGCUUGGCGUCCUUCAUCCCAAACCGCUUUAGCAGAUCUUGCGUGUACUUUGUUUGGGAGAUGAAGGUGCCAUCCUUGAGUUGCUUCACUUGGAACCCAAGGAAGUAGUUCAACUCGCCCAUCAUCGACAUCUCGAAUUUCUGCGUCAUCACCCUGCUAAACUCUUCACAAGACUUUUGGUUAGUAGAACCAAAUAUUAUGUCAUCGACAUAAAUUUGGCACACAAACAAAUCACCAUCACAUGUCUUAGUGAACAGAGUUGGAUCGGCUUUCCCAACCUUGAAAGCAUUAGCAAGUAAAAAGUCUCUAAGGCAUUCAUACCAUGCUCUUGGGGCUUGCUUAAGUCCAUAGAGCGCCUUAGAGAGCUUACACACGUGGUCGGGGUACCGUUCAUCCUCAAAGCCAGGGGGUUGCUCUACGUACACCUCCUCCUUGAUUGGCCCGUUGAGGAAAGCGCUCUUCACAUCCAUUUGGUACAACCUGAAAGAAUGGUGAGCGGCAUAUGCUAGCAAGAUACGAAUUGAUUCUAGCCUAGCCACAGGAGCAAAAGUCUCCUCGAAAUCCAAACCUGCGACUUGGGCAUAACCUUUUGCCACAAGUCGAGCCUUGUUCCUCGUCACCACCCUGUGCUCGUCCUGUUUGUUGCGGAACACCCACUUGGUUCCCACAACAUUUUGCUUGGGACGAGGCACCAGUGUCCAAACUUCAUUGCGCUUGAAGUUGUUGAGUUCCUCCUGCAUGGCCAAUACCCAGUCCGGAUCUAGCAAGGCCUCCUCUACCCUGAAAGGCUCAAUAGAAGAGACAAAGGAGUAAUGCUCACAAAAAUUAACUAAUCGAGAUCGAGUAGUUACUCCCUUGCUAAUAUCACCCAGAAUUUGGUCGACGGGGUGAUCCCUUUGAAUCAUCGCUCGAACUUGGGUUGGAGGUGCCGGUUGCGCUUCUUCCUCCAUCACAUGAUCAUCUUGUGCUCCCCCUUGAUCACACAUCUCCUUUUGAUGAACCUGUUCAUCGUCUUGAGUUGGGGGAUGCACCGUUGUUGAGGAAGAAGGUUGAUCUCGUUCAUUUUGUUCCUGUGGCCGCACUUCUCCAAUCGCCAUGGUACGUAUAGCGGCCGUCAGAACAUCUUCUUCAUCUACAUCAUCAUAAUCAACAACUUGCUCUCUUGGAGAGCCAUUAGUCUCAUCAAAUACAACGUCGCUAGAGACUUCAACCAAACCCGAUGAUUUGUUGAAGACUCUAUACGCCUUUGUAUUUGAGUCAUAACCUAACAAAAACCCUUCUACAGCUUUGGGAGCAAACUUAGAAUUUCUACCUUUCUUCACUAGAAUGUAGCACUUGCUCCCAAAUACACGAAAGUAAGAUACAUUGGGUUUGUUACCGGUUAGUAGCUCAUACGAAGUCUUCUUGAGGAGGCGAUGAAGGUAGACCCUGUUGAUGGCGUGGCAAGCCGUGUUCACGGCUUCCGACCAGAAACACUCGAGGGUCUUGAAUUCUCCAAGCAUUGUCCUCGCCAUAUCGGUUAGCGUCCUGUUCUUCCUCUCUACCACACCAUUUUGCUGUGGUGUGUAGGGAGCGGAGAACUCGUGCUUGAUUCCUUCCUCCUCAAGGAAUUCCUCCACUUGAAGGUUCUUGAAUUCGGACCCGUUGUCGCUCCUUAUCUUCUUCACCUUGAGCUCAAACUCAUUUUGAGCUCUCCUGAGGAAGCGCUUGAGGGUCCCUUGGGUUUCAGACUUAUCCUGCAAAAAGAACACCCAAGUGAAGCGGGAAAAGUCAUCAACAAUAACUAAACCAUACUUACUCCCUCCUAUGCUCAGAUAGGCGACAGGUCCGAAGAGGUCCAUAUGCAGCAGCUCCAGGGGUCUUGAAGUGGUCAUCACAUUCUUGUCGUGAUGCGCUCCUCCCACUUGUUUACCUGCUUGACAAGCUGCACAAGGUCUAUCUUUUUCGAAUUGCACGUUAGUUAAACCUAUCACAUGUUCUCCCUUUAGAAGCUUGUGAAGGUUCUUCAUCCCCACAUGUGCUAAGCGGCGAUGCCACAGCCAGCCCAUGCUAGUCUUAGCUAUUAAGCAUGCAUCUAGACCGGCCUCUUCUUUUGCAAAAUCAACUAAAUAAAGUUUGCCGUCUAAUACACCCUUAAAAGCUAGUGAACCAUCACUUCUUCUAAAGACAGUCACAUCUACAUUUGUAAAUAGACAGUUAUAUCCCAUAUGACAUAAUUGACUAACAGAUAGCAAAUUAUAUCCAAGACUCUCUACUAAAAAUACAUUAGAGAUAGAAUGCUCAUUAGAAAUUGCAAUUUUACCUAACCCUUUUACCUUGCCUUGAUUCCCAUCACCGAAUAUAAUUGUAUCUUAGGAAUCCUUAUUCUUGACGUAGGAAGUGAACAUCUUCUUCUCCCCCGUCAUAUGGUUUGUGCAUCCGCUGUCGAUAAUCCAGCUUGAACCCCCGGAUGCAUAAACCUGCAAGGCAAAUUUAGGCUUGGGACUUAGGUACCCAACUCUUGUUGGGUCCUACAAGGUUAGUGCAAAUUUCCUUAGGGAUCCAAAUGCAAGUUUUGUCUCCCUUGCAUUUUGCCCCUAACUUCCUAGCAACUAUUUUCCUAUCCUUUCUACAAAUAGCAAAGGAAGCAUUUAGGGCAUGAUAAAUUGUAGAAGGUCCAUGAACUUCCCUAUGAGCAUUAACAACAUUUCUCCUAGGCAUAUUGUGAAUAACAUUUCUUCUACCAACCUUUCUAUCAUGCACAACAUGAGAACUAGAAGCAGUCAUAGCAUAAGAAACAUAAGCAUGUGAAUCAAAGGCAUCAUAGCUUCUAAAAGCAUUUCUAGAAUUUUUCCUAUCAUGAUACAAAAAGGCAUGGUUCUUUUUAGCACUAGUAGCCAUAGGGGCCUUCCCUUUCUCCUUAGCGGGAAUGGGAGCCUUAUGGUUUGUUAAGUUCUUGGCUUCCCUUUUGAAGUCAAGUCCAUCCUUAAUUGAGGGGUGUCUACCAAUCGUGUAGGCAUCCCUUGCAAAUUUUAGCUUAUCAAAAUCACUUUUGCUAGUCUCAAGUUGAGCCUUGAGACUAGCUACCUCUUCAUUUAAUUUAGAAAUGCAAGCUAGGUGUUCACUAUAAGCAUUAAUGUUAAUAUCUUUACACCUAGUGCACGUUACAGCAUUUUCUACACAAGAGAUAGAUUUACUAGCAAUCUCUAACUUAGCAUUCAAUUCAUCACUAAUGCUCCUUAGUUUUGAAAUUGUCUCAUGGCAAGAAGAUAAUUCACAAGAAAGCAUUUCAUUUCUUUUAACUUCUAGAGCAUGAGAUCUUUGUGCUUCUACAAAUUUAUCAUGUUCUUCAUACAAUAAAUCCUCUUGUUUCUCUAAGAGUCUAUCCUUCUCAUUCAAGGCAUCAAUUAAUUCAUUGAUUUUAUCAAUUUUAUUUCUAUCCAAUCCCUUGAACAAACUAGAAUAAUCUAUUUCAUCAUCACUAGUCUCAUCGUCACUAGAAGAAUCAUAAGUGACAUCAUUACAAGUGAUUACCUUUUUCUCUCUUGCCAUGAGGCAAGUGUGACGCUCGUUGGGGAAGAGGGAUGACUUGUUGAAUGCAGUGGCGGCGAGUCCCUCAUUGUCGGAGUCAGACGAGGAGCAGUCUGAAUCCCACUCCUUGCCAAGAUGAGCCUCACCCUUUGCCUUCUUAUAAUUCUUCUUCUUCUCCCUCUUGUUCCCUUGGUCCUGAUCACUAUCAUUGUCGGGACAGUUAGCAAUAAAAUGACCAAGCUUACCGCAUUUGAAGCACGAACGCUUUCCCUUGGCUUUGGUCUUGCUUGACUGUCCCUUGCGACCUUUAAGCGCCGUCUUGAAUCUUUUGAUGAUGAGAGCCAUCUCUUCAUCAUUCAGUCCGGCCGCCUCAAUUUGUGCCACCCUGCUAGGUAGCGCCUCCUUGCUUCUUGUUGCCUUGAGAGCAAGGGGUUGAGGCUCGUUGAUUUGUCCAUUCAAGGCGUCGUCCACGUAUCUUGCCUCCUUGAUCAUCAUCCGCCCGCUUACGAAUUUUCCGAGAACCUCCUCGGGCGUCAUCUUCGUGUACCUGGGAUUCUCACGAAUAUUGUUCACGAGAUGAGGAUCAAGAACGGUAAAUGACCUUAGCAUGAGGCGGACGACGUCGUGAUCCGUCCAUCGCGUGCUUCCGUAGCUCCUUAUUUUGUUGAUAAGGAUCUUGAGCCGGUUGUAUGUUUGCGUCGGCUCCUCGCCCCUUAUCAUCGCGAAUCGUCCGAGCUCGCCCUCCACCAACUCCAUCUUGGUGAGUAAGGUGACAUCAUUCCCCUCAUGAGAGAUCUUGAGGGUGUCCCAAAUCUGCUUGGCAUUGUCCAAGCCGCUCACCUUGUGAUACUCGUCCCUGCACAAAGAGGCUAGCAACACAGUAGUAGCUUGUGCAUUUUUAUGGAUCUGUUCAUUAAUAAAUGAAGGACUAUCCGAGCUAUCAAAUUUCAUUCCACUUUCUACAAUCUCCCAAAUGCUUGGAUGGAGAGAAAAUAGGUGUGUACGCAUUUUGUGACUCCAAAAUCCGUAGUCCUCUCCAUCAAAGUGAGGAGGCUUGCCAAGUGGAAUGGGGAGCAAAUGAGCAUUUGAGCUGUGCGGAAUGCGCGAAUAAUCAAAAGAGAAGUUUGAGUUAACCGUCUUUUGUUUGUCGUAGUCGUCAUCCUUGUGGGACGAAGUAGACUCGUCGCUGUCGUAGUAGACGAUCUCCUUGAUUCGUCUUGUCUUUUUCUUCUUCCCAUCUUUACGUCUGUGGCCCGAGCCAGAGUCGUUGGAUUUGUCAUCUUUUGGCUCGUUGACGAAGAACUCCUUUUCCUUGUCGUUGAUCACGAUUCCCUUCCCCUUAGGAUCCAUCUCUUCGGGCGGUUAGUCCCUUUCUUGAAGAGAACGGCUCUGAUACCAAUUGAGAGCACCUAGAGGGGGGGUGAAUAGGUGAUCCUGCGAAACUUUAAACUUAUAGCCACAAAAACUUGUUAAGGGUUAGCACAAUAAUUGCCAAGUGGCUAGAGAGGAGAUCUUGCACAAUAUGACAACCACAAAGAAUUCAACACAGAGAAGACACGGUGAUUUAUCCCGUGGUUCGGCCAAGUACAAAACUUGCCUACUCCACAUUGUGGCGUCCCAACGGACGAGGGUUGCAAUCAACCCCUCUCAAGCGGUCCAAAGACCCACUUGAAUACCACGGUGUUUUGCCUUGCUUAUCUUUAUCCCACUUGCGAGGAAUCUCCACAAAUUGGAGUCUCUCGCCCUUACACUUAAGAUUCACAAAGAAGCACGGAGUAAGAGAGGGAAGCAACACACACAAAUCCAUAGCGAAAUGCGCACGCACACGGCCAAGAAUCAAGCUCAAAGACUAUCUCAAAGUUCUCACAAGAACGGAGCUCGAAUCACUUAGAAUAACAAACGGAUGCGCAAGAACUGAGUGUGGAUGAUCAAGAAUGCUCAAAGGUUGCUUGGUGUCUCCCUCCAUGCGCCUAGGGGUCCCUUUUAUAGCCCCAAGGCAGCUAGGAGCCGUUGAGAACAAAUCUGGAAGGCCAUCUUUGCCUUCUGUCGUCGGGCGCACCGGACAGUCCGGUGCACACCGGACACUGUCCGGUGCCCGAUUUCCUUCCUUAAACUGCGCAGUCGACCGUUGCAUAUGCAGGAGCCGUUGGCGCACCGGACAUGUCCGGUGCACACCGGACAGUCCGGUGCCCCCUUCCGACCGUUGGCUCGGCCACGUGUCCCGCACAGAUCGCGCGGCCGACCGUUGGCCCGGCCGACCGUUGGCUCACCGGACAGUCCGGUGCACACCGGACAGUCCGGUGAAUUUUAGCCGUACGCCGUCAGCAAAUUCCCGAGAGCGGCCUCUUCGGCCGAGGCAGCCUGGCGCACCGGACACUGUCCGGUGCACCACCGGACAGUCCGGUGCUCCAGACCGAAGCCUCCUGACUGUACACAGCCAACUCUUUUUCUUCCUGUUUCCAAUACUUAGACAAGUAUAUUAGUACACAAAACCAAUGUACUAAGACUUAGAAACAUACCUUAGCUCUUGAUUUGUACUUUGUUCAUCCAUGGGCAAAGAUUCACAUUUAAGUACUUGUGUUGGCACUCAAUCACCAAAAUACUUAGAAAUGGCCCAAGGGCACAUUUCCCUUACAACUGGGCGUCGAGGAUGUCGUCCAGCGUGCGCUCGCCUCCACGAGGUCCUCCUCGGGCGCGAGAGGCGGGUGGUCCGGCGGCGUGUACUUCUUCACGAGGCCUCUUCUCCCAACGUUUGUCGGGUGGUUGGUUCGCGUCACGUCGUGGUGCUGCCGAUGCAGGCUUUGCUCCUCCAAUGAGAUCCUGGGCCCGCUCGUCGGCGGUGAUGUAGAGGUCGGCUUCCCGGAACAGCUCCUCGGAGGUAGUCGGUGCUUUUUGUAGUAUGGCUCGGACGAAAGUCGAGUCAUUGGAUCCUUUGUAGAAGUCCUCGAUCACGGCCGCCUCCGUGACCUCGGGGAUACGGUUUCUCAUGGUCUGGAACCUUUUGAGGUAUGACCGGAGAGUCUCGUCUCCCCGGCGCUUGAUGGAUUUGAGGUCCCAUGGUUGCGCUGGUUUGUCGGAGAGGGACUGGAAGUUGGCGGUGAAACAUCGACUGAAGUCUCCCCAGUCGUCGAUGCAGUGUCGGGGUAGAUGUCGUAGCCACUGCAGCGCGUCUUGCCCAAGGACAAUGGGCAGAUACGCGGUCAUGACGUCUUCAGAUGCCCCGGCAGACCGAGCAGCGGUGGUGUAGACGGCUAGCCAACCCCCUGGAUCCUGCUUAGGUUCAUAUUUGUCGACAUUGGAUACCUUGAAGUUGGGAGGCCAUUGGAUGGCCCUAAGGCGCGGAGUAAGAGCGGAUACUCCGCACGUGUCCUCCUGCCGUCGGGAACGAUGUCUGUCCCGGGGAGGGGAGUGGUGGUGGUGGUUCCUCGACCGUCCCCGGGUGGUACCGCCAGUUGAGGCUAUUGCCGACUCAGUCCUGGUGGGCUGGCUUUGAGUCGGGAAGCCGUGAUCUCGGUCAUACUCCUCCCAACGACGAAUUUCGUUUUCAUGCCGCCGUUCGCGCGAAGCAUUGAUAGAGCUUCGCGCGUCUCGACGACUGUUGAUGGUGUGUCGCAAAUCGUUCGGUGGGUGAGCGAGCGGUAGAAGAUGGUUGGCCGCCUGAGUGAACAGGCGUCGGUAUCCCUCGGCGUCGGGAGUCCGAGGAAGUCCGUCAGCUAUCCGAGCUAGAACGCCUCCGACUUCGCUCGGCGUGUUCAUAGCUCGGGCGAAGUCGGGGUUCAGGUUGCGCCCGAAGAGCGGGUUCUCCCGGCGUUGCCUCGCAUCUUGCUCGGCUUGCUCCUGAGUCCGUCGGCGAUCGCGUCGUCGGGAGUUCCUUCGUUCCCUGAAGACGCGUUCUUCCGGGGUUUCUCCUAUCUCCGAGACCUCGUCUCGCGAGACAGGCUGCUCCGGAUCCCGUUCUCCGGCCGCGUGAUGUCGUCGAACGUUCCUGCGUCGGUUCCUCCGUCGGCGGGAUUCUCGUUGAGGUGGUUCUUCUCCAGGCGCGGUCGGUUCGUCGUCAGAGACGGCGGGUGACUCCACUCUCCCGAUGAAGAGGACGUCGGGGUAGAAUGGUGCUGCUGUCGCGGCGACUUUCUUUCCGUUCUCCUUUGAGGCCGGAGGAACGGAAAGAACGACUUGCCUUUCCCUGGUCUCCUUCUUCCUCGCGAUCCGUGUCCAUUCCUUCGUCGGGGAAGUAGACAGCGGAGUCUUCCGGGUCAGCGAGCUUCCAGCUCCAGCCUUCCCGGAGAUAAUCUUUUUCCGAAGAGCUGGAGGUAGCGUCUUUCCAGCAUUUUCGGAGUUUGUUGGAAGAGACUUCUUUUCCGGCAGAUCUGCUGUCACACCCGGUUUUUAGAAGGCAAACCGAAUGCGAACCAUGUACGUGCCAGGAUCAGUUAUUCACGUACACAGCAGUUACAUAAUAUGGACAUCAUCACACAGUGCUCAAAAUAAUAUUAAAAGGGGAAAUAAUAGUCGAUUACAUCAUACGUCUGAGACGUCCAUAUAGUUCUUACAAUAAAUCAAAGUGCGGAAAAGAAACGUAGAUAACGCGGCCUUCACAGGCAGCCGACUGGGGGUUGCCGCUAACCCACACCUAGAACUCGUCGUAAUCUUGGAACUCCUGGAAGUCUCCUUCCACAGCUUCAUCUUCGCCUGAGCAGUGGUUGCAAUGCUGACAACCUGGGGGGGGGGGUUUGGUGUGUAGAGCAAGGGUGAGUACACAUCAACAUACUCAGCAAGUAUCCUGUUUGGCUGUAGUGGACUAGCUUUAUGUGGGGAUAAGUCAAGCAGUUGCUUUUAGUUGGUCAGGUUAUUACUUACUAGUAGAAAGCCAGGUUUUAACAUUAACCCAAGUUAUUAGCCCAAUGUAUCCUUUCCAAACGGAAAGAAUACCACUUACCAGCACCAUAAUCAUAACCAGAUUCAACAGUCUCAUAACCACCUGUACCACAAUAUCUCUGAUCAAGUACCACUAAUCAUUGGAGCUCCCUUGGCCGCUCAUAACCGCGAGCACGGCUGAUAUAUCAGUUUCAUAACACUCUGCAGAGGUUGUGCACUUUACCCACAAGCCGUGAUUCCCAUUCUGCCCGGAGAUCAUGACUCUCCAUUGAUCACUACCAAGGUGAUCCAGCAGGGCAUCACUACGAAGCCUUUACAAAGAUUCCCCGGGGCUGUAGCCACCCGUUAGGUUUCCUAAAUGCACCGCACUCCUCCCCAAGGGGCGAACCCAAACUUGGCAGAGCGAGCCGCAUACACCGAGCCCCAUUGACGGCACGACGGCUAAGUGAACUACACCCCGGAUCCUCUAAUUAUUCAGCUAAGGGCACCCCAUUCCACCCUCAUGGUUGCACUGUUUUCCCGGGCGGUCAUCCAUAGAACAGGUCCUUACGGAGAGGCACUCGAGAAACCGCUCGAGUCCCCUUGAAAACCACAAGUAUAAUCAUAAAGAAGAGCGGGAAAACAGCGUAUCAUAGAUAAUCACAUCAUGUUCAUUGAUUAGAGUUGAGCAAUAGCAUCAGACUAAGUAGUAAUAAUCCGACCCAAAUAGGUAAACAAGGACAUGGAUAACAAAAGCUAGUCAAUCCUUAGGUAUAAAUGUGUAAAGCGGGAGGUGAAUUAAAGAAUGAAUAGGACAUAGAUAGGUCAAAGGACACUUGCCUCCACCAAACGACUGCUGCUCAGGGGCUUCUCCUGCGAAUUCCUCGGGCUCUUCGACCGGAUCGUUCUCUAUGCGAGCGCAAACAUACAUACAUACAUCCACAUAUUUAAUACAAAAGAACAGUACACCAUACAAGAUAACAAAUAAAGCGAAUAUGCAUCAAGUAUGACAUUCGAUAACGCAUUUGUUAUGGUUAGAAAGAAACGGGAAAGGUCUCGCAGGGGGGGUUAAAUCUUAUGCACUAAUGACACAAUUGGUUUUUAACAAAAGAAUUCUGUUACAUAUACACUAAUGGAAACCUAAUCACUUUUAGUUGAUCAACAUUGCACAGGGUAAACAAUUAACUACGUGCAUCAAUAGCAUAACGGAAUUUUAAAUUAAACUUCCUAUUUUCCCAUAGCAUGAACAGUGAUUAGCCUACUUAAAAUACAGUAAUCAUGAUUACAGAAAGUAAAUAAAAUAAAAUAAAAAAAUAAAAAAAAAACAGAAGGGGGGGGGCGGUUGAACCGGCCCUAGGGCGGUUGAACCGGCCCUAGGCGGGGCGCGGGCGCGGGCGGCUGAACCGGCGGGGCAGGGGGCGGCGCAGGGGGCGGCCGAGCCGGGGGGGGGGGGCGGCCGAACCGGCGGGCAGGGAGGCGGCGCAGGGGGCGGCCGAGCCGGGGGGCGGGGCGGCCGAACCGGCGGGCAGGGAGGCGGCGCAGGGGGCGGCCGAGCCGGGGGGCGGGGCGGCCGAACCGGCGGGCAGGGAGGCGGCGCAGGGGGCGGCCGAGCCGGGGGGCGGGGCGGCCGAACCGGCGGGCAGGGAGGCGGCCGAACCGGCCAUGGGGAAAGGGGAGAGGGGAUGGGGGAGGGAGGAGAGGGGGAGGGGGAGCUCACCGGGGAGGGGCGCGACGGCGAGGGGCGGCCGAGGGCGGCGGUUGGGCAGGGGGCGGCGGCGGCUUAGGGCAGGGGUAGGGGCGGCGGCUUAGGGAGAGGGAGAGAAAAUGAGAGAAAAUGAGAGGGAGAGGGAGAGGGUUUGGGGAAAAAGGGGAGGUGGGGGGGGGCGGUUGGGCCUAUUGGGCCCAGGGGGGGGGCGCGCAGGGGCGGCUGGGCCGGCCGGGGUCGGCCCACGGCGCGGGAGAGAGAAAAAAAAGGAAGAGAGAGAGAAAAGAGAAAGAAAAGAGAAAGAAAACAUUUUCGAAAUCCGAUUCUUCUACAUGAAUGCAUUUGCACUUUCAAAGCAAUCAAAGGAAAUGCAAGGUUCGGCAUGGUGCAUCGAGCAACAUAAAGCAUUUAGGGUUUUUCUUACACGGGAAAUCCAAACCGAAUCCCGCUAGAACUUUGGAAAAGGUCAAGGUUUAGCGAGGGAAAAAGAAAAGGAAAGGUAACGCCCGAAUUUUGGCGAGUAAAGAAAAGAAAAAAAUUCAACUGCAAAAUUCGGGGCGUUACAAACCUAUCCCCCUUAAAAGAAUCUCGCCCUCGAGAUUCAGGGCUGGCUAGCAAAGAGCUCCGGGUACUUGGCCAUCAGAUCAUCUUCACGCUCCCAGGUUGCUUCUUCCUCAGAGUGGUGACUCCAUCUGACUUUGCACAUCCUGACGGUCUUCCUUCGGGUGACUCCAUCUGCAACCUCAAGGAUCUGAGCUGGCUUCUCAACGUAGGUCAAGUCCUCCUGGACUUCAAGACCUUCCACUGGCAACUGCUCUUCUGGCAUACGCAAGCACUUCUUCAACUGAGACACAUGAAAGACAUCAUGCACAGCAGACAAAUUCUCUGGCAAACUGAGCUGAUAAGCCACUUCUCCACGUCUUGCAAGAAUCUGAUACGGACCAAUGUAGCGGGGUGCUAGCUUGCCUUUCACUCCGAAUCUUCUGACUCCUCUGAUCGGUGACACCUUCAGAUAGACAAAGUCUCCGACUUCGAAACUCAGCUCUCUUCUUCUUGUGUCUGCAUAGCUUCGCUGCCUUGAUUGCGCUAUCUUCAGAUUCUCUCGGACCAUCUUGAUGUUCUCUUCGGCUUCAAGCAAAAUGUCUGGCCCAAACACUUGCUUCUCUCCAGGCUGAUCCCAUUGCAACGGAGUUCUACAACUCCUUCCAUAGAGCGCCUGAAAUGGUGACAUCUUCAAACUGGCCUGAUAACUGUUGUUAUAGGAAAACUCUGCAUAAGGCAAUCGCUUGUCCCAUCCGGACUGAUCUUGCAACGCACAGGCUCUCAACAUAUCUUCAAGAAUUUGAUUGGUUCUUUCAGUCUGACCAUCUGUCUGCGGGUGAUAAGCUGAACUGAAAUUCAGAUGCGUGCCCAAGGCUUCAUGCAACUGCUGCCAGAAAUGAGAGGUGAACUGCGUUCCUCUGUCUGACACUAUCUUCUUUGGCACACCAUGAAGACAAACGAUCCGAGACAUAUACAAUUCUGCCAAUACUGCACUGUUGUAGUUGGUCUUGACAGGUAUGAAGUGGGCUGACUUGGUCAAGCGGUCCACUACUACCCAAAUGGAAUCGUAGCCGGCUCGAGUGCGAGGCAAUCCGACUAUGAAAUCCAUGCCAAUUUCAUCCCAUUUCCACUGAGGGAUCUGCAACGGUUGCAACAAUCCAGCUGGUCUCUGGUGUUCUGCCUUAAUUCUUCGACAACUAUCGCACAUAGCCACAUGCUCUGCGAUUUCCCUUUUCAUUCCGUACCACCAGAAUUUCUUCUUCAGAUCCUGAUACAUCUUCUCACUGCCAGGGUGAAUCGAAUAGGCUGUCUCAUGAGCUUCCUUAAGAAUCAACUCCCGAAUAGACUGGACAUUGGGAACACACAAGCGGUCUUUGAACCAUAUCACGCUUUCUGCAUCUUCUCGAAAGUCUUUGCCUUUGCCAUCUAGAAUCAAUCGCCGAAUCUCACUGAUCUUCUCAUCAUUUUUCUGCGCUUCUUUGAUUUCGCGCUCCAAGGUAGGUUCCAAUUCAACUGUGACUCCUCGCGAAUUGUUCAGAAAUCCGAGACUCAACCUGUCAAACUCCUUGGCCAACUCAUAAGGCAUCGGGCGAGCAACCAUCAGAUUGACUUGACUCUUUCUGCUCAGAGCAUCUGCCACUACGUUUGCUUUGCCUGGAUGGUAAUGAAUCUCCAACUCAUAGUCUUUGAUCAAUUCUAACCAUCUUCGUUGCCUCAUGUUCAAUUCUGACUGAGUGAAUAUGUACUUCAGACUCUUGUGGUCUGUGUAAACAUCGCAUUUCUGUCCAUACAGAUAGUGCCUCCAUGUCUUCAGUGCGUGAACCACUGCUGCCAACUCUAGAUCAUGGAUUGGGUAGUUCUUCUCAUGAACCUUCAGCUGUCGGGACGAGUAAGCCACAACUCUUCCCUCUUGCAUCAACACACAUCCCAAACCUGUGUAACAAGCAUCACAAUACACCGAGAAGGGCUUGUGCACAUCAGGCAAGACUAGGACAGGCGCUGUUGUCAACUUCUCUUUCAGCGCUUCAAAGGCCUCUUGGCAUUUCUGGGUCCACUUGAACUCAACCUUGUUGCCUAGCAACGCUGUCAUUGGCUUCGCAAUCUUCGAAAACCCUUCAAUGAAUCGCCGAUAAUAUCCGGCCAUUCCAAUGAAGCUCUUGAUUCCUCUAGCAUCUGUUGGUGCUUUCCAGUUCAGAAUGUCUGCCACUUUCUUCGGAUCCACAGCCAAUCCUUCUUUGUUGAUUAUGUGACCCAAGAACAGGACUUCACUGAUCCAGAACUCACACUUGCUCAACUUUGCAUACAACUGGUGCUCUCGCAAUCUCUGCAACACCAUCCUCAAAUGAUCUGCAUGCUCUUCUUCACUUUGAGAAUAAACCAGAAUGUCAUCAAUGAAUACCACCACGAACUUAUCAAGAUAAUCCAUGAAUACACUGUUCAUCAAGUUCAUAAAGAAUGCUGGCGCAUUGGUCAAACCAAAAGACAUCACUGUGAACUCAUAUAAACCAUACUUGGUAAUGAAUGCCGUCUUCGGAAUGUCCGAAGGUCGGAUCCUGAGCUGAUGAUAACCUGACCUCAGAUCGAUCUUGGAGAACACACUGGCUCCUCUCAACUGGUCGAACAGAUCUUCUAUUCUGGGCAAGGGAUACUUGUUCUUAAUCGUGACUUCAUUCAAAGCUCGAUAAUCGAUACACAUCCUCUUAGUACCAUCUUUCUUCUCCACAAACAAGACAGGGGCGGCCCAAGGCGAGGUGCUUGGCCGGAUGUAACCUUUCUCUGACAGCUCAUCAAUUUGCUUCUUAAGUUCAUCCAACUCUGGUCCAGAUAUUCUGUAAGCUCUCUUAGAGAUGGGGGCGGUUCCAGGAAGAAGCUCUAUAGCAAAUUCAACUUUCCGCUCUGGUGGCAUACCCGGUAAAUCCUUUGGAAACACAUCUGGGAAUUCAGACACAACCUUGAUACUCUCAAUUGGGUCUGCUUCACUGCUAUCAACAGCCAUCUGAUAACAACUUCCUUUCUUUGGCUCAGGCGGGACUAACUCGGUCACCACUUCCUCUCCUAGUGGGGACACUAACUUGAUGGUCCUUUUAUCACAACUGAUAACUGCCUGAUACUUAUCUAGCCAAUUCAUCCCUAGGAUGACAUCUAUUCCCUGAGUACCCAUUACUAUAAGGUUGGCGGGAAACGCUAUCCCCCUUAUUUCCACACUUACAUUUAAACAAAUGCUAUCAGCUCGAAUUCUACCACCGGCUGAGUCAAUUUGAAUGGGGGUUAACAUGGUAGUAGUUGGAAGAUUAUGUGCUUCUACCCAUGAUGCAGUAAUGAAAGAAUGUGUUGCUCCAGUAUCAAAUAACACUUCUGCAAUAUGGGAAUCGACUGGGAACAUACCUACUGUCAUGCCGGGGGUCUCCUGAACUGCUUCAGCUUCCAAGUGAUUCAAUCUUCCAUGAUUAUAGCGCUGCUGAGAGCGAUUGCCUGCUCCAGGCUGAGGCACAUUCUGCUUUGCUGGGGCAUUGGGGCCUGACUGCUGCUGGGCUGCCUUCUUCGGACAUUGCAUCACCCAGUGGCCUUGCUCUCCACAGUGGAAACAUGCCCUGUUUCCAACUUGAGCUGGUGCUGCCUGACUGUUCUGCUGAUUUGCUGGGGCAGGAAGACGAGGUGCUUGCUGAUUCUGCUUCUGAAACUGACCUCCUGACUGAUUGCUCUGACGGUUCUGGUACUGAUGCUGAGGAUACUGCCUUUGAAACUGCUGAUACUGCUGACGCUGCUGAUGCUGCUGAGGUGGACGCUGGUUCUGCCUGAACUGCUGAGGUUGAUUGCCUGAGAAACGGGGACGGCUGCUGCUUCCAGGCUGGGGUCCACUGAUCUUGCGCUUACGAUCUUCCAUCUCCUUGCGCUUCCUUUCUGUCAUGAUUGCUCUGUCAAUCAGGUGCUGGAAUGUCGGGAAGGUGUGAUUCAUCAGCUGAUACUGCAGAGGGUCAACCAAGCCUCUCAGGAAACGGUACUGUCGCUUGGCGUCGGUAUUGACAUCUUCGGGAGCGUAGCGAGACAAUUGCAGAAACCUGUCCCGAUACUCACUGACAGACGAUGACCCUUGCUUAAGGGCCAGGAACUCCUCCUUCUUCACUGUCAUCAGACCUGCAGGAACAUGGUACUGACGAAAGCUACCCCUGAAUUCUUCCCAGGUGAUGGUGUCGGGGUUGGCAUGGGUGGCGAGGUAAGACUCCCACCAUGACUGGGCUGCUCCUCUCAACAGACGGGGACCAUACAGAACUUUCUCCCUGUCAUCGCACUGAGCGGUAUGCAACUCCCGCUCCACAGUGCGCAGCCAAUCUUCAGCAUCCAUGGGGUCAGAAGAGUGAGCGAACGUUGGUGGAUGACCUCUCAUGAAUUCAGCACGCUUAUCUCUAGGCAUCUGAGGCAUCUGAGGCUGGGGUGGUGCUUGUUGCUGCUGCUGCUGCUGCUGCUGAAUGGCGGCCAGAGUCUGACCGAUAGCUUGAACUGCCUGAGUCUGCAUCAGAAACAUCUGCUCAAUCGACAUCGGGGGCGGGGGCGGCAGGUGCUGCUGCUGGGGCACCUCAUCCUGCGGAGCGGCUCGCUCCUGCUGAGCACGCCUUCCUCCUCUACGCCUGUUCUCUGACAUCUGCAGAACGCAACCACACAUCAGAACUGAUCUGGCAAAGCUUGCAGCAUAAGAAAAGAGUAUAGAAUUCUCCAACAGCACUGAACAGAUGAGCAUCUUCACUGAUCUCCAACACAGACCACACAGCUUCUCAGAUAAAGAGGAAAGGAGAAUAAUGGGUUUCCCAACUAUAUAACUAACUUUAUUGACAUAGUAUGUAAACCAAAAUGCAGGGGAUACCCACACUCUGGUGACAAUCAUUACAAAGAUCCAAACCAAACAUAGUUCAUCAUGACAAACAUAGAUGCACAGGAUAUAGCAAACUACCCUGUCUAACUAAAACUAACUAAGAUCGAGGCUAACGCUAAGACUGAAGCUUCCAUGUAUAUAUUUCGUAUUAAUUACAAGAUCCAACUCUAACGAUCUAUGGUUCUAGGUUGAUCUUGGUCUUGCAGGCGGGAUUGCCAUAAGACUGGUGUCCACGCUGAGGUGAGCGGUACGGGUGCUGAGUCCCAACGGGAGCGGGGGAUCCACCGUCCAGAAAACGACGUUCCGCGCGCUCAGCCCGCAGCAGGGCGAUCUCAGCACGAGCCCUACUCAGCUCGUCUAAUGCAUGGUCCAGCUCCGUGUUUAGCACGGCGGCUAGGUUGACUGUGCUGCUCAACCUAGGAUUGCCCUCACCGACGGGUGAGACAAUCACGCCUCCUGUGCUGCCAGAUGAACGGCGGGGGUAAUACUUCAGGUCAAGACCGUCAGCUGCCCCACCGAAAACCGAGCAGUAGUGCGAAAGCGCACGCCGUGCAGCAUCUUGCAUGGCUGCCUCAGCUGAGUCCCGCUCAGAGAUAGAAUAGUGCUCUGAACAGGCCUCUGCACCCUGGAGACUGUCCUCCGGGCAGCGCACCAAGCAAGUCGCCUCCCAGCGGUCCGGGUAGACCCCGCGACUAUGCUGGUAGACCACACAGCGAUACUCGACGGACCAAGUAUGCCGGUCAAAUGCCCGACGUAGCAGGGUGUCGAGCGCAUCAUGGAAGUGACACCCGCGAGCAGCGUCGCGAGUGAUGGGUCGAGCAACCCAUCCUUCCGGCUCAGGAUUAGCAGAGAAGUCGGUGUCGUGGCUCAAGCUGUCGUCGCCUCCUCCGUCGUCUGGGUCUCCCCCAGCAGCUACUCCAGAAGCUGGGGCGCCCAGUGGUGGUGCAGGGGGCGGCUCCAGAGAAAGCACAGGGGAGCAGCUCCUCACAGACUCUAUCUCCUGGUGGAGCGAGAGGGAAGAGCUCCGCUGCUCCUGUCGUCGACGUUCCUGCUCCUCACGCAGGCGGUGGUGCAGUCUCUCCAAGUGGCUGGACUGUCCGGCCACGGGACGGCGAAGCGGACGCUCAGCAAGACGGGAGGGUAAGAAGGGGAUGACUGACUUUCGUGCAGUGUGUCUAAGUCGAGCCAUCUACAAAAGACAUCGCAAGCAAAAGGGUGAGAACAGAAUUAAUAUGACCAGCAAGUAAUGAAUCAUAAGUAAAUGAAGGAUUGGAAUAAAACAUGAUUUUUAGCAAGGUAUAGUAUAUAGUAGAACAUAGGUUUGGUCAGUAGGACCAACUUUUGAAGGGAUAUCAAAGUCAAGGAAGAGACAGAGGUCUAUAAUCCUUAGAACGACCAUUCUACUCUAGGUUAGCGGUCCUACAGUCAGCACGGCUUUGAUACCACUUAUGUCACACCCGGUUUUUAGAAGGCAAACCGAAUGCGAACCAUGUACGUGCCAGGAUCAGUUAUUCACGUACACAGCAGUUACAUAAUAUGGACAUCAUCACACAGUGCUCAAAAUAAUAUUAAAAGGGGAAAUAAUAGUCGAUUACAUCAUACGUCUGAGACGUCCAUAUAGUUCUUACAAUAAAUCAAAGUGCGGAAAAGAAACGUAGAUAACGCGGCCUUCACAGGCAGCCGACUGGGGGUUGCCGCUAACCCACACCUAGAACUCGUCGUAAUCUUGGAACUCCUGGAAGUCUCCUUCCACAGCUUCAUCUUCGCCUGAGCAGUGGUUGCAAUGCUGACAACCUGGGGGGGGGGUUUGGUGUGUAGAGCAAGGGUGAGUACACAUCAACAUACUCAGCAAGUAUCCUGUUUGGCUGUAGUGGACUAGCUUUAUGUGGGGAUAAGUCAAGCAGUUGCUUUUAGUUGGUCAGGUUAUUACUUACUAGUAGAAAGCCAGGUUUUAACAUUAACCCAAGUUAUUAGCCCAAUGUAUCCUUUCCAAACGGAAAGAAUACCACUUACCAGCACCAUAAUCAUAACCAGAUUCAACAGUCUCAUAACCACCUGUACCACAAUAUCUCUGAUCAAGUACCACUAAUCAUUGGAGCUCCCUUGGCCGCUCAUAACCGCGAGCACGGCUGAUAUAUCAGUUUCAUAACACUCUGCAGAGGUUGUGCACUUUACCCACAAGCCGUGAUUCCCAUUCUGCCCGGAGAUCAUGACUCUCCAUUGAUCACUACCAAGGUGAUCCAGCAGGGCAUCACUACGAAGCCUUUACAAGAUUCCCCGGGGCUGUAGCCACCCGUUAGGUUUCCUAAAUGCACCGCACUCCUCCCCAAGGGGCGAACCCAAACUUGGCAGAGCGAGCCGCAUACACCGAGCCCCAUUGACGGCACGACGGCUAAGUGAACUACACCCCGGAUCCUCUAAUUAUUCAGCUAAGGGCACCCCAUUCCACCCUCAUGGUUGCACUGUUUUCCCGGGCGGUCAUCCAUAGAACAGGUCCUUACGGAGAGGCACUCGAGAAACCGCUCGAGUCCCCUUGAAAACCACAAGUAUAAUCAUAAAGAAGAGCGGGAAAACAGCGUAUCAUAGAUAAUCACAUCAUGUUCAUUGAUUAGAGUUGAGCAAUAGCAUCAGACUAAGUAGUAAUAAUCCGACCCAAAUAGGUAAACAAGGACAUGGAUAACAAAAGCUAGUCAAUCCUUAGGUAUAAAUGUGUAAAGCGGGAGGUGAAUUAAAGAAUGAAUAGGACAUAGAUAGGUCAAAGGACACUUGCCUCCACCAAACGACUGCUGCUCAGGGGCUUCUCCUGCGAAUUCCUCGGGCUCUUCGACCGGAUCGUUCUCUAUGCGAGCGCAAACAUACAUACAUACAUCCACAUAUUUAAUACAAAAGAACAGUACACCAUACAAGAUAACAAAUAAAGCGAAUAUGCAUCAAGUAUGACAUUCGAUAACGCAUUUGUUAUGGUUAGAAAGAAACGGGAAAGGUCUCGCAGGGGGGUUAAAUCUUAUGCACUAAUGACACAAUUGGUUUUUAACAAAAGAAUUCUGUUACAUAUACACUAAUGGAAACCUAAUCACUUUUAGUUGAUCAACAUUGCACAGGGUAAACAAUUAACUACGUGCAUCAAUAGCAUAACGGAAUUUUAAAUUAAACUUCCUAUUUUCCCAUAGCAUGAACAGUGAUUAGCCUACUUAAAAUACAGUAAUCAUGAUUACAGAAAGUAAAUAAAAUAAAAUAAAAAAAUAAAAAAAAAACAGAAGGGGGGGGGGCGGUUGAACCGGCCCUAGGGCGGUUGAACCGGCCCUAGGCGGGGCGCGGGCGCGGGCGGCUGAACCGGCGGGGCAGGGGGCGGCGCAGGGGCGGCCGAGCCGGGGGGGGGCGGCCGAACCGGCGGGCAGGGAGGCGGCGCAGGGGGCGGCCGAGCCGGGGGGCGGGGCGGCCGAACCGGCGGGCAGGGAGGCGGCGCAGGGGCGGCCGAGCCGGGGGGCGGGCGGCCGAACCGGCGGGCAGGGAGGCGGCGCAGGGGGCGGCCGAGCCGGGGGGCGGGGCGGCCGAACCGGCGGGCAGGGAGGCGGCCGAACCGGCCAUGGGGAAAGGGGAGAGGGGAUGGGGGAGGGAGGAGAGGGGGAGGGGGAGCUCACCGGGGAGGGGCGCGACGGCGAGGGGCGGCCGAGGGCGGCGGUUGGGCAGGGGCGGCGGCGGCUUAGGGCAGGGGUAGGGGCGGCGGCUUAGGGAGAGGGAGAGAAAAUGAGAGAAAAUGAGAGGGAGAGGGAGAGGGUUUGGGGAAAAAGGGGAGGUGGGGGGGGCGGUUGGGCCUAUUGGGCCCAGGGGGGGGGCGCGCAGGGGCGGCUGGGCCGGCGGGGUCGGCCCACGGCGCGGGAGAGAGAAAAAAAAGGAAGAGAGAGAGAAAAGAGAAAGAAAAGAGAAAGAAAACAUUUUCGAAAUCCGAUUCUUCUACAUGAAUGCAUUUGCACUUUCAAAGCAAUCAAAGGAAAUGCAAGGUUCGGCAUGGUGCAUCGAGCAACAUAAAGCAUUUAGGGUUUUUCUUACACGGGAAAUCCAAACCGAAUCCCGCUAGAACUUUGGAAAAGGUCAAGGUUUAGCGAGGGAAAAAGAAAAGGAAAGGUAACGCCCGAAUUUUGGCGAGUAAAGAAAAGAAAAAAAUUCAACUGCAAAAUUCGGGGCGUUACAUCUGCGAGGCGGUGUAGAAUUCCCCCUUCAUUCGCUACAGAUGAGAUUGUCCCGAAGCAGAAUACAGAUCCGGGACGCACGGUGAUCUUGCUGUGGAAGGUGACGGCCAUUGAGCUAGCUUGGAUCGUCGACACACCCCCUACCUGGCGCGCCAGCUAUCGGUGUUUUGGGUCCGACCGCACACCUGGGGUUACCCCUCAAGGUGUUUUUAGGAGUAGGACGGUGUCAACGACUGUAGCAAAAUGGUUCGUGCCGAUCGCACGAGGGACAGUGGACAAGAUUUGCAGGUUCGGGCCGCUUAGAGAUGCGUAACACCCUACGUCCUGAUGAGUAUUUGAGUGCGGUUACAAGAGGGCUCUCUGGAACUGAGGCACAGAGAGUUUACGUGAGUGGCUAAGUAAAGUAGGGUCGAUCGUUCUGAAGGGGUGCCCCCUAGGCCUUAUAUACUCGACCGUGGGGCAGUACACGUGGAUAUGAUAGCUACAAGUAGCUGAAAGAUAGUAAACCUCUUGAGUUUAUCCCUACGUAACCCUUCCCGACUUAUCCUCGCAUGGCUCUGUUGCAUGGGGGCUUCAGCGCGGGAAAGUCGGGUCUCUGUUGCGAUUUACUCGUUCGACGUUGUGGGCCGUCCGGGUUUGCUCCAAUCCAGUCUUAUGUCUUCUCCGCUUCGUUGAUUGUCUUUCCCCAGGCCCACGAAAGACGACUUNNNNNNNNNNNNNNNNNNNNNNNNNNNNNNNNNNNNNNNNNNNNNNNNNNNNNNNNNNNNNNNNNNNNNNNNNNNNNNNNNNNNNNNNNNNNNNNNNNNNNNNNNNNNNNNNNNNNNNNNNNNNNNNNNNNNNNNNNNNNNNNNNNNNNNNNNNNNNNNNNNNNNNNNNNNNNNNNNNNNNNNNNNNNNNNNNNNNNNNNNNNNNNNNNNNNNNNNNNNNNNNNNNNNNNNNNNNNNNNNNNNNNNNNNNNNNNNNNNNNNNNNNNNNNNNNNNNNNNNNNNNNNNNNNNNNNNNNNNNNNNNNNNNNNNNNNNNNNNNNNNNNNNNNNNNNNNNNNNNNNNNNNNNNNNNNNNNNNNNNNNNNNNNNNNNNNNNNNNNNNNNNNNNNNNNNNNNNNNNNNNNNNNNNNNNNNNNNNNNNNNNNNNNNNNNNNNNNNNNNNNNNNNNNNNNNNNNNNNNNNNNNNNNNNNNNNNNNNNNNNNNNNNNNNNNNNNNNNNNNNNNNNNNNNNNNNNNNNNNNNNNNNNNNNNNNNNNNNNNNNNNNNNNNNNNNNNNNNNNNNNNNNNNNNNNNNNNNNNNNNNNNNNNNNNNNNNNNNNNNNNNNNNNNNNNNNNNNNNNNNNNNNNNNNNNNNNNNNNNNNNNNNNNNNNNNNNNNNNNNNNNNNNNNNNNNNNNNNNNNNNNNNNNNNNNNNNNNNNNNNNNNNNNNNNNNNNNNNNNNNNNNNNNNNNNNNNNNNNNNNNNNNNNNNNNNNNNNNNNNNNNNNNNNNNNNNNNNNNNNNNNNNNNNNNNNNNNNNNNNNNNNNNNNNNNNNNNNNNNNNNNNNNNNNNNNNNNNNNNNNNNNNNNNNNNNNNNNNNNNNNNNNNNNNNNNNNNNNNNNNNNNNNNNNNNNNNNNNNNNNNNNNNNNNNNNNNNNNNNNNNNNNNNNNNNNNNNNNNNNNNNNNNNNNNNNNNNNNNNNNNNNNNNNNNNNNNNNNNNNNNNNNNNNNNNNNNNNNNNNNNNNNNNNNNNNNNNNNNNNNNNNNNNNNNNNNNNNNNNNNNNNNNNNNNNNNNNNNNNNNNNNNNNNNNNNNNNNNNNNNNNNNNNNNNNNNNNNNNNNNNNNNNNNNNNNNNNNNNNNNNNNNNNNNNNNNNNNNNNNNNNNNNNNNNNNNNNNNNNNNNNNNNNNNNNNNNNNNNNNNNNNNNNNNNNNNNNNNNNNNNNNNNNNNNNNNNNNNNNNNNNNNNNNNNNNNNNNNNNNNNNNNNNNNNNNNNNNNNNNNNNNNNNNNNNNNNNNNNNNNNNNNNNNNNNNNNNNNNNNNNNNNNNNNNNNNNNNNNNNNNNNNNNNNNNNNNNNNNNNNNNNNNNNNNNNNNNNNNNNNNNNNNNNNNNNNNNNNNNNNNNNNNNNNNNNNNNNNNNNNNNNNNNNNNNNNNNNNNNNNNNNNNNNNNNNNNNNNNNNNNNNNNNNNNNNNNNNNNNNNNNNNNNNNNNNNNNNNNNNNNNNNNNNNNNNNNNNNNNNNNNNNNNNNNNNNNNNNNNNNNNNNNNNNNNNNNNNNNNNNNNNNNNNNNNNNNNNNNNNNNNNNNNNNNNNNNNNNNNNNNNNNNNNNNNNNNNCUUGCACUUACAAAUUAUGCAAACUAGUUCAAUUAUGCACUUCUAUACUUGCUUUGGUUUGUGUUGGCAUCAAUCACCAAAAAGGGGGAGAUUGAAAGGGAAUUAGGCUUACACCUAUUUCCUAAUUGAUUUUGGUUGUUGAAUUGCCCAACACAAAUAAUUGGACUAACUAGUUUGCUCUAGUCUAUAAGUUCUACAGGUGCCAAAGGUUCACAAUAAGUCAAUAAAAAGACCAAGGAUGGGUUCGAACAAAGAGAGCAAGGGAUAACCGAAGUGUGCCCUGGUCUGGCGCACCGGACUGUCCGGUGUGCCAUCGGACAGUGUCCGGUGCACCAGGGGACUCCAAGCUGAACUCCUCACCUUCGAGAAUUCUCAGAGGCGCUCCGCUAAAAUUCACCGGACUGUCCGGUGCAUCACCGAAUAGUGUCCGGUGCCCCAGAGGAGAGCGACUCUGAACUCGCCAGCUUCGGGAAUCUGCUCCGCUAAAAUUCACCGGACUGUCCGGUGAGCCAGCGGAGCAACGACUACUUCACGCUCAACGGUCGACUGCAACGCAUUAAAUGCGCGCCAGCGCGCGCAGAGGACAGAGCACACGCGGGUGGCACACCAGACAGUCUACAGGACUUGUCCGGUGCACCACCGGACAGCUAGGCGGGCCCACAAGUCAGAGCUCUAACGGUCGGAACCCAACGGCCAGGUGACAUGGCUGGCGCACCGGACAGUGUCCGGUGGCGCACCUGACUGUCCGGUGCACCAUGCGACAGAAGCUUUCACCAAACGACUAGUUUGGUGGUUGGGGUUAUAAAUACCCCCAACCACCCCACAUUCAAGUCAUCCAAGUUUUCCACCUUCCAACUACUUACAAGAGCUCUAGCAUUCAAUUCUAGACACACCAAAGAGAUCAAAUCCUCUCCAAAUUCCACACAAAGCCUUAGUGCUUAGAGAGAGUGAUUGUUGUGUUCAUUUGAGCUCUUGCGCUUGGAUUGCUUCUUUUUCUCAUUCUUUCUUGUGAUCAACUCAAUUGUAACCAAGGCAAGAGACACCAAUUGUGUGGUGGUCCUUGCGGGGAAGUUUGUUCCCGUUUGAUUGAGAAGAGAAGCUCAGUCGGUCCGAGGGACCGUUUGAGAGAGGGAAAGGGUUGAAAGAGACCCAGUCUUAGUGACCACCUCAACGGGGAGUAGGUUUGCGAGAACCGAACCUCGGUAAAACAAAUCCUUGUGUCUCACUUCUUAUUCGCUUGCGAUUUGUUUUUUGCGCCCUCGCUCGGACCCGAUUAUAUUUCUAACGCUAACCCGGCUUGUAGUUGUGCUUAAGUUGUUAAAUUUCAGAUUCGCCCUAUUCACCCCCCCUCUAGGCGACUUUCACAUGCACAGUUCGUGGACGCGUACCGGGAGCUGGGUGCGCGGACCGCUGCCUUCGAAGUGCCCGGUCAAGAAGCGGGCCUUCGCUUUCUGGAAUGGUUGUAGGAGGAGCUGGGGGUGCUCCCGACCAUCGUGACGAGUUUCAUGUCCUUCGCCUCCCUCGUCACCUGCGAGGGGGCCGUGAAUGCUUUGUCCCGUGAGGGGUGCAGGCAUUACGAGGUCUUCGACCAAGCGGACGAGAACUUUGAACGUGAAAUCUUCAAGGUCGAAGACCUUGUGCUGAAGCAAUCGGCGGGGGCGCUGUUCGAUAGGAUGUGGGGCCCGCACGGCCGAGAGGCGGUUAGGGAGCGGUCCGACCGGGCAAUAGAUCAGGUAAAGGCUAUUUUUGGUGUGGUUGUGUGUGUAGAUGUGUGUGGUUUUGCUGAAGGAGUGUGCUGUUGUUACAGAUGGCGCACGCCGAAGACAUCGAGGACCUUGGGGGUCUGGACGGCGCGCCGCCUGAGGCCGCGGAGGCCGAUCCGGUGCCGCCAUCUGCAGCCAACAAGGGCCCCUCGGCGACCCCUGCACCGACUGCAACCAGCGAAGACCCCGCACCAGCCCUUGGGCCGACGUGUGAGGACGCCUCCAAGACGGUGGCCGAGCCGGCUGCCGAAGACUCCACGACCUUGGUCGGGUCGUCGCAGGUGGCUGAAUAGGUGUUGGGGAGUUUGUAAAUUUUAUCUGUGUGAUAGUGAAACUCGGUUGUUGCGCAGGUUCUGAGGUUUGGGCCUGCGCACGCAACCGCUACUGACAAUACUAUUUUUGUGGCGGCUUCGACCAUGACUGCCGAUGAUGAUUCGUUUGGCUCUGUGUCUAAGUGUUUUGAGUCUGAUGAUUCUGGGAGUUCGACUGCAUGGACGGAGGAGUCUUCGGAUGAGGGCUUAGAUUAUUUUGUUGCGAUGGAUGUGGCUGCGGCGGAGACUUCGCCGCGUGUGGAGGGUGCUGGGGAUCUUCCUGGUACAAGUACUGGGUAUAGGCAGCGAAGGGCGGUGGCGAAACAGAGAGUGAGUGAAUUGCCGCGAAGUGGUAGGCGUCAUCGUAGUGAGAUGGAGAGUGGUCGUCUUCGCGUGGACGGGGCUGUUAAACGAGAGUUGUUAUCCUCACCAACUGGGGCGAGUAUAGGUGAGGGGGAGAUGCAAAAUCUGUUUGAAGGUGAAGAAUUGAGGAUAAUGUUGUUUAAUUACAGGGAGAUGGGUAUCAUCCCGAAGGUUGAGCCGAUGUAAUAUACGAUGUCCUCGCUGUGUGUAUGUAACCAAAAUUUGUAUGAUAAGGCUGCGCGCCUUCGUUGAUUCGGCUGCACCCGUAGGCUACUUCUGCACGGAGUCUUUUGUAAAGGACUUCGAUCUUUGUGUAUUUAUUGUGCUGUUCCAGCUGCACCCUUAGGCGACUUUUUGCACGGAGAGUCUUUUGGAAAUGACUUCGAUUUUGCAGUAUUCUGUUGUUCCGGCUGCACCCUUAGGCGACUUUUGCACGAAGAGUCUUUGGGAAAAGACUUCGUUUGUCACACUUGUGCUAUUGCGGCUGCACCCUUAGGCAACUUUUGUGUGGAGAGUCUUUUACAAAGACUUCGAUUGUCGCACUUGUUGUGCUAUUCCGGCUGCACCCUUAGGCGACUUUUGCACGGAGAGUCUUUUACAAAGACUUCUAUUGUCGCACUUGUUGUGCUAUUCCGGCUGCACCCUUAGGCGACUUUUUGCUCGGAGUGUCGCACGCGAGGGUAGUCUACGCUGCCUCUCGCGGUGACUUUGGAGUGGUCGAAUGCCGAAGACCGUUGAUGCGGUCUUUUUCGACAUGUAUCUUAAUUUUUGUGGGGGAUUUUUGCAGAUAUAUUACAUGGCUCCGCCUCGUUAAAAACAUCACCCCCUGGGAGGAAAAGAGUGCGAGCCGGAAUGAUACUGUUUGGUGAAUUACAAGGGCAAGUUGGCCCUGAGGAUUCAAACAAAAAAUUUGUGAAGAUUAUCAAUGUUCCAGGAAUGAUCUAGGUCUUCGCCGGAUGACGUUGUUAGCCUGUACACACUAGGGGACGCCUUUGACUUGACGAUGAAUGGACCCUCCCACUUCGGCUCCAGCUUGCCUCGUGACUCUGUCCGGGUUGUGCGGACGAGUACGAGGUCCCCUUCGCUGAAUUCUCUUGGGACGACUGCGUGGUCGCGCCAGGCCUUCGUUUGAGCUUGGUAUUUGUUAAGGGCCUGUAGGGCGAAGACGCGGUCUCCGUCAAUGAGGUCCUUGGAGGUUGGUCCAUCUAUGUUGGGGACGGCUGAAGUGCUUGUUUGUGGUGACCCAUGCUUUAUCUCCUGCGGGGUCAUAGCCUCCGAUCCGUAUAGUAGGCGAAAGGGAGUGAACCCAGUCGCCCGACAUUCGGUCGUGUUUAGCGCCCAGACUGCUUCGGGUAGCAGGUCGGCCCAUUUUCCCUUCUUGUCGUCGAGAAGCAUUUUUUUGAUGGCAGAGAAAAUCUUGUCGUUGGCGCGCUCGAUGACGCCGUUAGUUUGUGGGUGAUAUACUGAGGCGAAGGCAAGCUUGGUGCUGAUGGAGUAGCAGAAGUCCCUGAAGUCCUGGCCGUCAAACUGUUUGCCAUUGUCGACUGUUAGCUCGGACGGGACUCCGAAUCGGCAAACAAUGUUCUGCCAGAAGAAUUUCUGGGCGGUCUUCGACAUUAUUGUUGAUACUGCCCUUGCCUCGAUCCACUUGGUAAAAUACUCGACGGCAACGAAGGUAAACUUGAGGUUCCCCUGGGCCGUGGGCAGUGGCCUGACAAUGUCUAGCCCCCAGUGUUGAAGUGGCCAUGUGUGAGCAAUCAGCUUUGUGAAUUGCGAAGGGUUGCCCAAACAAGGAGAGAACUUCUGGCAGGCUUCGCACGACCGCGUAACUCGAUUCGCGGCGCAGAUUAUAGCGGGCCAGUAGAACCCUUGGCGGAUCACCUUGGCAGCGAGGGCCCUAGGCCCUGAGUGAGAACCACAAGUUCCACUGUGGACUUCGCGCAGGAUCUGGGUGCCUUCGGUUUCGGUGACACAUUUGAGCAUGGGUUGACUGACCCCCUUCUUGUAUAGCUGGCCCUCAAUAAGUGCGAAGUCCUGGCUUCGGUGCUUGAGGCGCUUGGCCUCGUUGAUGUCACUGGGAUGGUAGUAUCCUUGCAGGAACAGGAUUAUUGGGGCCCGCUAGUCUUUGGUCAUGAUGAGGUUAACUAUACGAUGGCCCUCAGCGUCAUUUGUUAUUUGGAGACCCUCUGGAUUGCGGACGGCUGGCGUGCCGAUGACGUGGUAGAACACGUCAAAGGGCAAGGCUUCGCCUCUGGCCGCUGCUUUGGCCAAUGCGUCGGCCUCUUCGUUCCUGGCGCGGUCCACAUGCUACAAGGUGAAACCCUUGAAUUGUUUCUCAAGGCUGUGAACAGCCGUAAGAUAUUGCAUGAGUGCGGGGUCCUUUGCUGAAUAUUCUUUCUCAACCUGGCCAGCGACAACUUUGGAGUCUGUCUUGACAAUGCAGGUGGCAACGCCGAGUGCUUUCAGCAUGCGAAGGCCCAGAAUGACGGUUUCAUACUCUGCUAUGUUGUUGGUGCAUCUGUCGGAUUCCAGAGCAAAGCUAAGGCGUGCUACGUAUCUGUGCUUGACGCCGGUAGGUGAUGUGAUAAUUGCAGCCGCACCUGCCCCCGCAUGUCACCAUGCGCGUCACAGUGGAUGGUCCACACCUUCUCUGAGGGCUCUUCUUGCUGCCGUGCCGGCCCUGUCCAGUCGACGAUGAAAUCUGCGAGGACUUGCGACUUGAUUGUUGUCCUGGGCUCGAAGGUGAUGUGGUAUUCGGAGAGUUUGACCGCCAAUUUGGCGAUACGGACGGACGCCUCCGGAUUUCUGAAUAAUUCGCCGAGUCCCCUGUCCGAGGUGACUCGCACCUUGAACGCUUCGAAGUAGUGGCGCAACUUGCGCGAUGCCAUGACGACUGCGUAGGCAAUUUUUUCCAACUCUGUCAUGUUGCAUUUGGAAGUCGUGAGGACUUCGGAGACGUAAUAAACCGGACACUGCCGAGUUGUGCCCUCUCUAUCCUGCUCUUGGACCAAUGCUGCGCUGACUGCGUGUGGCGAAGCUGCAAUGUAAAGCAACAGAGGUAGCGAGGGGUCGGAGCUUGUAAGGGUUGCUAUCUCUGAUAGGUGCUGCUUGAGUGAUGCGAAGGCUGUCGCUUGCUCUGGUCCCCAUGCAAAGUCUUUUGCGCCGCGUAGCGUUUUGAGGAAAGGUAGGCUUCGCUCUGCGGACUUGGAAAUGAAUCUAUUGAGGGCAGCCAAUCUGCCUGUUAGACGCUGGACAUCUCUGGCUGACUACGGAGGCGUCAUGUUGAUGAUGGCCUGGAUCUUGGUCGGGUUGGCCUCGAUCCCGCGGUGUGACACCAGGUAGCCCAGUAUCUUCCCGUGGCGAACUCCAAAGACGCACUUCUCGGGGUUCAGGCGAAGUCGUGCGUCCCUGAAAGGGAAAUGUGCCCUUGGGCCAUUUCUAAGUAUUUUGGUGAUUGAGUGCCAACACAAGUGCUUAAAUGUGAAUCUAUACCCAUGGAUGGACAAAGUGCAAAUCAAGAGUAAAGGUAUGUUUCUAAGCCUUAGUACAUUGUUUUGAAGACUAAUGUAUUGUGUCUAAGUGCUUGAAAUAGGAGAAAUCGAGUCAGAGAAUAAGUUGGCUGUGUACAGCCAAAAGGCUGUUCGGUCUAGAGCACCGGACUGUCCGGUGGUGCACCGGACAGUGUCCGGUGCGCCAGGCUGUCUCGAGCGAAGUGGCCGCUCUCGGGAAUUCGCCGACGGCGUACGGCUAUAAUUCACCGGACUGUCCGGUGUGCACCGGACUGUCCGGUGAGCCAACGGUCGGCCGGGCCAACGGUCGACCACGGAAUCUGCGCGCGACACGUGGCCGGGCCAACGGUCGGAAGGGGGCACCGGACUGUCCGGUGUGCACCGGACUGUCCGGUGCGCCAACGGCUCCCAGAUCUGCAACGGUCGGCUGCGCCAUUUAAGGAAAGAAAUCGGGCACCGGACAGUGUCCGGUGUGCACCGGACUGUCCGGUGCGCCCGAUGACAGAAGGCAAGAUCAGCCUUCCAGAAUUGCUCUCAACGGCUCCUAGCUGCCUUGGGGCUAUAAAAGGGACCCCUAGGCGCAUGGAGGAGAACACCAAGCAACCUUAGAGCAUUCUUGAUCAUCCACACUCAGUCUUUGCGCAUUCGUUUGUCAUUUGCAGUGAUUCGAGCUCCGUUCUAGUGAGAACUUUGAGAUAGUCUUUUGAGCUCGAUUCUUGGCCGUGCAUGUGCGCAUUUUGCUGUGGAUUUGUGUGUGUUGCUUCCCUCCCUUACUCCGUAUUUCUUUGUGAAUCUCAAGUGUAAGGGCGAGAGACUCCAAGUUGUGGAGAUUCCUCGCAAACGGGAUAUUGAAAGGAAAAGCAUAACACUGUGGUAUUCAAGUUGAUCAUUGGAUCACUUGAGAGGAGUUGAGUGCAACUCUCGUCCGUUGGGACGCCACAACGUGGAGUAGGCAAGUUUUGUACUUGGCCGAACCACGGGAUAAACCACUGUGUCUUCUCUGUGUUGAUCUUUUGUGGUAUUGUGUUUUGUUGAGACUCAUCUCUAGCCACUUGGCGAUUAUUGUGCUAACACUUAACAAGUUUUUGUGGCUAUAAGUUUAAGUUUCACAGGAUCACCUAUUCACCCCCCCCCCCCUCUAGGUGCUCUCAAUUGGUAUCGGAGCUGUUCUCUUCAAGAAGGGACUAAUCGCCCGAAGAGAUGGAUCCUAAGGGGAAGGGAAUCGUGAUCAACGACAAGGAGAAGGAGUCCUUCGUCAACGAGCCGAAGGAUGACAAGCCUACUGACUCGGGCUCGGGCCACAAGCGUAAAGAUGGGAAGAAGAAGAAGAUAAGGCGCAUCAAGGAGAUCGUCUACUACGACGAUAGCGAUGAGUCUACUUCUUCCCAAAAGGACGACGACAACGACUACAGGAAGACGGUCAAUUCGAACUUUUCAUUUGAUUAUUCUCGUAUUCCACAUAGUUCGAAUUCGCAUUUGCUUUCCAUUCCUCUUGGCAAACCUCCACACUUCGAUGGGGAAGACUACGGAUUUUGGAGUCACAAAAUGCGUAGUCACUUAUUCUCUCUCCAUCCAAGCAUAUGGGAGAUUGUAGAGAAUGGAAUGAAAUUUGAUAGCUCGGAUAGCCCUAUGCUUAUAAAUGAACAAAUCCAUAGAAAUGCACAAGCUACUACUGUUCUAUUAGCAUCUUUGUGCAGGGAAGAGUACAAUAAGGUGAGCGGCUUGGACAAUGCCAAGCAGAUCUGGGACACCCUCAAGAUCUCUCAUGAGGGGAACGAUGUCACCUUACUCACCAAGAUGGAGUUGGUGGAGGGCGAGCUUGGACGGUUCGCAAUGAUAAGGGGAGAGGAGCCAACUCAAACAUACAACCGGCUCAAGACCCUUAUCAACAAAAUAAGGAGCUACGGAAGCACGCGAUGGACGGAUCACGACGUCGUCCGCCUAAUGCUAAGGUCCUUUACCGUUCUUGAUCCUCAUUUGGUGAACAAUAUUCGUGAAAAUCCUAGGUACACCAAGAUGUCGCCCAAAGAAGUACUUGGGAAAUUCGUUAGCGGGUGAAUGAUGAUCAAGGAGGCAAGAUACGUGGACGACGCCUUGAAUGGUCCGAUCAACGAGCCGCAACCCCUUGCUCUCAAGGCAACAAGGAGCAAGGAGGCGCUACCAAGCAAGGUGGCGCAAGUUGAGGCGGCCGGGCUAAAUAAUGAGGAGAUGACCCUCAUCAUUAAGCGCUUCAAGACGGCGCUUAAAGGUCGCAAGGGACAGCCAAGCAAGACCAAAGCCAAGGGGAAGCGCUCGUGCUUCAAAUGCGGUAAGAUUGGUCAUUUUAUUGCUAACUGUCCCGACAAUGAUAGUGACCAGGAACACGGGAGCAAGAGGGAAAGGAAGAAGCAUUACAAGAAGGCCAAGGGAGAGGCACAUAUCGGAAAGGAGUGGGAUUCGGAUUGCUCCUCCUCCGACUCCGACAAUGAAGGACUCGCCGCCACUGCCUUCAACAAGUCAUCCCUCUUCCCAAACGAGCGUCACACUUGCCUCAUGGCAAGGGAGAAGAAAGUAAGCACUCAUAAUACUAGUACUUAUGCUUCUUCAAGUGAGGAUGAGUCUAGUGACGAUGACGAGAUAGAUUACUCAUGCUUAUUCAAGGGAUUAGAUAGAACCAAGGUAGACAAAAUUAAUGAAUUGAUUGAUGCCUUGAAUGAUAGGAAUAUACUUUUAGAAAAGCAAGAGAAUUUGUUGUAUGAAGAACAUGAUAAAUUUGUAGAAGCUCAGAAAUCUCUUGCUCUAGAAAUUAAGAGGAAUGAAAUGCUCUCUAGUGAAUUAUCUUCUUGUCAUGAAACCAUUGCUACUUUAAAGAGUGUUAAUGAUGACUUAAAUGCUAAACUAGAAGUAGCUAGUAAAUCUAAUUCUUGUGUAGAACAUGUUGAGAUUUGCACUAGGUGUAAAGAUUUCGAUGUUGAUGCUUGUAGUGAUCAUUUAGUUUCAAUUUCCAAAUUAACUGAGGAAUUGGCUAGUCUUAAUGCCCAACUUAAGACUAGCAAGAAUGAAUUUGAUAAACUAAAAUUUGCAAGGGAUGCCUACACGAUCGGUAGACACCCCUCAAUUAAGGAUGGACUUGGCUUCAAGAGGGAAGCCAAGAACUUAACAAGCCAUAAGGCUCCCAUUCCCGCUAAGGAGAAAGGGAAGGACCCUAUGGCUACUAGUGCUAAAAAGAACCAUGCCUUUUUGUAUCAUGAUAGGAGACAAACUAGAAAUGCUUAUAGGAGUUAUAAUGCUUACGAUGAUUUUUCUCAUGCUAUGUUUGCUUCUAGUUCUUCAUAUGUGCAUGAUAGAAAUGUUGGUAGAAGGAAUGUUGUUCAUAAUAUGCCUAGAAGAGAUGUUGUUAAUAUUCCUAGGAAAGUUAAUGAGCCUUCUACAAUAUAUCAUGCUUUGAAUGCUUCCUUUGCAAUUUGUAGAAAGGAUAGAAAGGUAAUUGCUAGAAAGUUAGGGGCAAAAUGCAAGGGUGAUAAAACUUGCAUUUGGGUCCCUAAGGAAAUUGUGACUAACCUAGUAGGACCCAACAAGAGUUGGGUACCUAAGUCCCAAGCCUAAAUUUGCCUUGCAGGUUUAUGCAUCCGGGGGUUCAAGCUGGAUUAUUGAUAGCGGAUGCACAAACCAUAUGACGGGGGAGAAGAAGAUGUUCACCUCCUACGUCAAGAAUAAGGAUUCCCAAGAUUCAAUUAUAUUCGGUGAUGGGAAUCAAGGCAAGGUAAAAGGGUUAGGUAAAAUUGCAAUUUCUAAUGAGCACUCCAUAUCUAAUGUGUUUUUAGUAGAGUCUCUUGGAUAUAAUUUGCUAUCUGUUAGUCAAUUAUGCAACAUGGGGUAUAACUGUCUAUUUACAAAUGUAGAUGUGUCUGUCUUUAGAAGAAGUGAUGGUUCACUAGCUUUUAAGGGUGUAUUAGACGGCAAACUUUAUUUAGUUGAUUUUGCAAAAGAAGAGGCCGGUCUAGAUGCAUGCUUAAUAGCUAAGACUAGCAUGGGCUGGCUGUGGCAUCGCCGCUUAGCACAUGUGGGGAUGAAGAACCUUCACAAGCUUCUAAAGGGAGAACACGUGAUAGGUUUGACUAACGUGCAAUUCGAAAAAGAUAGACCUUGUGCAGCUUGUCAAGCAGGUAAACAAGUGGGAGGAGCGCAUCACAGCAAGAAUGUGAUGACCACUUCAAGACCCCUAGAGCUGCUGCAUAUGGACCUCUUCGGACCUGUCGCCUAUCUGAGCAUAGGAGGGAGUAAGUAUGGUCUAGUUAUUGUUGAUGACUUUUCCCGCUUCACUUGGGUGUUCUUUUUGCAGGAUAAGUCUGAAACCCAAGGGACCCUCAAGCGCUUCCUCAGGAGAGCUCAAAAUGAGUUUGAGCUCAAGGUGAAGAAGAUAAGGAGCGACAACGGGUCCGAGUUCAAGAACCUUCAAGUGGAGGAGUUCCUUGAGGAGGAAGGGAUCAAGCACGAGUUCUCCGCUCCCUACACACCACAGCAAAAUGGUGUGGUAGAGAGAAAGAACAGGACGCUAAUCGAUAUGGCGAGGACGAUGCUUGGAGAAUUCAAGACCCCCGAGUGUUUCUGGUCGGAAGCCGUGAACACGGCUUGCCACGCCAUCAACAGGGUCUACCUUCAUCGCCUCCUCAAGAAGACUUCGUAUGAGCUACUAACCGGUAACAAACCCAAUGUAUCUUACUUUCGUGUAUUUGGGAGCAAGUGCUACAUUCUAGUAAAGAAGGGUAGAAAUUCUAAGUUUGCUCCUAAAGCUGUAGAAGGGUUUUUGUUAGGUUAUGACUCAAAUACAAAGGCGUAUAGAGUCUUCAACAAAUCAUUGGGUUUGGUUGAAGUCUCUAGCGACGUUGUAUUUGAUGAGACUAAUGGCUCUCCAAGAGAGCAAGUUGUUGAUCUUGAUGAUGUAGAUGAAGAAGAUGUUCCGACGGCAGCUAUACGAACCAUGGCGAUUGGAGAAGUGCGGCCACAGGAACAAGAUGAACGAGAUCAACCUUCUUCCUCAACAAUGAUGCAUCCCCCAACUCAAAACGAUGAAUAGGUUCAUCAAGAGGAGUGUGAUCAAGGGGGAGCACAGGAUGAUCAUGUGAUGGAGGAAGAAACACAACCGGCACCUCCAACCCAAGUUCGAGCGAUGAUUCAAAGGGAUCAUCCCGUCGACCAAAUUCUGGGUGAUAUUAGCAAGGGAGUAACUACUCGAUCUUGAUUAGUUAAUUUUUGUGAGCAUUACUCCUUUGUCUCUUCUAUUGAGCCUUUCAGGGUAGAAGAGGCCUUGCUAGAUCCGGACUGGGUGUUAGCCAUGCAGGAGGAACUCAACAACUUCAAGCGCAAUGAAGUUUGGACACUGGUGCCUCGUCCCAAGCAAAAUGUUGUGGGAACCAAGCGGGUGUUCCGCAACAAACAGGACGAGCACGGGGUGGUGACAAGGAACAAGGCUCGACUUGUGGCAAAAGGUUAUGCCCAAGUCGCAGGUUUGGACUUUGAGGAGACGUUUGCUCCUGUGGCUAGGCUAGAGUCAAUUCGCAUCUUGCUAGCAUAUGUCGCUCACCAUUCUUUCAGGUUGUACCAAAUGGAUGUGAAGAGCGCUUUCCUCAAUGGGCCGAUCAAGGAGGAGGUGUACGUGGAGCAACCCCCUGGCUUCGAGGAUGAACGGUACCCCGACCACGUGUGUAAGCUCUCUAAGGCGCUCUAUGGACUUAAGCAAGCCCCAAGAGCAUGGUAUGAAUGCCUUAUAGACUUUCUAAUUGUUAAUGCUUUCAAGGUUGGGAAAGCCGAUCCAACUCUCUUUACUAAGACAUGUGAUGGUGAUUUGUUUGUGUGCCAAAUUUAUGUCGAUGAUAUAAUAUUUGGUUCUACUAACCAAAAGUCUUGUGAAGAGUUUAGCAGGGUGAUGACGCAGAAAUUCGAGAUGUCGAUGAUGGGCGAGUUGAACUACUUCCUUGGGUUCCAAGUGAAGCAACUCAAGGACGGCACCUUCAUCUCCCAAACGAAGUACACGCAAGAUCUGCUAAAGCGGUUUGGGAUGAAGGAUGCCAAGCCCGCAAAGACUCCGAUGGGAACCGACGGACACACCGACCUCAACAAAGGAGGUAAGUCCGUUGAUCAAAAAGCAUACCGGUCAAUGAUAGGGUCUUUACUUUAUUUAUGUGCUAGUAGACCGGAUAUUAUGCUUAGCGUAUGCAUGUGUGCUAGAUUUCAAUCCGAUCCUAAGGGGUGUCACUUAGUGGUGGUGAAGCGAAUUCUAAGAUAUUUGGUUGCUACGCCUUGUUUCGGGCUCUGGUAUCCAAAAGGGUCUACCUUUGACUUGGUUGGAUACUCAGAUUCCGACUAUGCUGGAUGUAAGGUCGAUAGGAAGAGUACAUCAGGGACGUGCCAAUUCUUAGGAAGGUCCCUGGUGUCGUGGAACUCUAAGAAACAAACCUCCGUUGCCCUAUCCACCGCUGAGGCCGAGUAUGUUGCCGCAGGACAGUGUUGCGCGCAACUACUUUGGAUGAGGCAAACCCUCCGGGACUUUGGCUACAAUCUGAGCAAAGUCCCACUCCUAUGUGAUAAUGAGAGUGCUAUCCGCAUGGCGGAAAAUCCUGUUGAACACAGCCGCACAAAGCACAUAGACAUCCGGCAUCACUUUUUGAGAGACCACCAGCAAAAGGGAGAUAUCGAAGUGUUUCAUGUUAGCACCGAGAACCAGCUAGCCGAUAUCUUUACCAAGCCUCUAGAUGAGAAGACCUUUUGCAGGUUGCGUAGUGAGCUAAAUGUCUUAGAUUCGCGGAACCUGGAUUGAUUUGUAGCAUACAUGUGUUUAUGCCUUUGAUCAUGUUCAUUCUGCAUUUUGUUGCUUAUUGUGGUGCUCAAGUUGUACAAACAUUCCCUGGACCUCACAAGUCCUUGUGUAAGUGAUGCACAUAUUUAGGGGGAGUUGUGUUACAACUUGACCCUUUGAGACUAACCAUAUGCUUGAGUUUACUUGAUUUAGUCUCGAAGGAGAAUUGAAAGGGAAAAGGUGGACUUGGACCAUGAAAGACUUCCACUGCACUCCGAUGAGAGGGUAACUUAUUCCAAGUUCAUCUUAUGAACUCUUAUUGCCAUUUGCUCUUAAUUGAAGAUUUUGGUGAGGCAAUGGGGUUAUAGGGCCAAGAUUGAUCCCGUUUUGGUGCUUGAUGCCAAAGGGGGAGAAAAUAAAGGCCAAAGCGAUAAAUGGAUCAGCUACCACUUGAGAGAUUUUGAAAACAGUAGAAUAGAGCUUUUGUUUUGUCAAAACUCUUUUGUUGUCUCUCUUGUCAAAAGUUGGCUUCUUGUGGGGAGAAGUGUUGAUUAUGGGAAAAAGGGGGAGUUUUUGAAAUCUUUAAUCAAUCUCUUUUGGAAUGACUCUCUUUAUGCUUCAACAUGUGUGUUUGACUUAGAGCUAGAGAUUUGAGUUUGAUUUGCAAAAACAAACCAAGUGGUGGCAAAGGAUGAUCCAUAUAUGCCAAAAUUGAAUCAAAAUAAAUUUGAGUUUUAUUUGAAGUGAUAUUGCACUUGUUCUAGUUGCUUUAUGUUGUGUUGGCAUAAAUCACCAAAAAGGGGGAGAUUGAAAGGGAAAUGUGCCCUUGGGCCAUUUCUAAGUAUUUUGGUGAUUGAGUGCCAACACAAGUGCUUAAAUGUGAAUCUAUACCCAUGGAUGGACAAAGUGCAAAUCAAGAGUAAAGGUAUGUUUCUAAGCCUUAGUACAUUGUUUUGAAGACUAAUGUAUUGUGUCUAAGUGCUUGAAACAGGAGAAAUCGAGUCAGAGAAUAAGUUGGCUGUGUACAGCCAAAAGGCUGUUCGGUCUGGAGCACCGGACUGUCCGGUGGUGCACCGGACAGUGUCCGGUGCGCCAGGCUGCCUCGAGCGAAGUGGCCGCUCUCGGGAAUUCGCCGACGGCGUACGACUAUAAUUCACCGGACUGUCCGGUGUGCACCGGACUGUCCGGUGAGCCAACGGUCGGCCGGGCCAACGGUCGGCCACGGAAUCUGCGCGCGACACGUGGCCGGGCCAACGGUCGGAAGGGGGCACCGGACUGUCCGGUGUGCACCGGACUGUCCGGUGCGCCAACGGCUCCCAGAUCUGCAACGGUCGGCUGCGCCAUUUAAGGAAAGAAAUCGGGCACCGGACAGUGUCCGGUGUGCACCGGACUGUCCGGUGCGCCCGAUGACAGAAGGCAAGAUCAGCCUUCCAGAAUUGCUCUCAACGGCUCCUAGCUGCCUUGGGGCUAUAAAAGGGACCCCUAGGCGCAUGGAGGAGAACACCAAGCAACCUUAGAGCAUUCUUGAUCAUCCACACUCAGUCUUUGCGCAUUCGUUUGUCAUUUGCAGUGAUUCGAGCUCCGUUCUAGUGAGAACUUUGAGAUAGUCUUUUGAGCUCGAUUCUUGGCCGUGCGUGUGCGCAUUUUGCUGUGGAUUUGUGUGUGUUGCUUCCCUCCCUUACUCCGUAUUUCUUUGUGAAUCUCAAGUGUAAGGGCGAGAGACUCCAAGUUGUGGAGAUUCCUCGCAAAUGGGAUAUUGAAAGGAAAAGCAUAACACUGUGGUAUUCAAGUUGAUCAUUGGAUCACUUGAGAGGAGUUGAGUGCAACUCUCGUCCGUUGGGACGCCACAACAUGGAGUAGGCAAGUUUUGUACUUGGCCGAACCACGGGAUAAACCACUGUGUCUUCUCUGUGUUGAUCUUUUGUGGUAUUGUGUUUUGUUGAGACUCAUCUCUAGCCACUUGGCGAUUAUUGUGCUAACACUUAACAAGUUUUUGUGGCUAUAAGUUUAAGUUUCACAGGAUCACCUAUUCACCCCCCCCCCUCUAGGUGCUCUCAGUCCCGCAUGUUCGCGAAUGUCUCUGCAAGGUCGGCUAGAUGAUCCUCUUUGUUUUUGCUGGCAACGGCGAUGUCGUCCACAUACGUGAAAAUGUUCCAGCCUACUUGACUCUCGAGCACCGUCUUGGUGAGGCGAAAGAAGGUGGACCCAACGUUCUUUAGUCCCUCCGGCAUUCUAACGAAGCAAUACGUGCCGAAGGACGUGAUGAAACUGGUACUGGCCUUGUCUUCCUCCUUCAUAUAUAUUUGGUGAUAGCUAGAGAAGCAGUCGAGGAGUGACAUGACUUCGCAUCCGGUCGCACUAUCGACGAUUUUGUCGAUCCGAGGCAGCGGGAAAUUAUCAUUGGGGCAGGCCUUGUUGAGGCUGGUGAAAUCGAUGCACAUCCGCCACUUGCCGCUUUUCUUUUGCACCAUAACUACGUUGGCGAGCCACGUAGGGUAGGUGAUUGGCUCGAUGAAAUUGGCCUCCAGCAGGCGGUGUACUUCGGUUUUGGUGGCUUCUGUCUUUUCAUCGGACAUUUUGCACAACCGCUGCUUCUUUGGGCGCACAGAAGGGUCGAUGCCCAGGCUGUGCUCGAUGAUAGUGCGACUGACUCCGACCAGGUCGAGGGCGGACCAGGCGAAGACGUCCUUAUUUCUGGAGAGACAGGAGAGGAGUUUCUCCUCAUCUUGCGAAGUCAGGUCUUCGCUUAUGAUGACCAUUUGUUUUGGUGUUGCCUGGUCAAGGGGGACUGUCUUUGUCCCAUCGUUGCUCUGCAGCUGUGCCUUUUCAUGUUCGUUGGCGGCUGGGCGGGUAGCCUCGGGGACUUCGCGCUGCGUCGUGAGGUAGUGUACGUUCUGUUGCCCUAGAACGAAGUCUCUUUCAAUGUUACGCGCAGUCUGCUGGUUGCCAUAGACUGUGAUCACGCCUUGCGGACCCGGGAUUUUCAUGCACAGGUAAAGUCCGUGAAUGGCUGCUUCAAACUUGUUGAUGGAGCCCCAUCCCAUUAUGGCAUUGUACGGGUAUACCAUAUCGACGAUGUCGAAGGUGAUCUGCUCACUUCGUGCAUUGGGUGCUACGCCGAAGGACAAGGGUAGCUCUAUCUUGCCCACAGGGAAGGUGCCCUUGCCACCGAAGCCAUAUAGUGGGUUGUCCGAAGGCUUAAGUAGACUGUGGCUGAUGCCCAUGCGGUCGAAGGCAUGGAGGAAGAUGAUGUCCGCUUGGCUACCGUUGUCAACUAAGACUUUGUGCAGGUCCCAGCUAGCCACACUGCAGUUGAUAACCAUGGCGUCCAUGUGGGGUGCGCUGCGCAAAUCAACAUCUCUAGCGUCGAAGGUCAGUGGCACAUGUGACCACUUUGUUUGCACGACUGGGCCAGUGAUGGUGACGUGGUUGAUGCUUCGAUAGUGAUCCCUCUUCUGUCGCUUCGUGUCGAAGUCGACGCUGGACCCCCCAGUGAUCAUGUGAAUGACUCCACGAUACGGUUGAUCAGCGAAGUCUUCCUGUUUUGGUGCUUGGGGUGAUUUGGGUGGUGGAUGUUUGGCUGAUGUGGGUGCAGAGGCGGGAGUGGGGGUGGUACGACUUGUACCUCCUGGUGGUGCUGGUAUGCGUGGUUAGGUGGAUGCUGAGCGGGGCCGUGGUUGUAUGGUUGUGGGAGUUGGUGUUGAUAUGUGUGCGCGACAACUCUUGGGUUGUCAGCGGGUUGUGCCCGAGACAUCCUAUCCCUGGUGGCCUUCGUUUCUAGGAAAUCCCUCGUCGGGUGCGCACAGUCUUCGCCGUGAAAUAGGCAGUAAAAUCUGCGCGGCUGCUGUGCCCGUCCUCGGCCCCGACCACGAGUGCCAUUGAUGUGGCCCUGGGGGGAUAAUCUUGACGGCAAGGGGCGUCGCCGGCGGGGUGCUGGUUGGCGAUGUUGUGCACCUGCUGCUGACUGCGGCCGUCCCGACCGGAGUCUGACUGCGAAGGUCUUAUCCACGUUCGGCUGGACUGCGGAGGGUCCUUGGGUUUCCUCUAGGACUCGACCUUGCGCUGGUGGAGCUCCUCUAAUCUGGCAUACUUUUCGAACAGCUGAUAGAGCUCUUGGAGGUUCUUGGGUGGGUCCUUGAUGCAGUGACUGUAAAGGACGCCAGCCCAAAGGCCACUGAUGGCGUAGUGGAUGGCAAUUUGGUCGUCGACCGAGGGCAGCUGUGACUUGAGAGUCAGGAACUUGCGGUAAUACUCCCGCAGGGUUUCUUUCUCUAGCUGCUUGCAGAGUGACAGUUCGGCCAAGGCGUCAGUGUCUAGGCGGUACCCUUGGAAGUUGAGCAGAAAUUUGUCCCAGAGACUUCUCCAGGAGUCGAUGGACAGUGGGGGCAACCUAGUGUACCAGGUCAGGGCUGGACCCUCGAGGGCGAUGAUGAAAGACUUGGCCAUCGUGGCGUCGUCCCCUCCGGAUGAUGUGACAACGACUUAAUAACUCAUGAUGUACUAUGUUGGGUCGGUGCUGCCGUUAUACUUGGGGUAGGUCCCUGCCCUGAAGUUGGCGGGCCAUGGUGACACUUGUAGUUGCGGCGCCUGGGGGCUCCGCUCGUCAAGGUAGUUGAUGCCUUGGAAUGCUGCGACGUGCGGGACGAAGGGUUCGCGCUGAGGGAUGAAUAGGUCUCCGUCCGGCGCGCGCUGUUGGAGGGGCGGACCGUGUUGCAUAUCAUGUUGGCCUUCGCAUUGCAUGAGUGCAAUCUCUUGCUCGAGUUGCUAAGCCCUCAGUUCCUCGUCUCGUAUCAUCUGGCGCACCUUGGCUUGCGCGGAGACACGUUGGCGCUUGGCCUCGAGGAUUUCUUUCUGCCUCUGGAGGUUGCGGUUCUUCAUGCGCAGGGCCCGCAGCUGUAGUUGUUCCUCUACUGGAAUGCCGAUGAUUUUGCCGUCUUCGGUGGCGUCCUCGCCCUCUAGUGGAGCGAAGCCUGGUGGUGGUUCUUGUGGCUGUCCUCCGGAGCUGCAGGUGCGGAGGGUGCCUUCGGAAGUUGGUUGAUUGUUGCGUUGUCUCUUGCUGAGUGCGUCGUCCUCGCAGACUUCUUAGUGGGUGGUGUUUGCAAGGGCCUUGCUCUUUUUCUCGGCUAGCAGCGCUGCCUUCACUGCUUCGUCGACGGAUGGGAUUGCCUUCGAGUUAGCUCUCUUGGGUGCCAUCGCGGGUGAUUUGUUCGUAGCACGAACGGUGGACGGCAAAUGUUGGAGCUUGCUCUUCCGGGCAAGAUGAUCCAACGAGAGAGUGAAAGAACGCAAGCAAGGUUUUUCUCGAGAUGGCAAUAGCUCUGUUAAUCUAGCCUCUCGAGGGCACUGUACGGGGGUAUUUAUAGGUGCCCGGGUGCCCAACGUCCUGAUGUUAGGACGUUUAUGCCCCCAGGCAUCUGGAUUAUCCCUAGGAUAUUCCCAUAAUGGAGGGUUACAGACUGUCAUUACAGGAAAGUCAUUACAAAUCGGGCCCGUAACUCAUAUCGCCGUCGCGGGGCCUGAUACGACGGGCCGCUUCCCACGUGGGCCUCCAGGUUGGGUGAGGAUAGGGAUGGCAGCGGGUCGGGUUGUGUUCGGGUCUGAUAAUACCCGACCCGAUAUCAUACCCGACCCUUAUACAAAUAUCCAUACCCACCAAGUCAAUCGGGUAAAAAAAUGGACCCAUACCCGUACCCACCGGGUAUCCGUCGGGUAUCGGGUAUCCGGUGGAUAUGGUACUGUAAAAUAUAAAUCUGCAUGCAAAUUGAUGAGCAACACAGUUUAUGACAGAUGGGAGUUAAAAAACAACAUCACAACAUGUGAAAUAUAUAAGCAACAUCACCAGUUUACAAACCAUAGAUUCAUAGUACAAUUCAUGACUAGUACACGUCCAAUUCACAUAUCAUAGUACAGUUCACAAAUCAUAGUACACGUUCAGUUCACAAAUCAUAGACUCAUAGUACACGUCCAGUUCACAAAUCAUAGUUCACACAACACAAAUAUAAGCAACAACACAAUGACAGGAAGUCCAUGAUGUUCAUGUAGUAGCAGGCAGGCAACAACGUCGUAGUAGCAGCCAAUAAGUUCAUGGAUCAAUGAUUUCAGAUUGCAUGCCAUCCUAACAAAGUGACAAAUCAUAUAGUUAUUCAAAUAGAAAUUUAGUAAAAUAUAGAAUGGCUAAAUUUCAAUAUAUCGUUGCUUCAUCUUCAUCAUCAAGGCAAGUCAUGAGUGCAUUGAGUACAUGAGAUCCAUGACCUAAUCAAAGAGAAGUUUGAAACAUUAGUGCUAUCACAGUGAAAGGAAUGAAAAUAAAACAACAUUAUAGUUCCACUAGUAUUCAUACCAAGCAUGUCAGCGCGAGCCCAAGCUUGCAUACACAUCAAGGCUUCAACCAUUUUUGGGGCUAGUCUACUACGACUUGGGCUAAUGACCCUUCCACCAGUACUAAAGACAGACUCAGAAGCCACGGUUGUCACAGGAAUAGACAUGAUAUCUCUAGCAAUCUUUCUCAAAGUGGGAUACUUCACCCCUGCCACAUUCCACCAACCAAUGAUGUCUAAGUUUGUAGUUCUAGCCAACAUUUCCUCUUCCAAAUACAGAUCCAAUUCUGUGCUAACAAAAGCGGGUGGGGCAGCAGGUUCAGCAGAUAAAUAUUGAUCAAAAAUGUCAAAAACAGCUGCAUCCCCUUCAUUUUGGAUAGUAGUACUGCUGCAAGGCCCAGCAACACCAUCUGUUGUGCCAAAACCCUCCAUGGAACCUUGGUAUUCCUUCACUAAAUCAACCAACAAAUCCUUAACUUUCGUAGUUUCUCUACCCACAUUCUCAUGUCCAUAAAUUUCAGUAAACAUAGCAUACAAGAACUUCAUUUCAAACCGAGGAUCAAGAACCGUGGCAACAGCCAUAAGACCAUGAACAUCUGUCCAAUAUUUCAAAAAUUUAUCUUUCAUGGCUGUUGACAUGUCUUCUAUGGUUGGGUUAUCACUAGAUCGCCAUUUCUUAAUUGUUAAAUAAAUUCCACAGAUUUUUGGGAAAAAAAGGUUGGCUGUCACAUAAGAAGUCCCAGACAACAGUUCUGUAAUAUCAUAAAACAACCCCAACCUAUCACAAAGAUGCCUAGAAAAAUUCCAAUCUUCUUCUGUUGGUUGAAAAGGGGCACACAAUUUUUCCUUUUUUGCAAGGCGAUUAAAAACUGGAACAUAAAGCAUUGCAGUGCUAAGCAUUAGAUAUGUGGAAUUCCAUCUAGUUUUAACAUCAAGUGCUAUUCUUUUGUCAUACUUAAUGCCCUCUUGACCAACAGCCUUUUCAAAUCGUUCAUGCCUUUUUGGUGUAGAUGACCAAAACCCAACAGUGUCCCGAAUCCUACCAAUUCCCACUUCCAUGACUUUUACUCCUAAUGCAUCGUUUAUACCCAUACCAUCUUUGACAAUAAGAUUAAUGAUGUGAGCAGCACAACGCAUAUGCAACAAUUUGCCAUGCAACAUGAGGAAGUAAAGAGGCAUCUUAUCUUGCAUUUCCUUCAUAACAUUGUCAUUGGUGCUACAAUUGUCAAGAGUUACAGUGGAAACCUUCUUGUCAAUCCCCCAAUCCAUGAGUACAUCAUGAAGUACAUCACUUAUGACUUCGGCUGUAUGUGGGUGUGGCACAUACAUAAACCUACAAAAUGGAGUAACAAGAAAGUGUAACUCUUGACAAGAAAGUGUAACUAGUAUAUAUGCAUGGCAGCAAAAAUAAAGAGCAGCAGAAAUAUUACCUUAAAAGAUAGCUUUUUAGACUCCAAUUUUCAUCAAUAUAGUGUACAGUCACUGCCAUGUAACCCUUCUUUUGAUGAUUUGCUGUCCACAUAUCUGUGGUGACCGCAAUACGAGAUUUUUGUUGUUGGAACAUUGUCACCAUAGAGAGCUUUUGAACUUCAUACAUAUCCAGAAUAUCAUUUCUAAUGGUAUUUCUUGACACUAAUUUAAACAACGGUUGCAGGGAAGCACAAAACUUUCUAAAGCCUACAUGGUCAACCAUAGACAGCGGGUACUCAUGCACACAUAUCAUUAAUGCAAGUUCUUUCCUAGCAACAUCUUGAUCAAAUACAUACUUCUCUAAACAAACACUGCCAUCUGGAUUUUGUGAAAAUUUCAAGGAGGAUUGUUUUAGGCCUUUUCUAGCUUGUCGUGACUCACAUGUAUUUAUGUGGCUUUGUAAAUGGCUGGUACCACUUUUACCUUCAGCUGUCAAUAGUUUGCUACACCAAUUGCACUUAGCUUUCCGUUUACCAGAUACAGUAACUCUAACAAAAUCCUCCCAUACUUUAGACUUCAACUUCCUCUUACACCCAACCUGUGCAGCAUCAUCUAUUUCAACAUCAUUCCUUGUCCCUUGGGUUGCUGCAUCAGAUGGAGUGGGAUCUCUAGAGCUACCAACAUCAGCAGGAGCUGCUCCUAUGCCACUGCGACGACUGCUACUGUCUUGUGGAGUUGACAUUGGAUUUGGGCUUCUAACUGAGUGAGCUACUGAGUACCUGAGGGCCCGACGGCGGACGGCGCAGGCGCGCAGGCACAGCUCGGGGACGCCGGUCGGGCCUAGGGCUCGGGGACGCCGCAGGUUGGGGACGGUCGCCGGCCAUAGUCGCAGUCGUAGCUUGGGGCCGGUCGCCGGUCGCAGCUUGUCAGUCGCAGCUUGGACACCGCUCGGGGCUCGGGGCUCGUCGCAGGCCGCAGGCGUAGCUCGCGCGGGGCUCGUCGCAGGUCGCAGCCGCGCAGGCCGUAGGCGUAGCUCGCGCGGGGAUGUGGCCUGGCCGCCGCCGGGGACUGGCUGCUGGGCGGGGGCGCGGGGAUGUGGCGUGGGGCGUUGGGGUCCUGCCGUCCUGGCCUCCUGGGAUGGGAGUGGCGACUGGGAAUCUGGGAUGGGUGGACGGGACGAGAGCUCGGGAAGGGAAGGCCGGAAGGGAGUUAGGGAAUUUAGGGUUAGCUUAGCCGGUUGCUGAUUUAGCCUUUGGGCAGUUGGGCUUCUUUUCUUUGCUUCAUGGGCCACAAAUCACAAUUCGGGUAUCCAGUGGAUAUCCAUGGGUAAAACAUACUAUCCGUACCCUACCCGACGUAUUUCGGGUACCCGACCCGAUACUAUCCACGGGUAAGAUUUCAAACUCGUAUCCAUGUCCACCGGGUACGAAACCCGUGGAUAUCCAUACCCACGGGUCCAAUUGCCAUCCCUAGGUGAGGACGUGGGAUGGCGGGACUUUGUCGUGGCCAUUUGUCUUGCGAUGAGAAGGACGAAGGGUAGCCUGCGCCGGUCAUCUAGCUUCCGUAGGUGCGCAGAGUUGAUAAGGGCUUCGAGGGAAGGGUAGUGCCUUUGCCUUCGCCCCAACAAUGAUGAUGAUGAUCCUACGAAUGUCUAAAUGAAUGUAUAUGAAUGCAAUGAAUGAUGUGAUGUAAUGUGCAAAUGAAUGUCCAAACACACGCGUACGAAGCCACAUCCAGACCCUACAUUCUCUUAGGAAUGACCAAAAUCUCUUUGUCGUUUAUUUUUCGGCUUCAUCGCUUAUUUUUCGGUGUAAGUUCUACAUUCCCUUAGGAACGUCUUUUAAACUUCUUCGUCUUCUAUUUCGGUGGUAUCACCAUUGACUUUUCGGUGUAAGUUCUGCAUCCCUUAGGAACGUCUUUUGAACUUCUUCGCCUUCUAUUUCGGCGGUAUUUAGCUCUGCAUUCCCUUAGAAACGACUUUUGAGCAGAAAACUUACGCUGCGCUCCCUUGGGAACGGCUUUUUUAGCUUCGUCGUGCUCUGCAUCCCCUUAGGGACGACUUUCGAGCUUCUUCCUGUUUUUUUCUUUUUCUGCACUCGAUGAUGUAUGCUCAGAUUUUAUAUUUUACAUUCUUUUGGGGAUUCUACUCUUGUAUAGCUAAAUAAGAAAGGAAAAUUACAAGCUAGGGUCCCAUUAAAAACCUUUCUCUGCUUUUGUAUAAAUGACGCGACGGGUUCAGCGCAGAGACAGCCACCGCAGAAGGCAGGGGUAUCCGGGUGAUCAGGGGAGUGGAGGUACAAGAACAGAAGCCUGAAUUCUCGCUGCGCUCGCUUCAGCGCAUCAGCGAACCCCUCGGCCACGAAGCGCGGGCCGCGGCCAGCGCCGAACUCGCGCUCGAACUCAGCGACGAAGUCGGCCGCCUCGGCAGCUGACGGCGGCAACUCUAGCAGGCGGUCACCGCUGCCGGCUUGCCCCGCGAGGCCGAGGAGGGAGAGGGAGCGGGACAGCACGCCCCCGGCUACCCAGGCGCCAAGGCGGAACGUGCCGGCGACGAGGCCGACCCCACCCGAGACCACGUGGAAGGGGAGCGUCACCAGCUUCCACGCGAUCCCCGGCUGCUGCUGGGGCGGCAGCGGCAUCGGCGGCGGGGGCGCGACGAACUCUGCAUCUACCGCCAGCGGAGCGGAAGGGGCCGGGUCACGCGAGGAGGUGGAGGCCGAAGCGGAGGGCGAGGAGGGGUUGGCGGUGAUGGUGGACACCGCGAGCUGCAGGUCCCAAUUGUGCGCGGCGAGGAUCUCCGUGCAGAGGUCCGUGUUGGAGAUGCCGGUGACGGCCUGGAAGUAGCUGACCUUGUCGUCGACGGUCUCGGCCAUGGCCGCCGGCGACGAGGGCUAGGGUUUGCAGAUUGAGGCCAGUGGUAGUGGUGGCGGUGGUAGUUAGGAACUAGGAAGAGGCCAGAAGCCGAGAGAGAUGCGGUUGCGAGCCGGGAGGGCGACGGCCGACGGGUCAGUGCUGAACUGCUGAGUGCUGACGUCUUCUAUUCUCCGUCUCGCCGUCCCGGUAGAUUGAACGGCGUGCCGUAUUACUGCACUCCGCGACAACGCGUCAGUUUCUACGAGAUUUUAUUUUACGACUGUGGGGCAAAGAAAACGGGCGAAGAAUUCUGAGAACCACAUGAUCAAAUUUUCAAAAAAUAAAAAUAAAAACACUCCGUUUUGGACCAAAGCUUCGUUUCACAGACUUCGCUCACAUAGUCACAUGUUCUGCCGACAUUUGGCUGACGGCAACCCUCUGAAGCUUGGCUCAUCAGCCCAACAGACACCGCAACUGUUGAUCAUGAACUUGUUUCCAUAAAGCUGAAAAACUAGCCCUGCAAAUAAAGGACGGCGCAAUAGGCUAAUGCAACAAUUAGUUUCACGAUGAUGGACAAGACGGAGACACACACUGGAAAUACCCGCACAAACUUGCAAUCAUAAGAAUAUCUGAACCGCAUAAGCUCCAACGCAUGGAUUAAAUCAGCCCGCAAUUUAACAAGCAAAGUAAAGCAGGAUCGCUUCAACUAGGAUUUCAAACUCGUAUACAAAUACAAUUUUUUUCAAAAAAAAGUGUACACAAAAGCAACUAACUGCAUUACAAGGACAAGGUCUCUCGUUGGAUUCAUCCUGAGCGAUACACAAGGGUACAGAGCCUCGCGAUCCAGUUUCCAGUGGUACAUCCAUAUGCCUACAGCUCCUCGAUAAGAACCGCGGAUUGUGGUUUGCUCUUUCUAUCCGCCUUCCAAUUCCCGGUCUCCAACUCCUCCAUAGAUGCUUUCUGCACCUGGACGAUGUGAGCUAAAGAUGGCCACGCCUCAUCUGGCUGCUCAUGGACCCAACAAGUCAUGAAGAAUAGCUUCCUAGCUGCACUACGAAGCUUCGGAGAGUUCUGUGCCCUCUCCGUCUUGCCCACUUUCUCCACCUUGAGCAUGCUCUUACCAACUUCAAUGAGUCGAUGGAAGUCGCAUAAGGCACAAAUAAGUGCGUUCUGUCCCAAGGAGAGAAUGGCGAUGAUAUCGUCCACGAGUCCAAUAGCAAACCUGAAACCACCAGUAUGCCUGUAAGCUGGUGAGCAUGUCUCCUCGAUGCAGGCUGCGAGUGCUUCAGGUACAGUCUCAGGUUUAGCAUCCUGGCCCAUGACUUUCGACAUCGACAGGGCGACAGUGCAAGCACCCAAAGGAUCUGAGUGCCAAUCACCGUUGUAGAGCCGAAGUGUGAAGCAGUAACUGUACAGAAUGUCAACCAAGUGGACAGCAAGCAAAGGAGAUGGCUCUGUCCUUGUUAACUGUUUCAAUGACGGGAGAGGAGAUUCUGGCCCUUCAGGGAUUUCGUUGAUGCUAGCCUCUUGGUCAGUAUUUGGAUCUGGAUAUGGUACAGCAGUGUCUUCUGCGUUUACUUGUCUGAUAAGCUGACUUCCAUCCAGGCCAAGGGAAAUAGAUCUGGCUGAGGGUUUUUUCCACCAAGGUGUCCACGGUUCAAUCAUCUUACUGAGCUCACCUGAGGCCAGAGCUUGACGGAAUCGUUUGAUUUCACAAUCAGAGAGGUCUUCCAGCUUUAUCUCUUCCCCUGUACGAUAGAAAGAGUAGAUCAAUAUGUGUCUGGUGAGAUACUUGAUAUGCAUAUCAACAUUUACUGAUUCCAACGAACUUGCAGUCUAAAAGGGUAAGGACAUAAAUAUCACCCAACGUUUGUAGAUGGACGAAUGAGUAAAAUGGACAAGUAUAGACAGUUAGACACUGCUUUAUUGCAUUGCUCAUCUCAAAACAUAAACCAUGAAAACAAUUGAUAAAAAAGAAAUAUCAGAACAAAAUAAUUGGAGUUGCCACUGAUCACCAGCAUAGGUAAUUGCUAGGAGUUCAGGCCACAGAAAGCCAGGUUAAAUAUGAGAACAAUUGGGCAGAAGGAAAUACUAGAACAAAAUAAUUGGAUGUCAGUCCCACCUGGGGGAGGGUGCUGUGGCUACUGCUGCUCCAACUAGUGGGGGCGGCUAGGGCAGGGAGAGGACUGGGUGGCUGCUGUAGAUGGCGCAAGGGGAGGCAGAGGCGGCGCAGAGAGAGAUGAGGCACAGGGAGAGAUGGAGAGGAGACCGAGGCACAGAAGGGGGAGAGCUUUCGCUCUAUUUCUGCUUAAGAUCUGAAAGGUUAAAUGACCCCUCUUAUUUAUAGUCCUGGGGGACUUUGACUUCCAAGCAAUCUAUAAAGUCCUUAUAGAUGUGGACUCUCUUUUCCUAAUUAAAAGUCAGGCAGGACUAUAUAAAAAACUAGAGUCGUGGCGGGAGAUUUUAGAGUCAAAAGGUUUUAGACUCAAUAGAACUAAAACCGAAUACAUGAGAUGUGACUUCGGCACUACUGAACAUGAGGAAAGAGAUUAGUUUGAAAGGUCAAGAAGUGCCCCAAAAGGACACUUUUUGGUAUUUAGAAUCAAUGCUACAGAGAGAUGGAUGUUGAUGAUGAUGUUAGCCAUAAAAUCAAAAUAGAGUGGAUGAAGUGACAUCAAACAUCUAGUGUUCUAUGUAACAAGAGGGUAACACAAAAGCUAAAAGUUAAUUUUUAUAGGACGUCGAUUAGACGAGAUAUGGUGCAGAAUGUUGGCUAAAAAAGACAUGUUCAAUAGGUAAAAAUACGUAUGUUAUGUUAGAUUUGUGGACAUAUAAAAAGAAAUCAAGUUCGGAGCGAUGAUAUACGUAAUAAGAUAGGGGUAGCACCAAUUGAAGAAAAACUUGUCCAACACCAGUUGAGAUGGUUUGAACGUAUCCAACAAGACCUCUAGAGACACCAGUGCGUAAUGGAAUCCUAAGAUGUGGUAGCGAUUGAAAGGGAGACAGAAGAAGGGCGAAGUUGACAUAAAAAGAGACAGUAAAAUGAGACUUGAAAGGAUAGAACAUACCCAAAGAUUAGCCUUGAAUAGAAGUGCAUGGAAAACAUCUAUCCAUGUGUCAUAACCUUGACUUAUGGUUUCUAUUGGGUCUUAACUCUAGCCGCCCCACCUUGCUUGGGACCAAAAGACUCAAGUUUUUGUUGCAAUCUAGACUAUCCCGAUUGGGAGGCGCGCUACAGUACCGUGCUACAGUCAUGGUGGAUGUCUGUUUUGGGGCCCAGUCGGAUGUCUAAGCUUGGCAGCUUGGCUGACCAGGGCCCUUCUCUAGGCUUUGCAGGGCUUAGCCAGGGGCCCAUAUUUAGGCCCGUGACAUUGGAGUUGACACCGAUCACCAGCAUUUGACAGCUUAAUUAAUUCCUAGAAGAUCAGGUCACAGAAAGACAGGUUAACCAAAAGGGAGUAAUGAACAUAAUUCUCACACAAAGAGUUAAUCAAGAAAUUCAACUGUGAAAGCUCUUCCCAGACAAGUGCAAUUCAAGUCGACAUAAGGUAUUAUGAUUUCUAAGACUAAGAGAUAAGAGUGUUUAAAAGACACACAAAAUUUCAUAAACAAUAAAUAACCUAUUAUAGUACUAGGAAAAGCUACUGUGCUGUCACAUUUAGAAUGGCAUGAAAGUAAUCAUAACGUACCAGACAUAACUUUUUGAAUAAGCUCCUCUGAUAACAUGGACUCUGCAGGACAAAAAGGUACAUGUCAAAAAUAAAAUCUUCAGCAGUCUACUAAAGCAAUAUUGAAGGGCAGGCCUGGUACAGUGGUGAGAGCUGUCGCACAAAGUCACCAGGUCACAGUUUAUCCCUUCCCGGACCCACUCAUGUGGAGACCUCCGGCACUGGGUUUGCCGUUUCUCAGUCUACUAUAUAAAUAUGUACAACCAAUUAUCUACAAGAUGACAUAUAAUUUAUCUGUAAUACCGAAAGGAAAUACAUUCAUAACAGACAAGCCACCAUAACUCGAUAACUACCUAUAAACAGGAAAACUUAAUGUACCAAACAGUAAAAUCGUAAGUGUAGCAUACUGCGCAUGGAGCAGGGGCAGCCCUAGAGCCCAAGCGGUAGGGGGGCUCAUCCCGGGGUGAGCCCAAGAAAAAUGAGAAUACCCCCUGUAAUUUUCACCUCAGCAGCCCAGGGAAAUUCCAGGUUUGAAGGCCCAGCCCCACCCGACCUAACAACGACACAGCCAGCCUCUCCCUCUCUCGCAGCUGAAAAAUAUUUUACAUGUUGCUUGAACAAUGUUAGUUUACAUAGUUAUUCUUUAUUAUAUAAAUUAUAGCUUUUAGUUUACGGUUCAAUUAUAUUUAGCUCCUCUCUUGUCUCAUGUCUGAAUCCACCACUGGCAUGGAGGUAUCUGUAGUUUUGUCCUCAUUAGCAGUUAUCACAAUAUAAAAAAAUGAAAUUAUGUGCACCUCUAGUGUUAUUAUUAAAGAAAGUAAGAUAGAUCAAUGGCAUAGGAACAUGUAGCACGCAGAACAUACCAUCUUCACCAUCUGAUGCCAUCUCUUCUUCCAAGUGGAGCCGCUUGAGGAUAUCUAGCAUCUUUUUCUUUGAUUCAUCCUCAGGUUGCAUCUGCUUAAGCUCGUCCAUAACAUUCUCACGCAUGAAGGAUUCAGUGCAUUGAACACUAUGACCCUAUGAAACAAGAAUUGAGAAAAACAUUUAAAGCAAUAUCAAGAAAAUAAAGCACUCUAGUGCAAAAUUAGCAAACAACAAUGUUCCUUUGCAUCUGUGUGCAUAGAAAAGAAGACACACGAACUUGUCAGCUUCAAUCUCUCAGUUUUAAAUAAGACGUUAUAACAACACAAACUGUUAGAGCUGUAAUGCCUAAUGUAAUGGGUUGUGAUUGUGUAAUGGGCUUAUGUAAGGAUCUGGUACGCCUAGAGGGGGGUGAAUAGGCUACCUGUAGAUUUUCAGUUCAAGAAACUAUUAAAUUCCAGAGCGGCAGUUCCGCUCUCAGCCCGGCACUGGCGCACUGCCAUGCAGAAGUCCGGCACUGCCGGACAAUAGUAAAUGCUCCAAACACGGUCAAAUUUUUACAGAAUCUGAUAGAUAUGAUUUAUUACUUCUAUGUAGAAUAUGAGAAUGAAAUGAGCAAUGCGCAGUAAGCAGACAGAAUAGGGUAGAGAAGUAUUCAAAUGUAAACCACUAAAACCCUAACUAUUCAAAUCACCAUCAGAUCAGCACACUUGGACACAACAUGUAUCCGGUGGUUUAGCUCGCCACAAAGGUUUGCCUACCUCCACGUUGUUGAGGAGAGUCACAAAGGCCAAUGGUCACACACCCUUCCUCGAUCUCAAGCCAAGAGCUCUUGCUCUUAGUAUGAGAGGGUUUUCAUUAUGAAUGAGGGAAACUUACAGCAAUCCAAGAGGGGGGAUGUCACACGCCGGCUAGGAGCAAGCUCCAAGAAUCAAUGUGUCAAGCGCCUCAGCACCUAACAACGCCGGACCGCGACUACGCAGUCCGUAGUCGCGCUCCAGACCUUCAGGGCUGAUUUGGUGACCCGGGAUCCCGGGAGGAUCGGAGGGGAUUGAAGGGGAAAUUAGUUUAUUUCCCCCUCAAUCCCCUCCAAUCCUCUCGGGAUCCCCUUGUCACCAAAUCAACUCUCACCGUGAAGGAAAUCCCCACCGGCGGCUUGAGAGUAGCGAGAGAGAGAGAGAGAGAGAGAGAGAGAGAGCAGGUUCAGGAUAACUGAUUGCUUGAUUCCUUUCCUCCAAGUUUGGUUACAAUAUAUAUGCCAAUGCCCCAACUAAUCACUCCUAGAUUUAAGGCAUGGAAAGGAAACUGAUCUCAACUAAUCACUCCUAGAUUUAAGGCAUGGAAAGGAAACUAAUCUUUUAUUUCUAAAUCUGGCCACUAACGGUGGCACCUUCCUGUGUCGCGCGAGCAGCCCGCUCUGCCGCGCGCCUGAUGUCACGACGGCGCCUAUACGUUUGCCCGUACAUGACACAAUGAGUGAAUGUCGGCCUUAAGUUGCUCCAAUGCUCAAUGAGAAACUGGGGAAAACCUAGGGUUCUUGUUGUUCUUGGGGUUUUCUCUCAGUUUUGGAGGAGAAGCCACAGAAAUUUGAGCCAAGGUGGAGCAAGUGAGGGAGAGGGAGAUUCAAAUGGGACAAAGGGGUACUUGUAACCUGUCUGUUGUAUCCCUAUGUCAGGAUACGCAACAGGUAACUGUUGGAAACCAAGGAAUUAAACAAAUCAAGAAAAUUCAGAUUCCAACGGUCAAUAAAUGUCCAUCAGUGCCGGAGUUAAGGCUGGCAGUGUCGAGGCACCGCAGUGACGCACAACCCACACUGGUUAGAUUGAUCUGAAAUUUUGGCACUAGCUAACUGGGUUUAGGUAUGAUAGGAAAGUAAUCCUUGAUUGGUGGUAGUUCUGUUUUAGGAAAUAGCUAAUAUGGUAGUAGUUCAGUCCUAUAUGGACAGAUCUGGUCGACAGGAUCAGGACUGGUAACAGUCCGGUUUAUUUCCUUGUAAUGGUUAGUUUGUUUCCAUGUAAUGGUCUAUAAAUAUAUGGCCUUAGAGGCUAAGAAAAGGCAGUCAAUAGGGCGCCACCAAAACACAUGUGUUCUGUCUCCGAGUUUCCUGUGUUCUGUCUCCGAGUUUCCUGUGUUCGCAUGUGUAUGUGAGACUGACCUGGGAGGUAGGAGUUCGCCGGCAACCUGCUGAAGGUUGUCUCUCCGGCGUGGUUCCUGACAAGUGGUAUCAGCGCCAGGGGGUGCCAAGAUGUCGUUAGGGAAGACUGUUGACACCCGUGCGACAUUACCAUAUCCUACCUGCUGCAAGCCUACAACAAAUAGAACAUGUUGUAAAAUGUAGUUUCACAUUAGCUCACAAUUAACAGGAUCAAAUCCGCUAGAACAAUUAGAACAUGCUAUACAAAAACCAAACACCGAUCAAAUAACCACAUACAUUGCAAGAUUCCUCCGAUGUUGGUGUUGUUCUUCUGUUGGCUUCACCACAAGCGACAACGAUUCAACGUCAGGCACCAGGGCGUGGGCGUCGUGCUUCGGCAAGGCAAUUCGGUCUUCGGUGUGCUGCCGCGUGUUGCCAUGUUGGGUUGUCGGUCAGCCGGCCGCACGCACGGGCAGACCGGCGAGAAGUCAGAGGCGGACUAGAGGACAGCCGGAGACGAACUAGAGCCCUGGAGGUGUGGCCACGUGGAGCAAGUAGGCGGACAGCAAGUUGGGUGUGGCGGGCUAGCGGCGGACAGCAACUUGGUGCUUGGGCGGCCAGCGACUGGUGACCUGGUGGCUGGUACUGGAGCGGCCGACAACCAACGACCUGAUGGCUGGUACUUGUGCGACCGACGACCGGCGGCCGACGAACGGCGGCUAGCCGGCUGCUACAGUUGCAAAACUCUUGGUCGUCUUGGACUCUUGGCCGGCUACAAGACUCUUGAUGUUGUGGCCCGUGAACGUGACUCUGUGGUGGUCGUGGUCUAGCCCAUUAGGAUGAGGUCGUCAAGGACUGAAGGUGAACGUGACGUGAAGCGUUGGUGUGUAGUGGAAGUUCGGGUAGUAUGUCUAUUCGGGUACUGAUACAACUGACCCAAAAUUUGCUAAAAACUUUGGGUACCGGAAGUUCGUACCCAAAAUGUUUCUCAAGUUUUUCGGGUUCGGGUUAUUUGGGUUUGGGUUUGGUUUUGGGUUCGGGCUUCUAGUAUCGGGUUUUCUGCCCACUCCUACAUGGCGGCACGGGAGACUCCUUGACAGCACAUCGCACACAGGGGUGUGGGAAGCAAGGGAGCAAGAGGGGGAACCACAGAGUGCCUCAAGGAGGUUGUCGUACUCAAAGGAGGAGGCAGCGGAAGGGGAGACGGAGAAGGGAAAGUCGGAGACGAGGACUCUGUAGGUGGAGAGGUCAAGGCACCGGUACCCCUUAUGAGCAGGAGAGUACCCAAGGAAGACGCUACGAGUGGAGCGAGAUGCAAGCUUAUGAGAGCAGUGGCAUAGAGAUUAGGAUAGCAAGCGCACCCGAACACGCGAAGGUGAUCAUAGGAGGGAGAGGUACCAAAGAGAGCAAAGUAGGGGGUGGGGUGAUGAACCGCCUUGGUGGGGAGGCGAUUGAGCAGAUAGGUAGCAGUGGCCAGUCCAGUAGCGAGCGGGAAGGGAGGCCUGGAACAACAAGGAGCGCAUGACGUUGUUUGUGGUGCGAAUCAUGCGCUCAAUCCUGCUGUUCUGAGAAGAAGUGUAGGGGCACAACAUCCUCCACUGAACGUCGUGUGAAAGGAAGAAGUCACAGGACGCGGAGUUAUCAAACUCUCGCCCAGUGUCACACUGGACAGCCCGGAUGGUGAGUCCAAACUGAGUGGAAACCCAAGCGAAGUUAGAGAGUGUGGGAAACAUAUCAGACUUCAAGCGUAACGGAAAAGUCCACAAGAAAUGAGAGUAAUCAUCCAGAAUGAGCAAGUAAUAUUUAUUGCCAGAAAUGAUGAGAACGGGGGAUGUCCAAACAUCACAAUGAACCAGAUCAAAAUUGCUCGUUGCUCUGGAAGAGGAGGGAAAAGGGAGCCUAACAUGUCGACCUAACUGAAAGGCGUGACACAAAUGCUCAAAAGAACCCCGACUACAUGAGAUGAUAGAACUGCUAGACAACUUAGACAUCACAUCAGGCCUGGGGUGGCCAAGGCGGUGGCGCCAAGUGAUAGAUGAGGUAGCAGCGGUCAAGGCAUGCAGCGUGGAGGUCGGGGAAUUGGAGGCAAGCAGGCGAAUAGUGUACAGCGGCUCGGAGCUGUCACACCGCGUGUGAAGGAUCCUGGUAGCAAGAUCCUUCACAGACAAGCCAAAGGGGUCACCGGGAAAUGGAUCUUCAACAGAAGCUGAAGGUGGAUGGCUCCUUGGAUCGGCACAAGGCUCGUUGGGUCCUGUGGGCUUCACCUAGCGUCCCAGGGUGGACUAUGACAAGACCUUCAUCCCCGUGGUGAAGCCUGGUACCAUCAAGAGUGUUCUGACUCCGGCUCUCUCACAGGCUUGGCCAGUGCAUCAGCUCGACGUCAAGAAUGUCUUCAUGGCACUCCGACAGAGACGGUGUAUUACACUCAAUUGGUCAGCUCUGUGGACCCGGCUCACCCAACAUCAGGGAUGAAAGUGGCAAUCCGAACUAUUAGAACAAAUUUAUUAUUUUAAAAUAGAUCUGUAUAAAAUUUGAUGUUGAUGUUUUAUUAUGUUAUGAAGCACAUUAUUAGAAAUAAGAAUAAAAUAUUGCAUAAAUUGUUUUAUGCAUUAUUUGCUCUCUACAACAAAAAGUGAAACAUUACCGAAUUUGUUUCUGAAUCCAUACCGAAUUUUACAUCUAUCAUUUAAGAAAAUAUAGGAUGAAUUUGUGGUUUACCUUUUAUGAAUAUCUAAAAGCUCAAUGUUAAAAACAAGAAUACAAAUUUGUAUAGUAGAUUAUAUAUCCUAUUUAUUCGCAACCAAAGAAAAAUGACCAAAAAUUGAUAACUGAAUAAAUAUCGUUCCGACCAUUUUCAUCCCUACCCGACAUGGUUUGCAAGCUCAACUGGUCCCUCUACGGCCUCAAGCAGGUGCCCCGAGCUUGGUGUAGUCGCUUUGUCGCCUUAUUGCUCUCACGAGGCUUCUUCGAGACCAAGGCAGACACCUCCCUAUUUGUCUUCUAUCGUGGCCUGGACACGACGUACAGCCUCCUCUAUGUCGAUAACAUCGUCCCCACGGCCUCCUCGCACGAACUCCUGUGGCGUAUCAUCUCCUCCCUCUAGCAGGAGUUCGCGAUGAAGGACCUGAGUGAGUUGCACCACUUCCUGGGGAUCACCAUGGAGAGCCGGUCCCAGGGCUUGUUUCUCCACCAGCACCAGUACAUCGUCGACAUCCUCGAUCGCGCUAGCAUGGCUGACUGUAAGCCUUGCACGACUCCGGUGGACACUCAGGGCAAGGCCUCCUCCAACGACGGCCCCCGGUGGCUGAUCCCACCAGCUACCAGAGUCUUGUUGGGGCACUGCAGUACCUCAUCUUCAUCCGGCCCGACAUCGCAUACGUCGUCCAACAUGUGUGCCACCAUAUGCACGCCCCGCAGGAGCCACAUCUCACUGCUAUGAAGCGGAUCCUGCGGUACCUCCAAGGCACUUCCGACUUCGGGCUCCUUCGAUGAUCUGCGACCAACGACCUCGCCAUCUACAUCGACGCCGACCGGGCCGGCUAUCCUGACACACGUCGAUCCACCUCCAGUUUCACCAUGUUCCUCGGCGACAGUCUUGUCUCGUGGUCGUUGAAGAGGCAGCCAGUCGUCUCCCGCUCCAACGCCGAGGCCGAGUACCGUGUUGUGGCUAACGGCAUAGCCAAGGCAACAUGGCUUUGUCAGCUACUUCAGGAGCUGCAAAGUCCGCUAAUGUGCAGUACUCUUGUCUACUGCGACAACGCCAGCGCCACGUACCUCUCCACCAAGCUCGUACAGCACCAACGCACGAAGCAUGUCGAGCUUGACCUCCAGUUUGUCCGCAAGUGUGUCGUCGUUGGGGAUGUGCGUGUUCUUCAUGUCAUGUCUCCACGACUUCUCAGAUCACCGACAUCUUCACCAAGGGCCUCCCUACGUCAGUGUUUUAGGAGUUUUGGUCCAAUCUCAACAUCUGUUGUGGCUAGAGUUUCGACUACGGGGUGUUAGAGUUGUAAUGCCUAAUGUGAUGGGUUCUGAUUGUGUAAUGGGCUUAGGCCCAAGUACUCCUAUUAUAAAUACAUCUCCCAACCCUGGUUAGGGUUAGGGUUUCCAACACAAAGCAGUUUACUUCCAGAAGCUUGUUUCGUGCAUGAAUAAACAAGCAGUUUCUUUCAAGAACUGAUUGAAAGUGUCAUACAGACAUACUGAUCCUCUCAGACCAGCAACUAGAGGUGAAUUACAGCAUAUAAGUAAAAAAAAUCAUGUUACCUAGAGUCUAGCUUUGACGAAUUUUUACAACUUACUGUCACUUCAGAUGUCAGCUGAUUCAAAUUAUGCUGGGUUAGGUCAGCAAAGAACCCAACUAUUAAACUAUUAGGAGAGAUUCACUAAAGGGGAGAACAUGGAAACUAUGACAUAUAAAUUUCUUUGAACUUUUUUGGAUUGCUCCUUUAAUCUAAAUGUAUAUUUGUUAAACCCAGCACAGCAAAACAAAAUGCAUUAUUCCACGCAGAUCACCAAAUAUAGAGGCCAAAGUGAACAAUUGGCAUGUGGUUUGUAUGAUUCAGAGGUAAGUCGUAGUUUAUAUCAUGGAUAAUUACACAUUUUGAGCAGGAAUCAGAGGAUUUCUUGUCCAAAAGCUUCAAAAGUCAGUGAGCGAUUCGGCAAACACCUUGUGGGCGUCAGCAGAGGGCAGCCCGGGCAUGAGAGUAACAAAGUGAAUGAAAUACCCGAACGGUAUUCUACAAGCCCUAAGACAGGACGAGCGCGCAACGAGAUCACACACACACGAAGCGAGAGGAGGCCGCACCUUGUAGCACGAGAGUGAGCAGUACCGGGCGUUGCAGCGGGGGCAAGUGUACUGCGCGAACUGCUUCUGACACCUGCAAGCAAGCGGCGCAUAGAAUAACGCAUUAGCACGAGCAGGUAGGAACCAAGAUCCGCUAGGGCCCGAUGCUUUGCGCCAGCAGGAGAGGAGAAGCCGUAUGUCAGAGCCAAGCCUUACACGCGGCAGAUGACCCUGGUCUCGGCGAAGGAGGAGUACGACGAGGAGGCGGGGGAGGACGAGGACCCAGCGGCCUCGGGUGCGGAGAGCACGACGUCCCUCUCCAUCGCCGGCACGCGCGGCGCCUGCUCUUGCGCUUCCAGUCUCUGUCCUUCUCGGCGGUGUUGGCUUUGGGAAUUUGGGGAUGGGGGGACUUCCUUUCCUCCGGCGUGCGGCGGGCGCGGAGGCUUCUCGAUGCUCGGCGAAGGCCCAUUGGUGGUCAUGGCCCAAGCAUAGGAUUUCCAAGUGUCAUGGCCCAUUGGUGGUCCUGAUCCUGAUUGGCGGUGAAGGCGGCUGGAGUUGAAGAGGAGGGUGCGGAAGAGACGAGGACUCGAGUGUUUGCGAGGGUUGCGGCCUGGGGUUUUCCUUUGCUUUGCGCCGCCUCAAUCGGUCGGAAGGGCGGAGCAGCAGCAGGAGCACAACGAGGCUGCCUCCUCGGCUUUUCUGGGAGUUCGGACCCGUGCGGCGCGACGGGCGACGGCGACUGAACAUUCCAGAAGGGGGCGCGUGGGAAAGCGACGGGCCGGCGGACGGAGGCCGGGUGGGCGGCGGGAUCGGCACAACAACUCAACAAACUUGGCCUAUUUCUUGCUGGGCUUUGUGCGGGUCGAACCGCCCUGUGACUGUGAUUCUGUAUGGUUGUGGCCCGCUCUGUCGGGCGCAUUUUUGGGUAGACGUGUGGUCUGGUGACGGCGCCGGCCUGGCCAAAAAGUGGCGUCGUGCGCUGGGCGGCGGUGGGGUCUAGCCGCCGUCUGGGCGCUCCGCUGCCGGGUCGAAGGACCUAUAAAACGGAGGGGUCGAGGAAGCUAGUGAGUGCCAUCGUUGGGCCGGCGCAAACCCUAGUCGCCACAUCACUGCCUCCUCACACCAUCUGCCUGUGGUUCCCAUGUCAUCCUCCCCCGUUUGAGGUCUUCCUGCUCCUUCAGAUCCGUCUAUGUGUGUGUUUGUCGUGCCUGAUACUGGCUCGGAAGGUAUUCCGAUCUGUUUCUUCGGUGCCGUAUAUUUCGUUGCGAUUUUGGUUCGGUUCUUUCUUGCUCUUCGUGGGUCGUUGCUGGAUAACACGGAUCGAUGAUGCUGUUCAAGAAGUACUGCGUUAUCUUCCUGAUGCAAGUGUUAGGCCCUCGUUACGAAGGCUUCCUGACGACACAAAUAUCUUGCUGAGAUCCAAGUGCGCAACUUCUCUCUUUUUUCUCUUUCUUUUCCGUAUUUCUCGCCGUGUGCUUUUUCUCCUCUGGAUUGAAUUUUGCGUACAGUUUAGUUUUCACCAAAUGCAAUCGUAACUUACGGGCAGGAUGUUUCAGCAACGAAGUAAAGGAGGAGAUUAUUCCGUCAACCGUAAGGUUCCGCUAAGAGCUUUAGAAUAUGAAAGGCAUUAGUGGUAACAAGAUUUGAUUUGGUUAGGUGUUAGUACAAAAAUGAGAUUCCAUUCCAAUGCUGUUGGGGGUACUGCUAGUGAAUAUGGCCGGGCAUCUAUCACGGUGUUGUAUGUGUACGAAAUAAUGUCUGCUUUCGAUACGGUAAGUUUUGCUUUAAGUUACAUAAUCAUCUCCAGUGUGACCUAUAAAAAUACCCUGUAAUUUUAAAAUUUGAAAAUAGUAAAUUUUGUAUAGUUUAAGACACUAAUAAAAUAUUCUUCAAAUCUAGGUUAUAGAAUAGCAGUAUAUCUAAUGCACUUGAUAGGAUGUUCUAUAAUUUUAACAAAUUUUAGAAAAUAAGAUAUUAUUAAAGUAGUUUUUCUAUCUCCAGCUCUAUAUUUCAAUUUGAGUUCAAUUUGAAAAUAAGACAUUGUUGAAAAUGCUCAAACAUUUUACAUUUACGGUAUAACAAACCACACACGGAAAGGACAUGAAUGUGUUUAACAUACUACGGUUGGCGCAACUACGGUUUCAAAAUAAUAGCAAACCACGUAGCGCAAGACGUCUGGACGGCGGGCACAUCCAGAAGCGUGGCAUUAGUAAUCAGAAACAAUGAAACUGGAAGUUGUAAGCAGCAAACCCAACCCAACGAAAUGGACUGCGUACAUGUUUAGUGAAUCCAGCGAAAAACAAUAGUUCAGCCAGUUGCCAGUUUAAAUGUCUUAGUUAUCAUCUGGCGGACACAGGUUAACUGAGAUAAUGCACGUAGGUGAGCAUCUAACAACACUGUUCCACAACUGUCAAGCGAGCUUAUUUACAUCAACAACUGCAGCAUCCUCCAGUAGCUGCCAUCAACUAUCUUUCUACCCAUCAGCGGCAUAGAAGGGAAGUGACUUGAGUGGCAUCACCUUCUCCUGCAAAGGGAAAUGGAGACUGGUGUGAGUGGAUUUAUACCUGUGUUAACAGAACAUUGCGAACAGUGUGCCUCUGAUUCCACCUCAGGGUUCUCCACAUGUUCUGAGGGGAAAUGAAGCCCAGUGGAACAGUUUUCAAGCACUUCAGGUCUCUUCAGCCAUGCUUUGUGAGCUUCGAUUGCUUUCAUCUUGAAGCGAAACAUCUGCAAGUGCCAUAUCCAACCAAUUCAGGUGCAAGGCUGCUAUAGAAGUAAUUUGCAAGAAGUUGCCUGAAUGAAAAAUCAGGGACUGACAGCAGAAGAGUGAAUAUGUGCUCCAGACCUCUGAUAAAGAAAUGCUUGGCUUCUCAAGUUCAUCUCCGUUGACGUGAAUUCCAGUACCCUGACAUUCUGGGCAAACUAUGGACGUUAUUUUGCUUCUCUUAGGUGCAUUCUUUGCCUUCCUUCCUCGGUUGCUCUUCCCCUUCCUAGCUAUUUCAUCGUUCAGCAUCUCGUAUUGGCACAGAAUAGUCCAGUGUAAAAGGCAGGAAGUGUGAAAUAGAUGGUAAGCCUGCAUAAAUCAAGUGUAGAGAAGUCAUUACAGAACAUUUGGAAUUUGGUGGAAACAUAACUGCUAUGUUUUCAGGUAAAAAAUGUACAAAAAGGUAAACAGGUCCAUGCUCUCUAAUCUAUAAGAGCAAUUAUUAUGAAACAGGAAUACAGUAGCAAAGAAUGCUCAAAGAUGCUCACCCCACUUGAAUUUCUACUGCUGCAAGCUAGUUUUCCUGUAUUGCAGUUCAGCAAGGUGGCAACAUCCUUUCCAGAGAGCAUUGGUCUGCCGCAAAGAUCACACACUUUCUCAGCUGCUAUUCGCUUCUGCUUCCUCAACUCUCUCCUUGCUGCCUUGCUUGAUAAGAGACCAACUUGAAGAUCAUUUGAGGUACCUACCGGUGAACAAGUCACAAUAGCUUGCCUACUGCCCUGUAAAGAGCUGUUCUGACCGUUUGACUCUUCUGAAGAUGCUUCUUGAUCAGAGAAUGAUUUUCUCAUUCGCUUUCCACGGUGUCCAGCAUCAUCAAUUACAAAGAAAGAUCCAGCAGAGACAGACAGGUCUUGUUCCUCAGAAGACCACUUCCUGCCUAAAUCAUAGGUAUAAGAGAAGUUGACUAUGGCAAAUCCAGAUUGCUCAUAAGUGUUACAACUCUCAAAACCAUGGGAGCCUUGUCCUACCCAAGCACACCAGAUCUUGCUUAUCUUCCUGCAGUUCUUGCUAGCUUCACAGAUCCUGUAUGAAAUAUUCCCAUAGCCCAAAAGAUGCACAGGCAAAUCUGAAACAACAUCCUUUAGCAAUACACCAGGAAUAACAACAGGACCAUCAGUUCCAUGGUUUGAAAGCAUGUGAUCUUCAGAUACAGCAGCAGUUCUACCAUUAGCACGGCCUUUUGCACCAUAGCGUGCACCUUUCACACCAUUAGAGGAGGUUGAACCAUCUCUCAGCCUUGAUGUCACCUCAGUAUCAUUCCCUGAAACCUCAGGCUCUGGAACCAGGGCAAGCUCUCUGGUGCUCUGUGAGCUUGAGUCCAGCAGGAGCGGAUCCUUCUCGCGUGAGUUGUUGAAGAAGAGCACACCAUCAUUAAACGGCCAUGGCAUGGGCCCAAACAGCGUAACCUUGGCCUCAGAAUACCGCCGUGAAUGCAGGUUUCCCUUGAGGUGGUCAAACAGCACAUUGUCGCUGAAGCACUCGGUGAGGCAGAUGGUGCAGAAGAAGAUGACACGCUUCCCGACACGCCGUAGUUCGACGUAGGUGUGCCCGCUCUGCCGCACCUCCCGAAGCGUGGCCUUUGCAGCAAUCUCACGUAUGUCAACAGGGCCAUUCCUUUGCACCACCAGCUCCUUACCCACCAUCGUGGAUCAACAGGCUACCACCAACCUCAAAUUUCUGCUGCUGUGCUCACAGAUCCCUCCAGAAACAACCUCCACGCCCUUGUCUCCUUGAAAUUCUCAGGAAAUUACCACCAAAUUUCACCCCUCUUGAGAUCUAUGCUUCCCUCCAGACCCUAGAAUUACAAACUUAACAACAUACUAAACCUAACGAAGUACAUAGGGGCGGCGGCGGACCCAGUAAAGGACUUGGGUGUAUACAUGCAGAGCUGAUAAUUCAAAAACAAUCGAGGUUAGUAGACAUAAUACAUGUAAGCACGCGUAAUUAGACCAGAUCCGAAUACAAAUAGCGUAGUUUAGGGUUUGGCUGCUCGGUUUCGCACAGAAAAUUGAAGAGGAGGGGUGGAGGGGGAAGGGGGAGGAGCGUACCUGGCAGUGCACGUCGCCGGUGAAGAGCCCGAAGAAGACAUGGCACCUGAUGGAGACUAGGCACCUGUCGCGGGAGGCCGCAGUAGCGGCGCGGUAGCCCAGGCGUCGCCUCGAGAGGAAGAGACAGAUAGAGCUCGAAGGGGGGUUGGGGGGACGGGAGAACAAAAGGAAGGGCCGCACGGAUAAAGCGGCGGUCGCCCAGCCGUCGCCCGGAGCGAGAGCGAGAGAGAGAGAGAAAGGGGCGGAGGUGAGGGAGAGAACGCGCGCGCAGGCCGCGGGGAACGGGAGAAGAAAGGCAGGGCUGCACAGAUAAACGCGAGAACGAAGAAGAAUAUUCGGACCAGACGUUCGAUGAAGGGAGGGUUGUCGCCGGCGAGCAAAAAAAUUGAUCAAACUUAUUAGAAAAAAACUAACUGUGUUUAUAUUUAUUAGAUUCACUGAAAUAUAUUUUUAUAGUAUUUGGCACUCUUUUUCAUAAAUUUGAUCAGAUUUUUGAAUAUUUUGAUUUUCGACAAAACUAUUAUUGUAAUCGUUUGUUGGAUAGUCCCAUAUCGUGUUUAUCAAGAGGUGUCCAAUCAGAAUAACUUACGGUGCGUUUGGUGACGAAGAGUGGAGAAAAAUAGAACUCUAUUUUUAUUUUCUAAAUGUUUGGUUUAUAAUAAAAUAGAGUCGAGCGGCUUCUAAGUUUCUAUUUCUAUUAUAUACUUAAGACUAGUAAAUGACUUAAGACUAGUAAAUGACGCGCGCUCUGCGCGUGAUAUUAAAACUGUCUUUAUAACUUUUUGCAUGUUUGUAGUAGUGGACAGAAAAUAAGAUCAUACGAAAAUGUGAUAGCAGUGUUUGAUCAUAAGAUAUGAGUUAGUAACAUGUUAACUAACAUCAUAGACAUAAUAUUAAUGUUCUGCCCCUAGAUAAAUGAGCAACCAAAAGUGGAGGAAUUUUAGAGGAUUAAAAUCCAAUAAAAAAAUUUCCUACGUGGUACAUUGAAACAAAGGAUUGAGCUCCUCCAAAUUCUAUAAAAUUCUUAUGGGAUGGCAUAUUAUAGUGAGAUUUUAAAAGAUUUCUAACAUAAGAUCCAAUCUCUUGAAAAACUUCCCUUUGUAUAUAUCCCUCCCCUCUAAUUCCUAUGUUCUUACUGUGUUGCAUAUAAACAUUGUAUUAGAAGCUUUCCUGCACUUUUAAAUCAUGUAAGAUUGCAAGUAUCAUGCAACUGCAUUUCUACAAAAAAAAAAUUUAUUCAUGCAUUUUGUCAAUCUUGCGUUCCAAAGGGUGCAUUUCUAGGAUUUUUAGGAGUCUAGACCAAAAUUCAAUAUUGGAGAUCUAAAAUUAAAGAAUUUCAACUUAUUUAUUUCUAAUAUGACUAAACAAUAAUUUAAGAUUUAUGUGCGUUUUUCGUUCCUUUCUGGUGGGUUAGAUCUGGUUUGUGCAGUCAAGAGGACGCAGUCGAAGCAACAUGAAAUUGAGGGCUUGAGGCAUCGGACAUGAAUUAAAUUGUGAGGGGAUGCUAAUCAUUCCAACAUCUAAUCAUAUCCGAAUCUAGUAGAAUAAUAGCAACAAACCGAGAAAGAAAUAAAAUAAAUAAAUCAAACAGAAACGCAAAGGUAAGGAUGAGAGCGGAUGUACUAAUUCAGUGUACUAAUUUGCUCUGAAAAAGAAAUAGCACGUGAGAACUAACAAAAUUGGGACAAUAAACAGAAGCACAAUUCAGUGUGUAAGAGCCUACACGAUUGACAAUCUGUAUCUUUACCGAUAGCCUAGAUUUAUUACUCUCAGAGAUGAGAGACUGUGUUCCAGAGAACGCACAUUUGGUAUAUCUAAUUGAAACCCACUGGCAGCCCAAAUAUUGGAAUCAAUGACAUAGUGUGGUUUGAUAAGUCACCUGAUCACAUUCACAGCAAAGUGCAAACGGGGAAGGAAGCAUGGAUGUGAUUUGGGGAAACUAAUAGCUAGACACGUAUUAUAAUAUCAAACUAAAGAACUGGGAUUCUUAUCCUCUCGCACAGAUCAGAAGCCCUAUCCGUAACGAAAAAGAUCAUUCUGGCCGAAAAAUACCGAGGAUCUGUUUGCGCCAACAAAUGGAAGAUCCAAGAGAACAAAAAAAAAGAGGAGACAGGAUGACCGCGCCUUUAAGAAAUUAGAUUAAACAGAACAAUCAAGUCACAUGGCUAACGCCUACGUAGCGUUUGAACUUCGGACAUGUUUUGGAGCUCGGAGAUGAUUGAUUAAUCACCUCUUCCUACAGUCAGAUGCGACGUUGGGGCUCCGGCAGAUGGAGGCGGACGAUGGCGUUCGAGCAAGGCGCACGAUGAAGCUCCAGGUGGGCGCCCGCGACAUGUAGAAGGUGAGCAAGACGCCAUCGUUGAUGCUGUGGAAGCUGCCCCCACCAACUACCUCCGCCCGGGACUCCUCGCUAUCGACGUUAGCUGCUGCUGGCUGUGCGGCGCUCCGGUCCUUUCCCUCUGUCUUGGGUGCGGGGCGUAGCUUCGGCUCCGCCGCCCCCGCCCGCGGCCUUCUCGACGAGGUUGGUGAGCGAGAGCUCGUACUCGAAUUCGGUGAGGACGUGCAACAUCUCCUUAGCAUCCCCUCCCGCUGUUGCGCGAUAUCCUGCGCCCUCUUCGAUGACCCCUCGUCCAUCGGCGGCGAGCUCUGCUGCUGCAAUGGAGAGGAGUAGAGGAUAGGCGGGGGUGCAGGGCAGAUGAGUUUUGCGCUUUCCACGUGAGCUUUCUCGAUGGCUCUGGAGCCCCAUGUCUGGAAUAGAUAAAAUUCCUAUAAAUAUAAAAAGGUGCUGACGUGGAGAUAUCGAGAUGACAGUUUGGCAGCUGUUGGAUUGCGAUCGGACGUCUAAAAAUAAAAGUACCAACGUGGAUACCCUCAGCGCACGUCUAGCUGCAUGGCUUUAAUAUAAAGGAAUGUCUUUGUUUCAUCAAUAUGAUCGGACACGAGCGUUUUGUUCGCUCUCUUGUCCUCUAUAUUUAUAUGGCUUUCUAACUAAACAAAGAACGAAAUGACUUCGUUCUAUUGUAUCUUUAAACUAAACAAAAAAUUAGAAUGACUUCGUUUUACCUAACAAAUACGGAGGAGAAUGGUUUUAUUCUCGUAAUCUCCCGACCAAACUACAAAAACCCAAACAGGACACGCACCUUCCGUGAACUUCUCGUGUCGCAGAUUCGUGAAGCAGUAGUAAACCACAUCCACAUGACUGACGCGGGGGUUGCAUGAUUCUAUCAGGCAGAUAAAAAAGGCAGCAUCACACUUCACACGCCUUGUUUUCUCGAAGGGAAUGGCUAGAAUAUGACGGACACAUUCAUCUCUUUUCCCUGCCAGCCGUUCGUUUUUUUAUUGGCCAGGUCGAGUUUUUAGAUGCAAUUUUGCCGAUGUCGACAGGUUUUAGCUCCACGAAGCGAGAAUCGUUUCCGUGCCUACACAUUCUAUUCUGGCACCGGUUCCCGAAUUGACACUUCGCAUCUUUGCCUGCACACCAAACAACACCGACGUGACACGCAACCACACAGAAGGAGACACUAUUGUAGCGUGAUGUAUUUCCUAAUUUAUUAUAUUUCGUGAAUAGCAGUUCGGUUUGUUUUCUAAAAAAAGAAGUAAGUUUCUGUGUGGCUGUCAACGUGAGGCCACAUAGAAUAGACUAGACCCAUGAGGCCACGAGCAUCUCUAGAGCAUAAUCCUUUUUUAGGCCACAAAGAUGCCAAGGGAUAUCUUACGUUCUUUACAGAGACAUGUACACUAUUUUCUUUCAGAGGUAACCAAACAAAAUCCUCCGAGGGCAAUAGAAAAACGAAGCUAUCAACAACCAGCAGAUGAAUUCAUGAUCUGUCGGUGCCAUCACCCAUCAGCCAAAAGAAAUCGGCACACCUACCUCAAGUUUCAUGGUGCGCAAGAACAGCAAUGACGGAUCUAGAAAACUUCGAGAGGCUAGACAAAAUAAGUACAUAUACUAUAAAUAAACAGCUUUAUCUAUAUGUUACAUAUAUUUAACUAUAUUUUAAUGCUUCGUGCACGUUUACAAAUUCAUUGGCACUAAUGUAAGAGCCUGAGUAAGACCCUAGCCUUGUCUGCACCUGGGUCCGCCCUGCGCUGAGCCAUUGAUACCCUGUUCCAUUUCAUAUUGCGUUGGUCUCCAACGACGAGGAUAUCAAGGAUAUUUUUUUCUAAAUAAUACUACAAAAACAACAAGAAAGUUAUUUAUCCAAAAUAAGUUGGUGUCGGAAAUGACCUCCGGACUAUGGGAUCCGACGGUCAGUGAGCAUGCUGAGAAAAAAUUCCCUGAUCGCCGGUGGCUGUUAGUUAGUUGGAAGAGACAGGUACGUCGGCCCCGAAAGGACCUGACCCCGGUCGAACCAUGUGGCACCGAGCCCAGGGUCAAGUGUGGCGGAGCCUGACAAGAAAGGAUGGGCGUGUCAGAAGGGAACCACUCAAAUGGAUCAUGCGUUCGGCCUUGGACUGAUUCGUCAUAAAUGACCGGUUGCAUUAACCACGCCUCACACCGAGCCACAGCGUGGGCGCCGGUCCGUUUCCUACCCAUCACCUAUGGACCCCUCGGGCAACAUUGCGCUCAUGACCUACGAGCCCCCGGACUGCGACGCAUUAAUGGCAUGUCGUCCCUCGGCCUGCGGCACACUUAUGUCCUAUUGAACUAGGCCUGUGUGUGCAGACCUCUCGUAUGGCACUAAACAACGGGCUACGGCGAGCCCAAGCGAAGCCUGGGGUUGGCGUAGCCGGAAUGAUGGCACCUGGGACCAUCAUCGCCCCCACGUCAUCCACCACGAUAAAUACACGACAGCUAGGCAACCCCGGGUCCACAAGUACGCAUGGCCUCACUCUUAGUAAAACAUUGGUUUUACCCUUUCCUUAUGGGCAUGGCCUCACUCUUAGUAAAACAUUGGUUUUACCCUUUCGUUAUGGCUCCUUCCUGGGGAAGCCAUCGCUAGCUGAUCCCUACUCCGGCCUAUAAAAAGGAGAUCUCGACCUCCGAGAAAGUGAGGGGAAAACAAGGACAGGUCGAAUAGAGAGCUCUUGGAGACAACCUGACGGCUUUAGACAGAGACGAACCCACAAGGACGAAUGAGCCGAGGAGCACCGACGAGGACCAGGAGGCCGAAGCCCCGCCAAGCCAAGACUUAGCUAGGACUCCACCUUGCAACUUCUAAGCUCCGCUUCCACCACAAUAAGAUAUCUGGGAGCCUCUCCUCCCUCUCUCGACUGCUUGUAACCCCUACUACAAGUUUAAUCAUCAAUGGUGCCGGUAGCGCAAGCCAUCGAUGACUGGAAGUAGGGACAUUCUGUCUGAGCCAGUAUAAAUCUUGCGCCCUCCACACACACCCUCCGGAGCCCGAAACCAUUGAUCUAAGCUCCGGAGCAUGGUACGAAAUACCGACAGUUGAUGUGCUAGGUAGCGGACUUGUGCAUUCCGCGAUGAGAUCAUCCGAGCUCCGGAUGGCUACCAACGACAGUACCGCGAUCUAGACUCCCGGGACAACCAUUCGCUUUGGGGGUCUGGAUUUCAUCGUCAACAAAGGAGAGAUGACGAGGGCCUCGCAAGCCCUGUCUCCCUUGGCAAACGACUUGCCCAAUGUAGCCAUAAGUCUCGGCGACCUCCGACUGGACCCACCUCAGGUGUACCAUGGGUCGCAGGGCUCGCCACCAGUCGAUUGUACCGAGGUUGUGGGAGUAUUGGACCGUGUCUGGGACUCAUUCAUGAAUAUCCUCUUGUAAGGGUCGAAAGACGGACUCACGUCCAUGCCUAUCUAGGCAAGUUGCGACCCUAGUCAGGAAUGCUUUGCAGCAAAUACCACGGGAGAUCACUUACCCGUGUGGGGAGCCUAGGCAAGAACUCGCCCAUCAUCAUGGAGUGCACUAUGGUGUCUGCCCUGCCUUAGCUCAACCCUCCUCCCCAGGAGGUGUCGUUGGGCCCGAGCCUCUCACGGAGCGAGCAGCACCCUGCGGCGAAAAGACAAGGAAGCUUACAAGGGUACGGGGCGAACACGCUAAGCAGUGGGGCGACAACACGCCAUGACGACAAAAGCCCGCCGUUGCCUGGUUUAUGGCAAGGGCGCAACGUCGUGUUUUCCCUGGACAAGCCAUAACAUCGUUGCUGUUGCGACGCUUCUAGACAAGCUCCCUAAGGCGAAAACACCAAGUGAAUGGAAGACCCACCAAUAGAUCGAAGACCUCCUCGGACUUGCUGUGCAGCAACAAGCCGAAAGUUCCAUGUCUCGACGUUGCGAGCCGGAGACCAACCGCUAUGCCGCGUUGAAAGGGAAAUUGGGUUAACCGUUUCCCACAAAUAAUUUCGGUGGUUGAAUGCCCAACACAAAUAAAUGGACUAACUAGUUUGCUCUAGAAUACAUGUUCUACAGGUGCACAAAGGUUCAACACAAACCAAUAAAUGUUCAAGUUAGGGAUCCAAUUCAAAGGAGCAAAAGAAGCCAAGUGUGUUGUGGCCUGGCACACCGGACUGUCCGGUGUGCCACCGGACAGUGUCCGGUGCACCAGGACCGUACUGAGUCCAACCAGCCACUCUCGGGUUUCCACAGGCGCACUCUGCUAUAAUUCACCGGACUGUCCGGUGUACCGCCGGACUGUCCGGUGCACCAGCGGAGCAAUGGCUAACUCGCGCAAUGGUCGACUGUAAAGGAGCUGACAGAGGAACAGUGCGCGCAGAGUCAAAGCCGUAGAGUCAGAGGCGCACCGGACAGUGAACAGGACCUGUCCGGUGUGGCACCAGACUGUCCGGUGCCACAAGAUGACAACGGCGCCAACAAUCGACUGCUCUCGAAUCCUAACGGUUGGGUGAUGUGGCGGCGCACUGGACAGUGAACAGGACCUGUCUGGUGGCACACCGGACUGUCCGGUGCCACAAGAAGACAACGGCGCCAACAGUCGACUGCUCCUAAACCCUAACGGUUGGGUGACGUGGCGGCGCACCGAACAGUGAACAGGACCUGUCUGGUGCCGCACCAGACUGUCCGGUGCGCCCAUCGCCAGCAGACUUCCCCAACAACUACUUGGUGGUUGAGGGCUAUAAAUAUCCCCCAACCACCACAACUCCAAGCAUCCAAGUUUUCUAAAGAUUUCAUUCAAUACAAGAGCUAGUGCAUUCACUACUAGACACAAAUCAAAAGAUCAAAGCCUCUCCAAGUCCCAAAUUCAUUCCAACCACCUAGCGACUUGAGAGAGUGUGUGUUCGUGUUCAUUUGCGCUCUUGUUGCUUGGAUCGCUUUAUUCCUUCCUCAUUCUUGUUCCAAAGUGACUUGUAAUCAAAUCAAGAGACACCUAAGUGUGUGGUGGUCCUUGCGGGGUCUAAGUGACCCGUUUGAUUAAGGAGAAAGCGCACUCGGUCUAAGUGACCGUUUGAGAGAGGGAAAGGGUUGAAAGAGACCCGGUCUUUGUGACCACCUAAAUGGGGACUAGGUUCUUUAGAACCGAACCUCGGUAAAAUAAAUCACCGUGUUCAUUCGCUUGUUUUCCAUUUGAUUUGUUUUCCCCCUCUCUUCCGGACUUUAUUUAAGUUCUAACGUUAACCUCGGCUUGUAGUGUGUAUUUAAAGUUGUAAAUUUCAGAUUACGCCUAUUCACCCCCCCUCUAGGCGACUUUCACGCGUCUACGUCGAUGACAAAUGAUGCCACAUCAUGGCAACCUCUGGAGCUCGAAGGAAGCGUGGCACAAGUCCCACCUCGUUGGCCCCAAAAGCUAGGUCGAUGUGCCUGGCCAUGGGACUGGGGAGGAGGGACGUGAAAGGUCAGGGUGACUCCUGAAAGGGAAAUAGGGUUAACUGUUUCCCACAAUUAAUUUUGGUGGUUGAAUGCCCAACACAAAUAAAUGGACUAACUAGUUUGCUCUAGAAUUGUCGACGUUUCGACCCCGGGGGUCCCUAGACCAACGAGUAAAUUGUCGCUGCGUGCCCCAACCCAGAUGGGUUGGCGCGAGACGGAACACAAAGAGGGGAAAACCGCGGCUUCGUGUUGUCCUGCGCCAGAGUGGAUGCGCUUGCAGUAGGGGGUUACAAGCGUUCGCGAGGGAGAGAGAGAGAGUCCCGCGCGACCACCCUCUCAUAUGAGGGCCCUGGACCUUCCUUUUUUAGAUGUAAGGAGAGGGUCCAGGUGUACAAUGGGGGUGUAGCAAUAUGCUAACGUGUCCGACAGAGAGGAGCCAGAGCCCUAUGUACAUGCCAACGUGGCUGUCGGAGAGGUGCUAGAGCCCUGUGCAUGCGAUGUCGUGGCCGUCGGAGGAGCGCUUGAGCCCUGUAGAAGCACAGCUGUCGGGGCUGUCGGGACCUUGCUGACGUCUCCUUGCUUUCGUAAGGGGCUGAGAGCUGCCGUCGUCAUGGGUGGACGUGGGGUGCCACCAUUACUUGUUCACCGGGGCGAGCCAGAUGGGACGCUGGUCUUGUUCCCCGUAGCCUGAGCUAGCUAGGGGUAGAGUAAUGAUGAUCCCCCCUGUGGCGUGGUCGGUCCGAGCCCAAGGUCGGGCGAGGCGGAAACUCCUUCGAGGCCGAGGUCGAGGCCGAGCCCUAGGGUCGGGCGAGGCGGAGUCCAUCUUCUGAGGCCGAGGCCGAGCCCUGGGGUCGGGCGAGGCGGAGACUUCUCCCGAGGCCGAGGCCCAAGGUCGGGCGAGGCGGAGCUUCCUGUGGCGCCUGGGGCUGGACUUGACUGUUGUCAGCCUCACCCUGGCGGGUGGCACAGCAGUCGGAGCAGGGCAGGCGGCGCUGUUUUCUUGUCCGGUCAGUCAGUGGAGGGGCGAAGUGACUGCGGUCACUUUGGCCCUGUCGACUGAGGAACGCACGUCAGGAUAAGGUGUCAGGCGAUCCUUGUAUUGAAUGCUUCUGCGAUACGGUCGGUUGGCGAGGCGAUCUGGCCAAGGUUGCUUCACUGCGAAGCCUGCCCGAGCUGGGCCUCGGGCGAGUCGAGGGUGCGCAUGUUGCUUGAGGAGGCCCUCGGGCGAGGCGUGAAUCCGCCUGGGUCUACUGUUCCUGCCCAAGGCUGGGCUCGAGUGAGGCGAGAUCGCGUCCCUUGAGUGGACGGAGCCUCGACCUGAAUUGCGCCCAUCAGGCUCUACAGCUUGUGCUGAUGGUGAUUACCAGCUGAGUUUAAGAGUAUUGGGGGUACCCCUAAUUAUGGUCCCCGACAGUAGCCCCCGAGACUCAAAGGGAGUGUUGGUACUCGCUUGGAGGCUUUGUCCCACUUUUUUGCAAGGGGACCGGCCUUUCUCGGUUACAUUUUGUUCCGGUGGGUGCGCGCGAGCGCACCCGCCGGGUGUAGCCCCUGAGGCCUCGGAGGAGUGGUUUGACUCCUCUGAUGUCUUAAUGCCAUUCGUGAUGCCUCGGCCGGUCUGGUUGUUCCCUCAUGCGAUCUGAUCGUAGCCCGGGUGCAUGGUCAGGUUCCAAGUUCUCGGGCUGGUUUGUUGACGCUGUCAACGGUUUGGCUGGAGCCGGGUUUGCGAGAGCAGCCCCCGAGCCUCUGCACAGAGCGAGAGGACGAUCAAGGACUGACUCGGCUUUUAUCAUAUGCCCCUUCGUCGUCUUUCCGCAAGGAGGAGGGGGGAAGCGCCAUGUUGCCAUCGGAGGGCACCGAACAUGGUGUUUCCAGUGAGUUGCUAAUGGGUGAUCCGAGUGGACGCCCGUGCCCCGUUCGAUAAGGGUCGGCUAGUGGCCCAGAGGCGCGCUCCAAAAGUACCUGCAGGUGAUUUGCCGGACCCGGUCCCGUUUGAUAGGGUCCGAGGGCUCGAUGCCUCCCUCUGAUGGGAUUCCGUUACAGAAUCGCUCCCGCUGGUCUCGGAAAUGUCCUAGGGUACCUCGGGAGCGUAGCCCGAGCCUCGGCCAUGUAUCGGACGUACCCAGAGUCAUCCCUCGCUCUGCGCGUUCUAGGGCGGCUGUCGAACCCUUCGGGGGGGGCAGCCUUCGAACCCCUGAUCAGUAGUGGGCGCGGAGCCCGAGUGCUCUGAGGCGGCUGUCGAACCCUUCUGAGGGGCCAGCCUUCGAACCUCUGAUCAGUAAUGAGCCUGAAGCCCGAGUGCUCUGGGGCGGCUGUCGAACCCUUCCGAGGGGCCAGCCUUCGAACCCCUGAUCAGUAGGAGGGCUUGGGGCCCGCUUCCUUCGCGGAGAAGGAUCCCUUUCGAAAUAUCCCCUUUCCGGUCCCUGUAGCAAGAGAGAGAAAGGGGAAGAGGAAAAGGAUACGAAAUUAAACGAUGUGGCGCACCUUUUUUGACGUGGUCAUCAUGGCGGAGGUGAAACGUCGCCCGCUUCGCCUGCCAAAGGUGUCGCCUGCCCUGCCGCGAAGUUAAUGCGACGGGACGGGUGGUUCGCGGGGCAGCCGUUGUGCGUGUGCGAGUCGUUCGAGGAACGGGUGUUUCGCCUUCGAGUUUGAAUUUCGCGGUGGGUUCGAGCGAAGUGUUGAACGGGUCUUGCCCGGGCUUUUAUAUACCCAGAAGAGGGACCGGUGGUGGUUCUUUACUCUGUUGCUCGCCUCCUGCUUUGGUUUCCGCGACCCAAGGGAAUAGCCAGAGAAAGAAAACCACGCACCUUGUCCGCUCCGCCGUCGCCCCCUUCGUUUGGCGAUGGCCGACCGGGUAACCGUCGUUCCACCGUGCGACCCGUGGCCUUUCUCCACCGUCACAGUGGACGAUCUGGAGGCCCUUGUCGCUGAUGGUUUGCUCCGUCUCCUCUCCGGUGACCCGCAGCCGGAGUGGAUGGUCCCUCUGAGCGGGGCCGACCCGACCCCACCGCCGGGGUACGUGCUGAGUUUCGUCUCCUUCCAUGAGCGGGGGUUCGGAGUGCCAGCAAGUCGUUUCAUGCGGGCGCUCCUGCAUUACUACGGGGUGGAGCUGCACAAUCUCAACCCCAACUCCAUUGCGCAAGCGGCCAUCUUCGUGGCGGUUUGCGAGGGUUUUUUGGGGAUUGACCCCCACUGGGAUCUGUGGACCCAUCUCUUCACCGUGGAGCCUUUUGCCUUGACGACGGGGGAAAAGAAGGUCCGCAUGGCGGUGCGGGCCGGUGGCUGCAUCCUCCAGUUGAGGCAGGCGCGCGUGCAACAGUACAUCCCCGCCAUCCUUGUGUCUUCGAACAAGGGGUGGCAGCGCCGGUGGUUUUACCUCCGGAAUGACGACGGGAGGCUCCCGUCGUUUUCUCAACGAGUGGUGACUGCCGCCGGCAGCAACUGGCGCUAUGGGGCCACGCGCGAGAAACAGGAGAAACUCCAGCCCCUUCUGGAGGCCUUGCAGGAGCUACGAGACGGGGGGGGCUUACCGUCGUGGGGGUGGUUCCGCCAUCCAUCGUCUGAGGGUGCUUCCCUUGGCAGAGCGGCAGUUGCCGCUUUCGAAGAUGACGUUGGGGGUCGACUUGGAGGGUUCACAGGUGUCCUCGGUCCCCCUCUCCGCUGAUGACCUCCGCAGGCGGGUAGCGGGCACGGUAGGGAGGCUGGACGCCGGCGCCCUUACCCAGCCCUUGAUGCGUCCCGAGCGUGGGUGCGUGUCUCUGGUGAGUGUCUGCUCCUUCUCCUUUCUUGUGUCAGGUUGCCCUUGAUUCUCACGGUCGGGAUUUCCGUUCGUUUCCAGGAGUUGGGGUGUUACAAGCCUUCCCUGCCACCAGUCUUGGAGGACACGGUGGACCGAGCCGCGCGGAGGGUCGCCGCGGAGAAGAAGAAGGAGAAGAAGGACGUGAAAAAGGCUCGGGCUCGCGAGCGGAUGCGGGCUCGGGACGCCUUGGAGAGGCACCGUUGGAGGCAGGAGAGGAACGGGCUCCCGAGGGAGCCGUCGCCGGAGACGCCUGACAACGACGAUGACGACGAUGAUGACGAGGACGGCGACAUGGCGGCCCGCCUUGGCCUCAGCCCGGAUCUGAGGCUAGGCCAGGGGUCGUCGAGCCAGCCCCUGAGCGGGCUGGUGCCGUCGGUAUCUGAGGCCGGGACAUCGGGGUCCCAGUCCGAAGAGCAGGGCAGGCUGAGGGGGUACUUGACCCCUUGGCCGAGGUAGUUGAGGUGACCCCGGGGGGUCAGGCCGACCCGCCUAUCCCCCAAGAGCAGCUGCUCGUGCCGGCCGUAAAGGAGGUUGAUCCUCAGGCCGUCGUGACGUCGCAUGGGCAGGCUGUCCCUUCGACGCCCCGGGCGCCCGAAGUGGGAACGGCGCUGAAGCCGGAAGCGGGGCGAACCUCGGCGGCGCCUGCGGGGACCGAGGCCCGAGGGGCCUCCCCGCAGGCACGAUUGGCCUUGGUCCGGAGCGGGUAAGUAUCUGAGGAUACCUAUGUCCUGGCUCUUUCUUCGUGUGUCCUGAUCCUGCUUUACUUUUUCCUCCCAGCAAAUGGAGGCACGGUUCGGCCGAUCUGGCUCCCAGGAAGGCCCUUAAGACGGUGCCGGCUUCUACAGCCAGUGCCGCACUAUGCCAUGCCGGUUGGCUGGCCUCCGCACAAGAUGCCCCCAAGCGGGGGGCCCAGGCGGCGCGAGUUGCCAUGGGGCGAGCUCCCCAGGCUGACCCCUCCGUCGAGGCAGCCGUCGUGUCGGGGGAGACUGCUGGCGCGGCUGCGGCCUUGAGCCCACCUGACGUACUGCCGGCGCCGGCACCAGCUUCUGUCGAGGCUGUUGCCGUUCUGCCCGUGGAGCCACCCGUCACUGCUGAUGCUGAGAUGGCUGAGGUGCCGCUGCUCGAGGUCGGUGAUUGGAAGCCCACCUCCUUAGCCGAGGGGGUACCCGAUGCGUCGACUGCAGGGGGUCCCGACGCCUUGGAGGAGGGGACACAGAACCGCUUCUCGUCUUGGGGAGCGGCGACCUCAUCCUCGCGCGACGCGAUCCCAAUGAGCGGCGUGGACAGGCGCUCCGGUUCUGGACCCGUGGCGCCUCGAAACCCCUCUUCGUCCUUGACGAUGAGCGGGAGGAGCAGUCUCGGGAUGAGCUCCGUGAGUACGCCGAGGCAGCGAUGGGGUCGCUUCGAUCGACCAUGGAGAUCCUUUCUAGGGACGUUCUCAGGAUCCUCCAGGUAAGGAUUUCAGGCAUACCUUUCGCGUGACCAGGGCAUUCUUUGUGACGCCCUGCUUCCCUUCCUCAGGAUCUAACGGAUCUGAGCGCCGCCAAGUCGUCGUUCAUCCGCCGCGAGACCGACGUCUGGGGUUCGCUGUGGUUCCUGAGGGCCACGCUUACCGAGGCUACCGAACGCCUUGCCCAAUGGAGCACCGAGGCGGCGGACCUUCGGUUGCUCUGUGAUGGGCUGGGGGUGGAGGCAGCGACGGCACGCGUAGAGGCGCAGCGGCGGCAGCUGGAGCUUGGCCAGGUCAUCGGCAAGCGGGACCAAUCUCGGAACCAGGCUGCCGAGGCUAAAAGCUGGGCUGAGGCCCUUGGGGGCCAGCUAGCUGAGGUGUCUGGUCGGGCCGGAGCCCUUGCGGAGGACCUGGCCGUGGCCGUCGGGUCUGCCCAGUCUACCCAAGCCGCAGCUUUGGAGCAGCGUGCCCGGGCUGAAGGUAUGUUUUGGCCGCUUUGUGACUUCGAUUCAGCUUCAUUCUUCAACUCGUGUCUGAAGAAUUCUAUUUGGCCGUUUGCAGAGUUCGAGUCAGCCUUCAACGAGUCCGUCAAGGCACUUGCCCAGGCAGUUGAGCAGAAGGAGGCCGACCGCGUGGCCAUGUCUGAAGCUAUCUCGACCUUUUGCCAGGUCUCUGGUCUUGACGAUGUCCCCUCGGAAAGCUCCCCCAGAGUCGCCUGCAGGCCUUGGGCGGCCAUGUGCGCAACAGACUCCGCGAGGCGCUGCAUCACGGCGUUAGGCGGGCCUUCGCCGUGCUCGCUUCCCACUACGACGUGGACCUGGAGCGGGUCAGCGAGGGUACUGUCUACCCGACGAAGAUGAAGCUACCUUAGCCGAGGUUCAGAGGCUCGACGCGGCCGUUGCGGGCCCAAGUGCGAUGCUAGCGUCCUCCUUCGAGGUGGAGAUCCUUCCGCAUGCGUUGCCGUCCAGGGCCGGGGCGGACCUCGCCGAGGGUGGAGACGACGCUGAGGAUGGAGACGAAGCCGAGGGUGCCGCUCCUCCCCCGGGCGAUGCCUGAUUCUGCCGGAGCAGUUUGUUUGGAGCAUGCAUGUGUCUUUCGCGGCCGCCGAGGCCUGAACACUUUGUCGUCGUGCUAUAAAGCUGUGUUUCUCUUCCUCUUGUUUCGAGUAUCCGGACUUGUUCAUUAGUAGCAGAAUCGCUUAUCCGAGUAAGAGUUGUUUUUCGCGGAAGGUGAUGAGUGAGGUAUCCGUAUCCCGGAGGCGUAGGAGUCCCUCGGCUCGGUCGGCCUUGCUGCUUACAUGCGCUCUUAUUCGUUUUGCGGGGUUCUGUUACUGAUAUAGUCGGGAAACACGAAAGUCGUUUGGUAGAAAAACUUUUCCGAGGAAAAUUUUUGACGCAGAGGGGGUUCCCCCCUUCUAGCCCCCGAGGGAGGGUCGGGCUUUGCCGAGGCAAGGCUGACCCUUCCUUGACGGUUAGACUUUAUUUGUGUAUGUAAAGAGAACGAGGUAUAUGAACAACUUGAAAACAUCUUAAGGGUAAAAGCGACGUAGCUGUCGGAUGUUCCAAGCGUUGUUGUAGACCUCGCCUUGACUGUUGGCCAGCUUGUAUGUUCCGGGCUUCAAAAUCUUGGCGAUGAUGAACGACCCUUCCCAGGGAGGAGUGAGCUUGUGGUGCCCUCGGGUGUCUUGUCAUAGCCGAAGUACCAAGUCCCCCACCUGGUGGUCUCGGGACCGAACCCCUCGGGCGUGGUAGCGUCGCAGAGACCGCUGAUACCGUGCCGAGUGUAGUAAGGCCAUGUUCCGAGCCUCUUCCAGCUGGUGCAGUGAGUCUUCUCGGCUGGUCUGGUUGCUUCGGUCGUCGUACGCCUUCGUCCUCGGGGAACCGUAUUCUAAGUCUGUGGGCAAGAUAGCCUCGGCCCCAUAGACUAGAAAGAACGGUGAGAAGCCCGUGGCUCGGCUUGGCGUCGUCCUCAGACUCCAGACCACCGAGGGUAGUUCCUUCAUCCAUCGCUUGCCAAACUUGUUGAGGUCGUUGUAGAUCCUCGGCUUUAGUCCUUGCAGGAGCAUACCAUUGGCACGCUCUACCUGCUCAUUCGUCAUGGGGUGAGUUACGGCGGCCCAGUCCACACGAAUGUGGUGGUCCUCACAGAAGUCCAGGAACUUCCUGCCAGUGAACUGGGUGCCGUUGUCGGUGAUGAUGGAGUUCGGGACCCCAAAGCGAUGGAUGAUGUUGGUGAAGAACGCCACCGCCUGCUCGGACCUGAUGCUGUUUAGGGGUCGGACCUCGAUCCACUUGGAGAAUUUGUCGAUAGCGACUAGAAGGUGCGUGAAGCCCCCGGGUGCCUUCUGCAAGGGACCGACGAGGUCCAGACCCCACACAGCAAACGACCAGGUGAUGGGUAUUGUUUGCAGGGCCUGAGCGGGCAGGUGUGUCUACCUUGCGUAGAAUUGACACCCUUGGCAGGUGCGUACAAUCCUAGUGGCGUCAGCCACCGCGGUUGGCCAGUAGAAACCUUGUCGGAAGGCGUUUCCAACGAGGGCUCGAGGUGCUGCGUGGUGACCGCAAGCCCUCGAGUGUAUUUCUUGCAAUAGCUCCUGACCUUCGGCGAUGGAUAUGCAUCGUUGGAGGAUGCCUAAGGGGCUGCGGUGGUAGAGCUCCUUCUCGUCACCCAGUAAGACGAACGACUUGGCGCGCCGCGCCAGUCGCCGAGCUUCGGCUCUGUCGAGGGGUAGCUCUCCUCGAUGGAGAUAUUGCAGGUACGGGGUCUGCCAGUUUCGAUUAGGUGUGACCCCAUUUCGCUCUUCCUUGACGCGCAGUGCCUCACCCUCGGCGGCCGAGGGUGCCUCGGGCUGGGCCGAGGCCUCCUUAGGCUCGGGCGCGUCGUCGGUCUUGACGGAGGGUUGAUGUAGGUCUCGGGAGAAGACGUCCGGGGGAACCGUUGUCCGCCCUGAGGCUAUUUUAGCCAGCUCAUCCGCAGUCUCGUUGUACCGUUGAGCGACGUGGCUGAGCUCUAGCCCGUAGAACUUGUCUUCCAGGCGCCGAACCUCGUCACAGUAGGCCUCCAUCUUCGGGUCGCUGCAGUGGGAGUUCUUCAUGACUUUGUCGAUGACAAGCUGCGAGUCGCCACGAGCAUCGAGGCGCCGAACCCCUAGCUCGAUGGCGAUGCACAACCCGUUAACCAGAGCCUCGUACUCGGCCACGUUGUUUGACGCCAGGAAAUGGAGGCGUAGCACGUAGCGGAGGUGCUUUCCGAGGGGUGAGAUGAAGAGCAGGCCCGCACCUUCUGCUGUUUUCAUCAGCGACCCAUCGAAAAACUUGGUCCAGAGUUCCGGCUGGAACGGAGCUGUCGGAAGCUGGGUGUCGACCCAUUCAGCCACAAAGUCCACCAAGACUUGGGACUUGAUGGUCUUCCGAGGAGCGAACGAGAUUGUCUCGCCCAUGAUCUCCACCGCCCACUUUGCAAUCCUACCCGAGGCCUCUUGGCACUGGAUGAUCUCCCCCAGGGGGAAGGACGACACCACAGUCACCGGAUGAGACUCGAAGUAGUGUCGCAACUUUCGUUGCGCCACGAUUACCGCGUACAGUAGCUUCUGAAUUUGUGGGUAGCGGAUUUUGGUCUCGGAUAGUACUUCACUGAUGAAGUAAACCAGCCUCUGGACGAGCAGUGCAUGCCCUUCUUCUCGUCUCUCGACUACGAUCGCGGCGCUGACCACCUAAGUGGUUGCGGCUACGUAGAUCAAGAGGGCUUCUCCUGCAGCGGGGGGCACCAAGAUGGGCGCGCUUGUAAGGAGCGCCUUUAAGUUCCCGAGGGCUUCCUCGGCCUCGGGGGUCCAAGUGAAGCGCUCGGUCUUCCUUAAGAGGCGGUACAGGGGUAGGCCUCUUUCGCAGAGGCGCGAGAUGAAGCGGCUCAGAACCGCAAGGCAUCCCAUGACCCUCUGUACUCCUUUCAAGUCUUUGAUAGGCCCCAUGUUGGUGACGGCCGCGAUUUUCUCCGGGUUGGCCUCGAUGCCCUGCUCGGAGACGAUGAACCCCAAGAGCAUGCCUCGGGGGACUCCGAAGACACACUUCUCGGGAUUAAGUUUUAUGCCUUUCGCUCUCAGACACUUGAAUGUCGUUUCAAGGUCGGUGAGGAGGUCAGAGGCUUUCCUCGUCUUGACUACGAUGUCAUCGACGUAAGCCUGGACCGUUCGACCGAUGUGCUCUCCGAACACGUGGUUCAUGCACCUUUGGUAUGUCGCGCCUGCAUUCCUCAAACCAAAUGGCAUAGUAAUAUAGCAGUACAUGCCAAAGGGUGUGAUGAAAGAGGUCGCGAGCUGGUCGGACUCUUUCAUCCUGAUUUGGUGAUACCCUGAGUAGGCAUCGAGGAAUGACAGGGUUUCGCACCCGGCAGUGGAAUCCACGAUUUGAUCGAUGCGAGGCAGAGGGUAGGGAACCUUCGGACAUACUUUGUUUAGACCAUUGUAGUCUACACACAUCCUCCAUUUCCCACCUUUCUUUUUCACAAGCACAGGGUUGGCUAACCAUUCGGGAUGGAAUACCUCUUUGAUGAACCCUGUGGCCAUCAGCUUGUGGAUCUCCUCGCCUAUGGCUCUGCGCUUUUCUUCGUCGAAUCGGCAGAGAGGCUGCUUCACGGGUCGGGCUCCAGCUCGAAUAUCCAGCGAGUGCUCGGCGACAUCCAUCGGUAUGCCAGGCAUGUUCGAGGGACUCCACGCAAAAACCUCGGCGUUCGCGCGGAGAAAGUUGACGAGCACCGCUUCCUAUUUGGGGUCGAGCUCGGAGCCAAUCCGAACUUGCUUGGAGGCAUCAUUGCUGGGGUCGAGAGGGACGGACUUAACCGCCUCUACUGUUUCGAAGUUGUCGGCGUGGCGCUUCGCAUCUGGCACCUCCUUGGAGAGGCACCCCAGGUCGGCGAUGAGGGCCUCGGAUUCGGCGAGGGCCUCAGCGUACUCCACGCACUCCACGUCGCAUUCGUACGCGUGUCGGUACGUGGAUCCGACGGUGAUGACCCCGUUGGGGCCCGACAUCUUGAGCUUGAGGUAGGUGUAGUUGGGGACGACCAUGAACUUGGCGUAGCACGGUCUCCCCAGCACUGCGUGGUAGGUUCCUCGGAACCCGACCACCUCGAACGUGAGGGUUUCCUUUCAGAAGUUGGAGGGAGUCCCGAAGCAGACGGGCAUAUCGAGUUGUCCAAGGGGCUGGACGCGCUUCCCGGGGAUGAUCCCGUGAAAGGGCGCCGCACCGGCCCGGAUCAUGGACAGAUUGAUCUGCAAGAGCCCGAGGGUCUCGGUGUAGAUGAUGUUGAGGCUGCUGCCUCCAUCCAUGAGGACCUUGGUGAGCCUGACGUUGCCGAUGACGGGGUCGUGAAACGGAAAUGUGCCCUUGGGCCAUUUCUAAGUAUUUUGGUGAUUAAGUGUCCAACACAAGUGCCUAAGUGUUAAAUUGUGCCAAGGACUCAAGAAGUGCAAAUCAAGAUUAAAGGUAUGUUUCUAGACUUAGUACAUUGUUUUGAAGACUAAUGUAUUGUGUCUAAGUGCUAGAAAUAGGAGAAACAAAUUUGGAGAAGUUGGCUGUGUACAGCCAAAAGGCUGCUCGGUCUGGGUGCACCGGACUAUCUGGUGGUGCACCGGACAGUGUCCGGUGUGCCAGGCUGGCGUCUGUCAACUGGCUGCUCUCGGGACUUCGUUGGCGGCGUACGGCUAAAAUUCACCGGACUGUCCGGUGUGCACCGGACAGUCCGGUGAGCCAACUGUCGGCCCGGCCAACGGUCGGCCGCGUAAUCUACACGCGACGCGUGGCAGAGCCAACGGUCAGAAGGGGGCACCGAACUGUCCGGUGUGCACCGGACAGUGUCCGAUGCGCCAACGGCUCUGAAUCUCCAACGGUCGGCUUCACCAAAGAAGGAAAGAAAUCCGCACCGGACAGUGUCCGGUGGUGCACCGAACUGUCCGGUGCGCCAGGCGACAGAAGGCAAGAAUUGCCUUCCUGGAAUGCUUUCAACGGCUCCUAGCUGCCUUGGGGAUAUAAAAGGGACCCCUAGGCGCAUGGAGGAGAACACCAAGCAUUCUCUAAGCAUUCCUAAGCACCAAGACUUCAAUUCUGCGCAUUCGAUUCUUUGUGAUAGCAACUAGAGCUCCAUUUGAGUAGAGAACUCUUUGAGUUGUGUUGAGAGCUCGUGUUGUGACUUGUGUGCAUGUUGUCGCUCUGAUUUUGUGUCUUGUGUGCGUUGCUCAUCCCUCCCUUACUUCGUGCUUCUUUGUGAACAUCAAAGUGUAAGGGCGAGAGGCUCCAAGUUGUGGAGAUUCCUUGCGAGCGGGAUAAAGUAUACAAAGCAAAACACCGUGGUAUUCAAGUGGGUCUUUGGACCGCUUGAGAGGGGUUGAUUGCAACCCUCGUCCGUUGGGACGCCACAACGUGGAGUAGGCAAGUGUUGAACUUGGCCGAACCACGGGAUAAACCACUGUGUCUAUCUGUGAUUGAUCUUCUUGUGGUUAUCGUGUCUUGCAAGAACUCCUCUCUAGCCACUUGGCUUUAUUGUGCUAACUCCUAAUCAAGUUUUGUGGCAUUAAGUUUCAAGUUUUACAGGAUCACCUAUUCACCCCCCCCCCUCUAGGUGCUCUCAAUUGGUAUCGGAGCCGUUCUCUUCACGUAAGGGACUAAUCGCCCGAAGAGAUGGAUCCUAAGGGCAAGGGGAUGGUGGUCAAUGAUAAGGAGAAGCAUUCCUUCGUCAAUGAUCCAAAGGAUGACAAGCCUACUGACUCAGGCUCGGGCCACAAAAGAAAAGACGGGAGGAAGAAGAAAACAAGGCGCAUCAAGGAGAUAGUCUACUACGACAGCAACGAAUCUUCCUCUUCCCAAAAGGACGACGACAACGACUACGAGAAAAAGAAGACGGUUAAUUGAAACUUUUCCUUUGAUUAUUCUCGUAUUCCGCAAAGUUCCAAUGCUCAUUUGCUUUCCAUUCCCCUCGGAAACCCCCCACACACUUUGAUGGAGAGGACUACGGAUUUUGGAGUCACAAAAUGCGUAGCCACUUGUUCUCUCUCCAUCCAAGUAUAUGGGAGAUAGUGGAAAAUGGAAUGCACUUUGAUAGUACGGAUAGUCCCAUGUUCAUUAAUGAGCAAAUUCACAAAAAUGCACAAGCUACUACUGUUCUUCUAGCCUCAUUGUGCAGGGAUGAAUACCAUAAGGUGAGCGGCUUGGAUAACGCCAAGCAGAUUUGGGACACCCUCAAGAUCUCUCAUGAGGGGAACGACGUCACCAUGCUCACCAAGAUGGAGUUGGUGGAGGGCGAACUUGGGAGAUUCGCAAUGAUCAGGGGCGAAGAACCAACCCAAACAUACAACCGGCUCAAGACCCUCGUCAACAAAAUAAGGAGCUAUGGAAGCACGCGAUGGACGGACCACGACGUCGUCCGCCAAAUGCUAAGGUCUUUUACUGUCCUUGAUCCACAUCUUGUGAACAAUAUUCGUGAGAAUCCUAGGUACACCAAGAUGACGCCCGAGGAGAUACUUGGAAAGUUCGUAAGCGGGCAGAUGAUGAUCAAGGAGGCUAGAUACAUUGAUGAUGCGUUGAAUGGCCCAAUCCAAGAGCCUCAAACCAUUGCUCUCAAAGCAACAAGGAGCAAGGAGGCGCUACCUAGCAAGGUGGCACAAGUUGAGGCGGCCGAGCUUAAUGAUGAAGAAAUGGCCCUCAUCAUCAAACGUUUCAAGACGACGCUAAAGGGUCGUAAAGAGCAUCCCAACAAGAACAAGAUAAAAGGGAAACACUCAUGCUUCAAAUGUGGUAAGAUUGGUCAUUUUAUCGCUAAUUGCCCCGAUAAUGAUAGUGACCAGGAACAAGGGAACAAGAGGGAAAAGAAGAAGACUUACAAGAAGGCUAAGGGCGAGGCACACCUUGGCAAGGAGUGGGACUCGAAUUGUUCGUCGUCCGACUCCGACAACGAAGGACUCGCCGCCACCGCCUUCAACUAAUCGUCUCUCUUCCCCAAUGGGCGUCACACCUGCCUCAUGGCAAGGGAAAAGAAGGUAAGCACUCGUGAUACUAGUACUUACGCUUCCUCAAGUGAUGAAGAAUCUAGCGAUGAUGAAAUAGACUAUUCAUGUUUAUUCAAGGGCCUAGAUAGAACUAAGGUUGAUAAGAUUAAUGAAUUAAUUGAUGCCUUGAAUGAUAAAAAUAGGUUAUUAGAAAAGCAAGAUGAUCUUUUGUAUGAAGAACAUGAUAAGUUUGUAGAGGCACAAAAAUCCCUUGCUUUAGAAAUUAAAAGGAAUGAAAUGCUUUCUUGUGAAUUGUCUACAUGUCAUGACUCUAUUUCUAGCUUAAAGAGCAUAAAUGAUGAUUUGAGUGCUAAGUUAGAAAUAGCUAAUAAAUCAACAUCUUGUGUAGAACAUGUUGCAGUUUGCAAUAGGUGUAAAGAUUUUAAUGUUGAUGCUUGUUGUGAACACCUAGUUUCAAUUUCUAAAUUGAAUGAUGAAGUGGCUAGUCUUAAUGCCCAACUUAAGACUAGCAAGAGUGAAUUUGACAAACUCAAAUUUGCAAGGGAUGCCUACACGAUUGGUAGACACUCCUCAAUUAAGGAUGGUCUUGGCUUCAAGAGGGAAGUCAAGAACUUAACAAGUCAUAAGGCUUCCAUCUCCGCCAAGGAGAAAGGGAAGGCCCCUAUGGCUAGUAGUGCUCAAAAGAACCAUGCUUUCAUGUAUCAUGAUAGGAGACAUUCUAGGAACGUUUAUAAAAGUUAUGAUGCUUUUGAUUCUCAUGCCAUGAUUGCUUCUAGUUCUUCUAUUAUGCAUGAUAGAAAUUUGGCUAGGAAAAAUGUUGUUCAUCAUAUGCCUAGAAGAAAUAUUGUUCAUGUUCCUAGGAAAGUAAUGAAUGAACCUUCUACAAUUUAUUAUGCUUGCAAUGCUUCCUUUGCUAUUUGUAGAAAGGGUAAGAAGGUAACUGCUAGGAAAUUAGGGGCCAAAUGUAAGGGAGACAAGACUUGCAUUUGGGUCCCUAAGACUAUUAUAACUAACCUUGUAGGACCCAACAUGAGUUGGGUACCUAAGACCCAAGCCUAAAUUUGCCUUGCAGGUUUAUGCAUCCGGGGGCUCAAGCUGGAUUAUCGACAGCGGAUGCACAAACCACAUGACGGGGGAAAAGAGGAUGUUCUCUUCCUACGUCAAGAACAAGGAUCCGCAAGAUUCAAUCAUAUUCGGUGAUGGGAACCAAGGCAAGGUGAAAGGGUUAGGAAAAAUUGCUAUUUCAUCCGAGCACUCUAUUUCUAAUGUGUUCUUAGUUGAGUCGCUUGGAUAUAACUUGUUGUCUGUGAGUCAACUUUGUAAUAUGGGAUAUAACUGUUUAUUCACAAAUGUAGAUGUGUCUGUCUUUAGAAGAAGUGAUGGUUCAUUAGCUUUUAAGGGUGUACUAGACGACAAACUUUAUUUAGUUGAUUUUGCAAGAGAGGAGGCCGGUCUAGAUGCAUGCUUAAUUGCUAAGACUAGCAUGGGCUGGCUAUGGCAUCGCCGUUUAGCACAUGUAGGGAUGAAGAACCUUCACAAGCUUCUAAAGGGAGAACACGUGAUAGGUCUACCUAAUGUAACUUUCGAAAAAGAUAGACCUUGUGCAGCUUGUCAAGCAGGUAAACAGGUGGGAAGCUCUCAUCAUGCCAAAAAUGUGAUGACAACAUCAAGACCCCUGGAGUUACUUCAUAUGGACCUCUUCGGACCCGUCGCCUAUCUAAGCAUAGGAGGAAGUAAGUAUGGUCUUGUUAUAGUUGAUGAUUUUUCCCGCUUCACUUGGGUAUUCUUUUUGCAGGAUAAAUCUAAAACCCAAGGGACCCUCAAGCGCUUCCUAAGGAGAGCCCAAAACGAGUUUGAGCUCAAAGUGAAGAAAAUAAGAAGCGACAAUGGGUCCGAGUUCAAGAAUCUUCAAGUGGAGGAGUAUCUUGAGGAGGAAGGAAUCAAACAUGAGUUCUCCGCUCCCUAUACACCACAACAAAAUGGUGUGGUAGAGAGGAAGAACAGGACGCUACUAGACAUGGCGAGGACGAUGCUUGGUGAAUUCAAGACGCCCGAACGGUUUUGGACGGAAGCCGUGAGCACAACUUGCCACGCCAUAAACCGGGUCUACCUUCAUCGCCUCCUCAAGAAGACUUCAUAUGAGCUUCUAACCGGUAACAAACCCAAUGUGUCUUACUUUCGUGUAUUUGGGAGCAAAUGUUACAUUCUAGUGAAGAAAGGUAGGAAUUCUAAGUUUGCUCCCAAAGCAGUAGAAGGGUUUUUGUUAGGUUAUGACUCAAAUACAAAGGCGUAUAGGGUCUUCAACAAAUCAUCGGGUUUGGUUGAAGUCUCUAGCGACGUUGUAUUUGAUGAGACUAAUGGCUCUCCAAGAGAGCAAGUUGUUGAUCUUGAUGAUGUAGAUGAAGAAGACGUUCCAACGACCGCAAUGCGCACCAUGGCGAUUGGAGAUGUGAGGCCACUGGAACAAAAGGAGAAAGAUCAACCUUCUUCCUCAACAACGGUGCAUCCCCCAACUCAAGAAGAUGAACAGGUUCAUCAAGAGGAGGCGUGUGAUCAAGGGGGAGCACAAGAUGAUCAUUUAAUGGAGGAAGAAGCACAACCGGCACCUCCAACCCAAGUUCGAGCGACGAUUCAAAGGAAUCAUCCCGUCGACCAAAUAUUGGGUGACAUAAGCAAGGGAGUAACUACUCGUUCUAGAUUAGUUAAUUUUUGUGAGCAUUACUCAUUUGUCUCUUCUAUUGAGCCUUUCAGGGUAGAAGAGGCCUUGCUAGAUCCGGACUGGGUGUUGGCCAUGCAAGAGGAGCUCAACAACUUCAAGAGAAAUGAAGUUUGGACACUGGUGCCUCGUCCCAAGCAAAACGUUGUGGGAACCAAGUGGGUGUUCCGAAACAAACAAGACGAGCACGGGGUGGUGACAAGGAACAAGGCAUGACUUGUGGCAAAAGGUUAUGCCCAAGUCGCAGGUUUGGACUUUGAGGAGACUUUUGCUCCUAUGGCUAGGCUAGAGUCAAUUCGCAUAUUGUUAGCCUAUGCUACUCACCAUUCUUUCAGGUUGUUCCAAAUGGAUGUGAAGAGCGCUUUCCUCAACGGGCCAAUCAAGGAGGAGGUGUACGUGGAGCAACCCCCUGGCUUUGAGGAUGAACGGUACCCCGACCACGUGUGUAAGCUCUCUAAGGCGCUCUAUGGACUUAAGCAAGCCCCAAGAGCAUGGUAUGAAUGCCUUAGAGACUUUUUUAAUUGCUAAUGCUUUCAAGGUUGGGAAAGCCGAUCCAACUCUUUUUACUAAGACUUGUGAUGGUGAUCUUUUUGUGCCAAAUUUAUGUCGAUGACAUAAUAUUUGGUUCUACUAACCAAAAGUCUUGUGAAGAGUUUAGCAGGGUGAUGACUCAAAAGUUUGAGAUGUCGAUGAUGGGCGAGUUAAGCUAUUUCCUUGGGUUCCAAGUGAAGCAACUGAAGGAUGGGACCUUCAUCUCCCAAACGAAGUACACGCAAGACUUGAUCAAGCGGUUUGGGAUGAAGGACGCCAAGCCCGCAAAAACUCCAAUGGGAACCGACGGACACACCGACCUCAACAAAGGAGGUAAGUCCGUUGAUCAAAAGGCAUACCGGUCUAUGAUAGGGUCCUUACUUUAUUUAUGUGCUAGUAGACCGGAUAUUAUGCUUAGUGUAUGCAUGUGUGCUAGAUUUCAAUCCGAUCCAAGGGAGUGUCACUUAGUGGCUGUGAAGCGAAUUCUUAGAUAUUUAGUCGCUACGCCUUGCUUCGGGAUCUGGUAUCCAAAGGGGUCUACCUUUGACUUAAUUGGAUAUUCAGACUCCGACUAUGCUGGAUGUAAGGUCGAUAGGAAGAGUACAUCGGGAACGUGCCAAUUCUUAGGAAGGUCCCUGGUGUCGUGGAGCUCUAAGAAACAAACUUCUGUUGCCCUAUCCACCGCCGAGGCUGAGUAUGUUGCCGCAGGACAGUGUUGCGUGCAACUACUUUGGAUGAGGCAAACCCUCCGGGACUUUGGCUACAAUCUGAGCAAAGUCCCACUCCUAUGUGAUAAUGAGAGUGCUAUCUGCAUGGCGGAUAAUCCUUAUGAACACAGCCGCACAAAGCACAUAGACAUCCGGUAUCAAUUUUUGAGAGACCACCAGCAAAAGGGAGAUAUCGAAGUGUUUUAUGUUAGCAUCGAGAACCAGCUAGCCGAUAUCUUUACCAAGCCUCUAGAUGAGUCGACCUUUUGCAGGCUGCGUAGUGAACUAAAUGUCUUAGAUUCGCGGAACCUGGAUUGAUUUAUAGCAUACAUGUGUUUUAUGCCUUGACCAUGUUCCUUAAUGCAUUUUGUUGUUUAUUUAUGGUUCUCAAUUUGUACAAGCACUCCCCGGACCUCACAAGUCCAUUCGCAAGUGAUGCACAUAUUUAGGGGGAGAUGUGCUACAACUUGACCCCUUGAGACUAACUGUGUGCUUGAGUUUGAUUGAUUUAGUCUCAAAGGUGGAUUGAAAGGAAAUGUUGGACUUGGACCAUGAAAGACUUCCACUACACUCCGAUGAAAGAGUAACUAACUCCAAGUUCAUCUUCAUGCUCUUAUUGCCUUUUUAACUCUUAAUUGAAGAUUUUGGUGAGGCAAUGGGGUUUAAGGGCCAAAAAUGAUCCUGUUUUGGUGCUUGAUGCCAAAGGGGGAGAAAUUAAGGGCCAAAGCAAUAAAUGGAUCAGCUACCACUUGAGAAUUUUGAAAAUAGUAGUGUUAGGCCUUUUGAUUGUCAAACUUCUAAAUGUCUCUUUGUGUCAAAAGUUGAUCUCUUGAGGGGAGAAUAUUUGAUUAUGGGAAAUAGGGGGAGCUUUUGAAAUCUUUGAUCAAAUUCUCUUGGAACAACUCUCUUUAUGUCUCAACAAGUGUGUUUGACUUAGAGAUGAUAGGGAAUUGAGUUUGAUUUGCAAAAACAAAACCAAGUGGUGGCAAAGGAUGAUCCAAAUAUGCCAAAUUUGAAUCAAAACAAAUUUGAGUUUUCAUUUGCAUUGAUGUUGCACUUCCUUUAGUUGCUUUUUAUUGUGUUGGCAUAAAUUACCAAAAAGGGGGAGAUUGAAAGGGAAAUGUGCCCUUGGGCCAUUUCUAAGUAUUUUGGUGAUUAAGUGUCCAACACAAGUGCCUAAGUGUUAAAUUGUGCCAAGGACUCAAGAAGUGCAAAUCAAGAUUAAAGGUACGUUUCUAGACUUAGUACAUUGUUUUGAAGACUAAUGUAUUGUGUCUAAGUGCUAGAAACAGGAGAAACAAUUUUGGAGAAGUUGGUUGUGUACAACCAAAAGGCUGCUCGGUCUGGGUGCACCGGACUGUCUGGUGGUGCACCGGACAGUGUCUGGUGCGCCAGGCUGGCGUCUGUCAACUGGCUGCUAUCGGGACUUCGUCGGCGGCGUACGGCUAAAAUUCACCGGAUUGUCCGGUGUGCACCGGACUGUCCGGUGAGCCAACUGUCGGCCCGGCCAACGGUCGGCCGCGUAAUCCGCGAGCGACGCGUGGCAGAGCCAACGGUCAGAAGGGGGCACCGGACUGUCCGGUGCGCCAACGGCUCUGAAUCUCCAACGGUCGGCUUCGCCAAAGAAGGAAAGAAAUCCGCACCGGACAGUGUCCGGUGGUGCACCGGACUGUCCGGUGCGCUAGGCGACAGAAGGCAAGAAUUGCCUUCCUGGAAUGCUUUCAACGGCUCCUAUCUGCCUUGGUGCUAUAAAAGGGACCCCAAGGCGCAUGGAGGAGAACACCAAGCAUUCUCUAAGCAUUCCUAAGCACCAAGACUUCAAUUCUGCGCAUUCGAUUCUUUGUGAUAGCAACUAGGGCUCCAUUUGAGUAGAGAACUCUUUGAGUUGUGUUGAGAGCUCGUGUUGUGACUUGUGUGCGUGUUGUCGCUCUGAUUUUGUGUCUUGUGUGCGUUGCUCAUCCCUCCCUUACUCCGUGCUUCUUUGUGAACAUCAAAGUGUAAGGGCGAGAGGCUCCAAGUUGUGGAGAUUCCUCGCGAGCGGGAUAAAGUAUACAAAGCAAAACACCAUGGUAUUCAAGUGGGUCUUUGGAUCGCUUGAGAGGGGUUGAUUGCAACCCUCGUCCGUUGGGACGCCACAACGUGGAGUAGGCAAGUGUUGAACUUGGCCGAACCACGGGAUAAACCACCGUGUCUAUCUGUGAUUGAUCUUCUUGUGGUUAUCGUGUCUUGCAAGAACUCCUCUCUAGCCACUUGGCUUUAUUAUGCUAACUCCUAAUCAAGUUUUGUGGCAUUAAGUUUCAAGUUUUACAGGAUCACCUAUUCACCCCCCUCUAGGUGCUCUUAGGUCGACAACGAGCGGGUACUUUCCUGGGCUCGGCACGCGGUCGGGGUGGUCGCCUUGGUCGAAGGUGAUGGGCUUGUCGGACCAGUCUAGGUAGACUGGCGCCGCCUCCUUCACCGAGUAGACCUCCCGGCGCUCCUGCUUGCAGUGCCGAGCCGAGGCGUUCGCCACUUGCCCACCAUAAAUCAUGAAACAGUCGUGGACCUCGGGGAACUCCUCUGCCUUGUUGCCCUCCUUGUUGUCAUUGUCGUGGCCUCUGCCACCUUCUGCUGGGGCCCGGCCUUGUGGAAGUAGCGCCGAAGCAUGACACAUUCCUUAAGGGUGUGCUUGACGGGACCCUGAUGAUAGGGGCACGACUCCUUGAGCAUCUUGUUGAACAGGUUGGCCCCUCUGAAAGGCUUCCGAGGGUUCCUGUGCUCGGUGGCGGCGACAAGAUCUGCGUCGGCGGCAUCGCGUUUCGCUUGUGACUUCUUCUUGGCCUUAUUCUUUGUGCCACGCUGGGCGGACGCCUCGGGGACGUCUUCCUGCUGGCGUCCCUGAGGCUGCUUGUCCUUCCGGAAGAUGGCCUCGACCGCCUCCUGACCAGAGGCGAACUUGGUGGCGAUGUCCAUCAACUCGCUCGCCCUGGUGGGAGUCUUGCGACCCAGCUUGCUCACCAGGUCGCGACAAGUGGUGCCGGCGAGGAACGCGCCGAUGACAUCUGAGUCGGUGAUGUUGGGCAGCUCGGUGCGUUGCUUCGAAAAUCGCCGGAUGUAGUCCCGCAGGGAUUCUCCUGGCUGCUGGCAGCAGCUUCGGAGAUCCCAGGAGUUCCCAGGGUGCACAUAUGUGCCCUAGAAGUUUCCAGCGAAGGCUUUGACUAGGUCGUCCCAGCUGGAGAUCUGCGCAAGAGGCAGAUGCUCCAACUAGGCUCGGGCGGCGUCGGAGAGGAACAGGGGGAGGUUACAGAUGAUGAGGUUGUCAUCGUCCAUUCCACCCAGCUGGCAGGCCAGCCGGUGUCCGCAAGCCACAGUUCCGGCCUUGUUUCCCCCGAGUACUUGGUGAUGGUAGUCGGGGCUCAGAACCGGGUCGGGAACGGCGCCCGUUGUAUGGCCCGGCUAAAGGCUUGCAGACCAGGCGGUUCAGGCGAGGGGCUCCGAUCCUCCCCGUUGUCGUAGCGUCCCCCACGCCUGGGGUGGUAGCCUCGGCGCACCUUCUCGUUGAGGUAGGCUCGACGGUCGCGGCGGUGGUGCUCGUUGUCGAGGCGACCCGGGGCUGCAGGUGUCGCGUUCCGCGUGCUCCCGGGGUAGACCGAGGCUUCCCGCAUGAAUCGGGAAGUCGCGACGCGAUGCUCCGGGGGGACCCUUGCCUUCGGGAGGCAGAGCUCUCGGCCCGUCGGACCGCGGCAUCCUCCAGGUGAUUCUUGAGUUCUCCCUGGAUAUGCCGCCCCUUGGUGGUGGAUGGCUCCGGCAUCGCUCGGAGUAGUAUUGCCGCUGCAGCCAGGUUCUGGCCGACCCCACUGGAAACCGGGGGCAGCCUUGCCCUGGCAUCGUCAGCGAUGCGGUGCUGGACGUCCUGGGCCAGAUGACGCGCUUCUCUGGCUAGUGCUCGGCCUACCCACUCCUGCCCGAUGUUCUGCCGGAGCUGCACAAGUUGUCCUGCUUCCUCGUCGAGCUUGGCCUGCAUCUCGCGGAUUUGCUUGAGCUGUGUGUCCUGACCCCCCGCAGGGACUGGGACCACAGCUAGCUCCCAUAGGAUGUCAACGCGAGGCGCAGGCCUAGGGGGAUCAUCGUCCUCUGGCAUACCAAGGUGGUUGCCUUCGUCGUGACCCCCCAGAUCGAUGUGGAAACAUUCGCGACUUGGGCCACAACCUUCAUCGUCAAGGCUGUGGCCAUCAUCGGAGCAAUCGGAGCGGCAGUAGUCACAUGCGGUCAUGAAGUCUCGCAUGGCGCUAGGAUUACCGAGCCCGGAGAAAUCCCAACCAGAGUCAGGCUCGUCGUCUUCCUCGGAGCCCGGGGGCCCGUAGGUCGAGACGGCCGUCAGUCGAUCCUAGGUUGACCACAUAUGGUACCCCGGAAGGUUAGGAUAUGCCUUUAUGAAAGCGUCCACCGAAGCGGGGUCGCUUGGCGGAUCGAAGCUGAAUCUAAAAGGCACAAGGUGGAAAACGGACGGUACCUCUUGAUCGACGGACGAUGACGAAGUCGCGUAGGGGACGGACUGCACCGUUAUCUCAGGUACGAGGCUAACGCCCAACAAGUCCUUCGCGAGCGUGCUGGUGUCAUCCGUCCGCUUGGGGUUGGCGUGAUGCGGGGAAACGGCGCCCGUCUUCGUCUCAGACGCGAGGUCAAUGCCUGACGUGUCCACCACUGGGGCGCCGCCGUCGUUGACUCGCUCAAAAGCCGACGAGGUGCCGCCUCCUGCUUGGCCAUGGUCGCCCCGCCUCCUCCUCCUGCGGCGAAGGAGGCGACGAGACAAACCCGGAUGUUGCUCUUCCGCCAUGGAGGGAAGACGUCGCCGAGUCCGCCGCCGCCGGGCGGGCUGACGGCCGUCGUUGUCGUUGUCGUGCGGCGGAGGAAGGAGUACCAUGUCGUAGCUGUCGUCGAGGGACAUGAACUCGAGACUCCCGAAACGGAGCAGCAUCCCGGGUUGAAGAGGUUGCUGGAAACUACCCAUCUGGAACUUGACGGGAAGUUGUUCGUCAACACGCAGCAGGCCCCUACCUGGCGCGCCAACUGUCGACGUUUCGACCCCGGGGGGUCCCUGGACCGACGAGUAAAUUGUCGCUGCGUGCCCCAGCCCAGAUGGGUUGGCGCGAGACGGAACACAAAGAGGGGAAAACUGCGGCUUCGUGUUGUCCUGCGCCAGAGUGGAUGCGCUUGCAGUAGGGGGUUACAAGCGUUCGCGAGGGAGAGAGAGAGAGUCCCGCGCGACCAUCCUCUCGUACGAGGGCCCUGGACCUUCCUUUUAUAGAUGUAAGGAGAGGGUCCAGGUGUACAAUGGGGGGGGUGUAGCAAUAUGCUAACGUGUCCGACAGAGAGGAGCCAGAGCCCUAUGUACAUGCCAACGUGGCUGUCGGAGAGGUGCUAGAGCCCUGUGCAUGCGAUGUCAUGGCCGUCGGAGGAGCGCUUGAGCCUUGUAGAAGCACAGCUGUCGGGGCUGUCGGGACCUUGCUGACGUCUCCUUGCUUCCGUAAGGGGCUGAGAGCCGCCGUCGUCAUGGGCGGACGUGGGGUGCCAUCAUUACUUGUUCACCGAGGCGAGCCAGAUGGGACGCCGAUCUUGUUCCCCGUAGCCUGAGCUAGCUAGGGGUAGGGUAAUGAUGAUCCCCCCUGUGGCGUGCUCGGUCCGAGCCCAAGGUCGGGCGAGGCGGAAACUCCUCCGAGGCCGAGGUCGAGGCUGAGCCCUGGGGUCGGGCGAGGCGGAGUCCAUCUUCUGAGGCCGAGGCGGAGGCCGAGCCCUGGGUCGGGCGAGGCGGAGACUUCUCCCGAGGCCGAGGCCCAAGGUCGGGCGAGGCGGAGCUUCCUGUGGCACCUGGGGCUGGACUUGACUGCUGUCAGCCUCACCCUAGCGGGUGGCACAGCAGUCGGAACAGGGCAGGCGGCGCUGUUUUCCUGUCCGGUCAGUCAGUGGAGGGGCAAAGUGACUGCGGUCACUUCGGCCCUAUCGACUGAGGAACGUGCGUCAGGAUAAGCUGUCAGGCGAUCCUUGUAUUGAAUGCUUCUGUGAUACGGUCGGUUGGCGAGGCGAUCUGGCCAAGGUUGCUUCACUGUGAAGCCUGCCCGAGCUGGGCCUCGGACGAGUCGAGGGUGUGCCCGUUGCUUGAGGAGGCCCUUGGGCGAGGCGUGAAUCCGCCUGGGUCUACUGUUCCUGCCCGAGGCUGGGCUCGAGUGAGGCGAGAUCGCGUCCCUUGCGUGGACGGAGCCUCGACUGAAUUGCGUCCAUCAGGCUCUACAGCUUGUGCUGAUGGUGAUUACCAGCCGAGUUUAAGAGUAUUGGGGGUACCCCUAAUUAUGGUCCCCGACAAGAAUACAUGUUGUACAGGUGCACAAAGGUUCAGCAUAAAUCAAUAAAUGUUCAAGUUAGGGAUCCAAUUCAAAGGAGUAAAAGAAACCAAGUGUGUUGUGGCUUGGCGCACCGGACAGUGUCCGGUGCACCAGGACCGUACUGAGUCCAACCAGCCACUCUCAGGUUUUUCGCAUGCGCACUCCGCUAUAAUUCACCGGACUGUCUGGUGUGCCAGCGGAGCAACGACUAACUCGCGCAACGGUCGACUGCAAAAGGGGCUGACAGAGGAACAGUACGCGUAGAGUCAGAGCCGUAGAGUCAGAGGCGCACCGGACAGUGAAUAGGACCUGUCCGGUGCCACAAGAGGAUAAGGCCUCCAACGGUCGACCGGGCUCCAGACCCUAACGGUUGGGUGACGUGGCGGCGCACCGGAUAGUGAACAGGACCUGUUCGGUGGUGCAUCGGACUGUCCGGUGCGCCCAUCACCAGUAGCCUUCCCCAACGGCUUCUUGGUGGUUGAGGGCUAUAAAUACCCCCAACCACCACAACUCCAAGCAUCCAAGUCUUCUGAAGUUUUCAUUUUCAAUACAAGAGCUAGUGCAUUCACUCCUAGACACAAAUCAAAAGACCAAAGCCUCUCCAAGUCUCAAAUUCAUUCCAACCACCUAGUGACUUCAGAGAGUGUGUGUUCGUGUUCAUUUGCGCUCUUGUUGCUUGGAUCGCUUUCUUCCUUCCUCAUUCUUGUUCCCAAGUGACUUGUAAUCAAAGCAAGAGACACCUAAGUGUGUGGUGGUCCUUGCGGGGUCUAAGUGACUCGUGUGAUUAAGGAGAAAGCUCACUCGGUCUAAGUAACCGUUUGAGAGAGGGAAAGGGUUGAAAGAGACCCGGUCUUUGUGACCACCUCAACGGAGAGUAGGUUCUUUAGAACCGAACCUCGGUAAAACAAAUCAACGUGUUCAUUCGCUUGAUUUCUAUUUGAUUUGUUUUCCCUCUCUCUCUUGGACUUGAUUUAUGUUCUAACGCUAACCCCGACUUGUAGUGUGUAUUUAAAGUUGUAAAUUUUAUAUUAUGCCUAUUCACCCCCCCUCUAGGCGACUUUCAAUUGGUAUCGGAGCCCGAUGCUUCAUUAGAGUCUAACAACUCGAAGUUAUGUCAAGAGAUCACACCAAAAGGGAGAUCGUGACCGGCGACAAGCCCGCAAGCUCGGGGAGAACCCUUUCAAGGGAGUCCGGCCACAAGCAUAAGGAGGAAUCCUCUUCCUCCAACAAGACACAUCGGAAGGGUGACAAGAAGAAGAAGAUGAAGAAGGUGGUCUACUACGAGACCGACUCUUCGUCACCCUCCAUGUCAUCAAGCUCCAACUCGUCCGUCGCUUCUAAGCGCUAUGAGCGCAAGAAGUAUAGUAAGAUGCCCUUACGCUAUCCUCGUAUUUCUAAAUGCGCUCCAUUACUUUCCGUUCCCUUAGGCAAACCACCAUAUUUUGAUGGUGAUGAUUAUUGUAUGUGGAGUGAUAAAAUGAGGCAUCACCUAACCUCACUCCACGAAAGCAUAUGGGAUAUUGUUGAGUUUGGAGUGCAGGUACCACAGGUGGGGACAAAGACUAUGACUCGGACGAGGUUGCCCAAAUUAGGCACUUUAACUCCCAAGUCACGUCUAUACUCCUCGCCUCCUUGUGUCGAGCGGAGUAUAACAAGGUGCAAGGGUUAAAGAGCGCCAAAGAAAUUUGGGACGUGCUCAAGACCGCGCACGAAGGGGACGAGGUGACCAAGAUCACCAAGCGGGAGACGAUCGAGGGGAGCUCGGUCGGUUCAUCCUCAACAAAGGAGAAGAGCCUCAAGCCAUGUACAACCGGCUCAAGACAAUGGUCAACCAAGUGCGCAACCUCGGGAGAACCAAAUGGGAUGACCAUGAAAUGGUCAAGGUUAUUCUAAGAUCCCUUGUUUUUUGUGACAGAACCUCCCAAGUCAUUAGGCCCAGCUACAGUUGUCCUUGUCCAAUAGACCUCAGACAACCCUACAGGUGCCCCUAAUCACUUGACAAGUUCGGUAUCUGUAUUCUUUACCUUGCCCGAGAGCAUUUCACCCGUCACACAGACAUUACAACACAUCGUAGGUACGAGAAUGUGGAAGCAGUUACAAUAACUUACUUUAUUUUAAAGUAAGAAAGAGUACUAUUAUUACAGACCAGAGUGAAUAUAGGAGUGCAGGAGUAAUAUUAUUACAUAACUUGGGAGGCAAAAACCCCUCCCGAUAAACAGUAAAAACUUUUUCUUAAAGGAGGACACUUCCUCCCGAGGCUUCAGUCUUGAUUUUCUUUUUUGGGCACCACCUUGGAACAAAAGCAACAAAAAUUUGCUGCUUCCUCACCUAAAACAACAUGGGACAAAGCCCUGAGUACGAAGUGUACUUUCGCAAGUCUAACCUGUCAAAAUAAAAGACUCUCAAGGAUAUGUUGGCCUUUGGGAAUCAAGGUAUGGCUUAUCAAUAAUCAAAGACUCUGUUUGUAGAAAUGCUUACUAAUAGUGGAUCCUUAAAAGUCCAGUUUUAUUAGCAAGUGAAGUCAUUACCUGAGUUCUAGAGUUCUUUCUACCCUAGUUCAAGCACUUGACCUAUACUAGCCAAUUUCUUUUCAACCCUUCUGUUGGGGGCCUUCGGCUUCCGAAGGUCCUCAAAAACGUGAUUUGACAAUGUUUUUUCUAAGUAUGCAAGUAGGUAUCUUCGGAAUCAGGUUGCGGAUAUACAGAAGCAUGGUCAAGACGAAGCUUGACUGGAAUGGAAGACGAUCAUGACGAAGGAUGAAACGAUCACGAAGCUAUGUGCAGAGGAGCUUCGGCAUGACAACAGAAAGGGGAAACCGACUUAAAGAUGAAAAGCCAAAUCAGCCCUUGAAGAAUUAUUAUAGAGUUAAUGAUAAAAGUAAAGGGCAUUAAUGUAAUUUUAUACGGGCUGCGUCCCGUGCCUAUAAAUAGAUGAACGGUAUUCCUGUACUGUUCACGCUGACUUGGCAUUGGCAUCACGCUUGUACCCUCACUUUCCUUCAAGCCGAAGGUACAUUUAUAAUUUGUCAUCAUUUAUAUAAGAAAAAUGAAUAGAAAUAAAUCAAUAACAAUGUUUAAAAUAGUCAUGUUAUUUUUCCGUAUUUUAUACAUAAAUCUUUUCUUGUCUUUUAUUACGAUUAUGAAGGUAUAACCUUCAUAACCUUCGUCCGAAAUUCAUUAUGCCCUAGGGGGAAAUAAUGUUUCGAAGGACGAAGGGCUUUAAUAUUUAAUAUUGUAUGUUGCCUUGUUCUUGAUUCAUAGCAUUUGAGAACAAGUCCCCAACAUUGGCGCCCACCUCCGGUGAACUCACUUCCAUUUCUUGAGCUUUGAACACCUUCGGCAAGCAUCACCUUCGUCAUGCCGCCGAAAAAAGCUUCAGCGACAGGGGCUGCUACCCUACAGCCAUUGGACCCCAAUCAGGACGUCCUUUCUCUUAGAGAGGCCCGAAGCCAGAAGAGGAAGGCUGCUAGUCCAACGCCUCCGGAAGAUGACUUGGAUCAGGAGAUCCAAAACCUGGAGAUCCUUCAGCAACAGGUGCAACGAAAGAAGGAGAAGAUGGCUCGUUUAGCUGACCUUCAGAGACAGAUAGAUGAAGCUUCCGAAGAGGUUCGUCAUCUUGUUCAAGAUGACCAGAACCGAAGACCUCCGCGCAGAGAGCUUCAUCAGGAGGGCUUCUACAAUGAAGACGACUGGUAUGAAGAUUUCCAUCAUGGAAAUUUUGCUUUCGAUGAUGCUUCUCCAUUAUCAACAGAAUUGCAGGCUACACCAUGGCCUCAGUCUUACAAGCCACCCCAGCUCCCCAUGUACGACGGUCAUACAGACCCGAAGCAAUUCUUGAUGAGCUAUGAAGCAACCAUAUCUUCGUAUGGUGGCAAUACUGCAGUCAUGGCAAAGUCUUUUGUCAUGGCCGUCAAGAGUGUCGCUCAGACCUGGUACUCCUCUCUCCGGCCAGGGACAAUCACCUCUUGGCAGAAGCUGAAGGAUAUGUUGAUAACCAGCUUCUAAGGGUUUCAGACGAAGCCAGUUACUGCUCAAGCUUUAUUCCAGUGUACCGAGGACCACAAAGAAUACCUCCAGGCGUAUGUCCAAAGGUUUCUGCGUCUGAGGGCACAAGCGCCAACAGUGCCCAAUGAAAUUGUCAUUGAGGCCAUGAUUAAGGGGCGUCGGCUGGGACCUUCAGCGCAAUACUUUGCCAGGAAGCCACCACAAACUUUGGAGAAGCUGCUUCAGAAGAUGGACGAGUACAUCAGGGCCAACAAUGACUUCCGCCAAAGAAGGGAGGAGGCAUUCAGGUUCUCUGAAAUGACCAGGGGCUUCGGAGGAAGAUUUCAUACAAGGCAUGUCAGGUCAAUUCAUAACUCCACUCAAAGUGAUGAUAGAGGGAGCCAACAACAAAGGCCACAAUACUCUUCGCAAGCUUCGGGACAACAGCAAAGCUCUGUUCGGCCGCCAGCGCCAAGGGGCAGAGGCGCCAGGGGCUUCGGGGGAAGAUUUGGGGAUCAGCCAAGAAGAAUUUACUGUCUAUUCUGUGAUGAAGACAAGGGCCAUACCACCAGGAUGUGCCACAUCACCAUCCAGAAGCAAAAGGAGAUAGCAGAAGCUACAGCACAACAGAGUCAGCCGAAGCAGGUCAUGCACACUGCUUCGUACCAUUCGCCUUACAUCCCAGAAUAUGUAGGCAAUCACUCUGCAGCUUCUGUUGCUUCGGCAAGUCAACCCCAAGCAUCUUGGCAACAGCCUCCACCGCCACCACCAACGCAGCGAGGACAGCAGCCAGAAGGGAGUCAGCACACUCACCUUCAGAGGGACUUCAGAGAGGAGUCUGAAGCUCGCACAGUCAAUAGCACUGUGCCAGAGUCGAAGCACAUUUACUGAUAAAUAUCCUACCUCGACAGCAGUUUAUUCGCAUUUUUACAUUCAGUAUUACUUUUUUGUUAAUAAGGAACAAUUAUGGGAAGUCUAAGUGUCUUUUAUCGUUUUUCAAUUUCCUGUAACAGUUUCGUCUUUUACCAUAAUAAAAAUAUGUCUUCUCCAUAGGCUUGAGUUGCCGAAGCAUACGAAUUUAUGGUGCCAUGAAGGACCUUUGUAUUAUCAAAAAUUUAUUCUAAGGGACACGGUGCAAUUUAUUCGAAGCAGUAAAAAGUCGUUCCUAAGGGAACACAGUGUAAGUUUUUUGAGCCUACAGCGAAAAGUCAGCGCUGAUUCCGCCGAAAGUAAAAGGCGAAGAAGCUCCUAAGGGAGGCUUACAGCGAAAAGUCAACGCUGAUUCCGCUGAAAGUAAAAGGCGAAGAAGCUCCUAAGGGAGGCUUACAGCGAAAAGUCUACGCUGAUUCCGCUGAAAGUAAAAGGCGAAGAAGCUCCUAAGGGAGGCUUACAGCGAAAAGUCAGCGCUGAUAAAAAACAAUGUGUGCUUUAUCGCAGGGAUGUGUGUAUUUUCGGCACAAAUAUCAUUUUGCAUAACAUAACAUCAUCACAUCAUUUCGCAUAACAUAAGCAUCAUACAACAUAUUGCAUGUGGAACAAGAAGGGGAUACAGUAUCGAUCUUCGGAGAGUGUUUUGAAAAAGAGAAAAUCGUGCUAAGGCAUAAGAUAAAUUGAGAAGAAGUGUAGCUUCAUUAGAGAGGCAACAUAAAACUUUUUUAUAGCUUCGGAGAACAUUUCACGAAGCUUGAUUAUUCUUCACCAGAGAAGUAUGGAAAUUCUUGUGAUAUAUAAAAGAUUUUCUUCACGAAGCAUGAAAAGAAGGGAAGGUGUUUUUUUUUCGCCGAAGGCUCAAAAAAUGGUAUGUAUGCAAAAUUUCAUGCAUCGUAAAGAAUUGAACUAUAAACAGAUUAUAUAUUACAUUCAAAGUUACAAUGUAUUACACAUGUUAUAUUUCAAACAUUUUUACAAUAGCAUCUAAUCCUCCUUAAGAACUAUUUCUGCGGCUUCGUUCAAUAGCUGAUCGACAACCUUGUCCAUGAUGGCUUCGGCCAUUUUUCUAAUUUCAUCGUCCCCCUUCGGGUGGGGGCCCGGAGAUGCCUCAGCAGGUUCUGAGGGAGGAGAAGAUACGGCUAUAUUACUAUUACAAACCGCGAACAAAGUCUGGAAUCAAAAAUUACAACAAAAUAAAAACCACUAGUUAAUACCUAUUUGCCCUUCGGGCUCUGCGCUUUUCUCAGCAGCCUCUGCUAUUUUCCUAGCAUCAUGGAUGCCUUUUUCGCUUUUUUGAAUGAUCUCUUGAGCCAUUUCUCGGCCACCAUUGUCCCAAAUAUCGGUGAAAAUUUUUCCUCCAACCAGGCUUGAUUCGGCCGAGGGGUCCUUUAUGUCUUCGGAGGACAAGGCGGUUUCGGUUUGCGCUAAAGAUUUCACAUGAUUACAGCCUUUUCUUUCCAACACCGUAGCAAUCCCCCUGGCGCCUGAAAAAGCGCAUAUGUCUCCGUGGCUAUUCAAGAUUUCUUCGAAGGCCUCAGCGUCAUGACUGAUCCAUUCAAUAGGGCCUUCUGGAUUUCCCCUUGUGAAAUUCUCUUCGCUAGAGAACGCGCCGACGCUGGCGAAGCUGGAUUUUAUCAUCUUAACACACUCUAUGGAUUUAUCAUAGUAUCUUUUCUUGGAAGCACGAAGCUCUUCAACAUUUACUUCCAAAUGAUUUGCCCAUUGAUCACUAAGUUCUCGUUUUGUUUCUUCUAGUAUGCGUUCUUCUUUAGCCCUGGCCAGUUGUUUCUGAAGAUCCUGAAUUUCGCGUUUUUGGGCUUCAGCUUGAGCCUUAGAGGUAGCUUUGUCUUCCUUUAUUUUAUCCACUAGUGUAAGCAGAAUUUUAUCUUUUUCCAAAGCUUCGUUCCUCAGCUUGAUAACCUCUGCUCGUAGGUUGUUGAAAGCGAUAUUGUAACUUUCAUCUUCAGCAUUCUUUUGCGCUCUCAAAGCGUUGCUUAGUAUUAAACCCUAUAUGAAAAAAGAAUUACUAUAAGAAUAAAAGAAUGAUUCAAAAAUUGUAAAUUUCCAAAUAUACAGUUUUCACACCUUCAGACUAUUAUAUGCAAGGCUAUCUGCAAGAUCGUCCUUCGUCAUAGCGUAGAGUCCAGCUUCAAGCUUCGGAAACCCCAUGCUUCUAGCCAUCUCCCGGCAGACAGAUAAUUCUUUAUUGUCAGGGAGGCAGUAUAGGAAGUCAUCUUCGUCUGUCCCAUUGAACACUAGUGCCCCCUUCGGAUAUUUCAAUUCUCUGGCAUAGUGAUUAGCUUCAUAAAUCUCUUCUUCAGAUAAUUUCUUCCCCGAAGCAUGUCGCACAAUGUAAUCGCGUAUGGUGGAAGGUGCUUCGGGGGCGGCAGUGUCAAUUUCUCCAACCAAAAUUGGCUCUGACAUUUUUUCGGCUGCCUUUGUAACCUUUGUUUCUUCGGUUUCCAAAGGUUGUUCCUUGGUGGGCUCUGAAGGACCAGCUUCAGCUUCAAGUUGUUGCUUCGAAGCUUCAGCAGCAAAGGCUUCAGUAGACACUUCAGAAAUUUCAACAGUUUUCUUUGGAGUUAUGCUUGAAGAUUUAAUUGUCUCCAAAACAUCUAACACAUUAACCAUCCUUUUUCUUUUCGGGGUCACUGUUGGACCCUUCUGGCUUUUUCCUGUCUCAAUCUUUGCUGAAGGACUUAAAACUUCUGAUGUUUUUGCUUCUUCAGUCCUUGGUCCUUCCAUCUUUUCUGUUGCUGGCACUUCGGCCAACUCUUUGAUUUCUGGCGGCAGAGCUGAUUCUUUAGCUUCGGUGGCCAAAGAGGUCUCACCGGCGAACUCAGGCACUGUGGCCAGUUCAAUAUAAUGUGGCCGGUGUGUGAGAACCUUUACCCUUUUCCUCUUCGGCAUCGGCUCACUAGGAGCAGCUGAAGUAGUCUCCUUCGUAGAGGAAGUAUUCUUUCUUUUUUGACCCCGCACUGGAUAAUGGUAGUCGGGGUAGACGAACCCAAUUGCGUCAAAUACUCGGUUCAGCCUCUUCUUCUUUCGGCCUCCGAAAGCUGCUGACAAUGCAGUAUCUUCAGCCUUUGAAUAUACCCCAAGCAGUUCAUCACUUACAGUUUCAAUGCUUUUUAGCCAGUCAUCAUCUGGCUCAACGAAUUUAUCUCCGAACUUAAAUGUGUAUUUCAGUCUGACUAGUCCACCUUCGUCAGUCUCUUUAAUGGUCUCCUACGGUAUUUCCCAUUUUUCCACAAGUGGCCAUACUCUGAAGGCAAUGUGUUCUUGGACCAAAUCCCUCGUCCCGAUAAAAGAGCAAACAACGUCGAAGGCUCUCUGGCACUCUUCGGCUGCUUCAUUCAUUUCCACCUUUGGCCUCCGCAGGCCGAAGCGUUGCCAGAUGGGACGCAUAAUGAUUUUCUUUAUAUCUUCUCGUGAUUUCAAGUCAUUCUUCACGUAAAACCAUUCCGUCAUCCAGUCGCCAGGCCACCUCUUUCGAAAAGUCGGCACGGGGCAGCUUGACCCAGACCGGGAGCCGAAGCUGUAGCAGCCAAAAUUGUUGUGAUAUUGUUCCUUACCCCAGGGUUUUGUUUCGUACAACAAUUCAUGUAUGUUGCAGAAGCUUUUCGCAUCAGGUUCCAAGCCUUGGCUUCUCGCGGCCCACAUGAAGAUAUUCAUCCUUAUGAUUGCUUCGGGGGUAAGUUGGUGAAGGUAGAUUUCAAAUAUCUUCAGCACCUCUACAACAAAGCUGCUUAAGGGAAAUCGUAGUCCAGCUUUCAAGAAGCUUCGGAAUACCACGACUUCAUUUUUCUCAGGAGUUGGACAAGUCUUCUCUCCUUCAUCAGCCCUCACAACGGACAAGUCCCAGAAAUAUAUGCCCAUCAUGUUGACAAGAUGAUUUUCUUUAAUACUUGAUUUGCCAAAAACCGCAUGGCUUGGUCGCCAAGGUCGAUCUUCGGAGUCUUCACCACCACUAUCCACAUCAUAGCUGUCACUGUCACCAGUAUCUUCAGAUAAACCCUCCAAAAUUUCUUUAGUGAUCUUCUCUGUAUUAGUCUUCGACAUUGAUUGAAGAAAACCCAGAUGCAUCUCCUCAGAAAGACUUAGCUUCGAAUCACCAACAACUUUCUUAUCUUCGGACAUCCUUGCAAACGCUGAGAAAGUGAUCUCUAAACCGAAGCUUUAAAAACUAAAAGGCCAAGCAAGUGUUGUUGCGUGUAGGCUAAAAGUUGGGUGAGUAAAAGUAGUUGGCAAGAGAGCGUACCAAAUAAACUCGGGAUGAGCUCUUAUUUAUACGCCCAGAGCGUUGAAACUGGAGGGCCCCGCUUGUCAAAGACUGUUGCUAUUCUAGCAAAGAGAAGGUGUUUUUUCGGACCUUCGGCUUAAGGCCUUCGUCCAUAUCGCAAUAUGAAUUUAUCAUUACAGCAAAUUAAUAUUGCGAGGGGCUACUGUUGGGGGCCUUCGGCUUCCGAAGGUCCUCAAAAACGUGAUUUGAUAAUGUUUUCUAAAUAUGCAAGCAGGUAUCUUCGGAAUCAGGUUGUGGAUAUACAGAAGCAUGGUCAAGACGAAGCUUGACUGGAAUGGAAGACGAUCAUGACAAAGGAUGAAACGAUCACGAAGCUAUGUGCAGAGGAGCUUCGGCAUGACAGCAGAAAGGGGAAACCGACUUAAAGAUGAAAAGCCAAAUCAGCCCUCGAAGAAUUAUUAUAGAGUUAAUGAUAAAAGUAAAGGGCAUUAAUGUAAUUUUAUACGGGCUGCGUCCCGUGCCUAUAAAUAGAUGAACAGUAUUCCUGUACUGUUCACGCUGACUUGGCAUUGGCAUCACGCUUGUACCCUCACUUUCCUUCAAGCCGAAGGUACAUUUAUAAUUUGUCAUCAUUUAUAUAAGAAAAAUGAAUAGAAAUAAAUCAAUAACAAUGUUUAAAAUAGUCAUGUUAUUUUUCCGUAUUUUAUACAUAAAUCUUUUCUUGUCUUUUAUUACGAUUAUGAAGGUAUAACCUUCAUAACCUUCGUCCGAAAUUCAUUAUGCCCAAGGGGGAAAUAAUGUUUCGAAGGACGAAGGGCUUUAAUAUUUAAUAUUGUAUGUUGCCUUGUUCUUGAUUCAUAGCAUUUGAGAACAAGUCCCCAACACCUUCUUAUUCACUGGAAUGCUACGUGUAGGGCAGUGACCAAGUCUUCAUGUCCGAGAAGUAACGGCGAUCCGAAUCGAUUAAUACUCAGCUGAGGAUCUCCAAUCACACGACAUAUGUAGCACUUAACCCUUGCAUAUGUCAACUCGCCACCGAGGUUCUUAAGACCAGAUCAGGUUCACGCCAACCGAGAGCACAAAUACACCACCGUCCAGCCUCUUGCCACGGAGGGUACACGAUACUCUCGCCAUCUCUCCACUCCCAUUGCGUGUUAUCUUAUUCUGGUAUUAGUCUGCCUGAGGCAAAGCUUACCCAUGAUGAGGCAUGUGACCAGUUAGAAGGUCCUCGAUCAUCAAGCCUACAUCGAGAAGGUCCUUAAUCGACUCAGACGGAGACACUACACCGAGACUCUCUUCUCGUGCAAGUCACCCGCCCGGUCUCAGCUUUAUCAUUUCAAACCCAAAGUUUGGUACCUGACAGAGGUACAUCUUUUCCGAUGUUGAACCCAUCAUGGCCAUGAUGGAUCCACCAUCAAGUUUUAUUUUUGAAAACAUCCCACCCACUUUGAAGCAUCAUCUUUUGUUAAAACAAAACAUUUUGAUUUUCUAGAGUAAGGCUAAGCAUAAGAAAAACCUUUUUUGUAAAACAGGGGAUUAAGGAGAAGUAAUCAAAUCCAAGGAAGAAAAUGCAGCAACUAGUUUAGCACACAACUCCUAUCACCUAAUGCAUCAAGUAAGUGAGAAAGAUUUCAAAAUAGCAAGGAGGUGGCAAAUGCACCGGGGCUUGCCUUGUGUGAUAGGUGAGUCAGGCUCUGCUCCACAGAUAUCAAAGUAAAAGCAGUUUCCUGCCUGAGGUUCUUCAGGUGGGGGUGGUGUAGUCCUCGCUUCUUCAACUUCUGUAUCUUCUUCGUUUUCUAUAUAUAGCCAUAUAUAAUCAUGAAUGCUCAUGUAAUGCUCAUGAAAGUGUAAAGAUAACAAAAGUAUAUUAUCUUAAGUCUUGAAUAUAAUUUUCCUUCAUGGAUCUCCAAGAAACUAGGGUUUUUAGAGUCUAUAGUGAAGUUCAUAGGGCACGAGACUAGGAUUUUGGGUUCUAGGUACCAAACAUGGUCCAAAUCAAACCAAAUUUUACCCAAGGCUUCUAAAUAAUAUUUAAAUCCUAUCUAAAAAGUUUGGUGAAUUUUGGGAUUAUUAAUUACUCUCUAAAAUUCCAGAAGUAUGGGUUUUGGCUAUAUUAAAUACUCUAUAAUUUCCUAUUUGGACUAAAAAUCAUGAAACUAUUUUUAUUAAAUACUAUGAAAAAUUAGGAACUUAGCAAAAUUGGUCUUGCAUUUUAGCAUUUUUCUGCAAUUUUCUAGAAAUUCUCUAAGUCUAGUAGAAAAAGAAAAAGAGAAAGUAUGAAUAGUAACGGGCUCAAUCUAAGCCCGAGCCAGCCCAAGACAGGCGAAACGCGCCCGCGCGCGCCCGCGGUAUCCAUUUUGCACAAGGGUCUCUGGUCAUUUGAAAUACUAGUAAAGAAUCCUCUCUAUUGUUUCUCUGUCUCACUGACAUCUGCGCAAAGCCCCUCCCCUUUCUGUUUCUUUACAACCCGAGAUCCUCGACCGUGGGCGGCGGAGCAGCGACUCCGGCGAGCCCAUACCGGCCGGAAAAUGCACCGGCUAGACUUCUCCUUUGUUUGUCACUUAAUUCAACCCUCUCCAACACUAAUCCCUCACCUAAUUUCAUUGAUCCGGACCGGAGCACGCCUGCUCACGACGACGACGGAAACCGAGGAUAAUCCAAGGUGUUCUAGGCAAUUUAAGGCGGUCUAGUUCAAUCGAAUGGGUCGGUGAGAUUCAGGGGACAUUAAGAAAGCUAGAACACCAAUUAAGAAAGCUUGAACUGACCUGCAGAAGGGUGGCCACGGCGAGGUGUUCACGCGACGGUAUUUUGGCUGAUUUGGGGGAAAUCUAAAAUUGGCGAGCUCUGGUGAGCAAUUGGAGGCACGGCUUGGUGGCUUGGGUGCUUGACUAACUUAAGGACCCGAAGGCACGCUCAAUUUAUAGGCUCUAGGGUGGUGGCGCAUGAAUUUGGAAUGGCGCGGUGGCGGCCAGAGGAGAGUUGCACUGGUGCGAGCGAUUAGUGGCUUUCACUGUGGCGGACUCACCGGCGAUCACCGGACAUGCAUGACGCGACUCACUGCAACGUGUUUAAAGUGCCGAGGCAUGUGGCACAAGACCGCGAGGUGUCUAAUUCCGGCGAGGGUUGAUUCAAAGCGAUCGGGGCAGAGCGGACAUGGCGGCCAGACGAAACAGUGUCUUAAGCUCAUCCGUGGUGGAGAUCUUUUCACCGCGAGACGUUAUCCGGGCUUCGGUGAGCACAAAUCACUUCGCCGGCGUGAAUCCAGGCGCAGGGAUCGCUGGCGGCAAGGUGCACUGCACCUGCGAUUUCGUUCAGUCUACUGUACCAUUGGAAUCUCUGUUUGAAGCGCUUGACAGAGCAUGUUUGGGGGCAAUUUGCUCCAUAUUUUAUGUGGUGACCCAACCAUCACCCUGUAUCAAAGUUGAAGCUUAAUUAACCAGCUUUAAUUUUGUUACAUUGUGCACCCACAAAAAGUCAUAGGAUCUUACUCAAAAUCGAGCCCUAAGCUCAUCCAAUCUCACUGUCACUGAAAGUUCAGACUUAAGGUAACCUGACAGCCCGACUUUGGAUCAAAUUUUCUCAAAAUUUUUCAUGCACCAAGGCUUAAUCCCUAUAGCAAAGUUGUUCUCCUAUAGUAAUUCUACAACUUUACUAUAUUGACUUUGAGAAAAAAACUUCAAGAAUCCUGAGAUGCAGGACUCCAAAGUCAGCCUUGUUCAACUGUUUUCAGACUUGACCAUGGGAACACUAGGGUGGCCUUUUUGCAAAUAAGCCCAAAACUCAUGGUUUAUUUUGCAAAUCUUCAAACAUGUGAACUAUAUGACUUAAGAUACCCUAACUCCAUGGUUUUUGCACUUAGGUCCAAAGUGUGCAUAUUUUUAUAGAUAACCCCCUAGAGUUUCAGUCCAGGGUUUUCCAGGGGUCUAUUUAGGGUUUCUGGCAUCACUAGAGUUUGGAUGCCACUUAAGUCCAUCCAUGGUGACAUUUUAUGAUCAUUACUAAUAGGUUUGAAGUUUUCUCUUAUUUAGACUUUGUUUACUCUUUUAAGCCUAGUUUAGGGUUAAGUUCUGUACCCUAGGUUUCACUCAUGACAUGUCCCAUCAAUACAACUUUGUUUGAAAUUUUUGCCUAGUGAAUGCACUCUAGGUGUGACAAACACAUGAUAUGCCAAUGCUUAUGAUGUUAUGCUCAAGUUUUAGUGAUAGUAACACCAGGGGUGUUACAUUUUUCGCAAUCCUACUCAAGUGCAAUUAAUUCGUGGGGAUCCUAGAUACAAAUUAAUGUCUCCCGAGGAAGUGAUAGGGAAGUUUGUGAGCUUUGAGCUAAUGAUCAAAGACUCCAAACACAUCGUCAACUUGGAGCAAGGUGCCACCUCCACACCCGAGGUGCAACCCGUCGCAUUUAAAGCGACGGAAGAGAAGAAAGAGGAGUCUACAUUAAGUAGGCUUCCCAUCUGUAGGAAACGGGUGACGCCUAAGAGGGGGGUGAAUUAGGACUUCUAAAACUUUCGCUAAACUAGGCCACAAAUAAAUCUUUAGAGCAAAACCUAUGCAAAUAAUCAAACUAGAAUGUGCAAACUAGGUUUUGUCUAAGUGUUGCUAUCUCUACCGCAAUGGCUAAGUUUCAAUCUACACUAUAUAAGCAUGAAUACAAGAUUGAAACUUAAAUGCUUAAUAUAAAUGCGGAAACUUAAAGAGGAAAGUAGAGAAGCAAACUCUCGUGGAUGACGCCGGUAUUUUUAUUGAGGUAUCCGGAACCGCGCAAGGUCCCGACUAAUCCUCAUUGGUGCCCCUACGCAAAGGGAAGCCCAUGCGAGGGCCAAGCACCUCGGUCGAGUAACUCCGUAGAGAGCCGUGGGCCUUCUCCACGCGCAAGUGGUGCUCCGCUUCCGGCUCCUCUCGGACGCUCCCCGCCGUCUCCACUAUCGAGCUUCCGGCCGAAACGCCGCGGGCCUCGUUCCCUCCGGUACACGGUGGCGGCCGUGACACAAACACGGUUGUCACGGUCUCGCAAGACUCUCGCCCCACUCGGUACAAUUACAACGGCCCACGCAAGAGCCGAGAGGUUGUGUGUUUGUCUAAACUCACUCAACUAACUAGGAUUCGCCUAGAGCAAGCGCUAAUGCGGUCUAACUAACCUAAGCACUUCGCAAAGCACCUACGCUAAUCACUGAGUAAUUCUAUUAAGCACUUGGGUGUUUGAGCACUUGGAAAUGUCUACAAUAUGCCUUGGUAUGUUGCUUGGGCUCCCACACCUCCAAAUGGCCGGUUGGGUGAAGUAUAUAUAUGCCCCAACUCAAAUAUAGCCGUUGGAAAGCAGUUCUGCAGCUUUCUGCGGCGCACCGGACAGGUGCACCGGACUGUCCGGUGGUGCACCGGACAUCCCACGUGUACUAGCCGUUAAAAGUAGCCGUUUGAGCUUCCGAAGAUGGCGCACCGGACAUGGCGCACCGGACGGUCCGGUGUGCACCGGACAGCCCAUGUCCGCUUGUCGUAUUUUGGCCGUAACUUUUAGCUCCGAACUCCGAUUUCGAUGAUCUUGUACUUUUUGGAAAGCUUAUGAAAUUCUCUACAUCCCAGAGUUGAAGCCAUACCAGUUUGAGCAAAUUUGGCACACCGGACAGUCCGGUGUGCACCGGACAUCCCAUAUGCUGCUCUUGUUUUUUCAGCAAUUCCGAGUUCGUAUUGUGGGCAUAACUUUUAGCUCCGAACUCCGAUUUUGAUGAUCUUGGACUUUUUGGAAAGCUUAUAAAAUUCUCUACAUCCCAGAGUUGAAGCCAUGUCAGUUUGAGUAGAUUUGAUUUUGUGAAACACUUCCAAUUCAAUCAGCCCUUCCUCUCAACUUUGUCAAGUUCACUUUUGUUUUGCAUCUUUGUAUCUCACUUCUACUUCUUGAUGUGUUGGACUCUUAGCAUAUAUAAAUUGUCUUCAAUAUGACUUUGUAAUGUCUUAUAUUGGUAUUAUAAUGUCUUCUUUGAGGUGUUGCAUCCUCAGAGCCUCAGUCCAAUCCACUUUGCAUCCUGUGGACUACAACACACAAACACUUGGAAAAUACAUUAGUUCACAGGUUGUGUUAAUCAUCAAACACCAAAAUCUAUUAAGCCAAAUGGCCUGGGGUCCAUUUUCCUUACACCAUCGACGCCUCCAAGCUUGACAACGAGGAAAUGACGCUCAUCAUCAAGAGCUUCUGCCAAAUCCUCAAGCAUAGGAGGGGUAAGGACUACAAACUCCGCUCCAAAAGGGUGUGCUACAAAUGUGGUAAGCCCGGUCAUUUUAUUGCUAAAUGUCCAAUGUCUAGUGAAAGUGACAGGGACGACGACAAGAAGGGGAAGAAGAAGAAGAAGAGGUACUACAAGAAGAAGGGCAGUGAUGCCCACGUGUAUCGGGAAUGUGACUACGAUGAGAGCUCCACCGACUCCUCCUCCGAUGAGGACGCCGCCAACAUCACUAUCAACAAGGGCCUCCUCUUCCCCAACGUCGGCCACAAAUGUUUCGUGGCCAAGGACGGCAAGAAAAAGAAGGUACAAUCUAGAGCCACCCCAAAUAUACAACAUAUAGUGAUGAGGGUAGCUCUAGUGAAGACGAAGAUGAUUUACUUACUUUUUUUUGCCAACCUUAGCAUGGAACAAAAAGAAAAAUUAAAUGAAUUAAUAGAAGCCAUUCAUGAGAAGGAUGAACUCUUGGAUAGCCAAGAGGACUUCCUUAUUAAAGAAAACAAGAAACAUGUUAAAUUGAAAAAUGCUUAUGCUUAGGAAGUAGAAAAAUGUGAAAACUUAACUAAGAAGCUUAGGAUUUGUCAUGAUUCUAUUUCUAUCCUUAGGAAUGAAAAUGCUACCUUAAUUUCUAAGGUUAAAGAUUUAAAUGUUUGCAAUGAUUCUAUUUCCAAUCUUAGAAACGAGAAUGCCAUUUUAAAUGCUAAGAUUGAUGAAUUGAAUGUUUGCAAUAAUACAAUUUCUAGUCUUAGAAUUGAGAAUAAUAAUUUAAAUGCUAAGAUUGAGAAAUUGAGUGUUUGCAAACCAUCUACAUCUACUGUUUGUACUAGAUGUAGAGAUGUUAAUGUAGAAGCUAUUGAUGGUCAUCUUGCUAUGAUUAAACAACAAAAUGAUAACAUAGCUAAAUUAAGUGUUAAAAUUAAUGAGCGUGAACUUGAAAAUGAAAAUUUUAAAUUUGCUAGAAGCAUGCUCUAUAAUGGGAGACGCUCUGGCAUUAAGGAUGACAUUGGUUUCCAAUAGGGAAGCAAUGUCAAGCUAAAUGCCCCUAAAAGAUUGUCUAAUUUUGUUAAGGGCAAAGCUCCCAUGGUUCAGGAUAAUGAGGGUUACAUUUUAUAUCCUACUAAUUAUCCUGAGCACAAAAUUAGGAGAAUUCAUGCUAGAAAACCUCACAGUGUUUCUCAUCAUGCAUUUAUGUAUAAAAAUGAGGCUUCUAGCUCUAGGCAAUCAACUCAUGUUAAAUUGCCUAAAAAGAAAACUCAUGCUGCAUCAAAUGAACAUAACAUUUCAUUUAAAACUUUUGAUGCUUCAUAUGUGCUUACUAACAAAUCAGGCAAAGUAGUUGCCAAAUAUGUUGGGGGCAAACAAAAGAGCUCCAAACUUGUGUUUGGGUACCCAAGGUGCUUGUUUCUAACGUCAAAGGACCCAAGACUGUUUGGGUACCUAAGAACAAGGCCUAAAAUUGUUUUGUAGGUUUAUGCAUCCGGUGGUUCAAGUUGGAUAAUCGAUAGCGGGUACACAAACCAUAUGAUAGGGGAGAAGAGAAUGUUCUCCUCCUACGAGAAAAACGAAGAUCCCCAACGAGCUAUCACAUUUGGGGAUGAAAAUCAAGGUUUGGUCAAAGGACUUGGUAAAAUUGCUAUAUCACCUGAUCACUCUAUUUCCAAUGUUUUUAUUAUAGAUUCUUUAGAUUACAACUUGCUUUAUGUUUCUCAAUUAUGUAAAAUGGGCUACAACUGUCUUUUUACUGAUAUAGGUGUCACUGUCUUUAGAAGAAGCGAUGAUUCAAUAGCAUUUAAGGGAGUGUUAGAGGGUCAGCUAUAUUUAGUUGAUUUUAAUGAGAACACAGCUAAAUUCAAACUUGUUUAAUUGCUAAGACUAAUAUGGGUUGGCUCUGGCAUCGCCGACUAGCCCAUGUUGGGAUGAAGAAUCUUCACAAGCUUCUAAAGGGAGAACACAUUUUGGGACUAACAAAUGUUCAUUUUGAGAAAGACAGGGUUUGUAGCGCAUUUCAAGUAAGAAAGCAAGUUGGUGCUCACCAUCCCCACAAGAACAUCAUGACAACCGACAGGCCGCUCGAGCUACUCCACAUGGAUUUAUUCGGCCCGUUAGCCUACAUAAGCAUCGGCGGGAGUAAGUACUGUCUAGUUAUUGUGGAUGACUAUUCUCGCUUCACUUGGGUAUUCUUUUUGUAGGAAAAAUCACAAACCCAAGAGACCCUAAAGGGAUACUUAAGACGAGCUCAAAACGAGUUCGGAUUAAGGAUCAAAAAGAUAAGAAGCGAUAAUGGGACAGAGUUCAAGAAUUCACAAAUUGAAGGCUUUCUUGAGGAUAAGGGCAUCAAGCAUGAAUUCUCUUCUCCCUACACACCUCAACAAAAUGGUGUAGUGGAGAGGAAGAAUAGAACUCUACUGGACAUGGCAAGAACCAUGCUUGAAGAGUACAAGACACCGGACCGGUUUUGGGCUGAGGCGAUUAACAUCGCCUGCUACUCCAUCAACCGACUAUACCUUCACCGAAUCCUCAAGAAGACAUCAUACGAACUCCUCACCGGUAAAUAGUCCAAUGUUUCAUAUUUUAGAGUCUUUGGUAGCAAAUGUUUAUUCUUAUUAAAAGAGGAAGAAAAUAUAAAUUUGCUCCUAAGGCUGUAGAAGGUUUUUUACUUCGUUAUGACUCAAACACAAGGGCAUAUAGAGUCUUCAACAAAUCCAAUGGAUCAGUCGAGGUUUCUUGUAACAUUGUGUUUGAUGAGACUAAUGGCUCCCAAGUGGAGCAAGUUGAUCUUGAUGAGCUAGAUGAUAAAGAGGCUCUGUGUGUCGCGCUAAGGAACAUGUCCAUUGGGGAUGUGUGUCCUAAGGAAACCGAAGAGCCCACACAAGCAUAAGAACAACCGUCAUCUUCCAUGCAAGCAUCUCUACCAACUCAAGAUGAGGAACAAGCUCAAGAUGAUGAAGAUCAGGAGGAUGAGCCACCUCAAGAGGAGGACAAUGAUCAAGGGGGAGAUGAAGUUAAUGAAGACAAGGAAGAUGAUCAAGAGAUACAGGGUCAAAGACCGCCACACCCAAGAAUCCACCAAGCAAUACAACGAGAUCACCCCGUCAACUCCAUCCUUGGUGAUAUCCAUAAGGGGGUAACCACUAGAUCUCGAGUUGCUCAUUUCUAUGAACAUUACUCUUUUGUAUCCUCUAUUGAGCCAUACAGGGUGGAGGAUGCACUAAGAGAUCCGGACUGGGUGCUGGCAAUGCAAGAGGAGCUCAACAACUUCACGAGGAAUGAGGUAUGGCAUUUAGUUCCACGUCCUAAUCAAAAUGUUGUAGGUACCAAAUGGGUAUUCCGCAACAACCAAGAUGAGCAUGGUGUGGUAACAAGGAACAAAGCCCGACUUGUGGCCAAGGGUUAUUCACAAGUCGAAGGUUUGGAUUUUGAUGAAACUUAUGCACCCGUAGCUAGGCUUGAGUCAAUUUGUAUAUUACUUGCAUAUGCUACUUACCAUGGCUUUAGGUUUUAUCAAAUGGACGUGAAAAGUGCCUUCCUCAAUGGACCAAUCAAGGAAGAGGUCUAUGUUGAGCAACCUCCCGGCUUUGAAGAUAGUGAGUAUCCUAACUAUGUUUAUAAACUCUCAAAGGCGCUUUAUGGGCUCAAGCAAGCCCCAAGAUCAUGGUAUGAAUGCCUGCGAGAUUUUCUUAUCACUAAUGGCUUCAAAGUCGGUAAAGCCGAUCCUACUCUCUUUACUAAAACUGUUGCAAAAGAUUUGUUCGUAUGCCAAAUUUAUGUUGAUGAUAUUAUAUUUGGGUCUACUAACAAAUCAACUUGUGAAGAGUUUAGUAGGAUCAUGAUACAGAAAUUCGAGAUGUCGAUUAUGGGGGAGUUGAAGUAUUUCCUAGGAUUUUAGAUCAAGCAACUCCAAGAUGGCACCUUCAUCAGUCAAACAAAGUACAUUCAAGACAUACUUAAGAAGUUUGGGAUGAAGGAUGGCAAACCCAUCAAGACACCCAUGGGAACCAAUGGGCAUCUCGACCUCGAUAGGGUAGGUAAAUCCGUAGAUCAAAAGGUAUACCGGUCGAUGAUAGGAUCUUUACUCUACUUAUGUGCAUCUCGACCGGAUAUUAUGCUUUCCGUAUGCAUGUGUGCAAGAUUCCAGGCUGAUCCUAAGGAAGUUCACCUUAGGGCCGUGAAGAGAAUCAUGAGAUACUUACUUUACACUCCUAAGUUUGGGCUUUGGUUCCCCAAGGGAUCCACUUUUGAUUUAAUAGGAUAUUCCGAUGACGAUUGGGCAGGGUGUAAAAUUGAUAGGAAGAGCACAUCAGGGGCUUGUCAGUUUCUGGGAAGAUCCCUGGUGUCAUGGGCUUCAAAGAAACAAAACUCCGUAACUCUUUCUACCGCCGAAGCCGAAUACAUUAUCGCAGGCCAUUGUUGUGCGCAAUUAUUUUGGAUGAGGCAAACCCUCAGGAACUAUGGCUACAAAUUGAACAAAGUCUCUCUCUUAUGUGACAAUGAGAGUGCUAUCCGCAUGGCGGAUAAUCUCGUUGAACACAGCCGCACUAAGCACAUAUACAUUCGGUAUCACUUUUUGAGAGAUCACCAACAAAGGGGGGAUAUCGAAAUAGCUUAUGUAAACACCAAGAAUCAAUUAGCCGAUAUUUUUACCAAGCCACUAGAUGAGAAAAUCUUUAGCAAACUUAGGAAUGAGUUAAAUAUACUUGAUUCUCGGAACUUUGAUUGAAACAGUGUACACAUAGCUUAUUAAUAUACCUUUGAUCAUAUCUCUUUCAUUUGGUACAUAUACAUAUUUCUUAUGUACCAAGGCUAUGACUAAUGUGUUUUCAAGUAUAUUUCCAUACUAAGUCGUAAAUUGAAAGGGAAAUGGAGUAUGUGACGAAGACAAGGCUUCCACUCCACUCUAACGGUAUAAUUUAUCCUUCGUCGCUACUUCGCUCACUCCAAAUUGGUAUAAUAUUUCACUCUUAUUUACUUGUACCUAUGGGAGAGAAAAUAUAAGGGCUCUCAACGUCUCCGUUUUUUGCGAUUAAUGCCAAAGGGGAGAAAGUAUUAAGCCCAAAGCAAAAGGACCGCACCACCAAUUUCAAAAUUUUCAAAAUAAAGCUUUAAUUGAUAUUUUUCAUUGGUAUCUAAGAGGAGAAAUUCAUUCCGGGGGAGUUUUAUUUAGUCAAAGGAAAAGCAUUUGAUACAGGGGGAGAAAUUUCAAAUCAUGAAAAUGCUUCUUGCAAUCUUAUUCAUAUACCUUUGACUAUUUGCAAAAGACUUUGAAAAGAUUUUCCAAAAAAAUUGCAAAAACAAAACAAGUGAUGUAAAUGUGGUCCAAACUAUUAAAGGAAAGAAAAGCAAUCCAUUCAUAUCUAGUGAGAUAAUCAAUUAGUUAAAUUCCAAGUAACCUAUGCACUUACCUUAUGCAAACUAGUUCAUUUCUGCACUUUAUAUAUUUGCUUUGGUUUGUGUUGGCAUCAAUCACCAAAAAGGGGGAGAUUGAAAGGGAAAUAGGGUUAACCGUUUCCCACAAUUAAUUUUGGUGGUUGAAUGCCCAACUAGUUUGCUCUAGAAUACAUGUUCUACAGGUGCACAAAGGUUCAACACAAACCAAUAAAUGUUCAAGUUAGGGAUUCAAUUCAAAGGAGCAAAAUAAACCAAGUGUGUUGUGGCCUGGCGCACAGGACUGUCCGGUGUGCCACCGGACAGUGUCCGGUGCACUAGGACCGUACUGAGUCCAACCAACCACUCUCGGGUUUUUCGUAGGCGCACUCCGCUAUAAUUCACCGGACUGUCCGGUGUGCCACCGGAGCAAUGGCUAACUCGCGUAACGGUCGAUUGCAAAAGGGGCUGACAGAGGAACAGUGCGCGCAGAGUCAGAGCCGCAGAGUCAGAGGUGCACUGGACAGUGAACAUGACUUGUCCGGUGUGGCACCGGACUGUCCGGUGCCGCAAGAGGACAAGACCUCCAACGGUUGACCAGGCUCCAGACCCUAACGGUUGGGUGACGUGGCGGCGCACCGGAGUGUCUGGUGCAUCCAUCGCCAGCAGCCUUCCCCAACAGCUUCUUGGUGGUUGAGGGCAAUAAAUACCCCCAACCACCACAACCCCAAGCAUCCAAGUCUUUUGAAGUUUUCAUUCAAUACAAGAGCUAGUGCAUUCAGUCAUAGACACAAAUCAAAAGAUCAAAGCCUCUCUAAGUCUCAAAUUCAUUCCAACCACCUAGUGACUUGAGAGAGAGUGUGUUCGUGUUCAUUUGCGCUCUUGUUGCUUGGAUCGCUUUCUUCCUUCCUCAUUCUUGUUCCCAAGUGACUUGUAAUCAAAGCAAGAGACACCUAAGUAUGUGGUGGUCCUUGCAGGGUCUAAGUGACCCAUGUGAUUAAGGAGAAAGCUCACUCGGUCUAAGUGACCGUUUGAGAGAGGGAAAGGGUUGAAAGAGACCCAGUCUUUGUGACCACCUCAAUAGGGAGUAGGUUUUUUAGAACCGAACCUCGGUAAAACAAAUCACCAUGUUCAUUCGCUUGAUUUCCAUUUGAUUUGUUUUCCCUCUCUCUCUCGGACUUGAUUUAAGUUCUAACGUUAACCCCGACUUGUAGUGUGUAUUUAAAGUUGUAAAUUUCAGAUUACGCCUAUUCACCCCCCUCUAUGCGACUUUCAACUCCAGUCGGUACAAACAAUGCCAUAGAGGCUGUUUGGACCCCGAUGGGAGCUAGAGCCUAAGCCCACCACCGCCGGGGCCUUGGGUAUUAAGCCAUCGUAUCCUUCAAGCACCAGUGCCACAAGAUACAGGGCACCCAUCAAUAUCGUGAAAUAUUCGAGAGAAUCGAACCCCAGUUUAUGGCUGGGGAUUAUUGGCUAGCAUGCCAUGCAAGAGGAACGAAUCAUGAUGACUUCAUAAUCCGCAAUCUCCCCCUGUACCUAGCAGACUCAGCGUGGGCAUGGUUGGAAAACUUGAGGCCCGGCUGCAUUCAAAACUGGACCGACAUCGAAGAGAUUUUUAUGGGGAACUUUCAAGCACGUACGUUCGCCCCUGCAGAGCAAACGACGCGCGAAGGAGGGGAAGGAGGAGAAGGGCUUGGUGGCUACGACUUUGACAUGGAUGGCACGCUCGUGGUGGCAGAGCAUGGCGAGUGGGCGUUGGUUGCCGAGUUCGGUGGAGCUCCUAAGCCGGAUGGAUGACGCGAACGAUGCAAAGCGGUUUUAAAGACACACAGAAGGCUUCAACAUGGGGGAGGAGUGGAGGACGCACUAAAGUGCUGCAUUAAAGGAGUAGAUAUAUGACACGAUGUGAAACAUAGGAAGUUAUUUAUUAUAUUCACUUCAUCUUAAAAUAAUUAUCGUUCUUAAUUUUGAAAGAGUCAAUUAUUCUAAUUUGAGCCAAAUAUAUAAAAAUUAGUACAAUGACUACGCAUUGCGACGACGCACAAUCAUAUUUCAUACCCAUCAAAAACAAAUGUAAUAUCAAAUAUUAAAUAGAGAAGAAUAAAUAUCACACUUUGUCUUAGCCAAAAGAUAGAGAGAUACGAGUCCGAAAAUAGUCCAACCCCUUUUUUAUAGCUAGCUUGGUGGUUUGUCCUCUUUCAGCCGAUGUGGUACUAUGUGUAAGUGUUACGUUACACGUGGCUUUCUAUUAUGUUGGACGGUUUACUAUCGUGUUGUUCUUGGAUGGUUUCCCACGACCCAUGUGGGUAAUAGUACACUAAUAGAGGCUUAGUUGUUUUCAUGUCCUAUGUGAGGGAGAGGAGAAUAGACUUAUGUGCUUAUAAUGACCGUCAGAGACUAUCUUCAACAAAUUAUUCAUACUUAUAUUUUUAUUCAAACUAUACUUUAAAAACAUCGGUGUAAAAUGGUGUUUUUAGUGACCAUAUGAGUAAUGUACAAUAGUUUGAAUAUGUGUAUGAUUAUGCUUAAAAAUGUUUUAUUUAUCGUAUAGAUAUUAAUUGUUAUAACAUAUAAUUAGAUAAAUCUUUAAAUCUUUUUAUAAUAUAUUUAAAGAUAUACAUUAUUGGCAUUAUUAAAAUAUUAAAAUCUGAAAAAAAGUUUAACCGUAGCGAGACGCACAUGCACCCAAGACAAGCACCGAAGAUGGCUUGACGCCCGAAUCCAGACCCUCGUCUGUUAUGGCGGCGGCGGAGGCGGCGCCACCGCCGAUACUCGAGCUGGACCCGUCGCACGAUCGAGCCGUCAGCGUUGUCGAGGACAUCGUGCGUCUAGAGCGGAGGAUCUUUCCGAAGCACGAAUCGCUGGCGCGGUCCCUGCACGACGAGCUAAAGCGGCGGAACUCCGGGCUGAUCUACAAGACGUCCAGCGCCGACGAGGGGGAGGUCAUCGGGUAUGCCAUGUACACCUGCAACACAUCCCUCUGCGCCACCAUCACCAAGCUCGCCGGUGAGACACACGUCGCGAUCCCCCUCUCUCUCCCUGGGUUAUGUUAAGGUUAUGCGGCGGAAUGACCGGAUCCGUGCCCCCGAAACUGCAAACUUUUGGUUUCAGUGAAGGAGAACUGCAGGCGGCAGGGCCACGGCGAGGCGCUGCUGGCGGGCGCAGUGGAGCGGUGCCGGCGGCGGAAGGUCCAGCGGCUCUCCCUCCACGUCGACCCCACGAGGACGGCUGCCGUGGCGCUGUACCGCAAGGCCGGGUUCCAGGUCGACACCACCGUCGAGGGCUACUACGCGCCUCACAGGGACGCCUACCGGAUGUUCUUGGAUCUGUAGUAGAACCGUCGAGGACGAGAAAACCAGCCCAUGUGUUCCGGCAGCUGCUGCCGGCUUGUAGCUGGUCUGGUCUGGUGAUACAAUACCUCGUGAGUAGGAUACAGCCAACAGCCGAGCAGGGUGGAUGAUUCGAAGCUGUAAGAACGAUCUGCUAGAAAGUUUUCAUACCACCAAGGUAAUUCCCGCUGGAUUCUGAAAAUAAUGUUUCCGUAUUAUAUGAGCAUAAGGUUUCAGUAACUGCAACUGUAGUUAGGAUAUCACUUUGGCUGUAUGGUAGUAAUUCAGUUCAUAGAUGCUGCCACAUCAGUUCCUCCUCCAUUGUCAAGGUAGCUCGGCAAGAAUUUGGUGGACAAUUUUGACCUUAUGGUAACUAAGAGAUGUUUACUGAUAGUAGCUGGCUAACGCCACUGACACAGAGAAAAUCGAAAGCCCAAUCUGAUUCAGCAUCGAUUCAAGUACCCCUUAGGCAAUGCUGAUUCACAGCAGGAGGGAGCAAACCAAUCCCGCAAGUGUGCCUGGCCCAUCGGAAGGCCGAUGCGCUGGAGUCUCGGAGAACACCCAGCGGGCAGUGCCUAUGCAAGGCCGGCGGCGGCGACGGCGGGUCAGCUCACAGGAAGAUUGCUCGGGACGGACGGAGAGGGAGGCUUUGCGUCAAGGAAGAAGUCGUUGGUGGUACUCAUUACCCAGUGGUCAUGUUCAAACUCUUAUCCACCUUUUUUUUUUGAAAGGGGUCUUAUCCACCUCAUUUAGGCUUUGUUCGGUUAGCUCUCAAUCCAUGUGGAUUGAGCGAGAUUGGAUGGAUUUGAAUCUCAAAUAAGUCAAACUUCUUCUCAAUUUUUUCCAAUCUCAUCCAAUCCAUGUGUUUUAGAAAUAACCGAACAAGCCCUUACAGGGUAGAAUAGAAUACGGGAGUGGAUUAUCCAUGGGUGAAUCUUCAGCUCAAUUCACGUAGGUCUAGUAGAUAACGCAAAGUUCGUGAAAAAGCACAUCGACAGUGGUUACAAGAGUCCUGAGUCCAGCAAAUAUUUCAGUUCUAACGUGGGACUCGUUAUUGUUCUCACUACGCUAAUCAGAACAACGCAUCGACCUCCAUACCGAAUCAUCUCUACAACAUAUUUACAUUUAGGACUUAUUUGAAUACUCUCGUAUUCACCUUGAUCCAUAUGUAUUGAGGUGAGAUGAGGUGUAAAUUAGUUUAAGUUACACUUCAAUUCAUCCUACUACAUUAGUGAAUACAAGAGUAUUCAAACAAGUUUCGUUAACAGGAGUUUUUAAAUACAAGAGUUGAACUCAGUUGUUUGAACUCAGCUGACUAAAAGGCAGGGAGUGCAAAACGCAUGGAAUACAAAAAAAAAAAACAGAACCCGGUCUUUCAGGUGAGAGCCGAAUAUUCUGACCAGCUAGACUACAACGGAUUGUGUUAGAACUCAUUAAUUUUUGUCUUUAGAUUGUAUCCAAGCUGUCUAUUCGUGGAAUCGUGUGAUGGUGUAAGAGCAUCUCCAACAACGUGACCUAUAAAAAUGCCCUAUAAUUUGAAAAUAAGUAUAUUUUAUAGAAUUUAGGGCACCAACAAAACACCUCGCUCCAACAGUAAAGCCCCAAAUCUAGAUUAUAGGGCAGCCCACUACGGUGUAGUAUAUUUGAGUCACUUGAGAGGGUGCUCUAUAGUUUUUUGACAAAAAUUUAUGAAAUAGGGCACUGUUGGAGUAGUUUUUCCAGUGUAGAGCCCCAUAUUUCAAUUUGAGGCACUAGUUUGAGAUAUUGUUGGAGAUGCUCUAAGUAUGCCUACAAGGGAGGGUAAUAUGGACUUACUUGAGUGACCAGCGGCUAUAUAUAUAUAUAUAUAUAUAUAUAUAUAUAUAUAUAUAUAUAUAUAUAUAUAUAUAUAUAUAUAUAUAUAUAUAUAUAUUUAUCGAAUAUGCAAGAGAGCUACAUAUAUUAUUAAUAAGAGAAAAGAGCGGAGGCUCCAAAAACAUACAAGAGAAAGACGUACUCACGCAGAAACAAAAAACUUGUAGUGAUAGUUUUCUUCCGUUAGGUUAAUCAUUAUCCAAUGUGUAUGCAUGGAUAAGAUUGGAGAGGGUGAGAUACAACAUCUAAACAGAUUGAUGAUAUGGACAGCUAGCGUGGACAACGAGACAAGUACGAGUAUGUCCAUACCCUCAGUGGCAGAUAGUCCAAAAUUUAUCAAGACUCCAUCUCAUCACUUCUUAGACGCUCAAUCAAAAAUAAACAGGAGCCGGCGCAGAGGACAAAACGGACCCUACCCCCCUUGCCAGCACGACGACUCGGGCAGUUUGCCUACCGGAUCCUUGUUUAUUUAUCUUAAAUUGCUUAGAUGCUUUAUGUGUUAAUAAUCCAGUUCUAAUUUUGACUCGCACAAUUUCUCCAGCAAGAGUCAAGUAGUUCAGCUUGCUGGACAUUUUUGGAGAAUUCUGAUACUUUUAUACCUUAUUACUAGUAGAUCCAGACUAAUUAAGUAUAGAGAGCAUUCUAACAUUGCAGCAGAAACCUUCCAAUGCCCAGAACUUUGCGUUGCUUCGCUAAUGGAAACAUGAGAAAGACACAAACGGCCCUGCCUCCAUUUGGGGCAAGCACAGUCCCCUAUUAACUGAGCCAAGUCAGAUAUGUACAGAGUGGCUGCAUAUGAUUAAAGAUGCAUGCAGGCACUAAACAAGUUUCUAAAGCACCACCGGAAGGCUUUCGGUUCCAAAUCAGUUCAGGCACUUCCAAAAGCUUGAGCAAAGCAUGAAAAUGGAGGACAUGGGGGCAUAAGAUUAACUGGAGCUGGGCACUGGCUGAAGGUCGUCGGGAAGGUCGCGUCGGAAGUCAUUUGAUGUGGGAAUCAUACACGCUGAAGAUGACGUCUGGGACAAUCAGAGGCAGCUUGCUUAUGUACAUGAACAGCCGUCUGAGGUUCUCGCUCGACACCGUCUCCAUGUCGACCAC